rnacentral:lncRNA from 1 species
GUCAUUAAGGUGGUAUUAAGGUUUCAUUGAAAAAUUUUAAGUUUGGAUAGUAAUUAAUUAAAAAGGACUAAAUUGUAAAAGAUGUAAAAUUUGAUCACUUUCUUAUUUUAGUGAUUAAAUGGCUUAAUGAAUGAAAGUAUAUGGGCCAAUAUGGUAAAUAUACCAUAUUAUAAAUGAGUGGCCAGUUAAAGCAUGAAAUAAGUUGAAAAUGCAUGUAUAUUGAAGGGUAAAUUAGUAAUUUAAUAAAGAAAUAAUUAGAAAAAAAGGGUAAAAGUUGAUUAUCAUCUUCGAAAUUGAAACUCCACCGAAUUUGAAUGUAUAAAACUCCAUGGAAGAUGUGCAAGGUUCGGCUAUGGCUUUAUCUAUGCAUGGUAAGCCGUUUUUCACCCGUUUCUUUAAAUUUUUAUGUUUUUGAUAUCGUUGCAACUAGGUUCAGCGAGCCCAUACCUUCGAUUUUGAAACUGUUAAAGAUUUUAAUGUUUCCAUUGAUGAAAAUUGUGAUUUUAGAUGUUAAAUGAUGAAUUUAAAUUGUUGUUUGAUAUUUAAAAGUAUUUUAUUAAGUGAUUUUUAUGAAUUUUCUGAUUAGGGACUAAAUUGUUAAAUUAAUAAAAGUACAAGGAUUUAAUGUAAAAUUGCUGCAUAAAUGGGCUUUUUUGGAUACCAUAAACAUUUUAAUAAGCUGAAUUUUGGGUAAAAUGGUUAAUUUGCAUGUUUUGGGCUAGGGACUAAAUUGAAUAAAAGUAAAACUUUAGGGGUAAUUUUGUAAAAAAUGUCAAAAUGACUAAAUUGCAUAAAAUGAUUUUUUUUAUUUUCUAAAUUAAUAUAUUUAAUGAAAUUAUUAAUUUAGAUCAAGAUCGGGUGGAAAAUUGAGGAAAAUGAAAAAUUACCAAAAUGCCUCUAAACUUUGGAAUUUCUGCAAUUUAGCCAGGUAAGUUCCUAUGAACUUUAUUAUGUAUAAUUUUGAUUUAAAUUGAAUUUUAAUAUGUGAUUAAAUCAAUAUAUAUAUGUUAGUAUGCAAUUUAUCGUGAUAUGAAACAACAUAAAUUCAAUAACGUACGACGAUUACCGAUCCCCGUUUAAACCUUAGGAAUUUGUAGGAUACAAAUGACAUGUCAUUUGGGUUUACAAGAUUCGCGUGCUGGUCCUGAACAUCCUACUAAUGGCUGAGGUUCGGCAUGUGUUACGGAUACUCCACAGCUCGUGUGAGAAACAUCGUGUAGCUACGUUCUGACCCACAGUUCGUGUGAGCAGACCCAUUUUCACAGCUGGUGUGAGCAUUUUGAUUCUCAGCUCGUGUGAGCAUACAUGUAUAGGAAUUGACGGAUUACAGUUAUAUGAGUUAGCACACUAUGUGUAAGCUAUCUCGGGUAUCCAACGGUAUUCGAAAUGGUUCAACAGGCAUUAUUCAGAUAAGAAACGAUAAGAGAAUGAUAUGUAUUAUGACAUGUACAUAUAUGAACAUCUUUGAUAUGAUGAUACAUGGAAAUUAUGUAAAUUGAGAUGAGUGACAAACUCAAGUGUUACAUGUUGAAAAUAAAUGGUUAACCAUGUUGAAUUUAUAUGAAAUAUGUUCAAGUAUGCUAACAUGUGUUGUUGUUUGAUGGUUAGGCAUGUGCCAAGCUAUUGGUUGAUUGGUAUUAUGUUUACUUAUAAGUUGCAUUGAAAUGGUUAGUGCCUAAAUGGAACUAUGCUUGUGUUUAUGAAAGUGUGGUAAGGUUUAAAUUAUGUAAUUUCUUAUGAAAUGGUUUAUUAUGUGGUUAAUUCUAAAAGAGCUACGUUUAUAUGCACUAGCUUGUGGCUAUGGUUGAUGAUAUGCUUAUGUCUUGUGUGUUAUGCGUAUGAAAUGGGUGUGGAAAGGUAAUGAAAUAGUAAGUUCAUACCUGAAGUGUAAAAUGAUGAAAAAGGGAAUGAAGAAUUGAAUUGAUGUUGUUAUUUAAGCUAAAGAUAGUAAAUGCAGUGGAAGGUAAUGAAAUGAAAAUAAAAAUAAGAAAAUUUAAAAGGGUUUAAAGUUUUAUAAAAUCCUACUAUGCUAGGGAUGAUAUGUAUAUAUGAUACUGUGGAUUUAGCCACGUCAUGAGUUGUUGAAUAUGGUUUAAGGAAUCCUACAGUAUCGGUAUAAGAUUAUUCUUGAUAUGUAUAAAUUUCAUAUUUGAAAUGGAUUGAUAUGACUAAAGUUUAUACGAGCUUACUAAGAAUUCAUUGCUUAUGUAAUUGUUUUUCCCUUACUUUUCAAAUUAUCGAAAGCUCGAUUGGGUUGGAAGCUUGUCAGAGAUCUAUGGUUAAGGUUAAAAUGGCAUGUACAGGUGAACUUAUGAUUGACGAUUAGUUGAAUGUUAGUUGAUGUGUUUGGCAUUUAUAUGUCAUUUUGAGUGAUAUAACCUUGGUACAUUUGGUGCCUUGUCGAUAUGUGUUAAUUUUAAAAUGUGCUAAAACAUGUUUGAAUGGCCAAAGUGAUAUAUAAUGAAUUGACCUCAACAUGGUCAAGAUAUGGUAUGCUUUGGAAAGGUUUUGAACUAGAUAUGGCAUGAAUCUAAUAUGGUGUGGUGAUUUGGUACAUUUGUUAUAAAUGACCUAUAUUGCUAUCGGUGCUAGUUGUUGAAUGGCAUAUUUGGUACCAUUUGGUGUGUUAUUGAUAGGUUAAUCGAAUGGUAUGUUUUGAUGUAAACUUAGUUUGAAGUUAGUGAACAUUUUUGGAAAAUUUGAGUAUAUGGUUAUACAUGUUUAGGUGUUGAAAUAGAGGUACCCUUUGGGCAUAUUGGUGGUAUGCAAAUGACCCAUAUUUGGCUAGCUUGAUUAUGUAUGGUCUUGAUGCAUUUUGAUGGCUUGUUUAAUUGUGCAAAAGUGAUUGUAGGUACAUGCAUGAAUGAGUGAGAAAAAUGGCUUGGAAAUGACCUAUUUUUCAUCCACACGGGCAGAGACACAGGUGUGUGUCUCACACACGGCCUGGCGACACGGUCAUGUGUCCCCUGUAGCUUUUAAAGGGUUGCAAGUCAGGCUGUUACAUGGCCUAGCAUACGAGCGUUUGGCUUGGCUAUGUGAUCCAAGUCAGUGAGUUACACGGGCACGGACACGGGCAGGGACAUAGCCGUGUGUCCCUACUUCGAAUGUCCACACCGUGUGACCCCUGCAAUUUUGAAAAUUUUCAUUUUUUUCUGAAAAAUUUUAUAAUUUUUGGAUUUAGUCUCGACUUGAUUCUAAUGUGUUUUUUUUGCCUUGAGGGCUCGUAUAAGGGACGAUAUACAUGUUAUGGAUUGAUUUCGCUAUGAUUAAUUAUAUGAACUAUAAUGUUUAAAUUUUUUGUUCAUUUUGAAAAGAAAACUCCAUUAAUACUCCAUAACCUUAUUCUGGCGACGGAUACGGGUUAAAGGUGUUACAACUGACUUUCGGGUCGUGACACUAUCACUAUGAAUAGUGACAAAUUUUGGUUAAUAACCCAUUGACAUAAAUUUUGAAUCACUUGUGACCUUUCAAUUAUAACCAUUGGAACAUUAUAAAUAUUUUGAAAAUUCUCCAAUAGACAUGAGUCAAUUUCACCUCCCAUUGCCAUCCACACAUUGCCUUUAUACCAUGAACCAAAGUUAUACCCCAUACUCAUGGGGUUGUUCACUUGAUGAGAUUUAUAAUUUUAGUUCUAUUAUUAUAACAACAUGAUUUUUGUCGGAGUUACAAAACUCGGUUCAAAGUUGGAUUCCUUGAAUCGAAUCAUUAAUUAUUUCAAAUCAAGAAAUUAGUGAGUCAAAUAUGAGAUUAAUAAAUAGAAUCAUAAAUAAUUAAAUAAAUUACGGUGUUUUAUAAAUAGUACAAAGACUUGAUUGGAAAAAAAGGUUAAUGAGCAAACUUGAUUAAAAGAUAUUAAAAAGGGGUCUUAAUAAGUAAUUAUACUAAGGACUUAGGAGUAAUUAAACCAUUUUAAUAUGUAUGGUAAUGUUAAUGGUUCAUCAUGUAAUCAUUUUCCACUAAAGGAACAACUAAACAUGUUUAAUUAAUUAUUGAAUGGAUUAAUUAAGAAAAUGAAUUGUCAAUUACUUAUAUAUAUGUCCCUUAGUGGGAAAGAGAAGAUGAGAACAUAAUCUUCACCAUCUUUCCCAAAUCAAAACAAAAAGGAAGAAAAGAAAAGAAAGCUUAUUUUUCUUUCAUCGCCGUGAGCUUAAUUGGAAAGGUAAGUGGCUUUUUGUUGUAAUUUUUUUGUAGAUUAUUAGUAUAUUCUAGUAGAUAAUUACCUCCCAAGCCAUGAAUUUAUGAAUUGCUUAGUUUAUUUAGAUGAAACAUUGAUAAAAAAAAGCUUGAGAAUGUUUGAGUUUGAAAGUUUAGAUUCAUGCAAGCUAGUAUGAAUUAAUUUUAUGGUGAAAUAGGUUAAUCUUAUAGUAGAAAGUUCCAAAUUAAGCUUAAGUUAAGCUUAAAUUUAUAUACUUAAUUUUAUGUCAUUAGGGACCAAAUUAAUUAAAUUGAAAGUUGUUAGAAAAUUUUGCUAUAGAAUGGAAGUAAGAGGUCCCUAAUGAUUAAAUUCAAAGUUGAAUUUCAAAUCGAUAAUGAACAUUAAAAUAUAGGAGCAUUUCAAUAAUAGUGUUUAUAGGGUCUGAACCCUAAUUUCUUUUAUGUCUAAACUUUUUGCUUCCGUCAUCUUUCAUUCUCAUCUUUCUCAGAGGUAAUACUUGUUUUUCUUUUUCUUUCUUUCCUUUUACUACAAAAUGGUUAGAACCACUGCACGAGGGAGGGGCUGAGGCCAGAGCAAUCGAAAUAAUAACCUCAAUGGUUCAGCCCCAUUUGGACCCCAAGGUUCCGAUGACACUCCACCACACACAAAGGCUCCGAUGUACGAAUGUAGUACCACAAAAAAUGAAUUACACUGAUACUUAGGGGCCCAGGGCAUCCUCUAUCCAAACUUUGCUUAUGAUUUUCGAUGACCAUUAACUUGUUGCUUGAGCGACAAUACUCGAGGUUAUAUCUUCCUUUUAAUCUUGUUAGAGGCCAGCUUCCACCUAUCACUCCAUCCUUUCUUCUGUGCAGUGCUCAACGAGUAUGGCAUCACUCCUGGGCAACUCUUUGCCAUUUCUUGGUGGACACUGGUGGCUUUCUUUAUAAACUGUAAAAAUCACUAAAUAACUUAACAUAGUUCAAGUUUGAAUGCAAUAUAACAAAUGCUAAUUAAAAUUCCCUAAAAUGCAACAAAAUAUACCUAAGUGCAAACAAUUAGCUAGGUCGAAAGGCAGAAAAUAUAACUAUUUUCAAGAGUUAUCAGUAUCCCCUAGAGGACUCUAUCAUCUAUUGGAUACAUUUCACAACUACUUUCCCCAAGAACAGUUUCAUUAACAUAAACAAAAUAGAUACUUUACAAAAGUUACAAACAUUUACUCUAUCAUCCCAGACAUACCGAUUGGCUAGUACCUAUACGCCUACUGAGUAUAACUCUCCUUUGGCGGAUAGAAUACACCAAGCACUACAACUAACAGAUACAUUUCGUCCACAACACAUUAAAUAAGAUUAAGACUUAAUACUUAUCAUUGAAUAAUACCAUGCAAUGCUACUACAUAAUCAACCUUUUUGUUUGGUGGUCUCACACCUCACUUCAAAAAUACAUAACAUGCAUUACAUGCAACAAAUCUAUAUUCACAUUCUAUUACACUUUUCCACGCCCUUCUUUAUGCUAACCUCAAACCAUAUUUACACAUCAUAACGAAUGUCUUGGUCAAUGCUAUCUUAUACAAAUGCAUGUUUUCCCAUAAUAUUUGGGCUCUUUGUCAUGGUUAACAACUAAUAUGCCCUACCAAUGGAAUCACCCAUAACACCAGGCUGGUUAACAACUAAUAUGCCCUCCCAGUAACCCAGUACAUACGUGAUCUGCCAUAAUUCGGUGUAGCAAAUUAAACUAUUUUUUACACUUAAUAAGCCUGAAUACAAGCAUUUUCAUUACAUUUUAGUUAAGUUUCUUUAUUUUUACCUACAUUCAAUAAAAUGUGUAAAUUGAAUCUUUUAUUGACCUUAAGGCUCGAGUGAGGCCUAAGGGAGAGCUAACAUACUUUGUAAGUGUGCAAGAGACCAUUAGAAGGCAUUUUAAGUCGAUACUAGAUGCUCUGUCACAACACGAGAGGUCUGAUGUCGCAACAUAAGAAACAGAAUGAAAAAAACUCAAGUUUGCCUUUGAUGUCACGAUAUAGGCUGAGGGUGUUGUGACAUACCCUUGCAAAUGGCUACGGAGGAGUAUAUUGGUCACUGUGUCGUGACAUCAACUCUGGGACAGAAAUUAAACACGAAGCAGGGGCAUUUUGGUCGCAGAAUCAAACUUAAAGCUCGGGAACGUCAAUUGAACUAGGGUUAAAGACAACAACCACCUGAAGCCUAUAAAUAGGCUCCUUUGGCACAUGUUAAAGGCACCAUUCCUGUAACCUCAAUUCAGUUUGUAAAAUUUAGUUUAGUUUUCUUUCAUUCUUUCAUUUGUUCUUGUUGGUUUUAAGAUAUCUAAAUUGUAAAAGCAUUCAAACCUUGUGGGUUCGCAAUUAAUCUUAAUACAAUCAGGCUCUUUCAUUUAUUUUAUCUUGUCGAUUUAAUUAGUAUGCUUUCUCUUUAUAUUGAUUUCAUAUUGUGUAUGAAAGCCAUGAGGAACUAAUCCCUCUAUGGGGGAUUAGUGAGUGGAGGUAUAAUCUAUUAACUAUUUUAUAUGCUUACUCAACGAAUCAGUUGUUUGGAAGAGGAAGAACGUUAAACAAACCUUAGGCCUGAAAACCUUGGGAAGUCAUCAAGGUGGGAAUUAACCCAAAAUUGGUAUUUCUCAUUCAUGAACACCUUCAGCCCAAACCAGUUUGGAUUGUGAGGUCAGAAGAUAAGUAGUUCUUGCUGACUCGUUAUGUUAGUAGAAGAUCAGAAGAUCCUACUAGGGUAUCGGCUAGUUGAUUGACGAGGAACCCGAAACGACAGUUGAUGGAAAUUACCGAAACGAGAUAAUCACCCAUAAUCAAGAUUUGAUUUAUUCUCCCUUUCUAUCUCUCGAAGUUUAUUUCCUUUAUGUUAUUUUAUCUUUAUUAUUAUAAAAACCCUAAAAAUCCUUCAUUUAUGUUCAUUAGUAAUAUAGUUUACUUAAAGUACUAAUUAGAUUUAUUAGCGUUUAGGUUAGAAUUAAUUUAGUACUAGCCUCCCUUGGGUACAAUCCUGGAAAUACUUACUAAGUGUUUCAUUGUAAACAAGCUAUAUUACAACCUGAACUAUAUACUUGAGGACAUCGCCUCAAAUUUCACAUAUUUUGUAGUAGUAUUCACACUCUAGACGUUAGUACGUCCGGAGGUAGUCAAUAUGCCAAUCUAGUUAGCAACUAACAUGCCCUACUAAUGGCCAAUCAUCUCUGCCAACCUAGUUACCAACUAACAUGCCCUACCAAUGGCCCAUCAUAUCGAGUUUGAACACCAAGGAAGUCAUAUUUAUUUCUUAUCACUUACAUGCCCAUGCAGAUGGUUACAAGAAACAAGUUACCACGUUCAAAGGAGACAUUUUUACUUGAAUUCGUAACCUUUAACUAUGAUAACCCAGAAAAUAACAGUAUAUAAGGACAUUGAGAAGAAUCAUACAAGCUGGAUACUCACAGAAGGUCUUAAAGAAAUCGGUUACCCCAUGAAGUCUCUCGCUACAACCUUCUCUUACUUCCCUAACACUUACUGGUUCUUCUUUGACGAAUGACUUCCUUUUAUAAGGGGUAUAAGAAUAAAUAAAAAAUAGAAGUAAAAAAACCACCCACUUCACCAGACAUGUUGUUAUUUAUAGCCCAAACAGACCUCACAAUAACCCUACAUGUGCCCAGCAAUUAGAGCUAAUUCAACACCUCUUGGUGGUCGACACGUCAAUCUAUAUACACUCUUUUCUACCAAACACCCCUACUACCACUAAUCAGAGUGGUACACUUUGCCUGUACUUGUAAGCAACAAACUAAACAAGUCAUUCAGCUACCUAAACACAUCAAGCUGGCAUUUACAGUACUAUACUUCAAAUCCAACUAGCAGACGUUACAUACCAAAUAAAACAGACCACUUGGCAGAUACUAACAGAAGGGUCCAUCAACACAAAACUCACCAAGAGAAUCCACUGAUUUGUGGGUUCUCCACAUUGACCACAGCAAGACGUAUAGAUCAGUAACCUAAACUUCCCCAAAAGACAAAUCUUCAACCAAGUCUUUACAAAUUUUCCUAGUUAGCCAAACAAUCCUCCAAUCAUGGCACGACAACUAGCGCUAACUUAACAUGGUGAAUAGGGGGAUAAAUCAACCUUUCUUGGCAUAUAAUUAGCCAACAAUCUGCCCACAAAAACCACCAAUUAGGACUACACUAGGCGGGGUGUUACAACUUCUCCGCUUCAGUGUUAAAAUUUUUUGUCGCUAAUAAAGUUUCUGAUUUGAGAUAUUCUUGAGUCGUUGGUGAUGUGAUAUCUCUCUGAGACACACAUUUCAUAUAUCCUACCAAGAUGGGACCAUUACCUUGGGAAACUAUCCUACGGAAGUCAGGUUUUAGGGUGAUUUUGCUUUAUACGGUUACGGAUGGAAGUCUAUGUAGAGGUCUCAAUCAACGGUCAUUAUAAGGUCAUGAAUUAGAGUACAACGAGGAAACUAGUUGAUGGUCAUUAUAUGGGCAUGGGCUUAAACUUUUCAAAUACCUAGAGAUGUUGCCUUAUAAGUAUCAUAAAGAAGUUUGAGAGUAAAAUCAUAGGGAAAAAUUGUCUUAAUUUUUUUCUCUACUUUCACGCAGUUGAUAUCUUAAACCUUCCUUCUUAUCCGAAGGUCGGCACUACUGUGGCUGUAGAAGGACUCUCAGCUGGGCAGUGGUUGUUGCGGUGUAGUAAAGGUGAUGUUCCUUUAAGGGUGACAACAUUAUCAUUAUUAAACAACCCAUUAAUAAUUGCAACUGUUACCGCGCCGACCCAAGUUUGACCUUUACUGUGCCAGAACAUACACUCUCUACUUGAGAGUCCUCUUGUGUCCACCUUGAUAUCAGCUUUGGGAUAAGAAUGAAAGGUUAAAGAUAACGAUUGCCUGGAAAUAGAGAAGAAAAAUUACGUUGAUUACAUCGGAAAGCCUUUCGAUUUUUCCUAUAAUUAUGGCAUCAACUUAUGUAUGGUAUAUAUAAGGCAUCAUUUACAGGUAUCCAAAAAUCUUGAACUUGUGACCACAUAAUGGCCGUCAACUGGCCCCCGGUUAUACUCAAACUCGUGACCGCAUCACGAGCAAUGACCUCCACUUAGAAUUCAAUCUAUGACUGUAUCAAGCACUAUCACCCCGAAACCUAACUUCCAUAGGAUGGGUUUAUGAGGUAAUAGUCCUAUCCUAGCAUGACAUAUGAAAUGUAUGUGUUCUGAGAUGCGUUAUCGCAUUCACAGCCCCUUCAAAUCUACAUAUAAACUUUCAUGAUUUCACUCUUAAAACACUAAACACUAAACCUUACUUACUAAUCCAAAAAAAACCCUAACCCUAACCUCUAACCUAAAAAAAAGGCUAAGGAGAGAGAGUGUGAAAGCGCAUCUAGUAAGGGGCGCUUUCACACAUUCUCCAAAAUCAACCUAUUUCCCUAAAUUUUUUAAAAAAAAGACCUAUUUGGUCAAUUAAAAAACAAAAUCAACAUAUAUGCACAAUUUAGCCCUUCAUUUAUAAUCUCCCAUACUUUUCUCAAUCAAUGUUUCAAUUUCUCCCUAACUUGGGAAACAAGUAAAAAAGGUUCCCUCACCAUAUUUGGGAUCAAAACACUUCCUCAUUCCUAGGCGUAGAGACAGUUGCAGUGCAUUUAAAUCGGUUAAUAUUGACAUCAUUAAAACAAGACUUAAUGGUAUUUGUAGCCCUCAAAACUUUUUCAAAAAAAUCAAUUAAGCCCCUCUAAACUUUUUGCACCCAAUUGAACCCUUGAACUAAAAAAAUGGCCAAAUAGACCCUUUAGCUAAUGUUGAUUAUUAGUAGUUAACACCAACGCUGACGUGGCCGUUAACAAACACCACAUCAGCACCGUUCAUUAACGUGGUAGUGCCACAUCAUCUCUAAUUGCUGACAUGGUAAUGCCACAUCAUCAACGAAGGUUGGCGUGGUAUUGUCACAUCAACAAAAUAAAAUAAUAUUUUUUAUUUUUAGUCUUUUAACACUCAACAAUUACAAUUUUUUUAUCAAUUUAAUCAUUGCUCUUUAAAAUUACAUAAACAAUUACAAAACAUAUCUUUAAAAUUUCUUUUUUUUUAUAUUUUCAAUAAAAGUAUAAAAAAUUAUGAAAAUGUUAAAAUAUGUUCAAAAUUUUACAAUAAAAUUUCAUUUUAAAUAAUUUUAAAAAUAUAAAAAAUAUAAAAAUUUCAAAAAAUGUGUCAUUUACCUCAUGAAUGGUAGUAAAAUCUCUCUAAACUUUGAGUUAUUUGUUCAGUCCAUAAUAAAUCAAAUUUGAACAAGUUUUUUUAUUAUUUUAAAUUGGAUUAAUAUAUAAAAAAUGUUUUAUAUAAAUUGAUUAUAAAGUAUAUAAAAUAUUAAUAUAAAAUAAUUUUUAAAUAAUGGUACAAACUCUCAAACAAUUGAAAUUAAAAUAAUUAAAAUUAAAGUUAUUUCAAAUCGAUUGAACCGGGUAAACUUGAUUCAUUUAAGUUAGCUACGCUUUUAUUUAAAUGAUUAAAAUAGAUUAAUUCAGUUCCUUAUCGAUUAUGAGAAUUCAUAAUUAAAUCAAUUGUCAUAAUUGACUUCUAGUACACAUUAUUUUUAAUUUUUAAAUAUAUUUAUAAUAUAUAACAAAUAUGAUAUUAUAUAUAGACUUUUUAUCGAAAAACAAACCAACGUCUAUUUGGGUUUCAUACUUUAAAAGAAACCAAAUAAAGAGAAAAUUAAAAAAAAAACUCAGUUUAAUAAGCUUAAUCAUUCAAAUCCACGAAUGUUAAAUCCAUUCAAUAAGAUGAAUUAGGUUCUCUUUAGAUAAAUGGUAAAAUAGGUCCUGCUAAGAUUAAAUACAGCAAUGGUGGUAAAAUUAAUUAUUGUAAUAGUAAGAUUAAAAAUUAUAAUGGGGAGAUUAAAAUCUGUGGUAAUAUAUGUUAGAACCGUAAAAAUAAAAUCUAAUAUAAACUUAAAAUUGAAAACCAGGAUUUAUCAUGUCAAAUCAAUAAUAACAAAUCAAGGAUAAAAUUAAAUACGAAAGCAUACCUGAAUUCAUUAAUUUCUUGAAUUUUACGGAUCUUGGGGUUUGAUCUUUCAAAUUAGCACACAAGAAAUUUCAGAGAAUAUUUGCUCUCUUUUUCCUAAAGAUGGAAGAUUAGAAAAGUUAUCUCCUGUGUAAUUUGUGGAUUAUAAACCUAAUAUAUAACUUUUGCACAUUAACCCUAAUUUCUAAUUAGCCCAUCAUUAACUAGAAAUUAGUUACUAGAGUAUUUGCACAUAUUUGACUCAUACUUUAUUUAAUAAUUAAAGCCCAAUAAACCUUAACCAAAUUAGAUUACUUUUAAUUUGGGCUAACCUAUUAUAAUAGUAAAUAAUAACAUGUAAUUACCCUUAUUAUAUAUGUUAUGUCCAUAUUUUCCAACAAUCUCCCACUUGGACCACAUAUAUAUACUAAUUACUCUAUAAUUACAUGUCAUUAUAUAACUUUAUGAGCUCAAAACCUUACUAUCAUAUCCAAAAGGUAUUUCAAACAAUCUCGUCCAUUAUUCAAGUUAACAUAGAACCAAAGCGACUUUUGUUACAUAUAUCGUAACUAAAUCCAUCCCUGAUCACGUAUAUUAACACAACCAAAUGACAUAGAUCAAGUAUAGAUGUGUAGCAUGGAAAUUACAUGCAAUAUGAUCCAAACAUGUCUAUUCUCUGCUGGUUCUCCUUAAACCUUAGUGAGAUCAAAUUUUACCAAAAUUAACGUAUGAAUAAGCCAAAUAAACUUUAUUUCUGCAGAAAAUAAGCUUAAUAUCCGUAAACUGAAAUAACUGAAAAUGUGUCUAUAACAUAAAAGCAUUUAAAGGUACAAACUCCCACUAAAACCAAACAUCCUCAAAUGACAUUACACCCAUAUGAGCAGUGUGCUCAUGAAAAAUCUUAGGAGUAAUCCCUUAGUAAGCAAGUCCGCAAUCAUGGAGUUUGUCACAAUAUGCUUUAUAGGCACCUAACCACUCUAAACUUUUACUUUAACAACUAGGAACUUAAAGUCUAUGUGUUGUGACUUUGAUGUGCUCUUGUUGUUAUUGGAAUAAAGGACUACCAAUUAUUGUCACAAUUUACACCCUAGUGACAAAAUCUUGCAUUCAUCAAAAUCAGAGUCUAUAUAUCUGAUGAUCUCUAACUUAUCAAACCUCCGAUAUGUGAGCAUGUAAUAUUUUGUUCACUGAAAAUACCUCAUAACCCUCUUGGCUACUAUCCAAUGGUCCAUAUUAGGGUUGCUUAAAUAUCUGCCUAACAUCCCAACAAUAUACGCAAUGUUCGGACGCGUACAUACUUGAGCAUACAUUAGAGUCCCCGCUCUUAAGACAUAGGGAAUCUUAUGCAUUUCCUUAAUCUCAAAAUUAUUCUUUGGUUAUUGGUCAAAACUUAACUUAUUAUUGACAAGAAGUAUGUCAUUAACAUAUAAAACCAAACAUAGAACUUUACUCCCACUGAACUUGUGGUAUAUACAAUUAUCGACCACAUCCAUCUCUAAAUGAAUGAGAUAAUAAUUCAAUAAGUUUUGUAAUACUAUUGAUGAAAAGUCUCCUUAAGCCCAUAAAUGGAGUUCUUUAAUUUGAAAAUCAUUAACUUUGCAUUUUCAGACACAAAGUUUUCUAGUUGCACCAUAUAAAUGUAUGAUUAAUGUUACCAUGAGAAACCAUUAACUUAACAUUCAUCUGAUGCAGCUUAAGGUCAAAAUAUUCCACUGAAGCCAUUAUAACCCUUUCUCUAGUGGACCUUCUUAAUGACAUUCGUUCUUGAGGUUGUUAAGUUUGUUCUUCUAGAAUAAUUACCUCAUAUUGGACAAGGAUUUGUUCAACAUUAUCUUGUUGAGGUUCUGGAUUCACUUGUUGUGCCCCUAAAGGCUUAUAGAAUGUUGUGCUUAAUGAUCAUUAGACUCAUGCAAUUUAAACGAUCCCACCUCUCAAAAUCUCUUUUAACAUCAAGGGUAUUUUUUGCAGUGAAAGGUGCGGGUUGAUCUUCCUUUAGUGCAAGGUCUAUGUCCAAUACAGCCAAGCACUAUAAGUAAAUGUCUUUUCCUUUCCUUGAAGUUAGUCCCAUUAAGCAUGGGUAUAGAAUUUAUAUUAGCAGAUAUUGUGGUAGCAGAAUAUGAACUAGCUAAAUAUAGAACAAAAUAGAUAAAAACAAGCUUACAUGAAUAUUCAUAAUUAAACAAUAAAUUUAAAAUAGUGGCUAAUCUCAUCACAAGAUACCAAACACAACAUUAAUAUCAAGUCUUUGGACAGUAAUAUUAAUAGGAAGCAGUGUCCUUGUUGUAGCAAUCAAACAUUGACAAUAAAUUAUGUCAAACAAUGAAUCAAUCUUUAUACUAACUUAUUGCUCACAUAAAGUACCUUAUAAUUGUCACAUAUUUAUUACCACAAAUGUCGUUGAAAUUCUGCCAAAUAUUAACUUACCUUUGGGUCAAUUAAUAAACAUAUGAAUCACAAAAACAUAUAAUCAUCUUAAUAUUUUAAAUAAACUAACCUACACAAAGAGGUCACUUUGGCUGCAUUUUAUUUCAACUAAUCUAUUUAAAAUAUUAGACAUCCUUAAUUAAAUCCCAAGCCAAAAUAUGAAUUUAUUUUUUUCAAAAUAUUUCAAAUUAAAACCAAAAUAAUUAGAAUAAAGGUAAAUCUCAUCUCAAGAUAUCAAGCACUCCAUUAAUAUUUCUAUCUUUGGACAAAAAUAUUAACUUGUAAGUGAUAUCUUGGUGUAGUAAUCAAACACUGACAAUAAGAACAUGUCGAAUAAUAAAUCUUCCUUUGAGUCAAUUUAUUACACACAUGCAAAACUAAAUAAUCAUCACAUGUUUAUUACCACAGUUGCACAUGUAAUUUUUUUUGAAAUAUUAACCUUCAUUUGGGUCGAUCAAUAUUACUGUAGUUUAAGUUACAUGCACACAAAUUUUUAUAUUUUAAAACAAAAUAAUUUCAAUAAUAGAGUUCACUUUGACAACUUAUUAUUUCAAUUAAGUUAUUUUAAAAAUAUAUAAAUAUAUCAAAUCUCUAGUAUCCUCCCUAUGCUAUGGACUCUUCUUCUACUGGAAGGUUGGUUAGCUGGAUCCGAAUAAUAGGAAUACGUAGAAAGGUUGGAUGGUUACUUUAGUGACGGAAUAAGGCAGCAACCUUUUUCUUAUCUUGAGUUGAUGCUUAAGACAUGAUAGUUGAAGGCUUUCUCCUUGCUUUCAGGGGCUUUUCGCCUGAACCAAAUGAACGGGGCGCUCUUAGGUACUACAGGUUGGGUGAAGACCAGGAAUUUAAUCCAGUAAUUCAAAUUUCUCCUUAUUCAAAUUUAAAAUUUAAAAUUUUCAUAACAGUAAAAGGUCAAAAUUAAUUUUUUAUUAUUUUAUAGAUUCCGAAAUAACCUAAAAUAAGGUUGUCAUAAUAAUGUAAUAAAAAAACCAAAAACCUUAAUCUUUAACUGCAUUUUUUUUGUUCCAAAACCAUAUAUGUCAAAGUCAAACAAAAAUAUAUAGUGAUUCAAGGUCAAAUAAUUAACAAACAUAUGUAUAUUACAAAAAUAAUAUAGUGAUUCAAGGUCAAUCACGGUGAUUGCAAUGAAAUGAAAGUAAAAAAUGAUCAUAAAAGAUAUUAGAUUAAAAUAAGUGAAUAGAUAUAAUAAAACUAAAAAAAUUAUUAAUACCAUAUUUAUAUUCAAUGAUAGACUAAAUUACCUUAUUUAUAUUCAAUAAUACAAAACUUUAAUCAAUGUACAUAAUACUUAUUAGUUAUAUAAUACUGUAUAAUAUUGUAUUAGUUAUAUUUAUAUAUCGUAUAAACCAUGUGUAUUAAUUUUAAGAAAAUGAUUUUAAAGUUAAAACUAAAUUUCUAUAUCAAAUUAUUAAACAAUAAAAUGGUGUGAAUACAAUAUUAAUACAUGUGUUAAUAUCUAUAUAAAUGAAUUAUUAAAGUGUAGUUUAUAUAAAAAUUUGUAAUAAAUAAAAAAUAAUAUUAUGAAUUGGCAUUAUUAAUAAAUUUGUAAUAAAUUUCAACACAUCACUUUAAACAAAAUUUUAUUCAAAAUAAAUUAUAAUAACAAAUUAUGCAAAAAAUAAAUACAACUAUCAACAUAUAAAAAUUUUCUAAAAAAAAUUAACUAAAACAUAAAAGGAAAACAUUUGUUACAUUAUUAGUGAAAAUUUUAAGCUCUAUAAGUAAAAAAAAUUAUAAAAUAUAGUGUAGCCUUUAAGUUUAUGUUAUUAGUUAAAAGAGGAAGCAAUCCCACAUUGUCUAGGUACAAGCUACAAAACUAUUCAUGAGUCUAUAUAAAUAUAUGUUUUGUAAGUUUUAUUUUCACAUUAAUAAGUGACACCAAAAAACAAAAUGGUGAUGUUGCUUUUAGUGAUGAUGUGGUAAAAAGCGCUUCCAGCUAGAAGCGUUUUACUAGUCACACGCGAAAAGUACUUCCAGUUGGAAGCGUUUUAUCAAAAUUGGCUCAUUCUCGUAAUUUUUUUUAAAAAUUAGCCUAUUUUUGUAAUUUUUUUAUAAAAAGGGUUUUAUUUGGUAAUUUAGUCUCAAUAAUAAAAUAAAAAUAAAAUAAUAUUAAUUUUUUACAUAAUGUCUAGAAUUAUUUAUAGUCCCUCCUCAACUCAUAAAUAAAAGGAUAAUGCACUUCAACGCACUCAAAUCUACAUCCUCCUACAUUGCUAACAAUGUUCAUACCAAUUGAAUUAAGACUCAACCAACAUAAAAUAAUAGUUAAAAAAUAUUGAAAUUAUAUAUUAAAUUUAUAUUAAUAUUUUAAAUUUUAAAUUUAUAUAUUAAACUUUUAUUUUUUUUCCUAUAUAUUAAAGUUUUAUUAACGUUUAUGAAUCUUAUGUAUACCUUUUUAAAAUAAUAAAACAUCAAGAAUCAAUAAAAAAAUUAAACCAACGAAUAAAAAGGACCUUGACAAAAAAAGUAAAGACAAACAAAUAAAGCAAACGCAACUUCAAAUUUUGGAUCGGAGCUUAAAGGUCAAAUGGAAAAACUCCAACAUGUUUUACUAAUCUACCUCGCCGGAGAGAUCCAAGCAGUACAUUAAUUUUGGAUGGAUGGUGGCUAUAAUACCGUAAAAUCUUUUAUUUUAUAGUUAUCGUAUUUAAUUUUAUUGUUAUUUUUAUUUUUAACUUUAUCGAAAAUAAAUAUACUGUUUAUCCAAAAAUUUACAUCAAAAAACUGUGAAACACAAAUGCGUUUAAAGACUUAAAUUAUUCCAUUAAUUAGUUAAAAUGUAGAUAGAUUUUCAGUAUUUUUCUCCAACGGGCCAAACGCAGAUUGCUCUCUCUCUUAUGCUCAAAAAGUACAUUGGAUUUCAUCUGCCUUUCUAUUUUUGGUUUUCUGAGGAAAGACCUUUGAAAAUAUUCAAGACAAAGAAACGAUGGUUAAAGGCUAUCAAUGAAUAUAAAUAGCAACUGCAAUUCUACCAAAACGCAACGUUUAGUUUCAUUCCUCAUCUUAUUUUUUUUUUAUUUUUUUUAAUUAACUUUUAUAUGAAUAUGCUGUGAAGUGUAAACGACCGUGGGUGUUGGGGAUGUUGGUGGAUGGCUGUAGGUGUUGCUCAGGAAAAGAAGCUUUCAUAAUUAAAAAAUUUAUUUAUUUUAAUUUGAAUUGAUUCAAAAUUGUAUCAUAUUUAAAAAUUAUUUUAUAUUAAUAUUUUAUAUAUUUUAUAAUUAAAUUUAUAUAAAAUUAUUUUUUAUAUAUACUUAAACUAAUUUUUUUUAAAAACUUGUUCAGAUUUGAUUUAAUAUGGGCCAAAUGAAUACGUUAAAGUUUAGAAAGAUUUUAUUACCAUUCAUAGGGUCAAUAAUAUUUUUUUUUAAAAAAUUAUAUUUUUCAUAUUUUUUAAAUUUAUUUAAAAUGAUUUUUUUUAAAAAAUUGAACAAUUUUUUAUAUUUUAUUGAAAGUAAAAAGAAUUAUUUUUAAAACAUUUAUGUACUGCAAGGAUCAAAUUGAUAAAAAAACUGUAAAUUUUGAGGGCUAAAAGAGUUAUUUUAGUUUUUUUAUAACAACCUCAUCACCAAUUAUAAUGGCAAAAUUGGAGGUACCAAAACUUUUAAAUAAAAAAAUAUAGGAGCUUAAUAUUUCAAAAUUAAAGUAUAGAGUAUAAGAACCUUUGGAAUAUUCAAACCUUUUAGAUAUUAUAUUAUGUAUUUGAAUUUUAAAUUUUUAAAUGGAUGUCAUGUUAUGAAUUGUCAUAUGUAAAUAAGCGUUGCGUUAUUUUAACAAUCAAGACGUGAGUACAAGUGUUCUUAAGCAUAUCUUUCAUCCAAUUUAAAUGUUGCUGAAAAAUUAUGAGUAAAAAUAAGCAUUAUAUAUAAAAUAUAUAUAUCACAUGGUAAAACUAUAACAUAAUGACAAUUUAAGUACUAAAAUAAAAAAAAUAUUUUAAAUAGCAAAAAGAAAGAAAGUUAAAUCGUGACAAACCUGUACAUAUAGGAUUGUCUUAAGAUUUGAUGUGGAACCAUAAAUUUAACCUCAAAUUCAGUUUUAAAUUCCUUGCAUCUAAGAUCUUCAAUUGGUUGAAGUCCAUCACGCGAGUAAUUCAAUAUUAAACAUAUGUGGGUAUUAACCCCUUCCUUCCCUGCCAAGGCCUCCAAAUGUAAUAUUACGAUUGAUGAAUCAUGAAAAGCAAAUCAAUAAGAAAUAACCAACAAAAUAAGGGCUUAUACUUGGUCAUUUUUGUCCCACAAUGCGGGCUUACACUCAACUAAGCAGAGAAUUUUGUUUUAAACUGAAAUAAACAGAAAACCAAAAAUACUCAACGAGCACAAAGGCUCCCAAACCUUAUUUGUAAUUUGUCUGAUUCCACAGACUAAAGUCGAUGAGCAACGGCAGAAACUCAAAAGAAGAAGAAAAAAACACUAGAACCCUAAUAUCAAUACCGGAAUUUACUCUGCUAAACAUCACAUAUUUGACCACAAGCCUAAUUUCUUAAUAUUUGUAGUCCUUGACAUGAAGGCUCUCUGCGGCACCCUCACAAAGCUCUGCAUCACCCUUGUAUGUACCCAAAGUGGCUUCUGAGUUAGCCUUGCACCUAACGAGCAAAGCAUCUUGUGCCUUCUUCACAUUCUCCUCUUUUCCUGCCCAGGUCUUGAGAGUGCUCUGCUGAAGGGCGCGUCCGAAUGAGAAUGAGAGUGACCAUGGUUUCUUGGUCUGGAGCUUGUUCAUGGCAUUAAGGUUUAGGGUAGCCUCCUCCUCACUUUGCCCACCAGACAAGAAUACAAUAGCUGGGACUGCAGCAGGGACAGUUCGCUGCAAGGCACGGACAGUAUACUCAGCAAUAACAUCUGGGGCAACCUUCGGGGAGUCCGAACCAGGGGUCACCAUGUUAGGCUUCAAAAGAGUACCCUCAAGCAUGACAUGGUGGUCAUUUAGAGCCUUGUAGCAGGUAGCAAGAACACGCUCUGUCACUGCAGCACACUUUUGAAUGUCAUGUGAUCCGUCAACAAGAAUUUCAGGUUCGACGAUUGGAACAAGGCCACAUUGCUGGCAGAUGGCAGCAUACAUAGCUAGCCCGUUGGCAUUUUCUUGGAUUGCAAGCUCGGUUGGCUCAUUAGCACUGAUCUUAAGGACAGCACGCCAUUUAGCAAAGCGAGCACCAGCUUCAUAGUACUUCUGGCAUCGCUGUGCAAGGCCAUCCAGACCCUGGGUGAAAGUCUCACGGUUGGUUCCGUUAAGCUCAACGGUACCCUUGUCGACCUUGAUGCCAGGGAGGACACCACCUUCCUUCAAAACAUCAACGAAGGGCUUGCCUGCACAUCAAAUAUCAAUAUCAGAAAUCAACAACCAUCCAUAAGCUCUUAAAAAGGAAUAACACUACCGAGGUUCUUAAUAUUAUCAAAGUAUGUCAUUUUAAUAAUACCCGAAGCGGUUUUUUGAUAAAGGGUUUCCUCGAAGAGAAUAACACCACUGAGGUACUGAAGAGCUCCUGGAGCAGUGAAGAGGAGCUCACGGAGAGCACGCCUGUUUUCUUCAAUAUUUUCUACAUUAAUGCUUGAAAGACGCUUGCCGAUGGUGCCGGUGGAUUCAUCAGCAGCAAGGAUACCCUUUCCAGGGGUGCCAAUGUAAGCAGCGUUUUUAGCCAACUCAUCUACAAUAUUUAAAUAAUUAAAAGAUAAGCCAUCAAUUCACGAUAAAGAACAGAGAUCCGAAUGUUUAAAAAACUUAAGUAGCCUAAGGGUGAAGGAUAAGGUGCACUAUCUCAGAUCCAGAAAGAUAUCAUGAUAUUAUUAAGCACAUCAAGGACUGAUAAUUAAAUUAAAACUUCAAAAAGUAUAUAUUAAAAAAUAUUACGCAGUUAUAAAAAAGGGAUCGGAGAGAUAAUAUCCGAGCAGGUGCAUGCAGAUCUAGAUCUUCAAAUUUUAACCCCAAAAACAAAGACGAACAAAAUUAUAAUUAAUAUUAUUCAUUAAAAAGAGGGAAAAUCUAUUAUGUUCCUUUCGAUUAAAGAGCAGCGAACAAAUGACCAUAGUUAAUACCACUGACAAUCAGAUCGCAAGAAAAAUGAAGCAGGCCCUAAAAGAUCCAAAUCUAUAUACCAAAGAAUAUUGCUUUCAUUAAAGUAUAAAAACCACGAAGUCAACCAGAUAUAUCACUCAAUUAAUUUAGUUAAACGGUAAGUAACAAAGUUUUCUCGUAAAAAUGACAAAACAAUUAACAUAUCAGACCAAAAAUCUAAAGAUCGAAAUAAAAAUGAAAAAACAAAGAUGGAUCAAAGAGAUUAAGAUUGUAAACAUAAAAUCAACGCCGAAGGGGAAAAAAGGAAGUAGAAAGGGAAGGGUAAUUACCGGCGUAUUUGCUAAUGAAGCAAGACAUUAUGGUUGAAUAGAAAAAGGAGGAUUGAAUUGAACAGAAAGAUGUUUUUUGGUGGCAAGGAAAAGAGAGCGAGGGGAAAAGGAAGAGGGGUUAGGGUUUUUAAAAGAGAAGGGUUAGGUUAAACUGGAAAGUAAGAGAGAAAUAGGUGGGGGGUGAUUUGGCUUUCUAGAUAUUCGGGUAUUUUUUCUUUUAUUUUAAUUUGUCGUCUUACUCUUUUCCAAGUUAGCAACCCAUGUACUACUGCCCGUUGGAUCUGUUCCUAACUUAUUCGUCCAUGGUUUUUCUUCUUCUUUCUUCUUUUUGCACUUUUACUCUUUUACCCCUCAAACUCCCAACUAACCUUUUUGCAUCUCUGCUCCACCUAACAUUUUCCAUCCUCGGCUUGGGCUUUUUUCUUCUCUUUAAUUUAUUUUUAUCGAAUUAAUAUUAACUAUUUUUACCAUAACAAACGAUUAAAAACUUAGGGUGAGUUUGGAUGGGCGGUGCGUGUACCUACGGUUAGUGUAAAAACAGCGGUGGCGGUGAGAUUAGACACUGUAGCGAUACUGAAGCGUGAGACAAAAAGUAAACUAAACGCACCGCACCGCACCUAAUCGCCCAUCCAAACCCACCAUUAAAAGUCUGGUCAUUUGAAACAACAAUGCAAUCAAGAAUUCUUUGCUACUCCACUUUCCGCUUUCUGCUUUUCGCUUUGAUUUGAUUUAUAACGAUCUCAUCAAACAAGGACAAAUUUGAGAACCCACACACGAUCAGGCGAAAAAAAAUGAAGUUAUAUUUUAUAUGUAUUUUGAAAAUACAUUAAUCUAAGUAAUUCAGAUUAAAGUUUUAAGGGUAAAUUAUAUCGGGAUUUAUAGGUGAAAGUAUCGUGAAUAUUUUUGUAUUAUUAGUUAUAUGAUAUUAUAUUUUAUAUUAAUAAAUAAAUAAAUUAAUCCAUAUAUAUUAGAUUAAAGAAUAAAUUGAUAUUUCUAUUAAAAAUUUUAUUCAUUUCCGCUGUUAACAAUUGAUGGAAAGUAUAAAUUGUAAAUUAAUAUGAGCACUAUUUAAAUUAAAAGUGAUGAUUUAUCAUCUUACAAAUUUAAUUAUUCACAAGCAUUAUUCAAAUUAAAAGUGAUGAUUUAUCAUCCAAUGAAUACAUUUCCAUGGAACAUGUUUCUCUCAAGGAGUAUGUCCAAUAUGAAGGGUUAUGGCUCUUCAAAUUGUAUUCAUUGAGUGCAUAUAAAUAGAGGCAUUAUGGUGCUUACAAAUAUACAAUUACAAUCAAUCUUAUUUUCAAAAGCUAGAGUAAGAGUUAGGGAAUUCCUCGAUUUUGCUAAUCAAAGGAAAUUCAAAACUUCGUUAUAUCCCAAUAGGACCUUUGUCUUAACCCUCUAGCAACUUUGUGGGGGGGGCAAAUAGUUCUCUUUGGAAAGCGUCAUUCAUGUCUCGAAGUCUACUGUUUAUUUCCAUACAAGUCUCUGGUUCUAUCGUCUCCACUCAAAUAUCCAACAAUCAAAGAGAACUAAUUCUGGAGAUGGCGACUGAGGCUAACACCACAUUCAAAGUGAUGAACCAAGAGUUUGUGAAACUUAACCGAUUUGAUGGUUCAAACUUGGAAGGACAAGAUGUUGUUCCUUCUUACUAUCUUAAAAGUGGCGUACAUUCUGGAUCCAAACCUACAACCCGUGGAAGAUCCCGCUCCCAAUGCAAAUUCUGAGGAAAUUGAGAAGGUGGCUGAACUCAAGAAGAAGCACGAAGAAGACACUUUCACAUGUUUAAGACACAUCCUCAACACCUUGUCUGAUCGAUUGUAUGAUAUUUACAUGUCGAUGCAAUCCUCGGUGGAAAUAUGGAAAGCUCUUGAAGAGAAAUACAACACCAAGAGACAAGGUACUGAUAAAUUUUUAAUGAUGAAGUAUUUCAAAUUCAAAAUACUUGAUAGUAUCCCGAUCAUGGAUCAAGUCCAUGAAUUACAAGUCCUUGUAAGCAGGCUUCGUGACUUGAAAGUUGUUAUUCUAGAAUUAUUACAAGUUGGGGCUAUCAUCUUGAAGUUGCCCUUAUCUUGGAACAAUUAUCGGAAGAAACUUCUACAUAUGGCAGAGGACUUCACUGUGGAGAAAAUACUUAGGCAUUUGCGUAUUGAAGAGGGAACUCAGAAGUGUGAUGCGAUGUAUCUUCCCUAAAGUUCUAAAGUGAACUAUGUGAGCGAGUCUAAGAACUCUCGAAAUGGUAAGCGAAAGGCCAUAUCCGAGACCAAGGACGUGCAAGACAAGAAGAAAAAAACUCGUAAUUAUUAUAAUUGCAAUAAGAAAUGACACUAUAUUAAGGAUUGCAGACUUCUCAGAAAGAAGCAAGAUGCCACAACUUCCAAAUCCAACAUGAACUUAGUGGCCAUGGUUACGGAAGGGAUAAAAAAUUUGGAGAUUGGUAUGAUUACUGAACUCAACAUAGCCAUGACUGAUAAGUUCUGUAAUUGGUGGCUCGACUCUAGAGCUAUUGUCCAUGUGUGUAAUGACCGACAACAAUUCAAGAGUUAUGAACUAAUGGCAAACUGUUAAGUGCUUAUGGGAAACUAUCAAUCUGUUAAAGUGCUUGGUCAAGGGACAGUGGAACUCAACUUCACAUUUGGGAAGAAAUUGACUUUGACUAAUGUGAGAGAAUUUAGUGUCUGCAAGUAUUCUAUGUAACAAGGGAUUCAAGAUUAUCUCGGAAUACAAUAAGUUGUAUUGCUUAAGGAAGAUAUAUAUGUAGGAAAAAGGAUAUUGUAACGAGGGUAUGUUCGAGUUGAGCAUUAAUAUGAAUAAAGUUAAUUCUUCUACUUAUAUUAUUGAAUCUUAUCCUUUGUGGCAUGUGCGUCUAGUACAUUUUAAUUUUAAAACUUUACAAUAUAUGCAAAAGAAUGAUUAUAUAAGUUUAAGUAAUGAUGAGUUUGAGGAUAUAUGUAAAAAAUUUUAUUCAAUCAAAAAUUACCAAGAAGUCAUUUCCUAAUAAGUGUGAAAGGAAUUCACAAGUGUUAGAUUUAAUUCAUUCGGAUGUUUAUGAAUUAAAUGGAACACUAACAAGAGGUGGAAAAUGAUAUUUUAUCACUUUUAUAGACGACUUUUCUAGAUUUACUUAUGUUUAUCUUAUGAGAAGUAAAUAUGAGGCUUUUGAUAUGUUUAAACGUUUUAAAAAUAAAGUUGAGAAUUUGUUUAGUAAGAAAUCAAAGUGCUUCGUAGUGAUAGAGGUGGUGAAUAUUUUUCAAAUGAAUUUAAUAUAUUUUGUGAGGAACAAGGUGUGGUACAUGAGUGUUUUGCGCCUUAUACUCCGCAACAAAAUGAUUUGGCAAAAAGAAAGAACCGUACUUUAGUAGGUAUGGUUAACUCGAUGUUGUUAAAUGCUAAACUUCUAUAUAAUUUAUGAGGUGAAGCAUUACUGACUGCGUCUUAUAUUCUUAACAGAAUACCAUCGAGAAAAUUCAAAGUUAUGGAGGGGUCGGAUGCCAAACUUAGAUUAUUUCAAAGUGUGGGGGUGUUUGGCUUACUAUAGAGUUCCCGACCAAUAGAGAACAAAGUUAGGUCCAAAAGCCGUCAAGGGUGUAUUUGUUGGAUAUGCCCAACACUCUAAGGCUUAUCGUGUUCUUAACUUAUGUCAAAUACGAUAAUUGAAACAAUAGAUGUUGUAUUCAUUGAAAAUAAAGUUUUCAAUGAUUCAACAGAUUCGGAAAAAGAAUAUCAACCAAUGAUCUUAAGUGAUCAAACCAAAAGAAGUCUUUGUGAUAAUAAGGAUACGGAACGGAGGAAAAGUCAAAAAGUGAGAAAAGUAAAGGACUUUGGUCCUGAUUUAAUUUCCUCGCAAUCUCUAGCAUUCCUUGUUGAGGGAAAUAGAGAAUCCGUAAUUAGGAAGAUCCUCAUAAUGUUUAAUGUGGAUGGUGAUCCAUAAUCCUAUAGUGAAGCCAUGACUUUUAAGGAUGCAACAUUUUGGAAAAAGGCGAUCAAUGAUGGAAUGGAUUCAAUAUUAUCCAACAAUACUUGGAUUCCAGUUGAUCUUCCUCAAGGAUCGAAGCCUAUCGGGUGUAAAUGGGUGUUUAAAAUGAAGAAUACUCCAAUAGGGGGUUCUCCAACCUUUAAGGCUAGGUUGGUGGCUAAAGGAUUUAGGCAAAAAGAAGGCCUAGAUUAUUUUGACACUUAUGCACCAAUGGCUAGGAUGACCUUCAUUCGAAUUUUUAUAGCACUUGCAUGUAUCCAUAAGUUACAUGUACAUCAAAUGGAUGUUAAGACGACUUUUUUGAAUGGUGAUCUAGAAGAGGAAGUCUACAUGGAGCAACCAGAAGGUUUUGUGCUUCCUGGGAAUGAACAUAAGGUGUGUAAGUUGAUCGAAUCAUUAUAUGGUUUAAAACAAGCGCCUAUAUAGUGGCAUGAGAAAUUUGACUCGGUUAUCUUGUCAUAUGGCUUUUUACAUAAUGGUGCAGAUAAAUAUAUUUACACUAAAUUCACCGAUAGGUAUAGUGUAAUUAUUUGUCUCUAUGUAGAUUAUUUGUUGAUUUUUGGUAAGAAUAUGGAAGGUGUUCGUGAGACCAAAGAGUAUCUAGCCUCGAAAUUUAAAAUGAAGGAUCUCAAUGAGGUAGAUACAAUUCUAGGUAUAAAGGUGAAAAAGCAUGAAAAAGGCUUUGCACUAAGUCAAUCUCAGUACUUCGAGAAAGUAUUGGAAAAGUUUAAAUACUUGAAUAUCAAGGAUUCAAACGCUUCAUACAAUUCAAACUUCAAGUUAAGUGAGAAUAAUGGUAGGGCUAUAGCGUAACUUGAGUACGCGAGCGCAAUUGGAAGUCUAAUUUAUGCAAUGCAUUGUACUAGACCUGAUAUCACAUUUGUUGUGUGCAAAUUGGCAAGAUUUACAAAUUGUCCAAGUAUCGAUCAUUGGAAAGACAUUUGUAGAAUUUUUGGCUAUCUUAAGAAAACAAAAAAUUUGGGAUUAUUCUAUAGUGAUUAUCUUGCAGUACUAGAAGGUUACUCGGAUGCAAGUUGAAUUACAAGUCUAAGUGAUAAUCAGUCCACAUCGGGAUGGAUUCUUACAAUAGGAGGUGGAGCCAUUAGUUGGGCCUCCAAAAAAUAAACUUGCAUCUCACAUUUAACUAUGGAGGCUAAAUUUAUAGCCUUAGCGGCUACUGGCAAGGAAGCGGAAUGGCUAAGAAAUCUCUUGCUAGAUAUAAAGUUGUGGCCACAACGUAGAUUUGCCAUUUCCAUAUAUUAUGAUAGUGAAUCUACCAUGACUCGAGCGUACAAUAAGGUGUACAAUGGAAAGUCUAGACAUAUAAGUUUGAGACAUGAGUAUGUGAGACAAUUGAUUAAGGACGGUGUGAUAACUGUUACCUAUAUUAAGUCAAUUGACAAUUUAACGGAUCCAUUAACAAAAGGUUUGUCAAAGGAUUUGGUUAAGAGUACCACCACUAAAAUGGGAUUAAAAUCAUUCUAAUUACAUCAUUGAUAAUGGAAACCCUACCUUGUCCCAGCAAAAAUUUAGUUUCAAGGUUCAAAGUGUAAUAACAAGUUAUCGAAUGACAACGUACACUAAGAAUUAGGAUUUAGUGUUUAUAUUUUAGGAGGAUGAGUUUUUUUAAUGGAUAGACAUUAAUUGUCAUGAAAUCCACCUAUAUGGACAUGAAGUGGUGCUGCUUCAACGAGAUUUUCUUUAUGGUUUUCUCUCGUACAUGUUCAUGAAACGAGAUGAGCACAUAGCCAUAACAAUGCUAAAGCAAAUUUAAAUUCUUACUCUAAUAUUUUACGAUUAUGUGUGAAUUUUUUUCGGUAUUAACUUUAAGAGUCGUGGUUCAUGCAACUACCCACCAUUCACUUUGUUGAUACUCUGAGAGUUUGCAUUAAAUGAAUGUUCAAUCUGCGGACACCCUUAUUUAUGCAUAAUUGCUGUUUACUUAUUUUCUGGAAUUAGCAAUCUAGUUGGGGAUUGAUGGAAAGUAUUGUAACGCCCUAAAAUUUGGGCCUAGAAGUAUUGGGCCUUGAGUAAGGGAACAGUUAGGAAACUGUGCACAAAAAUAUGUCUGCUUUAGUGGUUAAGGGUCCUGAGAGGAGUUGGAAAAGUCCUGGGUUCAAACCUAGGCUUUAGCAAAAAUUUUGGUUUUAAGUGGAUAAAACUCUGGAUGCUUGGAUGUAGGCCUUUUAAAUUAUUGUGUUAAAAAAUGUCAUAAGGAAGCAUGUGGUCUAGUCGUUGUGGCGUCAUUCAGGUUACAAGGGAGUUUGGGUUCAAGUUUUGGCUCUUGCAUUUUAUUUUUAGUUUUCUCUUAAAUGAACCUGAACACUGGCACUUAGGCCUUAUUAGUAAUAAUGCUUGUUAUGUGUCACAAAAAAGUUUGUGGUCUAGUGGUAAGUGGUGUGUUCAAGGUUGCAAGGGAGCUCAAGUUCGAGUCUCAUGAUGCACAAGGGAGUAUUUAUUUUAUUUCCUUACAGCAUGAGAAGUGGAGUUUGACCGAAACUCUGUCAAGUGAAGUUUGAAUUGGUCUUGGAGGGUUUUGUGGAGCAAAUCAAUGAGGAGAUUGGGGAGAAAAUUAAGGAAAUUCGAAAAUAGGAGGUUGGUAGGGUGCUGUAGCCGAUUGGUACUCUAAGGCUUAGUGAAAUUCGGCUAAGGGGAAAGGAAGGGAGCAUUUUCGGCACUAGGCAUUUUUUUGUUCAGUUUUGUGGGGUUUUAGAGGAGAGUGUCAAAUUUUUUUUGGGUUUUUUCCAUUCGGGGAUUUCUUUCGGGUUUUGCGUUUUAGCUAUUGAGGUGACCAAAAUUACUGCUAUUUCCUUCCUCUCUACAUUUGCGGAAUAGGUAACUUUCUUUUUGGUCUCAUUUUUCUUUCUCUGUCGAACACCAUAUUCUAUUUUCUCUACUCUCCUAACAGUGCCGCAUGCACUUCUCUUCUAUCUUCCCUCCAUUCUUCUAUUUCUUUCAAAGCUGAACCUACUCAUCGUCUUCUUCUUCUCUGCUUCCCACUCUCCCCAUCCCAACUAAUUUCUUCAAGGCUCUUUUGUGUACUUUCAGUUACCAUCCUUUCUCUAUUGUGUCUGGCCGAAUAUACCUAAGCUUUUCUAAUCGAUUUCAUCAUCAUCAAUUGCGGGUGUUAAAAUCUCGAGAACAGAAAAGAGGAUUCUCAAGUGUGUGGAGGUGUUCCAAAUCUUCCCUUCACCAACCGUUUAAUCGUUGGGGUAAGUUGGUUGGUAGGCCGAAUAUGCUGUGAUUUUGGUGUUGGAUUUUUUCUUAAAUCAAAAUCGCUACUUGAGCAGAUGAUCAUCAAGAACGUGGAAUCGUGCUUUGGCUAAGAAUCUUAGAAGAGUAGGCCAUAUUUCUUAUAAUCGUGGUAGGUGAUGAUUGUUUAAGUAUGGUUUUAAGUACUUGAAAAUAUUGGUUAUUGAAGGGCUAACCAAAUAUUCAAAUCAAUGUAGGUUGGUGCCAAGAGGUGUUUUGCUAGCUUUUGUGAAAAGGUGUGUAAUCAUACUGUCUCUUUUAUGAAUCGGCAAAAGCCGAAAAGCCGAAAAGCCAAAAAGCCGAAAAGCCAAAAAUACGGCGAUUGAGGCAUGCAAAUGCUCGUGUGGUGAAUCGAGCCCAUGAAACAUGGUGUUAGAUUGGACUGGGCUAUGUAGUUCGCAUAGUCGUGAUUUGAUUUGGCCUAAAUGGGCCACACGAGUGUGUGGGCCCACUUGGGCCGAAUAUAGGCCUUGGGCCCAUUUACACUGUUAUGACCAUUUAGGUUAUCUGUGUCACUCGAGACGACUGUAGACCUUCGGAAAGGUUGUUAAAUGAUCGUAAUACCCCUAUAAGGUAAAAUGACCAAAAUACCCCUAUAAGGUAAAAUGACCGUAAUGCUCUUGAAGGAUAAGUGAUUGAUUUGUGCUAUGGUUUAAUUGACUUAACUGUGAACGAUAUGUCUGAUUCUGAGCAUGGCAUACUGCAUGAGGUUGGGAUCUUGCAUUGGAGGAAGUGAUUGAUAUGUGAGGGUAGCACAGGUCGCAUGAGACGACUGUGGACCCAUCGAUGGCUAUAAGCCAAUUGUGCGAUUGGCGCUCUGCUGCAAUUUUGGUUAGUGCUGCAAUCGGUACAUAAGGAGUGUAGGGAUGGGUAGGUCGAUUUAAUCCCCACAGGAGUGUAGGCAUAGACAGUAGAUAGAGUGCAAGGUUGGUAUGGGCAUUUAUACAUUGCAUAUACUGAUUCUGAUAUUGAGAUGGGCUUAGGCCCAGAUAUAUGUUAUAUGUGCCAUUUGAUUUGGGCUCAGGCCCAACCGAGGCUGAUAGGGGCUAAGGCCAUUUGCCACCGUUACCGUAAUGGGCCUACUGUUACUGUUAAGAGCUCAGGCCUAGACUGAUUCUUUUUCUUUAGUGAGGGGAUUACACACUGAGUUUUCAUAAAAUCACCCUGUUUUUAACAUUUUAGGUAAUCCCCAGCGUUAGACGGUUCGGAGUUGCGAGGGACUCGGAGAGGGCCAUACAACUGCACAUGUUUUAUUCUGUUUUGUUCAUUUACUAAAGCACUUUGAUUUUGAUUCGAGUUGUAAUAAGGCCUCUAUAAUUUCUGGAUUCUAAAUUUGGGAUUUGAUGUGAUUGUGAUUUAUAUCUGCUAGAAGUAGAACACGGUUUUCCAAAACAAUAACUAUUUUCUAACACUACAUUUCUGCAACUCAUUUUUUUAAAAUAUCACGUUUUCAUAAAUCAUUUGUUUUAAAUUAAGCUUCCGCAACAAUAAGGUUUUGAAGUUAACAACUUUUCUUUAAUAAACCUCGAUUGAAAAUAAACAAACGCAAAUUGAGGUUUUGUACAAGUUUUAAAUUGCAAGAAGUUUGAAAAAUCAAGGAGGGUUUCCAAUUGAAACAUGGUUUUCAAAAAACACUUCAAUGUGACAUGCCAGAUUUGGGCCUAACUUCUAGGCCGAGUUUGGGGUGUUACAAGUAUAGAUUGCAAAUUAAUAUGAUCACUAUUUAAAAUAAAAGUGAUGAUUUAUCAUCUUACAAAUUUAAUUAUUCAUAAGCAUUAUUCAAAUUAAAAGUUAUGAUUUAUCAUCUAAUGAAUACAUUUCCGUGGGACAUGUUUCUCCCAAGGAGUAUGUCCAAUAUGAAAGGUUGUGGCUCUUCAAAUUGUAUUCAUUUAGUGCAUAUAAAUAGAGGCAUUAUGGUGCUUACAAAUAUACAAUUACAAUCAAUCUUAUUUUUAAAAACUAGAGUAAAAGUUAGGGAAUUCCUCGAUUUUGCUAAUCAAAGGAAAUUCAAAACUUUGUUUUAUCCCGGGAGGACCUUUGUCUUAACCCUCUAGCAACUUUGUGUGGGGCAAAUAGUUCUAUUUGGAAAGAGUCAUUCAUGCCUUGAGGUCUACUGUUUAUUUCCAUACAAGUCUCCGGUUCUAUCGUCUCCACUCAAAUAUCCAACAACAAUUGGCCCAUGUACGUCAGCAUGAGAUACACAUGACAUGUCGUACAUCAUUGUUUGGAUAUUUCGUCAAACAAGUUGGUUUUGAGAUGGAUUAAAUUUUUAAUAGAAAGGACCAAUUUGCUAUUUAAUCUAAUGUGCUGGAACUAGUUUUAUUUUUUUAGUUGAAGGGGCAAAAUGCAAUCCGACUCCUAAUAUAAGGGCCUCCAUGAUAUUUUUACUGGAUUUACACAAGUAUUAGUAAAUUACUUUUUUUGAUAUUUUUACUGGAUUUACACAAGUAUUAGUAAAUUACUUUUUUAUCAUCGACUAUGAAAAAUUAUUCUUUCUCAAAAGAAAAUUUAUAAAAAGUUAUUUAGAAAAAAAUUAUGAAAAAUUAUAAUAUGACAUAGUUAUUUAUAAAUUUGACAUAAUAAUAAAUUUAACACUCAACAUUGAUAUAUUAUGUCAAUUUAGUCUUAAUUUUAAAAAAUGUAACCCCCAACGUUUGCACAUCUUUUGUUACACUUUUGUUUUUAUUUGUGACCUUUUUCACCUAAAAUAUUAAAAAAAGAAAAAUAAAUUUAUGUGCUAAAUUUUAUUGAAAAUAUACCAAAAAUGAAAACAUCCAAAAACUUGAUAUCUUUGGAUUAGAAACUAACAACUAAGAUAACUUGGUCUCCACCGACUCACUUUUCAUUAAUUUCAUAAUAUUCACACUUGAAUUGUUCGGCGUUGAUUUAAGUGAGUUGCUAUUGUUAUUGUCGUUGUUGUUAUUACUAUCUCCAACAAACAUAAAGUACCUCAUCAAUUGUUCAAUUAACUUACUAUUAAAAGAAAAAUGAAAGUCACCUUUGAAAUCAUCAACAUUUAGAGCUGAAGCAAUGAGCCAUGUCCAAGAGUGAAUAAGCUAAAUGACUUGGGGAGUUAGGAGUUCAAACAAAGUCAUGAAUAAACUUGCAUUAUCAGUCAUUGGAUUCAACAUCAAACAACAUAUUUCAUUAAUAAAUAGGAGUAACUAGAGUGCUUCCAUUUUAUCCUUUUAUAACAUUGUCUUUACGUUUAACUUUAUGGUAAAAUGACAUAACAACAAUAUUCAAACAACAGAGCAAACAAACAAGAAAACAAGCAAACCGAAUUUUGAAAAAUACUUUAUUAAAUUCCUCAAAAAUAAAAAGUACUCACUUUGCUAAUUCGACCCAAUUUUAAGUCCAACAACUUCAAAUUAUCUAAAGCUUUGAUUUGCUUCACCAAUGGUGGUGAACUUAAGCUAACAAAAAAUGAACGAUUGUCAUUGAGAAAUAUUAAGUUCUUAGGCGUUUGAAGUAUGAGAAAAGCAACGUAGUUGGGGAUUAUCUAGUUUAAUAAUAAAUAUAAUUUUAAAAAAAAGUAUUUUGUUUUAUUACAAAUUUACACAUUGUGAAUUGAAUUAUAUUUUUUUAGAAAAAGGUAAGAUAGACUAAGGUCAUGUGUAAUUGGAGAUGGCUAAAUUUUUUUUUAAAUUAAUACUAAAUUGACACAAUAUAUAAAUGUUAAAAACUAAAUUUAUAAUUGAGCCGAUUUUUAAAGUUGCCAUGUCAUCUUUUCAUUAUCCAUUUAAUGUCUGGUGAUCAAAAUAGAAAAAUCAAAUAGUUAUUUUGUAACUUUCCAUAGUUGGAUGAAGAAAAAAACUUAUUAAUAGUUGGGAUUAGUAAGGGUGUUCAAACGGUCAAAAUGAAUUACUCAAAAUUUUGAAACCAAACUAAAGUUGUUUGAAAUUUACUAACCAAACCGAAAUAAUUUUUGGUUAAUUCGAUCAGUUAACUGAAUAACUGGAAUUUGUACAUGUCUUUUUUAUUCUAACAAAAUUGAAACAUGACAAAAAAUUUACAAUGACAAUGUUUUUUUUAUUUGUUUUAGUGCAAAAAAUUUUAAAUGAAAGAAAAAACAACAAAUAACCCAAUGAAAAUGAUAUGGGAAAAAGAAUAAAAGGACUUCAUCUUGAAUAUUGAAAAGAAAGAUUGUUGAAUCUUAAAGUUAAAAGAAAAAAGUUGGAAGAAGAAUUGAAUGAUGAACAAAACCAAAAUGUUUACGGUUUGUUUAAUUAUUUUAGAGUUUUUUUCAAAUUUAAUUUCAUUUUAUAAUAUUUUUUUACCUAUUUUAUGAAUAUUUGUAAUAUUGGGUCUAUAAUGAAAGUCUCAUAGAUAUAUAAUGUAUAUUAUUAAUUUUGGUUAAUUAGUUAAUUUAGUUAAUUAUAAUAAGUGCUCUUAUUCGAUUCGAUAAUAAAUCCAAGUAAGAGAUGUUACAUUCCAAUUUUAUUCACUGCUAUAACCUUUGAUCACUUAAUUCCACUUUUGAUAUGAGCAUCAGGGCCCAAUCUCAAGCCCAUGGGCAUGAUGGGCUUAGUUUAUCGCAAGGCCUAAUAACCCGGUUUAAAUCAAAGCAGAGGAAAGUCAAAUUAAAUGUACUAGCCCAAAAGUUGGUGACAAAAGGCUUUCAAGAAUUAAAAUUUGAAGGUUCAAAUAGCCGAGACUUUAUGAGGCCCAAGAUUGCAGGCCCAAGUGGGGAACCUAGACGAAAAGUUUAAAUAAGCUUAUGAGAGCUUAAUAUGUGAAGAGUGCAACCCAAACACAUACCCUUUUAAGUCCGAGCUCAUUUAGAGUUAUUUUUCUCAUUUGGAAUCACUUAAUUGUAGCGCUCUCACCCGACCUGAUUCACUGAGUCCGAGUUUCGGGUAUUACUAACAGAAAUCUUAAAGAAAUUCUCAAAACCAUUGACAAAAACUCUUUACUGAAGACAUUUCUCAUUAAUUUGAUUAAAAUUUCAUAUUAAAAUAACAAAGGAAAGUAUUUCCAAUUAACAUAUUGUAACGGGCUUGCUAAAAUUUUAUUACAACUCAUAGGUUAUAAAAGACAGAAUCUAAGGGUAUAGUCUUUCUAAAAAUCAACCCUUCUUAUAUGCCCACUGCAUGCAUAGUAUCCCCACUUGCUGCUACUCUGACAUAUUCCCGGCAUUGUCUCCUUAAAUACUUUUGUAACACCUUAUACUCGGCCCAAUCGCUGAGUCUGAGUAUUAGGAUGUCACACCAACAUCACACAUCAUAUACAUUUUGAAUUGUCUCAUUACUAAACUAACAUUCUAUUAAGUUUAGCAUUUGUACGAAUAUUAAGGUAUGCAUACUCUAAUCAUGGUUAAAACAUGAUAAAUAAUCAUCAAAUAAUCCUAUAAUAAUAAUUAAACUUGUAUCGAAACCACUUAGCAAAAUUUUUAAGACAUUUAAGUAGCUAUCGAUACUGAAACUAAGGUAUCGAUAUUUUUCUCAAUUGGUAUCGAUACCUCUUGGAAAAUCGAUACCAAAAUAACAUUCUAUUUCUCGCCUAAAUUCGAAGCACAAGAAAAUAUCGGUACAUUUCAGCAAGUACCAGUUUUAUUACCCCGAGUAUCAAUACUCAUGAUAUGGUGUCGAUACCAAAUUACUAUAUUGACUUUCUGCACAUCAAAAUAUCAUGGAGGUAUUGUUUUUAAAACCUGACUAUCGAUACCUCUACGCUAGACAUAAAAAAUACUACAUGUUUAAACAUUUAGAUCAUUCUAACUUGUAUCAAUACAACAUGCAACUAUUACAUUAUCAGAAAAACAUCAAAACAUCCAUAAUAAUAGUUCAAAGCCUUGAAGAAAUGCCCGAAAAUGCAAAUGAUAUAACAAAGUUUAAAUCCUUGAAAUCUAAAGCAAUAAAUUCAUGAAAACAUCCCAAUUAUCAUGACAAAAACUAGCAAAAAAAAUCUACUACAUUGCCUUUAUUUCCCAAAACAUAAACGAAUGAGUAAACACCUAGGAAAUAAUAUCAAAGUCUUGCUUGGAUAACUCCCUCGGAACCACACCGCUCACAUUGCAACACUACUAAUUUGUAAUGGUUUAAAAAUGAGUGGGUGAGCUUUACCUUCUUAGUGAAUGCUUAGAAUAACUACCAAGCAAACAUGUCAUCAUGCAUUAGUAAACAACUAAAUAGCACAAUUACAACAGUCUCAACUUAGUGUCAUAUUAUACUUGUUCAUGCAAUAUUAGUUGGUUUUUUAACAUGGUAAUCAAGUACUCAUUUACAUAUUAUUCACAUACUUAUUUAGGCAUAUAUCACAAUACAUAGAUUUACAUUUUAAGAUAAUUUGACACUUGAGUUAUGAAAUAUAAAGUGGGCUCUAUCACCACACAUCGAAUAUAAGGAUCUCCAACACACCAAAUGACUCAUAGAGUCAAACAUAUCCCAAAAGUGAAGCAUAUACCUAGCACUCUCCAACACGUCAAUUAUAUCUCGGUGAAUGGAGCUUAGCUCACAUUCCCUUAUCUCUCCAAAUCUAUCACGGUCUUUAAUGCCCCAUAAACACAAAGUACUCACAAUCAUAUGGCAUGCCAACUAUAUCUAACAGUCUCAAAGAUCACAAGGCUAAAAUAUCCGUCAAUAAACACACAUAUUACUUACCAUUUUUUGCACUUUCCACAUUUUAAUCAUAACAUAGUCAUUGUCACAUAGCACGUAUAACAUGCCCACAAUCAAUUAUUUCACAAUAACCAUCAUAAGUUUACUACACAUAUAACAUUUUAAUCCACAAUGUCACAUUACACUCUCAAAUAUAGUCAAGAGUAUGAGGAAGCUUACACUCGAAAUUAAGAGUAGGGGUUUAGACUACUUCUAAAUUCCCAAUUAACGCAAUGAAUUGUGUCCACAAAAAGCGAUUCUAAACACUCACCAAUUAUGCUUUCACCGAGAAGCCUUAAGCUCAAACUACCCUUUCUUGACUUGUAAAUGGUCCUAGCAAAUCUGAAGCUUUGACAUAAUAAAUCACACAACAACACUAUCAACAAUCAGCAAAGGACUCACCUCAAGCAAUCAAAAACAUAAGUCUAAGCUAAGUUCUCAAGUAACUGAAACCUUCGACAUAGCAAACUUAAAUUCCAAAUAUCUCGUUAUAUACUUAAUUUUUUUCCUAAAACUGAUUCCGUUAAUCUAAUUAUUCACAUACGACAGAUUCUUAACCUUUAAACAACACAAAACUACUCAAUUCAUGGUAUCAAAAUUUUUGACAUGUUUAUGGAAAUUUUCAUGAAAUUAAUUUAAAACCCAAGAAAUAUUUAACGAAACUUCAAAUUUUAGAAACCUUCUAAUCAUCAAAACUAAUUGAAAAAUACUUUGAAACCAUAUUUUUACCCAAAAUCUCAAAAUCCACCAUUAACGACCAAAUUUUUUGCUUUUAUUUAAAACAUGUGAUUCGAUAGCUAAAAACUAAGUUUUAAAGACUAGAUAACAUUAAAAACUAACUAGUGGUUACCUUUGAUAGAAGAAAAAUGAGCUUUUGGUUGAAAACCCAAAAAACUCACAAACUUGACAAUAGAGAAAACUAUGUUGUUUUUGAGUGUUUUUCUUAGAAUUCUAUGAUGAUUUAAUGAUGUGAGGGUGAAAGAAAUAAAUUGAAUUAGGAUUUGAAGAACAAAAUCAAAUGGAAGAGGCUAGGGAGAUCAAGGGACGACACAGCAAGAUGAAAAGAAACUAUCGUGAAAAUAAAACUGUAGAUGGGGGAUAUUAGGUUGAUUUCAAAUUUUGGUUUAACUACUUCAUAAACACACAUAAUUUAACCCCUUUUACAAAUCAGUCCUUAUUUCAAAAUUAAGUAUUUUGAACAUCAUUUUCAAAAAUUGAUUUAAUUUUCAAAAUGCCAUAGACAAAAAUAUUUUCGAGCACAUGGUAACAAAAUUCUCGAGCUCAUUAAAGCUAAAAUCCCUAAAAUAUCCUUAAAACUCCUAGGACCAAUUUUAGGGUGUGACAACUUACAAGAACGCGUCAAUACUUGAACCAUAAAUAUAACACCAGUAAGUUCAGAGGAACUUAGUGAGUUAUGAACACAUAUUACCUUUCAACUUUUCUUGAUAAGUUCUUCAUUUUGAAUAUUUGGACCUUCCACAUCUGUCUUUGGUGAAUACCUUCACAGUGUCAGUUGUAUACUAUCAUACUUAUACGCCAUUUACCAUUCGUACUAUAUUCUCAUUCAUUCUACUACUUGACUGACUUCAGGUUUUGACAGUUGGAACUACCUUCUCUUUCUCUUCAAAUAACUUCCAACAAUGAAUCUCGAACAGAUAAUCAUAUAAACUAUCCUUGGCGGAUACCACUUAUUGUUCAUACUUUUAGCAGAUAUCAAAACAUCAAAAUAUCACAUAACAUGAGAAUAAGAAUAACAUACUUUUCAAAUAAUUGAUAAUCAUAACCAAACAACAUACUUUUCAUAAAAAUAGUUGAUUUAGAAUCACUUGUAUAAUUUGUUUUGACAGAUUUAGUCUCUUGUUUUUGAAUACUUAAGGUAUUCGCAUAAAACACAAAUCAAAUAAUAAUAUUUUAUUUAGGCAUUAUUAAUGAUAUAUAUAGCUUGUAUCAGGUUAGACCCACACCUGAAUUCGUAUGACUCGAUAAUAAUAAUUUCAUUUUCUGACUCUAAGAAAGGAGAUCAACCCUUGAAUCUUAGUUAAAAUAUUAAUACCAUGUCAAUAUAUUGACAUUUUUAAUAAUAUUUUCAAAUAAAUGAUUAAGUUGAAUCAUUUACUUAAUCAAUGGUUCCAAUGAAGGAUGGAGUAUAGAUCAGGGGUUUCAAAUAAACAUUUCAUGUGCGAACAAGAAAUACCCUUGUUAGAAUCUUUCAUAAAUGAGAAUAAAGAAAGAAAUAAUCUAAUCGAAUGAUUUACCAAUACUUAUGAAAGAAAAAUAAUAAAAGAAAAGGGUUUAUUACAAAUAAAAUAAUAAAAUAAUAAAAGAAAAGGGUUUAUUACAAAUAAAAGGGUUUAUUACAAAUCUAAUCGAGGGUAAGGAGGCUCAACGAUUCUUGUGGUGAUUAGAUUAAAUAGAAGGGUUCUUAACUAACAAAUAAAAUGAUAAAAGAAAAUUGAUAUAUUAGAAAAGAUUAACAAUAAAACCUUUCAAGAAAAUUGAGAUAUGAAGUUUGAAUAAUAAAAAGGUUUAUUGCAAAAGAGAGGAGGAGAAAAGAAAGAAAAUAAUGAAAAAUGAUGGUGGUUGAUGGCGCUGGUACGGUGACGGUGCGAUGAUGGUGGUGACGAUGGAGGUCUAGUGGUGGAGAUGUAGUGGUGAAAUGGUGGUGUGAUUGGCUAAGAGUGGGGGAGAUGUGGAAGAAUUAAGGAAAAAAGAUUUGUUUAGAAGGUCAAAUGGAAGAGAAAUGAAAAGAAUAGGAGAAAGGAGGUGGGGUGGCCAAAGAAUGGAUGAGAUAAUCAAAAUGAAAAAAAUAGUGAGAAUGAAACUUGUAUAGGUUCAUUGGACGACAUUCUAUGGUAAGGGAGACAAAAUGAUAAGUCGGGGGGGCAAAAGAAUGAAAAAGAGAUCAUGGGAGUGAAAAAGGGGUUUAAUGAAGGAAGGUUGACUCACACACAAGGAAAGAAAGCUCUGCUUGCAUGGUAACAAAGGUGGACGACAAGGAGGGUUUUUCCCAUGUAAAAGUUUCCAAAACAAAAACAAAUAGAGAAUAAGGAAACUUGAACCUACGACCCUUAGGAAAUUUAUUUAAGCUCCUAACUACUAAGCCAUUUAAUUCUUUGUUCACGCUCUUACAACAAUUAUUUUAAAAACAUGGUGUGACCUUUACUAAGGUUUGAAACAAAUUUGCACCAAAUAGAAAUUAAUGAGAAGGAAGGUAUUCAAACUCAGAUCAUCAAUGACAGCUCCACCACUACUUAAUCACUAUAAUUGUUACUUAUCUAUUGAUAAAUGUGCCAACAUCUAAAAAAUAUUUUGGGCAUGACCACUCUCGGUUCAUUAACCCAAUUUCUACUAACUCAGUUUUUGAGAUGUAACAGGUAUAGUAUUUCUAAACAUCAAACCUUCCUAUACGCCCACUGCAUGCUUAAUAUCCCCACUUGCUACUACUCUGACAUAAUUCUAGCAUCGUCUCCUCAAGUACUUACACUGACGCGUCAAUACCUAAAACAUAAAUAUAACACAGUAAGUUCAGAGGAACUUAAUGAGUUUUGAACAUAUCAUAACUUUUAACUUUUCUUGAUAAGUUCUUCAUUUUAAAUAUUUGGACUUUCCACAUCUGUCUUCAGUGAACACCUUCACAGUGUCAGUUGUAUACUAUCGUACUUAUAAGCCACUUUCGUACUAUAUUCUCAUUCAUUCUACUACUUGACUGACUUCAGGUCUUGACAGUUGGAACUACCUUCUCUUUCUCUUCAAAUAACUUCUAAAAAUGAAUCUCGAAUAGAGAAUCAUAUAAACUAUCCUUGGCAGAUACCACUUACUGUUCAUACUUUUGGCGGAUACUUAUACUUAUAGUGAACAUAUCUGACAAAUAACCGCUCAGAAUAAGAUAUAUUACUAUACCAAUACAAUGAAAGUCAAAUUACUUAGAAUUCCACAUUAUUAGCAUAAUUAUUCAAAUUGGUGGACUCUUUCAUCAAAUUCGCCCAUAUACUAAUCUGACAAAUAACAACGACGGAUACCCUCUUCUAACAUGUUUAAUCAUACUUCUUUUCAAGAACUUUCCUUAAGAGUUAAUCGAUUUUAUCACAAAACCUUUCACUUUAGAGCUUCAGUUAGAUCAUAUCCUUUUUAUACACUUACCAAAAUACGCCAUUAAGGCCAAACAGAGUAUGCCAAAAAUGUGACAUACAGAUUACACCACAAAGGCAUUAUACAUAGUAUGUUACAAAUCUAAUAGAAUGCCAAAAAGGCCAUAUUAUAAUGUCACAAAGGCUAACAAAAUGUGCCAUAAAGGCCAAAUUAGAGUAAGCCAUAAAUGCUAGUAGUAUGCCACCUAGGCAUCCAAUAACUACCAUGUUUCCUAAACUCACAUCACGUGAGGUUUGCCCAUCAUUGCCUUGGGACAUAAAAAACCCUAGUCGAUAAAUGUGGCUUAUUUUCCCUUUUCAGAAUGUGCCAUGGCCAUAGACUUUCUUCAAAAUUUACAUGUUAGAGUUCAUGUUUACUGUCCCGAUGGACUUCAUCGUAUGCCAUCGCAGUGACCAAACUCACAACUCAACCUCUCUACACUCAUAGACACCCCCAUUUCCCAAACAAUUUCAAUCAUAUAUUACACAUUCAAGUAGACUAAAUCAUCUUUUUAACUAAAGAAUACUUCAUUACAUACUACACACAUCAUCAUCACAAUCAUAUCUCAUAGUACACAUUCCGAACACAUACACUUAGUUGCUCCAGAAAACCAUAUUCACUCAUCCACAUGGUUCAUUAUGUUCUAGACUCACAGGGACCAAUAUCAAAGAUACAUACUUAUUAUCAAAAAUCAUUCAUUUACACACUCAUCAUUUCUGAUACAUCAAUCAAAGAACACUUGUCUACAAAAAAUUUCUUGAAUAGAUAUUACGAACUCACCUAAGACUCACCUACUACAACUAUCAACUUCAAACUCGGGCAUCCAAUUCGAACUAGCAACAAUUGCUUACAGAACCUGAAUUCAUCAUUAAACCUAUUUACAAAUAGAUUGCUAACAUUUCAAUUACAGAAAAUCUUCAUGCAGGGCUUCUCAUUCGUAAUUUACUACCCAUAUACUUCAUAGCAUCCUUAUUCUUAACAUGCAAAGUUACUAGACUUACCAGGAGAUGGAACGCCUCCGUCUCAUUCAAGAAUCCUUAGCUUCCAGAUCACAUAAGAAAAGGAACAAAAAAUAACAUUUAAUACUUAUGAAAAGAAAGAAUCAAAGAAUUACUCUAAAGGAAAUAGAAAACCCUCUCACGAACCUUUCUUAUACAUAUAUAUAAUCCACUCUCAUUUAGUGGAAUUUGACAAUUGUCCCAAAAUUUUAGAAUAUUCCCUUAAUAAUGUCCUAUGGAAUCUAAAGGAAACAUAAAUAAAAGUCUUUUUCAAAUGCCAUUUUUCUAAUCUGUUUAGUUGGUUUAUAACCAUAUUUAGUUACUGAGACUUGCCCUUCACAGUACUGGAACAAACUAGGCAUAAUAUACAUUUGGUAGUGACAUACACAAAGCUUACUUUUCCUAUAUAUUGCAUUCAUUCUUUACUAAAAAACACACCAAAGAUUGAAUCUUGAUAUACUUCCCUAAGUGAAUACUCAAUUCACCUGAAACAUUAGUUCACCAGAAGCUACCAUUUGGCGAACUAAGUUCCGGAGUGCGCUAGAAUAGAUAUAUUUUCAUCUAUGCACCUAAAAUUUGGGUUAUCCAAAUUUGGGGUGUGACAUUAAUUAUUAUUUUGGCCUUUAUUGUGUUUAACCUAAUGCUAAUGGUUUAAUUGUGUCUUUAAAGUUAUCUAAAUGUUAAUAAUGAUGUAAUUUGACCAGUUACUCAUAUCCAUUAAGCAAUGGUCGAAUUGUAGAUGCCUUUAGUUAUAAUCCUUUUAUGUGUUUUAAAAGUCUUAAGAGAUAAUAGUUGAAAUUUAAUUCAAAAUAUUUUGGAUAGAUGCCAUUUCUUAUCCAUCAAAGCUCAAACUUUUGAUGACUCUUGGCUGUCUAUGUCUCUGUAAAUAACCAUCCUCUUUCAUUUGUAAUCACUUUUUGAUCUAUUAAAUCUAUAACACUCUUUGAGAGUUUUCUUUCAAGAAUUCAGUGCUAAUUAUUUUUAGUAGAAAAUUUCAACUUCAAGUUUUUUGAAUUGUUGGUGGAAAGUUGUAACGACACGACAGUGGUGUCAGAAACUUCAGUUCCGAAUUGUCAUUUCUAUGAACUGUGUUCAUGAAUUUAAUAUUGACAAGGCUAGAAGAGAAGUAUAUUAAAUUUUGGUCUAAUAAUUUAUUUAAUUGAUAGUUAAUUAAUAUGAAAGUGUAACGAUCAUAAGGUUAGUGGUAUCGAAAAAUGUGGUUCUAGGACUCCCUUUUUGUAGACCGAGAUUGUAAAUAUUUUUAUUAAAUAUUUGUGGAGCUAUAUUAUAGGUGAAUUGAAAUUUGGAUAAGUAAUUUUAUUGAAUUAGUGAUUAAUCAAGGUAUAAGAAUUAAUUAAUAAAAGUUUAGUUAUUAGAGAUUUUUAAUUAGGAAUAAGGAGCAGGGAUUAAUAAGGCAAUUAUACCUUAUUAUUUAUAGUGGACGGUUGUGGCAUGUUUUUCCAAGAAAUUUGUUUAAAAAUUUUAAGUAAAUUAAAAUUAAAGAAAAAACAUAAAAUGACAUAUAAUCUGUAUAUGAUAGUUAGGAGGGGGAAGAAAUGAAAAAUGAUUACUUUUAAAAUGUUAAAUAUCAUGAUGGUGGGGGUGCAUGAAAGGCUAUUGGUGGACGAAUAAACCAAGGUGGAGAAAGAAAGAAAGGAUAAAAUUUUCAUUUCACCUCAAUUGGCUUUGAUUUUUAUUACUCGGGGCCGAUUCGAAUGGAGGAGCUAAGGGGAGAUUCGGCUACAUGGCAGAUGAAAUGAAGCAAUUAGGUUGUUUAUGUGAGAGUUUAAAGCUCGCUAACAAGGAGGAAGGAGGACCAAUUAGUAAUGGGAAGGCCAAGGAUUUGGUAGUUAAAUUCGGCCACGAAAAUUUUUUCUGAUUUUUCUUAAAAAUCCUUUAUUAUUUCCAUGCUUGAAAAUCUUAACAAUUUUACAAGGAUGAUUUGAUGUUAGUUACAUGGAAAAAAAAUUUCGUUGCAAAUUACAUGGUUGCUAUUGUUUUGUAUUGGUUAAACUCGUUUAUUUCAGAUUUAGUUGCUGUCCAAUUAGUGCAAAAAUUUCCUGUUGCUCAAGCAAAGUAGAUGUUGUUGCUGUUUAUUUUUAUACUUUUAAUGCUCUAUUUAAGCACCGAAAUUGAAGUGCUUAAAUGCUAUAAAUUGAAGUGUUUAACUACUGUAAAUUGAAGUGUUUAGUUGCUGAAAAUUGAGAUGUUUUAUCGCUGUAAUUGAGGUGUAUAAGUGUUAUUAAUUGGGAUUUUAAAGUGUUGUAAGUUGAGGUUUUUAAAUGUUGUAAAUUGAAGUGUUUAAGUGCUGCAAAUUGAGGUGUACAAAUGAGUUUGAAAUUAGUUAUUGCACUGCAUUUUUGUUGAUUAAAUGCUAUCCAAAAUAAGUUAUAAAAAAUCCGUUUAAUGUUAUUUUAAAACAUGCUAUGUUGUCGUUGUAAGCUGUCCAAAUAUUCGUUUAUGAUGUCCAAAUGAUCACAAAUAUAAGUCAUAUUAUUGAUGUAAAAGAAUUCGUUGUAGUGAUGCAAUUUAAGUUGCUUGAAUGUUACAAAUGUAGGUUGGCUAAAUGUGCUUUCAUGUUAAUUUAUUACUCUGUCCUGUUGUUGUUUAUGAUGGUACAAAGAAAGACAGAAUAAGAGUGUUUAUGGUUGAUUAACUACCCUACAUGGUUGUUGUCUCAUGCUGCCCAAAUUGGGACAAAAAUAGAGGUGUCAUUGCUGAUUAAGUGCUCUAUAAGUUUGUUAAUUUUGUGCUGUCCAACAUGGGAAAAAUUAAUGGUGGUGAAGUUGAGUUGAAUAUACAAUUGGUAUAUUUGCGAUGUUGUGGAUGUGGUUUGAGUUGCUAAGAAAUGAAAUGACUAUAAAUUAAAUAAAAUGGUAUGAAUUGUUGUAAGGAUGAUAGUUGGUUGAGAAGCUUGUAAUGCUUGAUAGUAUUGCUUGUAUUAUUAAAUCUGAAUGGUGUCUCUUCGUGCCAAUUAAGGCAAGGUAAUAGAAUUGGUUUUGGUAUAGAAUGUAUAGAUGAAUUGUUGAAGAAUUUGGUUAGUUCUUAUAGGUCUAUUGGACUACCUAAAGGUCACUAUUAGGGAAUGUUUUGAGUUUGAGCAUGAAAUUUGAACUUAUUGGACCAAUGAUGCACUACAUGUCCGUGUAACACCCCCAACUUGAGUCCGUUGCCGGAUUAGAGUUACGGGGCAUUACAGAUCAAAACCCAACUCAAAAAUUUUUUUAUUAUAAAUUAUACUAACUCAACCCCAAAAUUUCAUUCCAUAUAUAUACAUAUAUAUAAACACAUAACCAAUUAAAAUCAAACAUGCAUCAUAAAUCAAAUUACAUAUACUAACCAUGUCUCAAAAUUUCAACCAUAUCAUUAUCAUUUACCUAAUCAAAAUUUAUUAUCAUUCAAAUUCUUAAAACAUUUCCAAACAUAUAUGAUUAUAUAUCAAAAUCCAAGCAUAUAUCCAAACAUUUAUUUGUACACAUAUUUCAUUUCAAGUUACUAACUAUACUACAUAUUACAACAUAGGUGGUCUACCCUAUUUGGACAAUUAUUAUACAUCAAUUUGAACAACAUUUAUAUACCAAACUAGAUAGCAUUUUCACACCAAAAUUUGGACAGCAUAUAUACAAAAUUUGGACUGCAUUUCUACAUCAAAAUUUGACAGCAUAUGCAUAUAUAAUUGGACUGCAUUUGUACAUCAAAAUUUGACAGCAUAUACAUUCAUUUACUCUAUCAAUAAGCCAAACGUAAUUAAUCACCAACAUUUACAAGCAUACUUCAAUUUAUAAAUCAUCCCCUAUAUUCACUUAACUACUAAAUCCAACCAAAUCAUAUAUAUUUCAUAUAUAAUACAUAACCUAGACACUUAACUUAACAUUACUUAUCUUAAUGAAUAUAACAACUUAAUUACCGAAACACUUGAAUGAAAUCACCAUGCACAUAUAUAUACAUUACCAUAUAAAUACUAACCAUAAAAUACUAAUCCAUGAUUAAAGUAUGCUUAAACCAUAAUUCAGCCCAAAACCGAACACAAACAAGAAAAUUAAGCCAUUUUCGCAUGGCUUAAUAUUACAUAAUCUAAAUUCAAGCAUUUCAGCUACGCUAUACAUGCCAUAGGAUCGAAUUCAAAAUUUACAAAAUACUGAGAGGAGUCGAUAGUGUGAUAAUCUUCUUUGACGAUCCCCGAGCUCGUAACCAACUUACAAAAUCUAUAAAAAUGAAGAACAACAUACACACAGUAAGCUAUUUAAGCUUAGUAAGUCAUAAGCAAACAUUAUUUAUUUUAACAUUAAUAUUAAACCAACCAAAUCAAAUAUAAAUAAACAUUUAACUUUAAUAGCUUAAUGCACAAAUACUCCAAUUAUUGUAUAAUUAUCAAAAUAUAAUUUAAAAAAAUACAAUAAUAAGCCAAACUACCAAUCACUUAUAAGCACAAACAUGCUCACAUAUUGUUCAUAUAUCAAAUAACUUUGUAUCAUCAAUUGAAUAUACAACUUACCUUAAUUUCAUAGCAUGAUAUAAAUACAUACCUGAACACUAUUAUUGUUUCGAUUUCACAUUCGGUCUUCACUUAACAUUGCCCGUUGAACCGUUCAGAAUUAAAAAGGAUACACGGAUAAUUAAAAAGCUAGUACAAUGCCAACGUCCUAGAUGUGGUCUUACAUGUAAUCACAUAUCGAUGCCACUGUCCCAGACAGGGUCUUACACGAAAACACAAGUCGAUGUCGACGUCCCAGACGUGGUCUUACACGAAAACACAUAUCGGAGUCCUAUGUCAUGACAUAAGUAUCCUAUCUAUUCCUAGGGUUCGUACAGGGCUUUUAGGCGUUGAUUAUCGAUCGAAUAGAACUCGAAAGGAAAUUCCUAUCUUUAUAAUCAUUUUUGGCCAAAACAUAUAAAAAAUAAAUAAUAUAAUUUAUCACUUAUCAUUUAUAUAUUCUUGAAUUUAACAACAUUUAAAUGCUUAUCGACUUACCUCGGAUGUCGUCGAUUGCUAAAUCGGCUACUCGACCACUUUUGUCUUUCCCCGAUCCAAAUUCGAUUUCUUUAAUUCUUGAUCUAAAAAUAUUCAAAUUAAGCUUAUUUAAACACCAUUCUAUUCAAUUUACCCUAAAAGCACAUGAAUGGGAAAAUUACAAUGUUACCCCUAAAAUUUCACACUUUUUACAAUCUAAUCCUUUUUGCUCAAAACAAAAAAUACACAAAUUUUGGCUACACUCCUUAAGGGCCGAAUAUUCCUAGUGUCUAUACAAGCUCAUGCAUUUCAUUUAUUUCACAUUAUAGUCCUUCAAAAAUUUAUUUUCUCAAUUUAGCCCUAAUUACUCAAAUUCACCAAAAAUUCAAAGAUAAAACAUGCUAAGCUAACAAUUAUAUUUCAUAUUUCAUCAACUAGCAUCAUGAAACUCAAACAUUCAUCAGUGGCACAUUUCAAAAUCAUCAAAAAUUCACAAAAUUAAGACAUGGGUUUUGAAGUAUUCAAAGCAACGAUCUCAAAAACGUAACAAUUAUAAAAAAAACAAACAAAAUUCAUACCUCAAUCAAGCUUGCAAGUGCCGAAUAUAUUAAAGCUUUUAAACAAUCUUCUUUGUUCUUAGUUUCGGCCAAAAGAUGGAGAAAUAAUGCUUUAAUUUUAAUAUAUUAAACAUACACUAACAUUAAUAAUUAGUUUACUUUAUUAACCUUUAUAUGAAUAUAUAUAUAUACAUAUAUAUAAGGCUAUACUUGUACUUUGCCACCCACUAACUAUAUUUUGGCCUUAUUACAUCAUAAAUCCUCUAUUUAAUAAAGACAACAACAAACUGGUUCCUUUAGAUUUAACCCCUAAAUUUUCAUUUUACGCGAUUAAGCCAUUUUCUUUAAUCAAUCUCUCAAACGAUAAAAUUAAAACACGAAAAUUUCACACAAUUAAAUUCACACAUCAUAAACACACAAAAUAAUAUUAAAAUAUUUUUUUCUAAUUCAGAUUUGUGGUCCCGAAACUACUGUUCCAAUUAGGGUCAAAAUUAGGCUGUUACAACUCUCCCCCCUUAGGAAUUUUCGUCCCCGAAAAUCUUACCGGUGAAUAGGUUUGGAUAACGUUCUUUCAUUGUAUCUUCUGACUCCCAAGUUGCUUCUUCAACUCCAUGUUUAUGCCAAAGUACUUUGACUAACAAAAUUUUCUUAUUUCGUAAUUCUUGAACCUCAUGAGCCAAAAUGCUAAUCAGUUCUUCUUCAUAUGACAUAUCAGAGUUAAUUUCAAUCUCGGUCGGACUAAUCACAUGUGAAAGAUCGGGUCUGUAUCUACGAAGCAUCGAAACAUAUACAUUUUGAAUAUUUUCUAACUCAGAUGGCAACAAUAAUUUAUAAGCAACCGGCCGGAUACGCUUUAUAAUCUCAUACGGUCCAAUGAAUCUCAGACUUAAUUUACCUUUGUGACCAAAUCUGAGUAUUUUCUUCCACAGUGAGACUUUCAAAAACACUUUGUCCCCGAUCUAAAAUUCUAUAUCUUUUCUUUUCAAAUCCACAUAGGAUUUCUGACGAUCUGAUGUUGAUUUCAGACUGUCCCGAAUCACUUUCACUUUCUAUCCAGUCUCUUUAAUCAAAUCAACCCUGUGUAUCUUAUUUUCACUGAGCUCAGUCCAAUAUAAUGGUGUACGACAUUUACGACCGUACAAAGCCUUGUAAGGUGCCAUUUUGAUACUAGAUUGAAAGCUAUUAUUAUAAGCAAAUUCAAUCAAAGGUAAGUAUCGUUCCCACGUACCUUCAAACUCUAGAAUGCAACAUCUCAACAUAUCCUCAAGUAUCUGAAUGAUUCGCUCGGAUUGACCAUUUGUUUGCGGAUGGAAAGCUGUGCUAAAAUGUAGUUUCGUACCUAAAGCAUCUUGUAAUUUCUUCCAAAACCACGAUGUGAACCUCGGGUCUCUGUCCGAGACAAUAGAAAUAGGUACACCGUGCAAUCUCACAAUUUGUGAAACAUACAAUUCAACAAGUUUAUCAAGUGAAAAAUCAGUACGAACCAGAACAAAGUGAGCCGAUUUUGUUAAUCUAUCAACAAUAACCCAGAUUGCAUCUUUCUUGCUCGGUGACAAUGGUAAACCGGAUACAAAAUCCAUCGUGACUCGGUCCCAUUCCCACUCGGGAAUCAUAAUAGGCUGAAGUAAUCCAGACGGUACUUGAUGUUUGACUUUAACUUGCUGACAAAUUAAACAUUUCGAAACAAAGUCAGAAAUGUCUCGUUUCAUACCGUGCCACCAAUAGUGUUGUUUCAGAUCGUUAUACAUUUUCAAACUACCUGGAUGAAUAGAAAAUCGACUAUUAUGAGCUUCAUUCAAGAUCAUCUGAAUUAACUCUAAACUUUUCGAAACACAUAGUCAAUUUCUAAAUCUCAAACAAUCCUCAGCAUCAACUAAAAACUCUGAAUCAGCUUUUAAAUCACACUGGGCCCGUUUUGCAAUUAAAUCAUCAUUGGCUUUCUGAGCUUCACAAAUUAGUUGAACAAAUAAUGGUUUUGCUUUCAACUCAGCUACUAUCGCACCAUUAUCAGACAUAGCUAUAUGCAUGUUCAUUGCACGCAAAGAAAAUAGUGACUUUCGACUUAGGGCAUCAGCAACAACAUUAGCUUUUCCCGGAUGAUAGUCAAUCACAAGCUCGUAAUCUUUUAGCAAUUCUAACCAUCGGCGCUGUCUCAAAUUUAGAUAUUUCUGAGUCAUCAAAUACUUCUGGCUUUUGUGAUCGGAAUAAACAUGACAUUUUUCGCCAAACAGAUAGUGGCGCCAUAUUUUCAACACAAAUACAAUAGCGACCAAUUCCAGAUCGUGCGUUGGAUAGUUCUUUUCGUGCGACUUUAAUUGUCUCGAGGCAUAGGCUACAACUUUGCCUUCCUGCAUCAAAACACAGCCCAAACCAUUUAAAGAUGCAUCACUAAAAAUAACAAACUCUUUACCUGAUUCUGGCUAAACAAAGACUAGAGCUUCGGUCAAAAGAACUUUCAACUGAUCGAAACUUUUCUGGCACUUUUCUGACCACUCAAACUUAACGUCUUUUUGUAGUAGCUUUGUCAUCGGGGUCGCAAUCAUGGAAGACCCUUUCACGAACCGUCUAUAAUAACCUGCGAGCCCUAGAAAGCUUCGAACUUCAGAGACAUUUCUCGGAGGUUUCCAAUCAAGUAUAGCUAAAAUUUACUCAGAUCAACCCGAAUACCCGAUGCUGAUACAACAUGACCUAGAAAACUGACUUCGCGUAACCAGAACUCACAUUUACUGAAAUUUGCAUACAACUAUUUAUCUCGUAAAGUUUGUAACACAAGUCUCAAAUGUUCGGCAUGCUCAGUUUCGUCACGAGAGUAGAUCAAAAUAUCAUCUAUAACUACUACCACAAACCGGUCCAGAUACUGUCUAAAGAUCCGAUUCAUCAAAUCCAUGAAAAUAGCAGGUGCGUUAGUAAGUCCGAAAGGCAUAACCAAGAAUUCAUAAUGUUCGUACCUCAUUCGAAAAGCUGUCUUUGGCACAUCAGAGUCUUUAACUCGCAACUGAUAGUAACCUGGUCUCAAAUCUAUCUUCGAAAACACUGAAGCCCCUUUUAGCUGAUCAAGCAAAUCAUCAAUACGCGAUAACGGAUAUUUAUUCUUUAUAGUCUCCUUAUUGAGUUGCCGGUAAUCAAUACACAUUCUCAUCGUUCCGUCUUUCAUUUUCACAAAUAGAAUUGGUGCACCCCAAGGAGAGAAACUCGGUCGUGCAAAACCUUUAUCUAUCAACUCUUGCAACUGUGCUUUCAACUCUUUUAAUUCAGUCGGUGCCAUACGGUACGGAGCUAUCAAAAUUGGAGUCGUCCCUGGUACUAACUCAAUACCAAACUCUACUUCUCGUGUAGGUGGCAAACCCGACAAUUCUUCGGGAAACACAUCUGAAUACUCACACACAACUGAUAGAGAUUCAAUCUUCUUUUCGGUCACUUUACUAUCAAGAACAUAUGCAAGAUAAGCUUCACACCCUUUCUUCACAUACUUUUGAGCCAACAUCGAGGAUAUCACUGCUGGUAAACCAUUCAGAUCAUUAGAUUCAAUCCGAAUAAUCUCGUCAUUUAGGCACCUUAAAUCGAUAGUCUUUCUUUUGCAGUUAACCACAGCAUCGUGUAAAGUCAACCAGUCCAUACCCAAAAUUAUAUCGAACUCGUCAAAUGGUAACAACAUCAAAUCAGCCAGAAAACACAAAUCUCGAAUCAUCAAGGGACAAUUCUUACACAUUUUGUCGACCAAAAGACACCAGCUUAGGGGGUUUGAUACUUUAAUUACAAACUCAGUAGACUCAACAGGUAGAGUCUUACUGAAUACUAAGGUCUCACACACAUAAGAAUGAGUCGAACCAGGAUCAAUCAACGCAAUAACAUUGGUAUCAUAAAGAGUGAAAAUACCAGUAAUGACGUCUGGGGAUGAAGCCUCCUCACGUGCGCGAAUGGCAUAGUCUCUAGCAGGUGCGCGUGCCUCGGAUCUAAUAGCUGUAUCUUUAGUCCCCCUCUGACUGCCACUCAUAUUACCCGCGUUUCUGGGUGGUCUACCCCUAGUUGCAGUGUUACCCGAUCUCGUAUUCUGUACCUGAUUUUGAUCCGAUAACUCUGGGCACUCACGAAUGAAAUGAUCCUUCGAUUCACAUUUAAAACAGGCUCGAUCAUGCAAUCUGCAACUGCCAAAAUGUCGUUUACCGCAAUGUUCACACUCGGGUUGAUUUGAUCUGACAUUACCCACACUCGCUACUGAAGUAGCUCUCGAGCUCACAGGCGGUCUUUCCCGAUCCUAUCGUGAAUACCCCGCAACAGUCCUUGAACGGCUAGUAUCAUCUCGAAACUUCCUUGAGGUCGACUGAAAUGACUUACAAAAUGAUCUUUUACGGGAAUCUCUAGCUUCAAAGUCAGCUUUUCUCUUCUCUUUUCCGAGCUCCCCGGCUUUACAAGCUCGUUCAACAAGUACCACGAACUCUUUGAUCUCAAGUAUGCCAACUAACAAUUUAAUAUCUUCAUUCAGCCCAUCUUCAAAUCUUUUACACAUAAUAGCUUCAGUCGAAACACACUCUCGGGCAUACCUACUAAGUCUCACAAAUUUUCGCUCAUAUUCUGUCACUGUCAUCUGACCCUGUUUCAAUUUAAGAAAUUCCUUGCGUUUCUGAUCAAUGAAUCUCUCGCUGAUGUAUUUCUUACGGAACUCAGUCUGAAAAAAUUCCCAGGUCACUCACUCUUUCGAAACCACCUAUACUAGCGUAUUCCACCAGUGAUAUGCAGUGUCCCGUAGCAAAGAUAUGGCACAUUUCAAGCACUCAUCAGGGGUGCAAGAUAACUCAUCAAACACUCGAAUAGUAUUAUCGAGCCAGAAUUUAUCUUGCUCAGCAUCAUCAUCAUCAGUGGCUCUGAACUCUUCGGCCCCAUGUUUUCGAAUUUUAUCAACAAGAGGCUUAAGUAAUCUCAUCGGAUCACUCACUUGAGGUAUAAUAGGAACAGAAGAUGGAUUAAUCAGGGGUAGAGGUUGUUGUGCAGCCGAAUUAGUCCGGAUAUAUUGAGUAAACCAGUCGUUCAUCAUUUGGUAGAAGCCUUGUUUAGCCUCUCCCUCCUGGUUACUCCAGGUCGGUCUAGAAUCUACCGGCUCUGUCCCUUACACGAGAGCAGGCGCUAUACUCUCAACAUCAUCAGCUACGGCUCGAUCGGGAUCCAUUACUAUACCAAAACACAUUUUUAGAUGUCAGAAGUCAUCACACCAUCUCAGUAUAAAAAUAUGGCAUGUAUAGCUAGACUCAUACAUACUACGUUAGUCCUAGAAUCGACUAAACCGUAGCUCUGAUACCAAUCAAAUGUAACACCCCAACUCGAGUUCGUCGCCGGAUUAAAGUUACGAGGCAUUACAGAUCAAAACCCAACUCAAAGUUAUUUUUUUUAUAAAUUAUACUAACUCAACCACGAAAUUUCAUUCCAUAUAUAUACAUAUAUAUAUAAACACAUAACCAAUUAAAAUCAAACAUGCAUCAUAUAUCAAAUUACAUAUACUAACCAUGUCUCAAAAUUUCAACCAUAUCAUUAUCAUUUACCUAAUCAAAAUUUAUUAUCAUUCAAAUUCUUAAAACAUUUCCAAACAUAUAUGAUUAUAUAUCAAAAUCCAAGCAUAUAUCCAAACAUUUAUUUGUACACAUAUAUCAUUUCAAGUUACUAACUAUACUACAUGUUACAACAUAGGUGGUCUACCCUAUUUGGACAAUUAUUAUACAUCAAUUUGAACAGCAUUUAUAUACCAAACUAGAUAGCAUUUGCACACCAAAAUUUAGACAGCAUAUAUACAAAAUUUGGACUGCAUUUAUACAUCAAAAUUUGACAGCAUAUGCAUAUAUAAUUGGACUGCAUUUAUACAUCAAAAUUUGACAGCAUAUACAUAAAUAAUUGGACUGCAUUUGUACAUCAAAAUUUGACAGCAUAUACAUACAUAAUUGGACUGCAUUUGUACAUCAAAAUUUGACAGCAUAUACAUAUAUAAUUGGACUGCAUUUAUACAUCAAAAUUUGAUAGCAUAUACAUAUAUAAUUGGACUGCAUUUGUACAUCAAAAUUUGACAUCAUAUACAUUCAUUUACUCUAUCAAUAAGCCAAACGUAAUUAAUCACCAACAUUUACAAGCAUACUUCAAUUUAUAACUCAUCCCCUAUAUUCACUUAACUACUAAAUCCAACCAAAUCAUAUAUAUUUCAUAUAUAAUACAUAACCUAGACACUUAACUUAACAUUACUUAUCUUAAUGAAUAUAACAACUUAAUUACCGAAACACUUGAAUGAAAUCACCAUGCACAUAUAUAUACAUUACCAUAUAAAUACUAACCAUAAAAUACUAAUCCAUGAUUAAAGUAUGCUUAAACCAUAAUUCAGCCCAAAACCGAACACAAACAAGAAAAUUAAGCCAUUUUCGCAUGGCUUAAUAUUACAAAAUCUAAAUUCAAGCAUUUCAGCUACGCUAUACAUGCCAUAGGAUCGAAUUCAAAAUUUACAAAAUACCGAGAGGAGUCGAUAGUGUGAUAAUCUUUUCUGACGAUCCCCGAGCUCGUAACUAACUUCCAAAAUUUAUAAAAAUGAAGAACAACAUACACACAGUAAGCUAUUUAAGCUUAGUAAGUCAUAAGCAAACAUUAUUUAUUUUAACAUUAAUAUUAAACCAACCAAAUCAAAUAUAAAUAAACAUUUAACUUUAAUAGCUUAAUGCACAAAUACUCCAAUUAUUGUAUAAUUAUCAAAAUAUAAUUUAAAAACUACAAUAAUAAGCCAAACUACCAAUCACUUAUAAGCACAAACAUGCUCACAUAUUGUUCAUAUAUCAAAUAACUUUGUAUCAUCAAUUGAAUAUACAACUUACCUUAAUUUCAUAGCAUGAUAUAAAUACAUACCUGAACACUAUUAUUGUUUCGAUUUCACAUUCGGUCUUCACUUAACAUUGCCCGUUGAACCGUUCGGAAUUAAAAAGGAUACACGGAUAAUUAAAAAGCUAGUACAAUGCCAACGUCCUAGAUGUGGUCUUACAUGUAAUCACAUAUCGAUGCCACUGUCCCAGACAGGGUCUUACACGAAAACACAAGUCGAUGUCGACGUCCCAGAAGUGGUCUUACACGAAAACACAUAUCGGAGUCCUAUGUCAUGACAUAAGUAUCCUAUCUAUUCCUAGGGUUCGUACAGGGCUUUAGGCGUUGAUUAUCGAUCGAAUCGAACUCGAAAAAAAAUUCCUAUCUUAAUAAUCAUUUUCGACCAAAACAUAUAACAAAUAAAUAAUUUAAUUUAUCACUUAUCAUUUAUAUAUUCUUGAAUUUAACAACAUUUAAAUGCUUAUCGACUUACCUGUGAUGUCGUCGACUGCUAAAUCGGCUACUCGACCACUUUUGUCUUUCCCCGAUCCAAAUUCAAUUUCUUUAAUUCUUGAUCUAAAAAUAUUCAAAUUAAGCUUAUUUAAACACCAUUCUAUUCAAUUUACCCUAAAAACACAUGAAUGGGCAAAUUACAAUUUUGCCCCUAAAAUUUCACACUUUUUACAAUUUAAUCCUUUUUGCUCAAAACACAAAAUACACAAAUUUUGACUACACUCUUUAAGGGCCGAAUAUUCCUAGUGUCUAUACAAGCUCAUGCAUUUCAUUUAUUUCACAUUAUAGUCCUUCAAAAUUUUAUUUUCUCAAUUUAGCCCUAAUUACUCAAAUUCACCAAAAAUUCAAAGACAAAACAUGUUAAUCUAACAAUUAUAUUUCAUAUUUCAUCAACUAAAAUCAUGAAACUCAAACAGUCAUCAAUGGCACAUUUCAAAAUCAUCAACAAUUUACAAAAUUAAGACAUGGGUUUUGAAGUAUUUAAAGCAACGAUCUCAAAAACGUAAAAAUUAUAAAAAAACAAAAUUCAUACCUCAAUCAAGCUUGCAAGUGCCGAAUAUAUUAAAGCUUUUAAACAAUAUUCUUUGUUCUUAGUUUCGGCCAAAAGAUGGAGAAAUAAUGCUUUAAUUUUAAUAUAUUAAACAUACACUAACAUUAAUAAUUAGUUUACUUUAUUAACCUUUAUAUAUAUACAUAUAUAUAUAUAUAAGGCUAUACUUGUACUUUUCCACCCACUAACUAUAUUUUGGCCUUAUUACAUCAUAAAUCCUCUAUUUAAUAAAGACAACAACAAAUUGGUUCCUUUAGAUUUAACCCCUAAAUUUUCAUUUUACGCGAUUAAGCCAUUUUCUUUAAUCAAUCUCUCAAACGACAAAAUUAAAACACGAAAAUUUUACACAAUUAAAUUCACACAUCAUAAACACACAAAAUAAUAUUAAAAUAUUUUUUUAAUUCAGAUUUGUGGUCCCGAAACCACUGUUCCGAUUAGGGUCAAAAUUGGGCUGUUACAGUCGGUGUGACUCUUGUUUUGAACAAUUGCUUUAUUAUCUUGAAAAUGUUACAAUUUAAUCCUUGUUUAUUCUCGAAACAUCCGUAAGCUAGAUUUUAAACCUGUUUUUGUUUGUAAAGCAUGAUUUAUGUCAAUGCAAAUGAUUAUUCAAUGAUUAAUUGAAUUUUGGAGUUUACAGGUCACAAAUUUGGAGAUGAUUAUGUGACAACUAGUUGGUAUGACUAUAAAUGCAAAUACUGAAGGAUUAUGUUCUUAUAAUAUAAUUUAACUUAUUAAGCUGCUUACAAACCUUUUUUAUUUUAUUUUAUUUAUGUCUUUUUAUAGUCUACUUCAUGUUAUAAUAUUAGUUAUAGAAAUGCCACUGAGUUGAUUACUUAGUGUUUAAUUUGAUUUCCAUAUGCAAGUUGGGUUCAAUCGUGUGUACUCAUGGUUAUUAGCAUCCAACAAAAAAUCUCACACUCAUAGAAUGGGUGAAAUUUUUUGUUAGUCUGGUCAGUAUGUACUUAUAGGGUUUUAUGUGAUAUUAAGCUUAGUUGGCAAAAUAUUUCAUACUUUGAAAUAUUCUAUAAAUUGACAUACAUAAUAGUUGUUAAUGGUAUGUACUAUGUAUAUGUUUUAGUGUUGAUGUUGCUAUGUGAGUUCUUAGAUGAGGUUAUAAUGUUUUUAAUUUGAAUCAAUAUAUAUUUAAUAAGGAUGCAUGAAAUGAAAUGAAUAAAGAAGUUAAUAGUUGAGAUAUUGGUAUAUUAAACAGGACAUGGCUUUGGGUCUAAAUGUAUGAUUUGAAUUCAUUCUAGAACGAUUGAUGUUAGUUGCUCCGACAACAAAUGUGAUAUCUCAUUUCUCAGACCCAACGAUUGGGUCAGGUAAUGGGGUGUUACAAAAGUUCUUCAACUUUUGGGUUUUCAAGUUUAUACUUGGAAGGUUAAUUUUCAUUCUUUACCAUUAGUUUUUUUAUUGAAAUGUAGUUCUUUAGGGGGACAAUCUUCCAUCAUACUCCUUUUCCAAUUCUAUUUCGUUCUUUUAUAUUGUGUUACUAAUUUCACAUUGUAAUCUUUGUUUCAUUUCUUUAUGUUAGCCUUGGGUUCCAUUAGAUUCAAACAACCAUUUAAAGUCAAAGUUGUGUUUAUCUUUCCAUUUUUAUUUAAAAUCGCCUACAUCUUGUCUCAUUAUUUCUUUAAAACAUUUUCAUUUUAUCUUAUUUAUCCUUUGUUUAAUCUUAUAAUUUGUUUCCUUUCAUAUUAGCACCAAGAGCUUGAAAUAACAAAUCCUUGUUCUUGGGCACCUACGAACCUUAUCCGUACUACUCAACCUUAUCCUUUCCCAUUCUUGUCUUUCAUCUUUGCUUUAAUUAUUUUGUAACACCCCACAUCCAACCCGAACAGCAGAUUCAAAUGUAAGAUGUCACAUCUAUUGCCGAGACAAUUCAAACUACUUCAUUAUGUCGUGCUAAGUAAUUGAGUUUAAAACAUUUUUAAUAAAAUCAUGGUAAAUGAACAGAUUUGAUUUUAUGACUUUAAAUUCAUACUGAAAUCAUUUAAAAUUGGUUCUUAUAGGUUCAAAGUUGUCUAGGAUAAAAAAUGGGCCUCGAAAGGUUAAAAGGUUCAAAAUAGUACAGUGACCUUGUACAAGACACUAUGGUAUCAAUACAAGUUCCCAAUUGCAUUGAUUCAAGUCUCUAGUUCUAUAGCUUUUUGCAUUUUGACCUACUUGUUGCGAUACAAGAAGGCCUAACUACUAAUACAACUAUCCCAUGACUCUAAUAUUACCUUAAAACUCACUAGUUUUGACGCCCACACACUCCAAUAUCAAUACCUUAACUUAUAGGGCUCAAGAAUCUAGUUUAAAACAUCAUAUACAAUUAUCAAAACACCUCUAAACAUAGUAGCAUAAUCAUACUUCAAGAAUAACCAUUUACAAUUUCUCUAAUCAUUAUAUAAGACUCACACAAUCUCCUAGAUUUAGGUUCAUGUCAUUUACUUAUCAAUUUCAAAUUAAACAUUACAAGGGAUUUAUUGAGCUGAGAUAUGCCUUUGGUUGCCAACAAACCUCAAAGAAAUUCAAACUCACUUGGUACUUACGCAUGCAAAACAAACAUAUCUGCAUACUGAGCAUUAAAAUCUUAAUGGUACUAACACAAUUUGAUUUCAAUACACAAAAGUAUCAAGUAAAGAAGUAUAUUAUAUUAACAUUAUAUUAUGUCACUAAACCAAGUACGAAAUUGUUCAACAAUGAUCAUAUAUUUGCAUAUCAUUAUAUCAAUUCACCCUCAGGGUAUUUAACUUGCAUAAUCAAUGGUCUUUCAUGUAUCAUUUCUCAUUGUCAUUAUGUAAUCUGUAAUCACAGGUCAUUAUACUAAUGUACCAUUUCAUCAAACACGUAUCCAAUUUCUGAUGCACCUUUAGGGUAUUUUCAUCAACAUAUUCUUAUGAUCAUUCGCAUAUCAUUUUUCCUAGUUUUCGUUAUAUAUACACAUAACAGAUUGAAAAAUAGGAAUUCACCUUUAGGGUAUUCAAAAUAAUGUUACCUCUAUAUAUACACCUAACACAAUGUCACAUAUAUCUUAUUAAUCAAGUUUCAUUUAUGUAUAUCAACCCUUUUUAACUAUAUGCAAAGUCAAGUACAAAUACUUGAAUUAAUCCAUCAAUAUAUGUUCACGAUCCUCUAAAAAUUAAAGCUAAUGAUAUGUAGAAUUCAUAUAUCAAUAUAUGCUCACCACCCUUUUAAGAAUUGGAGCUAAUGAUAUGUACUCAACCUAUCCAGAAUUAGAGUAUUGCUCUUGACCCCUUUGGAAAUUGGAGCCAAUGUUUUGUACUCGACCCCUCUAGGAAUUAGAGUAUCAUUCUCUACCCCUUCGAGAAUUGGGGAACUCAGCUCCCAUCCUCUGGGAAUUAGAAAUUAAAUAAAAUGCGCUUAGCACUAAAAUGUUCUCAAACAAAUCGAAUCCUAAAAUAUACAAACUAUACUCGUAUCUCUAUUCGACAUCGUUAAUAUGACUUUCCUAAUGUCAUUUAACCUUAUAACAUAAUUCAAUAUGGUUCACUUCAUAAUAUCAAAUAUAACUCAUCCAAGAUCAUAAUGAAACCUUUAUACACUUACUAACAACUUACGUUACAUGUUCAAAUCAACAAAGCAAUAGCACACAUUCUUGUCAACAAUCACCACUAAUGCAAUAUAUAUACAUUCAAUUAUAUAUAUGUUUGAUUAGUUGUAACUUUAUGUAAAUAAUACAAAUUAUAUUAGCACGAGUUGAAUAUGUUACUCAUGUUUUACCAACAAUUUUAUUUAAUUACUAUUUGAUUAAAUAUGCUUAACUAUUGAAUAUUAUUUAUAGAGUUAAACUUAACUUUUAAUUGGUAUAUAUGAUAAUUAAUAGAUAAAAUAUUUUAUCUAUUUCGUGCUUAAAAUUUUAUUCAAAUUAAAACUCAAAUUUAAAUAAUUUUUUUAAAUUGAUCUACCAUACUUAAAUUAUAAAUUUAUUUAUUAAAUCUAGAUUAUUAAAUUAUAAGUUGAGCUUUACGUAGACAUUUUUAAAUACUUAAAUUAUAAAUUUAACUAUUAAAUAUUAAAUAUUAAAUUAUAAGUUGAGCUUUACGUCAACAUCUUUUUAAUAUUUAAAUUAUAAAUUAACUAUUAAACCUAAAAUAUUAAAUUUUAAGUUGAGCUUUAUAUUAAUAUUCUUUUAGCUAACUAUUAAUUAUAAAUUAAGUUAUAAUUAAAUAUUAUUAUUUAAUCAAUGGUAAUGAUAAAUACAAUGAUUAUAAAUUAUAAAUGAAUUUUUUUAAGAUUUUAAGAUGUCAAUUUAGUAAUAUGAUGAAAAAAUAAAGAUAUUUUUAUUGAUUCAAAAUUUUUUUCAAACUCGUGCUUUUAUUUUGGAUAGUUUUAAAUGAAAGACAAACAUGGUAAGUUGAAUAUCUCAUUUUAAUUUUUUUUUCAAAAUUUUUAAUAAAAUAAAAUCAACGUAAUAUUGUGAUAAUGAGCUACCUACCUACUUAUUGUUGGCGAUCGACUCGAUUAAGCAACGAACAAAUAAAAAUAGCGGAAGAAAUUGAGAAAGUAAAUACACAAAUUUAAUGUGAAAAAACCCCUCCAAAGAGGAUAAAAUGUAACAUCCCAAAAACCGGGUUUGAAGAAAUUGAGUUUUGAACCCCAAAGUGGUUACGUUCUGAGUUUGAGUUUGGAUUUUGAAAUUUUGACAAGAGAAUUUGAUUUGGUUUAGUGGUUAAAUGUUCUGGUUAUGUAUGUGACAUUUUGGGUUCGAAUCCCAUCUUUUGAAAUUUUGCUAUUUUGACUAAACUCUAUCUUUGGACAUAUGGGUUAUAGGUUAAUUUCGAUCAAAUGAUGACAAGAAUGAGUUUGCUGGUUUAAUGGUUAAGCUUUUGUAUACCCUUUGGUCUUGUGUUCGGAUCUCCGCGAAAGUAAUAUGAAUUUUUUUUUUUAUUUUGCUGCCUCGUGAGGUAAUUUUGGUAGGUUUUAAAUUAAUCUAAGUCUCUCAACUUCUUUUUUUCCUACUAUAUUUUUUUUGUUCUUUUUUUUCUUAACUAUUGUUCUUUUCUCUUCUCUUUUAUUUGUCAAGUUCUUCCACCGAUGAUUUUCUGUUGAAUCGUUAUGGCAUCGGUUCUUGUAACUUCCUUACACUGUUCAUCUAUAAUCAGUCGUGUAAGUAUUCUUUGUCAAGUUCUAGCGUGAGUUUGUUGUUGGAUGGAGUUGCGAUUUAUUUUCUGUGAGGAAAAUGUUGACUUGCGUAACUCUUUGUUAGGCGAAGGUCUCAAGUUUAACGUUCUCUCGAUGACUUAAGGUAUUCAAAAUUGUAGUUCGACUAUUGGUGUUGGGAUCACUUUGGCUGCUUCUACAUUGAAUUUGUAUCAGGUGGGUAACCUAAAACCCAAAUUUAUGCAAUUUGUGAAUGCCAGAAAUCAUGGUCUUCGACACCACACGACCGUGUGUUAGGCCGUGUGGUAGGCUGUGUGUGUCACAUGGCCAACACGGCCAAGGACACGGGCGUGUGUCCAAGCCGUGUGUAAGAAUUUAGGGAUUAAGUCACAUGGGUGUAUAGUAGGUCAUGUGAUAGACCGUGUAACUCACUAUUUUAGGUCACAUGACCAUGUGAUAGGUCGAGUGUCAGGCUGUAUGUGACAAUAAAGGGGUUACACGGACGUGUGCUAGGUUGUGUGGACCACACGGGCCAGCUACCCAGGCCGUGUGGAUCCUCAUGAGCGUUUAGGUCAAGAUUCUAAAAUUUUCCUUAGGGCCGUGAUCGUCGUUCGGAUCGAACGUAGGCCUUCUAGAGGGUCCGUAUGAUCUGUAUUAAGCUACAAACCUCAGUAUUUAUUGAUCUAUUAGUGUAUAAUCUACUAUAUAUAUGUGUGUCCACUCUGAUAUAAGUUAAGUAAUGAUGACUUUCUAAUGUAUAAUGUGCCUCUGUUUAGAUGUGUUAAGGUAUGUGCCUUAUCUAAGUAUGUUUCGUAUUCUACUAAGUUUGUUGGUGUACCUUAGCGUCGCUCUGUUGCUUAAGAAUAUGUGAUAUCUGAAUAUGUUAAAUUAAUUGGCACUAAUUCUGAUGCUGAUUUGUAACCAUGCAUGUGACUUUAUGGAAAAUCUGAUAUGAUCUGUUAAAGUUUAAUAAAUUUAUUUUACAAAUCAUGGACUUCCAUGCCUAUUGAUUCUGUUGUUGUACAAUAGCAUGACCUACAUGUUUAUCACUCUUUUUUUGUGUGUACAUGCCAUGAUACAUUGCAUAGGAUUUGGGAUGAUGUUAAAGAAGUAAGAUUCUGUACUGGCAGUUUAAUGAUCUACGUAUUUAGUGGCUUGACCAUAUAUAUUCGAUUUGGUAGUUUAAAUGCAUAUUGAUAAGCCAUUGUUGUCAGGCAACCUGGGGUGAUGGGUCAUCAUUGCUGGGUAACCCGAGAUGACUUUAAUGGUGUGUUUUGAGUGGUUGAUUUCAUAGUGGAACUCUAAUUUAGUGUAUAGUGGAGUUGGGUAGGACGUUUUUUAAAAAAUCUACAUUAUUUUUUUUUGCAAAUACUGCAUUGGCAUAGACUCACAUCCUCGUUUUUGUUCUGUUAUGUUCGUAUCUAUUCUGUUAUGUUCUUUUUGUUCUGUUGGACUAUCAUUUUUAUAAUAUCAUUGAUAUUCUGAUCUGUAUCGUUCUAGGUAUAUGAUUUGUUUCAUUCUGGUUAUAUGAUCACUAUUAAGUUCUCUGCGUUACUUCGAAUUAUAUGUUGUGUUUUAUUGAUUUGUAUUUGGGGUUGGUUUUACAUUGUGCUUUGUAGCUGACCCUUUUUGUUUUAUUCUUGUUUGUUUAGGUAAAUGUCUGAUUUAGGAUCGGACGGUGUGUGGAGCUCAGAUUAUUUUUACCCUAAUGUAAAUAUGUUUUAAUCUUUUUUGGUUUGUAAUUUGUUUCUUAACUCGCCUUGCUUUUUGCUAAUCUAGUUAGUAACUGAUAAUUUCUAUCGCGAAACUAUAAAAUCACUUAAGUCAAGUAAAAUGGAUUUCGAUUUUCAAAGUUAAGACCCUAAAAAUAUUUUCGUUACACAUCAAGUGAUAGUUUGAGUGUUUUCUAAAAUAUUGCCGAAACUAGAUUUUAGUGUGUUCCUGUAACCCCUCCAAAUUUGGUCUAAACUUUCAGGCCGGGUUUGGGGUGUUACAUUUUAUGGUAUCAAAGCCAAAUUUACAAAACUCGACUGUGGUUUUCGAGUUUAGAACUCUUUUCAAAAAAUGUUUUAAGUAAUUGAAACUUUUGACUGACUUUGUUUAAGGUUUUUUAAAAGUAUGUGUUCAGAUUUUGAUUAUUUUUGAGUCUAUAAAUAGAAAAUCCAAGACUCUGAUGUCGAUCCUGUAACUAUCUCUACCUUAGCUAAAACUGUGGAAAUUCUGUAAAAAUCUCUAUUAAAGCUUCAGACUUAGUAUUGUUAAUAAACCUAAGCUAUCUCAUAAAAUUCUGAAACUAUAGACUAGUAUAAUGCAUACACAUAGCCUUGUUGUGUGAGGGUGUGUUAGAUAUAGCUGAGCGACUCAAGUUGAGUCCUUUACUCGGGGUAAGGAGCCCAAUUUGACAAUUUAUGAAUCUGGUAGGACGCGGGAGUCUGAGGGAGGUAAUUAGGGACCUACGGUGCCUCGGGUUGUGUUUAGUGACUUGCAAAGGUCGAUGAGACUCAAAUUGAGUCUAUGGGUCGAGAGUCUGUGAUUGAGCGACUCCAAGAUAAGAGAGUGCGUGCUAUUGAUUUGAACUUGUGACUAAAGAAUCAAUAGCAAUUUUUGUGAUGUGUUUUUGUGAUAAUUUACGUUGAUGUAUAGAGAGUUGUUAGAAAUAGCAUUUGGUUUUGUAUUGAAUCUAAGCUGUGCAGUGUCAGCAUGGUGGUUUGUUUGGAUAAGUACAUUGCAAAUUUUUUGGUUUAAGGACUGAUGAGACUAUAGGAAUUUUGGCGAUGAAAUUCUUUUAAGGGGGAGAGAGUUGUAACAUCCCAAAAACCAAGUUAGAAGAAAUUGAGUUUUGAAAUCUAGAGUAGUUACGUUCUGAGUUUGAGUUAGGAUUUUGAAAUUUUGACAAGUUAAUUUAAUUUGAUUCAGUGGUUAAAUGUUCUGGUUAUGUAUGCAAGGUUUUGGGUUCGAAUAUCAACUCUUGAAAUUUUACUAUUCAGACUAAACCCUAUCUUUGGACAUAUGGGUUAUAAGUUAUUUUUGAUCAAAUGAUGACAAGAAUGAGCAUGCUGGUUCAAUGGUUAAGCUUCUGUAUACCCUCUGAUCUUGUGUUUGGAUCACCGCAAAUGCAAUAUGAAAAUGUUUUUAUUUUUCUGCCUCAUGCGAUAGUUUUGGUUGGUUUCAAUUAACCAAAGUCUCUCAACUUAUUUUUUCCUACUACAUUCUUUCUAUUCUUUUUGUUCUUGACUAUCAUUUUUUUUGCUUCUAUUUUAUUUGUCAAGUCCUUCCACCGACUAUAACAGGCUAUUUUUAGUGAAAUUGAAACAGUGGUUUUGAGACCAAAAAUCUGAAGUAAAAAUAUUUAUUUUAUUAUUAUUUUAGUAUCUACGGUAUGCUAGUAGUGUCGUAUAAAAAUUUCGUUAAGAAAUUUUAUCGUUUGCAUGCUUAAUUAAGUAAAAAGGACUAAAUCGUAAAAGGUACAAAAGUAGAGUUCUAAUACUUAAAAGUAUCUAUUAGCUAUGAAAUUAAAUUUUUAGGGGAUUUAUGUGGUAAUUAGACCAUUGUUAUUAUGAGUGGACAUUUAUAGACAUGAAUUAGGUGAUUUUAAAGUUGAAAUGCAAGGUUAUUUAUGUAAAUUAAUAAAUAAGUUAAGUAAAAAUAUCAUAAACAAAAGCUAUCAUCUUUUUUUUUAUUCCUCCACCAAAAAUAAGCUAGGAAAAUACCAUUAAAGAAGUUUGAAGGUUCGGCUAUGUCUUAUGGUUGCAUGUAAGUGAUUAUUGAUCUCGCUUUUAAUGAUUUUUAUGUUUUUGGGAUCAUUGUAACUUAAUCUAGCUAGACCAGGGACUAAUUUGAAAAGUUGUUAAAGGAUUAGGGUUAUUCCAUGAAUGUGUUUGUGUGAUUCUUGAAAAUUUAUGGAAGAAAAUUAAUCCUUGUUGUUAAAUAAACACUUUUGUACAGUAAUUUUUGAUGAAAUUAUCAUUUAGGGACUUAUGUGUAAAAGUAGUAAAACAUCAUGAAGAAAUUGUGAAUUGAUGAGUGGUUUGGGUUGAUAUGAGUCCCUAUGUAAAUCGGCAAGCAUGAUAUAAUGAUGAAAUUGCAUAAAUGUUAAUUUAUGAGCUUAAGGAUUAAAUUGUAGAAAAAGUUAAAAUAAUAGAGGCGAAAAGGUAAUUUUGCAAAAGUAUGAAUUUUGGAUUGAAUUUAAUAGAAUGAAUAUUAUAUGUAUUGAAUUUUCUUAUUUAGAUCAAGUUAAGCCUCAUAUAGGUCUAGAUCGAGGGAAAGAUAAAGUCGUAGAUUAGUGAUCCUAUUUCGUCAUCUUUGCAUUCGAGGUAAGUUCGUGUGUUAAAAUAGUGUUUUAAUGUUAUUUGAUUUAAAUGUUAUUAUGCUAUUCAUCAUGAUGGAAAUCCAACAAUGUUACGAUGACUAUCGAGUCCCAUUUGAACCUUAGGAAUAUAUAGAAUACAAAUGAUAUGUCAUUAGGGUUACCAUGUUUCGGGUGUUAGUCUUGAAUGUCCUAUCGAUGGCUGAGUUUCAGCAUUUGUUACAGAUACCCGUCAGUUUGUGUGAGCAGCAUCGUGUAGCUAUAUUUUGACUGUCAGCUUGUGUGAGUAGACCCAUUUAUGGCUCGAACGAGCACCGAUGUAAAGAAAAAGGAAAGGAAAUGGUUUCGACCAUGUGUUAGCACACUUUGUGUGAGUUUCCCGUGUAUCCGAUAUUAUUCUAAGUGGUUCAACAGGCAUGAAAAGGGAAAGAAUGAUAAAUGUUCCAAUGGCUAAGUUAAGAACUUAUGAAAAGGUAUGAAUUAUUGAUAAUUAAAGCAUCUAUAACUAUGUUUAUGAAAACUAUGAAUUUAAGUAUGCUAUGUUCAUAAAACUUAUCUUACCAUGAGAUGAUUUUUCUAAGUUAUGUGUUUAAUCGCUAACUUGUGUUGUUGAUGAUGCUUAGAUUUGUGCUAAGCUAUGUUGGAUUGAUUCAUGUCUAUUUUUAAGAUUAUGCAUUGAAAUGGUAAGCUUUGUUCAUGAUUUACGAACUUACUAAGCAUUAUAUGCUUACAAUGUUGUUCUUUUCUAUGUUUUAUAAAUUAUCAGAAGCUCGAUCAGUUUGGUAGCUCAUCAAAGACCUAUUUACACAAUCCAGAGUUUAUAUUGGUAGAUUUUGAUGUUUUGGUCAUGGUUAUAAUGGCAUGUAUAGGUGAAUUGUAUUUGAUGAACUAGUUGUUAUGUUUGGCUUGUAAAUAUGGUAAUUUGGUUGGUAUGCUUUUGUCACUUUGAUGCUAUAAUGGUUCAUGUUUAUAUGGUCAAAUUGAUGCAUGGUUUUAUGAACAAAGUGAUAGGUGUUGGCAUGUUUGUAGUGUGGUCAAUUGUGGUCAGUUUUGGUAUGAAAAUAGGUUAGAUAUGAAUGCUAGAUGAAUGGUCAAUUUAACAUAUUUUUGGAUAGAUUUGAUAAAUUGUGAUUGAGGUGCCUUAAUGACAUAUAGGUUGUAUGGAUUUAUGGUCUUAUUAUGCAUGUUUUGACAUGUUUCGGUACCUUGUUCAUAGAAGCAUUUGGCUUGUAGGUACUUGUUGGAAAUGGGUGAAAGGAAUGGCUAGAUUUUGGCCUAUUUCUUGUCCACACAGCCCUUCGACACAGUCAUGUGUCCGCUGUAGGUUUCAAAGGGUUGUAAGUCAGACAGUUAUACGGCCUAGCACACGAACGUGUGAGAACAUUUUGAGAGUUAAACGGCCUGGCACACGGGGUGUGGCUUGGCCAUGUGACCCAAGCCAGAGAGUUACACGGGCUGGGACAUGGCCGUGUGUCCCUAUUUCGAUUGUUACACGGCCUGAGACACGGGCAUGUGUCUCAGCCGUGUGAGGCAUAUGGCUUGGCCACACGGCUGUGUGACCCCUGCGGUGUAAAUUUUUCCAACUUUUUCCUUAAUGUUUCAUAUGUUCCCAGUUUAGUCCUGAAUUGUUUCUAAAGUAUUUCUAAGGCCUCGGGGGCUCGAAUAAGGGAUGAUAUGCAUGUGUUUGAAUGAAUUAGGCUAUGAUUUAUCUAAUGUUUGGAAAUGAAUGUUUUAAGUUAUGUUUUACAGUAAUGCGCCGUAACUCUAUUCUGACAACGGAUACGGGUUAGGGGUGUUACAUAGACGAUUUUCUAUUGAAUCAUUGUGGCAUAGGUUCUUCUAACUUCCUUGCGCUAUUCAUCUGUAAUCAGUCGUGUAAGUAUUCUCUGUCAAGUUCUUGCGUGAGUUUGUUGUUGGACGGGGUUGUAAUUCAUUUUAUGUGAUGAAAAUGUUGACUUGCGUAACUCUUUGUUAGGCGAAGGUCUCGAGUUUAACGUUCUCUCGACAGCUUAAGGUCUGCAAAAUUGCAGUUCCAUUAUUGGUUUCGAGAUCACUCUGUCUACUUUUACAUCAAAUCUGUACCAGGUAGGUAACCGAAAACUCAAAUUUUUACAAUUUGUGGAAGUCAAAAAACAUGACUUUCGACCACACACGGCAUUGUGGUAAACUAUGUAGGCACUCUUUUGGCAAACAUGACCAGGGACAUUGGCAUGUUUCUAGGCCGUGCUCGAGACUUUUUUGCAUUAGUGACACACAAGCAAAGACACGGGCAUGUGUUCAGGCCAUGUGAGAGAAUUUGGAGAUUAAGUCACACGGGCGUGUACCAGGUCAUGUGAUAGACUAUGUAACUCACUAUUUUAGGUCACAUAGCCAUGUGUCAGGCCAAGUGUCAGGCUAUGUGUAACAAUAAAGGGCCACACGAGUGCGUGCUAGGCCGUGUUGACUAUAAAGGCCAGCUACCCAGGUCGUGUGUAUCCACAGGAGCAUGUGAGUCAAGAUUCUGAAAUUUUCCUUAGGGUUGUGAUCAUCAUUCGAUUCAAGCGUAGGCCUUCUAUAGAGUCUAUAUUAGAGGUGCUCAUGGGCCGGGCUGGGCCGGGUUCGGGCUGGGCCCAUAAAAAAUUUCAGCCCGGGUCCUAGGCCCGGGCCUUGCCCGAAGUAUGGGCCUAAAAUUUUGCCUAGCCCGGCUCGGGAAAAAAAUCAUAAGCCCGGGCCCAGCCCGACCCUUUUUUUUAAUAAAUACCAAAAAUUUAUUUUAAAAAUUUAAAAAAUAUUUUAAAAAUAUUUUAAAAUUAAAAAAAAUUUAAAAAGUAUUUUAAAAAGUAUUUUAAAAUUAAAAAAUAAUAAAAAAAGUAUUUUAAAAAUAUUUUAAAAUUAAAAAAAUUAAAAAAUAAAUAUAUUUAUUAUACCGGGCUAGGCCGGGCUCGGGCAAAAAAAGUGGUGCCCGAGGCUCGGCCCAUUUUCUAAACGGGCCUCGUUUUUUACCCAAGCCCAUAUUUCGGGCCUAUAUUUUUACCCAAACCCUUCCAUAUUUCGGGCGAGCCGUCGGGCCGGGCCGGGCCAUGAGCACGUCUAGUCCAUAUGAUCUGUAUUAAGCUAUAAACCUCAAUAUUUUUUGAUAUGGUAGUAUAUAAUCUACUAUCUGUAUGUAUGUCUAGUUUGAUAUAAUUUAAGUAAUGAUGACUUGCUAAUGUAUAAUGUGCCUCUAUUUAGAUGCGUUAUGGUAUGUGCCUUAUCCAGGUAUGUUUUGUAUUCUACUAAGUUUGUUGGUGUACCUCUCUAUCACUCUGUUGAUGAAGAAUAUGUGAUAUCUGAAUAUGUUAAAUUAAUUGGCACUGAUUCUGGUUCUGAUUUGUAACCAUGCAUGUGACUUCAUGGCAAAUCUAAUAUGAUCUGUUGAAGUUUGAUAAAUUUGUUUUACAAAGCAUGGACUCACAUGCCUACUGAUUCUAUUGUUGUAUGAUAGCAUGACCUACAUGCUUAUUACUCUGAUUCUGUGUGUACAUGCCAUGACACAUUACGUGGGAUGUAGGAUAAAGUUAAAGAAGGAAGAUGUUGUACUGGCAGUUUAAUGGUCUGCGCAUUUAGUAGCUUGACCACGUAUAUUUGAUUUGGUAAUUUAACUGCAUAUUGAUAAGCCAUUGUUGCUGGGAAAACCAUGGUGGCGGGUCACCGUUUUGGGCAACCCGGGAUGACUUUAGCGGUGUGUUUUGGGUGGAUGAGUUUGUGGGAGAACUCUAAUUUGGUGUAUAGUGGAGUUGAGUAGGACGUCUCUGAAAAAUCUGCAUUAUGUUUUUCUGCAAAUAUUGCAUUGGCUUAGACUCACAUCCUAGGCUCUGUUCUAUUCUAUUCUUUUCUGUUAUGUUCUGUUUUGGUCUUUUUGUUUUGUUGGACUAUCAUUAUUAAAAUAUUGUUGAUAUUUUGAUAUGUUGUGUUCUAGGUAUAUGAUCUGUUUUGUUCUGGUUAUAUGAUCACUAUUAAGUUCUCUAUGUUACCUCAAAUUAUAUGUUGUGUUCUAUUGAUUUGUUUUGGGGCUGGCUUUAUGCUUUGCUUUGUAGCUCACCCCUUUUGUCUUAUUCUUGUCCUUUCAAGUAAAUUUUUGAUUUAGGAUCAGAUGGUGUGUGGAGCUCGAAUUAUUUUACGUUGAUGUAAAUACAUUUUAAUUUUUUUGGGUUUGUAAUAUGUUUCUUAACUUGCCUUAAUUUUUUCUAAUCUCGUCAGUAACUGAUAAUUUCUAACGUGAAACUACAAAAUCACUUAAGUCGACUAAAACGGAUUUUGAUUUUCAAAGUUAAAACCCCGAAAAGAUUUUCGUUACACAUCAAGUAACAGUUUGGGUGUUUUCUUAAUUAUUGUUGAACCCAGGUUUCAGGGUGUUUGUGUAACCCCUCCAAAUUUGGUCUAAACUUCUAUGCUAGUUUUGAGGUGUUACAUAAAAAAUCAUGUUAAAAGAUAAUUUUACUAUAUUGGAAAAAUAACAAAGAGUACAAAAGAUGGAGAUAAAAAAACAAAACCCAAAAAUAAAAAACCCUUAAAACAUAAACACAAAAUUCUCCAAAAGUGUUAUGAGUUAUAAUCUUUUAAUGGGUGUGUUUGCUAAGGUUGUAAAAGACCCUACUUAUAGGCUAAAUUUGUAGGUCAAAUAAAUUAUGCUAAUAAAUGCUAAAUAUAUUAUACUAAUACAUACUAAAUCUUGUAGAAUUAAAAUAUAUUUUGUUUAACUUGAUUUGCAAACAAUCUCUUAUUUAAUAGGAAUUUGGGUCACACAACUCUAACAAUCUCCUCCUUGACACGAAUUCUCACAACGCUAUCAUUUCCAAAGCCUAUCACGGGCCUAUCUUGAAUUAUACAAUGAAUUAACUAAGUUGAAUAUGUGCUUAGAAGCUGGAAGACUUCUAGCCUUCAACUUGUGCACUGUCAAAUCAAAACUAACCCGGGUUUGAUUUUCACGAACACAGUGCCUUAACUUUUCAAAACAUGCAUCCAAAAGAGAACCUCUCUUCAAUGAAAUGGUCAUACAUUUUUCCCUCCUAUGACCAAGUUGCCUCUGCUCCAAACGAGUUGACUUCGACUCCGUAAUGGACAAGGGACGUCCGAUUUUAUCGGUCACUAUAGAACCUUCUAGAAUAUAAAGGUUGUUGGUCCUUUUAUCUUUAACAAAACGAGAACCCCACGAGACGCCUUAAUGUUGCUCGACUCGAUGUUGAUUCUGCAACCUUUCGAGUCUAAAAUACUCAAAAAGAUGAGAUUCUUUCAUAAAUCAAGUACAUAUUUGACAUCUGAGAGUGACCUAAUCAUCCCAUCCUGCAUCAUAAUUUUAAUAGUACUAAUAUCGAUUGCCUUACUGGAUAAAUAGUUUCCCAUGUACACAACUCCAUCUUCAACCGAACUAGGAUCUACUUAGAUGUAAUCUUGAAGCUAUCGCUCGUUGACAUUAACAAAAAAUCAUCACCGCUUUCGUUAGCCGAAUUAACACUAGCUACAUCUUCCUCGUUACUCUCAGCAGCCCUUUUAUUUCACAGUUUAUAACAAUCUACUUUGACGUAACCUAACUUCUUACAAUAGUGACACAUUUUUUCUCAUUUCUUUGAUGCUACCAAAAUGAAAGCUUGCCUAUCUACCUUGCUAUCUGAACCAAAAUCAUCGUCGACUUUGUCUUUACUCAACAAAUGACCCUUCACAUCUUUGAACGAAAGUUUUUCUCUGCCAUAAAUCAGGGCCUCCUUGAAAUACUUGUAUGAAGAGGGUAAAGAGCACAGUAAUAGCAUAGUCUGAUCUUCAUCGUCAAUCUUAACCUCAACAUUUUAUAAAUCAUUCAAAAGAGUAAUAAAUUGACUAAUGUGAUCUCUAAGAAGCUCACAUUCGUUCAUGCAAAACGUAAAUAGACAUUUCAACACUAAACGGUUAGCCAGAUACUUAGUCGCAUAAAGAAUUUCUAAUCUUUUCCACAAGCCGGAUGAGGUUUUCUCCAUUAAUACCUCAUACAAUACCUUAUUCGAGAGGCACAACUAGAUUGCAAGCAGGGACUUUUCAUCAAUAUCUUCUUAUUUUGUUUCAUCUAGAUUCUCAAUUUUUUCUCGGUAACGACCUUUUAUAGGCCAGUCUGAACUAGAAUUGUCAUCAUCCUAACUUCCCACAGAUUGAAAUUUGUGACACCAUCGAACUUCUUAAUGUCAAACCUUGUUGCUAUCAUAUCUGAAUAGGCUGCUCUACGAAAAUUAAACUUUGAUACCACUUGUUGGGGAUCGACCCGAUUAAGCAACAAACAAGUAAAACUAGUGGAAGAAAUUGAGAAAUUGAACACACAAAUUUAGCAUGGAAAAACCCCUUCAAAGAGAAUAAAAAACCACGGGAAAAAAUAAAUUUACUAUAAUGGGAAAAGAAUGAAGAGUACAAAAGAUGGAGAUAAAAAAAACUAAGCUCCGAAACCCGAAAACAAAGAACCCUCAAAACGUUAACACAAAAUUCUCUAAAAGUGUUAUGAGUUCUAAUAUUUUAAUGGGUGUGUUUUCUGAGGUUGUAAAAGAACAUAUUUAUAAGUGAAAUUCGCAGGUCAAAUAAAUUAUACUAAUAAAUGCUAAAUAUAUUAUAUUAAAAAAUACUAAAUCUUCUAGAAAGAAAAUAUAUUUUGUUUAACUUGACUUGCAAGUAAUAUCUUAUUUAACAGGAAUUUAGGUCACACGACUCUAACACUUAUUCUAACAUUUUUAUUGAAAAUUUUAUAUUAAAUAAAAAAUUAAAAUAAUUAUCAAACAUAAAAUAUUUUCAUCUUGAAUGAAAUGAAAAUUUCUAGUUUAUACCCUAAGUAACGGAAGUGAAGAUUUUAAUAUAAAAAUGUAGACAAAAUGGUCCAAAUUUUCUUUGCAAAUAAAUUUUAUAAGCGAUUAUACAAAAAUAAAAAUAUUAGAAAUAUAGGUUUAUUGUUAUUUGCACAAAUAGAUGCCCGGAACCAUUUAUUCAAUUAUAAACUAAAAAAAAAAUUCUAUUUUUAAAAUUUUAAGAUAUAUAGAAAACACAAAAAUUAACAAUGUUAUCUAGAAAAAGUAUAAAUUUAGUUAAUGAUUUCAAAAUUUAAAUAACAAUUAGGAUACUAACUAAAUUCAAAGAUUUAAAUAUAAAAUAACUCAUUAUAUAAUAGGAUUUUAGUUAUGUAGACUUAUUUAAAAAUAUUAUUUUCGACACUUAAAAAAGUAUUAUUUUCGGAUCACCAAUGUAGUUAUUUGAGGAGCGAGCCGAAUUGUGACUUCCAAUUUGAUUCGCGUUGGUUGGCAAAGGCACAUGCAUCUGCAACCAAAGCAUCAAAGUCAAAACUUGGAGGGAAAAUAUUUGGUAUAUUAUUAUUGAAAUUAUAAUCGCAUCUCAUAUAUUCAUAACCGACUGAAAAGCACAUUAGCGUGGAACCAACGCAGAUUGAGCUUAAAAAAAAUUGGUGUGGUCCAAUACAUACUCUCAUCUUGUGAGUAUAGUUUUUUUCUUUUAAAAAAAGUUUAUUGAUAAUUUAAUGUUUAAAACAAAUCUUCUGUCUUCUAAAACAUGAGCCUAUCAGCUAUCAUGAUAACUGCAAUGAAAUAUUUAUUAUUAAUUUAAAUGCGGCGUGCUCCCACCAUCUUUUUUCAAUAUUACUAGAGUAUGUCAGGUUUUUUUUUUAAAAAAAAUUAUAUAAAUAGUAAUAUAAUUAUUAGUGUAUUUCUAUUUUAGUCAUUUAAAUUUAACUUCGUUUUUUUUGUUAUAGUUACUAAUUAAAUUUUAUAUUUUAGUCACUCUUUUAUUAAAUCAUUGACAAAAUAGAAACAAGCUAAUAGUUAAAUAACUAUUUAUACUUUAGAAUAUAUUGAAAAAAAUAAUAAAUUAUCAAUCUAUGACACAACUAACACUAUUUAUGAAUUUAUAACAAAAACUAUGGUAAAAAUACCACAAGGGCCCUUAUACUAGGUGUGAGAUUGCAUUUUGCCCCCUCUACUCAAAAAAGGGCAAAUUAGUCCCUAUACAUUAGAUCAAAUAGCAAACUUAUCAUUUCUGUUAAAAUUUUCAUCCAUUUAUACUGUUAAAAACUAACAUAGUUAACAGAAUAACCAAAUAGAGACACAUGGCAUGCCACAUGUACCUCGUGCUAACAUACAUGGACUAGUUUUUAAUAGUAGAUAUGGAUGAAAGUUUUAACAAAAAGGGUCAAUUUACUCUUUAAUCUAACGUACAAGACUAAUUUGCCAAGUUUUUACUAGAAGGGACAGAAUGCAAUCCAACUCUUAGUACAAGAGCCUCCAUGGUACUUUUAUCCCAAAACUACAUUAACCCAAUAAAUCACACACUCAUUAUAUGAUUUUUCUAUAGGCAAAUGAUUUUCGUACAAAAUACUACUGUACAAAAUGUGUGGAACCCAAUUUUUGAGUGUUUUUGUGAUAAAAACACCCUUGAUCAAAAUUGAAAUUUUAUACCUCUCUUAUCAAGAUAAAUAAUCAUUAGUCAUAUUUUAACGUGAAAAAUGGACUAAGCUCCCACUAAUUUAUUAUCUUCUAACAUGCAAAACACUUUUUGCAAUUUAUAUCCCUUCCUAAGGAAUAUAUAUAUUUAACUAAGAAAAAAAAAGGUUUUCCCUUCCCAAUUUCCAAUCGUUAGCCCCUUAUCCCCUCAUCUUACUCUGUUUUUUAAAGGGGAAAAUAUUUAACUGAAAUAUUAUUCAUCUGUGAAUUGCUUACAAAAUAAAUUUUCAAUUGUCUUUAAUUGCAAAUAAUAUUCUUCUUCUUCUUAUCUAUAUUUUUAUUGGCAAAAAUAUUUCAAAUAUUUAUUUUCUAAAAAGAAAAUCCUUAUCUGACUAUUUUUUCUUAAGGUGUAUCUGAACAAUGAAUGAUCAAAAUCAAAUGAAGAAGUUUUAUGUGAUUUUUCGUGGGAAGAAACCAUGCAUUUGUAGUUCAUGGAAUGAAUGUGCUUCUAAUGUUUAUAGAGUAAAGAGAAGCAUUUACAAGUCAUUCAAAAUUCAGAUGGCUGCAGUUGAAGUAUUCAAGAUGUUCUUAAGAUUGAAUCGGAGGAGGACGAUGAGGAGAGGUCAAGCUUUGAACUUUCUGUAGCAAUUCGAUUUUCAGUGGUGUAUGAAAAUGCUAUCUCAAAAUCUCAUUUCCAUAAAUCGAGUCUUUACAUAUAAAAUAAGAAUAUUUACAGAGUUAUUAUAAAACAUAUUGAAUUUCAAUUAAGUAAUUUAGCCAAAAAAAAGUAGCUAAUUAAAUAUCAGGGACCAAAUUAUAAAAGUCCAAUUGAUAGUGAUUUUUAAUUAACAAAAGACUUGAGGACCUAGAUAACAAUUAUCUAAAUGACCAAAAUGGUUAUUUAACCAUUGUCUAUCAUGAAUUAGUGGAUGAUGAUUUAGAAUUCCACUUUGUUUAGCUAAUGGUUAAUUAAGUAUAAUAAAACAAUAAUUUAGCUAAUUAACAAAGCUUAAUUAGAAAAAAAUCCAAGUAUAAAAAGGAAGAUAAUGGGAAGAAAGAUGAGAAUGCUCAUCUUCUUCCACCGUCCAAAAGAAUAUAGAAAUAGGAGAAAGUUUCAAGCUUUCACCCAUUCGGCCAUGUCCAAUAUUCAUAGAUAAUAAGUUAUUUUUCAUGUAAUUUUUAUAGAUUUAUGAUCAUGGGAGUUUAAUUUAGGUAGCCCAUGUAUCAAUUUGUUCAAUUUUUGAAAUUUUAGCAAGUUACCAUUGUUGAUAAAUUGAUGAAUUAGACUUGAAUUUGAUAGAUAUUUAGCUUAUAUUAUGAAAAGGGCUAAAUUGUAAAGCUUAAUAAGCUUGGUUGUUAACUUUGUAACAUUAAGAACCAAAUUGAAUAAAGUGAAAACCUAUCAUGAAACUAUGCUAUGAAUAGAAAGUCUAAGGUCCCUAAUGAGUGAAUGUGAAAUCGGAUUUUAAUUCGAUGCUAAAUAUCAGAAUAUAUGCUUAUCUCAAGUUUAAGUACUAAAUUGAAUAAUGAAAAAUAUGCUUGACCUUAUAUUUGAAUUUGAAUCAAAUGAAUUUUGAUAUUGUUCCUUUAUUAACAAUUGAUUAUAGCUAAAGACGAUGCCAGUCCAUCAAGAGGGAAAGGAAAAUCGAGAGUUGUUGACGAGUGACAUAAGAUUUCGAUUUGUGCUUUUAUGAUUCGAGAUUAAUCAUUUUCUUUGUAUAUUCAUGACAUAUUUCAUGAUUGAGUAUCGAGGUGAGAUAAUAAUGGUCGUUUGAAUUGAUUUUCUAUGAUUGAUGUUAGCUUCAUUGAUUAAACCAAAACCGCCUAGAGGGGGUGAAUUGACUUUUAAAAUUUUGUGGAAGCUAGAAAAAAAAGAUUGUAACGCCCUAGAAUUUUUAUUUUUGUUCUUGCAAAGGUGUGGCACAAUUAUGUAUCUGCUUUAGUGGUUAAGUGUUCUGGCCGUGUGAGAGGUCCCAAGUUCAAGUUAGGACUUGAGCAAAUUUUGGUAUUUUUAUGAAUAAGCUCUAUCUUUGGUCAGUAGGCUUUUAAGUAAAAGUUGACAAAUAAUUAGUAGAAUGGGUCUGUUAGUCUGGUGGAUAAGUGGAGUGUUGUUGUGAAGGAGGUCCUGUGUUCAAUUCUCUGUGAUGGCGUGGAGACAGUAUUUUUGCUCCAGUUUCGACUGAGAGUUGUGUUGGGGCAAAAUUCUUAGUAGUUGUAUUUUAGUGGGUUAAUAAGGAGUGAUUUUAGGAGAUAAUGGGGGAGAGAUUAUCAGAAAAUAAUAUGAUUAUCCUUUUGUUGUAGAAAAAAAGAGUAGAGUUUUAGUUUUCUCUCCAAUUACCUAAACUUUUUUUGACGAUUUCUUCUUCUUUUUUCCCUCUUCUGCUGAUUCUUUCCCCUAGUUGCUGCCGAUAUUUCCAUUAUUUUUCCCCUUCCGUUUCUUUCUUUAUUUUCCAAUUGAUUUGGUUAUUCAUCAUUGGUUACGUGUGUUCGGUAAGUAACAGUUUUGUCUAUUGUUAAUUGUUCUUGGUUAAUCUCUGAAAGGGAGAUUCCUUUUUUAUGUUUAGGAGUUAAUCAAGGGGCUGGUGGUUUUGAAUCGACGCUGUGAUUGUGCGAAGUCGUGGUUACUCAAGUGAAGUAACGGUUUUGUUAGGUUUUUAGUCGAGUUCCUUCCAAAAUUGGUUGAUUAAAAACAAAUUAAGUGAUUAAUCUAGAGAUUUGUUGGUCGAUUUGUAGGUUCUAGAGGCUUAGGAGUGCUUACGCAUUAGAAGCGAUACUAGGUAUGUACCCGAAAUGCAGAAAAUGAGAUUUGGCAAAAAAUUGAAAUUUCUUACUGUCAAGAAAGAAGAGAAAUAAGAGAAAAUGAUGCGAAAAAUUGUGGAGAAAGGAAAUAAGGGUGUUAUAAACUUGAAAAUCAACAUUCUACACUAAAAUAGUUUUGGACAUCAGUAGUAGUCUAACUUUGAAAAAUCAUCAAAAAUAGUGGAAAUUGAGUUAGAGGUUGAAUAAAAUACUAAAUUAAAUUUUAUUGAGUCUAGUUUUUCAUGGAAGAAACUGUGUAAGCAAUGAAAUUGUAAGUUAUGAGAUAUAAAGAAUUUUGUGAGACAAGGUCAAAAUGAGUUUGGGUUCCCGUGUUCUGACUUUGGAAAAAUCAUUAAAAAUUGUAAAAAAAUAAUUAGGGGCUUAAAUUAUUAAUGAGUCUAUUUUCAAGAGAAACAAACAGAAACAUCAUCCGAAUUUCGUACUAAGAGAUAAAUAAUUUUUAGUAAGGAAAGUUUGAAGCUGUCAAACAGUAGAAUCAGGAUAGAUUUGAAGAUUUUACUGUACUGAUUUGAUAAACUAUAAAAUCUAAAAAUUUUAUGGUAGAAAGGUAUUUGAGUCUAGUUUCAAAAACAUCACGCGGAUCUUAAUUUGGAAUUCUGUAGCUCAAGAUAUAAAUAAUUUAUGAACAAUGACUCAAGUAGAUAGCUUUGAAUGAACAUAUAAGUAAAUAGUGAAAACAUAUAUGAAUAUUUAGCUAGCAUGGGUACAUUAAAAGUGGAUCACAAGGCCAAGGCCAAUUUGGGUUGAGUGGGCCACACGUGUAGACCACAUGGGCGUGUGAGCCCAUUUUCGUUGAAUUGAUUGCUAAUGUUACACGGGUCGCCCAAGUCGACUGUGAACCUACUCUAGGGUCGGUAAGUAUCACUUAGACCCCUAAUUGUACGAACUAACUAUUUGAUUUAUAUAUUUGUUGCGCAUGAUGAUAGUAUGCUUGUAUACUGAACUGGUUAUAUGUAUUGAUGUCCUGAGAUAGCAUGUCAUGACUUGUAUGUUGCAUUGCAUGGGGUUGGGUUAAUUAUAUUUGGAGAAAGUGUACUGAAAGGCUCUUAAGCCUAACAUACUGGUUGCUCAGCUUCAAAUAAUUGUUUUGUGUCGCAUUCGGUACUACUUGGAGUGUAGGGAUGGGUGGGUUGAUUUGAUCCUUACAUGGAGUGUUGGGUUGGACGAAGAUGGUGUGUGGAGGUUGGUUGGGUAGGACUUUGUUACUGAAUACGGAGAUGGUGUGUGGAGGUUGGUUGGGUAGGACUGCUACUAAUACUGCGAUGGGCUAAGGCCCUGCUGCAUAUAUUGAUACUAUACUGAGAUAGGCUAAGGCCCAAACUGUUACUGAUACUGAAAAAAGGGCUUAGGCCCAAGACUACUUUAACUGUGCACUGAAAAAGGGCUAAGGCCCUAUUGUUUGUUUUUUGUGGAAUUACACACUGAGUUUUCGUAAACUCACCCCUUUUGUUAAAAUUUGCACAGGUAAUGCCCAGAUCUAGACGGAUUGGUGUGACGUAGGACUCAACGGUGACCACGGUUUUGGACUUUCAUAGUUUUUGACCCAUAUUUACGAUAAUUGGUUUUAUUUCUAUUCUAUAUUUUACUGGCUAAGUUUUUGGGUUGUAAUUGGACUUUUGGAUUUUGGUUUUGGGUUUUAAUUAUCUUUACCUUAUGGAUUACAACUGCUAGUAGUAGGAAGCCUCUGUUUUCAGAAGAAAUAAAUGUUUUCCUAAAAGCACGAUUGUUUAAUCUAUUUUAAAAUCUUCCGCAAAUGAAUAACGUUUUGAAACUAUCGAUUAGAUGAGCAACACAAUUUUGGAACUAAUAAGAUAUUAAGAUAAGGAAUUCAAUUGAAAUGGUUUUAACGUGAUGACACAAUUUUCAAACACCUUAUCGUGUGACAUCGCUAGAUCAGGCCAUAACGUCUGAGCCAGGUUUGGGAUGUUAUAUUUAGUGGUAUCAGAGCCAAGUAGCAAAACUCGGCUGUGGAUUAUGGGUUUUAAAUUUGGUCUUUGAAAAAAUGGUUUUUAAAAGAUUUGAAAUAUUUCUACUGGGUAUGUGGUGCACCAAGUCUCUGGUGCCGAUCUUGUAAGUGUUCUGAAACUGAUACAUGCUAUGAUAUUCUGAAACUGGUAUAUGUUAUGAUAUUUUGAAACUACUGUAGAUAGUAUAUUGUGAAAAUACUCUAGUUGGUGUAUAUUGAGACUGUAGCAAAACUGUUAGAGACUGCGAUUUACGAAAAUCACUCUGAAUUACUCAAACUGUUAACAUAAAACAUCUACUAGUAAAUACUGAAACUGAAACUGAUGCAUUAAAAUUCGUAAUACAGAUAAAUUCGAAUAGACAUGAGCGCACGAGGUAUUUGUAAACGUGGUACUCAAGGUCGAGGUAGAGGCCGUAGGGGGAUCGAUCUGAGUUCUCUUCCCUGGGUAAUAUACUGAAUUUGGACAUGAGUGAGACGCCAAUGUUGCCUGCUACUGAGACUAAGUCUCAUGAUUGUAUGGCUGGGGAUGACACAUUGUCUCAGGCUAUGUUGUGGAUAUUGGAGAGGGUCGCUGGUCCUAAUAUUGGAUCUGGGGGCCGUGGGUCAGUUACGGAACGACUUCAAUUUAAUAGAGCUGAGCUCCUGAGGGGUGUCACUGGGGUUGCCCCUAAUGUAUUCAAGUACUGGAUUGAGGCCACGGAGAGGAUCAUGGAUGACCUAGAUUGCACCUUCGAGCAAAAAUUUAAGGGUGCAGUCUCGCUGUUACAUGAUGAAGCUUAUCAACGGUGGCUUAUUGUUAAGGAGGGCACUCGGCCCGAACGCCUGACCUGGGAGUUCUUUAAGAUCGCCUUCCAGGGGAAGUAUAUGGGAGCUAGUUAUGUUGACACAUGUAGGAGGGAGUUUCUGAAUCUAACAUAGGGAGAUCGAUCAGUGGCUGAGUAUGAGGCUGGAUUCCUACGACUGAGCCGUUAUGCGAGAGGUAUGGUGUGACUGAGUAUGAGCAUUGUGAUCACUUUAAGGAUGACCUCAGAGAUAAUUUGAGAGUCCUGAUAGCUCCACAAAGGGAGCGUAAUUUUUCUUUGCUUAUUGAGAAGGCGAUGAUCACCAUGGAGGUUAAGCGCACUGAGAGCCAAAACCGUGAUAGGGAGAGAGGUAGGAAUAAGAGGGAUUUGGAGCCCUUGAGUUUUGUGCAGAGGCCUAAGAAAAAGGCCAGAGCUGAUGGGCUAGUUAGAACUGGUCCCCUUGUUACUACUACUGGACUGCAGCCAUGUGUCGACCGUGGUAGAUGCCAUUAGGGCGAGUGUUGGAGAAGGACUAGGGCAUGUCUGAGGUGUAGAUCGUUAGAUCAUCGCAUUAGGGAGUGUCCGUUGAGGGUCGAUCAGAUGGAAGCUCAGGGUAAUAGUAUUGCACAGCCACAAAGGGUAGCACAGCAGCCACCUAGAGGUCAUGGUCAGGCUAGGGGUGGUAAUGGUAUGAGACGAGGGCAGAGAGCACCGGGCAGAGGUGCUGGAUAGGAUGAGGCGAGACAGUCAGCCCUAGUUUAUACUACUCAUUUCCAAGAGGAUAGAGAUGCUCCGAACGUUAUCAUAGGUACGUUUCUUAUUUUUGAUGUGCGUUACACUGCAUUGACAAGUAUAGAAUCUACGCAUUCCUAUUUUUCCUGUUCUGUCCCCAAAAAUCAAGGGAUUCCGGUUGAGAGUAGUUCUAGUGAGGUGGCUGUGCUGAGCCCGCUGGGGUAAUCUAUUAGAGUUAGCAAACUGUAAAGGGAUGUUCCUUUAGGGGUUCAAGGGACGGUAUUUUUGGCUGAUUUGUUGGAGCUUCCGCUUGGGGAGUUCGAUAUGAUAUUGGGGUUGGACUGGUUGGUUAAGCAUCAUGUCAGUUUGGACUGUGCGACUAAGAGGGUCGUAUUGAGAACUGAGGAGGGUAAUGAAGUACUUGUGAUUUGGGAACGUUAGAAUUACUUGGCUAACGUGACCUUUGCACUCGUAGCUGAGAAACUGGUUCGCAAGGGAUGUGAGGCGUAUUUGACCUACGUAAGUGUUUCCGCUUCUGGGGACUCUACUAUAAACGACAUUAGAACUGUCAGGGAUUUUCCAAAUGUCUUUCUUGAGAAGCUACUAGGUUUACCUACGAAUCGAGAAAUGGAUUUUAGGAUUGAAUUUUUCCCUCGUACAGCUCUGCUGUCUAUCGCUCCGUAUCGAAUGACACCGAAGGAGCUUACGAAGCUUAAGGCUCAAAUUUAGGAGUUAUUGGAUCAUUGGUUUAUCCGUCUUAGCGUGUCCCCGUGAGGAGCACCGGUACUGUUCGUUAAGAAAAAAGAUGAAUCCAUGAGGAUGUGUAUCGAGUACCGACAACUAAAUAAGUUGACUAUUAUGAAAAAGUAUCCACUUUCGAGGAUUGAUGAUUUGUUUGACUAGUUCAGAGGGGCGUCUAUGUUCUCCAAAAUUGAAUUGCGUUCUGGGUAUCAUUAGUUGAGGGUUAAGGAGGCUGAUGUGCAUAAGACGACAUUUAGGACUCGUUAUGGUCAUUACGUGUUCCUAGUGAUGCCAUUUGGACUGACUAAUACACCGGCAGCUUUCAUGGAUCUGAUGAACUGAGUGUUUUAGCCUUACUUGGAUCGAUUUGUAGUGGUGUUCAUCGAUGACAUAUUGGUUUAUUCGAGGACUGAGGCUGAGCAUGACUAGCACCUUAGGAUUGUUCUUCAGAUUUUGAGGGAAAAAUAGCUUUAUGCUAAGUUCAACAAGUGCGACUUAUGGUUACGUGAAGUAACAUUUCUAGGUCAUGUAGUGUUUGCUGAGGGGAUUUGAGUCAAUCUUUGAAAAAUUGAGGCUGUAUUGGAUUGGAAGCAGCCUAAGAAUGUGUCUGAGAUCAGCAGCUUUUUGGGGCUGGUAGGUUAUUACCGACGGUUUAUGGAAGGAUUUUCACUGAUUGCAGCACCCUUGACUAAGCUGUUACGUAAAGGUGUACCGUUUGAUUGGGCUGAUGCGCAGGAAGAGAACUUUGAGAAGCUUAAGAUUGUACUGACUAAGGCUCUUGUUUUGGUACAGCCUGGACCUGGAAAGGAGUUCAGGUUUACAGUGAUGCAUCACAUGUCAGUUUGGGAUGUGUGUUGAUGUAGGAUGGAAAGGUGGUUGCAUAUGCAUCUCGUCAGCAUAAGACACACUAGGCGAACUAUCCGACGUACAUUUGGAGUUGGCCGCUGUAGUUUUUUCAUUGAAAAUCUGGAGGCAUUAUUUGUGUGGUGAGAAGUGUAUCAUCUACAUUGAUCACAAAAGCCUCAAGUAUCUCAUUACUCAGAAGGAGCUGAAUCUAAGGCAGCGAAGAUGGGUUGAGCUGCUUAAGGAUUACCACUGUACCAUUGAGUACCAUCCUGGCAAGGCCAAUAUGGUGGCCGAUGUGUUGAGCCGUAAGGCUAUGACCGAUCUAAGAGCGAUGUUCGCUCGACUUAGCCUAUUCGACGAUAGAAGUCUGGUGGCAGAGCUUCAGGUCAAAACGACAUGGAUUGAACAGAUUCGAGGUAAAUAGUUGGGGGAUAAGUCUCUUAAGUUGCAUUUUCGUUAGGUUGAGAAUGGUUGCACUACUGAUUUUGGGAUAAACAGUUAUGGGGUACUUUGUUUCCGCGGUCGGAUUUGUGUACCGAAUGAUGAGGAUUUGAGGUAGUCGAUUCUGAGAGAGGCUCAUGGUAGACCCUAUUCUAUGCAUCCUGGCUAGAACAAGAUGUACCGAGAUCUUCGGGAAUUGUACUAGUGGCCAGGGUUGAAGCGAGAGGUUACUAACUUUGUUGCUCGCUGUUUGACUUUUCAGUAGGUUAAGGCUAAGCAUUAGUUACCUUCGGGUUUGCUGCAGCCGGUUAAGAUGCAUUUAUGGAAAUGAGAGCGAGUAACGAUGGACUUCGUUAGUGGGUUGCCUUUAACACCCACUCAGAAAGAUUCAGUGUGGGCCAUCGUGGAUUGAUUGACUAAGUCUGCACACUUCAUCUCAGUUAGGACAAAUUAUUCUUUGUAGAAGUUGGCGAAGCUCUAUAUUUUUGAGAUAGUGAGAAUGCAUGGGGUACCAGUUUUGAUCAUCUUUGAUAGGGAUCUUCGGUUCACGUCUCGGUUUUGGAAAAAGGUGCACGAGACUCUUGGUUCAAGGUUGGACUUCAGUACUACGUUCCAUCCUCAGAUUGAUGGUCAGUCAGAGAGGGUGAUUCAGGUACGAGAGGAUAUGUUGAGGAGUUGUGCUGUUGAUUUUCGAGGCAGUUGCGAGGAUGAUCUACCAUUGGCGGAGUUACCCUAUAAUAAUAGCUUCUAGUCUAACAUCUAGGUGGCACCUUACAAGGCACUAUAUGAUCGUAAGUGUCGUACUCCUUUAUGUUGGACUGAGUUGGGUGAGCGAUGUGUUCUAGGUCCUGAGUUGGUCUUCGAGACAGAGGAUAAUGUUAGAUUGAUUCGGGAUCGUUUGAAAGUGACUUCUGAUAGGUAGAAAUCUUAUGGGAUUUGAAGGGGCGUGAGAUCAAGUAUUCUGUGGAGGACUUCGUUUUUCUCAAGGUCUCACCAUGGAAAAAGGUACUGAGGUUUGGUUGUAAGAUCAAGUUAAGCCCUAGGUUUAUUGGAUCUUACCAUAUCCUGAAGCGAGUGGGACCAGUCAGUUAGAGCUACCUCCGGUAUUAGAUCGUAUCCAUAAUGUGUUCCAUGUCUCUAUGUUGAGGCGUUACUGCUCUGAUCCUACUCAUAUUGCCCCUGUUAAGGAGAUUGAGGUUAGGCCAGACUUGACCUUUGAGGAGGAGCCUGUCCAAAUUCUGGAUUGUGACAUAAAGGUUCUGAGGAGGAAGUCUAUUCCAUUGGUGAAGGUUCUAUCGCGUAAUCAUAGCACUGGGGAGGCCACGUGGGAGCCUGAGGAAGUGAUGCGUCAACAGUAUCCUUAUUUGUUCUGAUCAGGUAAAUUUCGAGCCAGCAAUAUUUUUUUAGGGGGUAGAGUUGUAAUGCCCCAGAAUUUUUAUUUUUGUUCUUGCGAAGGUGUGACACAACUAUGUAUCUGCUUCAGUGGUUAAGUGUUUUGGGUGUGUGAGAGGUCCCAAGUUUAAGCCAGGACUUGGGCAAAUUUUGGUAUUUUUAUGAAUAAGCCCUAUAUUUGGUCAGUAGGUUUUUAAGUAAAAGUUGGCAAAUAAUUAACAGAAUGGGCUUGCUGGUCCGGUGGAUAAGUGAAGUGUUGGUGUGAGGGAGGUCUUGUGUUCAGUUCUCUGUGAUUGCGUGGAGACAAUAUUUUUGCUCCAAUAUCAGCUAAGAGUUGUGUUAGGGCAAAAUUCUGAGUAGUUGUAUUUUAGUGGGUUAAUAGGGAGUGAUUUUAGGAGAUAACGGGGGAGAGAUUAUCAGAAAAUAAUUUUAUUAUCUUUUUGUUACAGAAAAAAGUAGAGUUUUGAUUUUCUCUCCAAUUACCCAAACUUUUUCUGACGUUUUCUUCUUCUUUUUUCCCUCAUCUAUCGAUUCUUUCCCUUAGUUGAUGCUGAAAUUUCCAUUAUUUUUCCCCUUUCAUUUUUUCUUUAUUUUCCAAUUGAUUUGGUUGUUCAUUGUUGGUUGUGUGUGUUCGGUAAGCAACGAUUUUGUCUAUUGUUAAUCGUUCUUGGUUAAUCUUUGAAAGGGGGAUUCCUUUUUAGUGUUUAAGAGUUAAUUAGGGGGCUAAUGGUUUUGAAUCGACACUGUGAUUGUGCGAAGUCAUGGUUACUCAAGCGAGGUAAAGGUUUUGUUAGGUUUUUAGUCGAGUUUCUUCCAAAAUCGAAUGAUUAAAAACGAAUUAAGUGAUUAAUCUAGAGAUUUGUUUGUCGAUUUUUAGGUUCUAGAGGCUUAGGAGUGCUUACGCAUUAAAAACGAUACCAGAUGUGUAGCCGAAACACAGAAAAUGGGAUUUGGCAAAAAGCCAAAAUUGCUUGCUUUCGAGAAGUUAGAUAAAUAAGAGAAAAUGAUGCGAAAAAUUGUAGAGAAAGGAAAUAAGGGUGUUAUAAACUUAGAAAUCAACAUUCUGCAGUAAAAUAGUUUUGGACAGCAGAAGUAGUCUAAUUUUGAAAAAUCAUCAAAAAUUGUGAAAAUUGAGUUAGAGGUUGAAUAAAAUACCAAAUUAAAUUUUAUUGAGUCUAAUUUUUCAUGGAAGAAAUAGUGUAAGCAAUGAAAUUGUAAGUUAUGAGAUAUAAUGAAUUUUGUGAGACAAGGUCAGAAUGGGUUUGGGUUCCCGUGUUCUGACUUUGGAAAAAUCAUCGAAAAUUGUAAAAAAAUAAUUAGGGGCUUAAAUUUAUAUGUUUAAAUCCUUAAUGAGUAUAUUUUCAAGAGAAACAAAUGGAAACAUCAUCCGAAUUCCGUACUAAGAGAUAAAUAAUUUUUAGUAAGGCAAGUUUGAAGCUGUCAAACAACAGAAUCGGGAUAGAUUUGAAGAUUUUACUGUACUUAAGUCAUAAACUAUAAAAUCUAAAAAUUUUAUGGUAGAAAGGUAUUUGAGUCUAGUUUUGAAAACAUCAAGCAGAUCGGAAUUUGGAAUUCUUUAGCUCAAGAUAUAAAUAAUUUAGAGACAAUGACUCAAGUAGGCAUCUUUGAAUGAACAUAUAAGUAAAUAGUGAAAACAUAUAUGAAUAUUUAGCUAGCAUGGGUACAUUAAAAAUGGAUCACACGGCCAAGGCCAAUUUGGGUUGAGUGGGCCAGACGGGAGUGUGGGCCCACACGAGCAGACCACAUUGGCGUGUGAGCCCAUUUUCACUGAAUUGAUUACUAAGGUUGCACGGGUUGCCCAAGUUGACUGUGAACCUACUGUAGGGUCGAUAAGCAUCACUUAGACCCUUAAUUAUAUGAACUGGCUGUUUGAGUUAUAUCUGUGUUGAGCAUUAUGAUAGUAUGCUUGUAUACUGAACUGGUUAUAUGUAUUGAUGUCCUGAGAUAGCAUGUCAUGACUUGUAUGUUGCAUUGCAUGGGGUUGGGUUAAUUAUAUUUGGAGGAAGUGUACUGAAAGGCUCUUAAGCCUAACAUACUAGCAGCUCAGCUGCAAAUUACUAUUUUGUGCUGCAUUCGGUACUACCUGGAGUGUAGGGAUGGGUGGGUUGAUCUAAUCCCCACAUGGAGUGUAGGGUUGGACGGAGAUGGUGUGUAGAGGCUGGUUAGGUAGGACUUUGUUACUCAAUACCGUAUGACUGCUACUGAUACUGUGAUGGGCUAAGGCCCUACUACAUAUUUGAUACUGCAUUGAGAUGGACUAAGGCCCAAACUGUUGCUGAUACUGGAAAAGGGUUUAGGCCCAAGACUACUUUAACUAUGCACUAUGAUUUUCUACUGUUUGUUUUCUAUAGAUUUUACACCGAGUUUUCAUAAACUCACCCCUUUUGUUUAAAUGUGCACAAGUAAUCCCCAAAUCUAGACGGAUCGGUGCAGUAGAGGACUUAGCGGUGACCAUGGUUUUGGACUUUCAUGGUUUUUAACCCAUAUUUACGAUAAUUGGUUUUAUUUCAAUUCUAUUUUUUACUAGCUGAGUUUUUGUGUUGUAAUUGGACUUUUAGACUUUGGUUUUAGGGUUUAGUUAUCUUUACAUUAUGUAUUACAACUGCUAGUAGUAGGAAACCUCUGUUUUCAAAAGAAACAAAUGUUUUUCCUAAACACACGAUUGCUUAAUCUGUUUUAAAAGCUUUCACAAACGAAUAACAUUUAGAAACUAUCGAUUAAAUGAGCAACGCAAUUUUGGAACUAAUAAGAUAUUAAGAUAAGGAAUUCAAUGGAAAUGGUUUUAACGCGACGACGCGAUUUUGAAACACCCUAUCAUGUGACAUCGCUAGAUCCUGCCAUAACAUCUAGGCCGGGUUUGGGGUGUUACAAAGAUGGAACAGAUUAACACAAUGAUUUAGAUUGGUUCGACCCAAAUUGCCUACUCCACUACCUUAACUUUCCACUUUUAAGGAUUUUCCCAAAUUCACUAAUUUGACUAACCUUUAAGGACAAGGUUUAACCUUACAGCUCCCUUCAAGUUUCUACCAAAACAUUAAGAUAAAAACCUCUCAAAAAGAAAUUCAAAUAUGCAAGUAGAGAAUUAAUCCUUACAAGAUUGGAUUAUUUGCCAAUUUAGCACAAAAGAAAUAAUAAAACACUUGAGCUGAAUAAAAAACAAUGAAAGGUCACAAGUGUGUAUAAGAAAAGUAUGAAAACUUUAAGCUUAAAGGUUGAUUAAUUGAAGUUUUUUCUUUAAUCAUCUCUGUUAGUGUUGUAGACCCUUUGGAGGCUGGUUUUUAUACCCUUUAAUUAAUUUCCAACCAUUGUGGUUGUUGGAAUAUUGAAUAGAGUCAUUGGGGAUGAAAAUACCAAUGAAACAAUGCCACCUGCAACAACAGGUAUCGAUACUUUUUCUAUUAGUGUUGAUACCGUAUGCAUUUAAUGUCUAUUUUAGUAACCGUUGAAGCCAUCAAUACCGAUACUAGGGAAUUCUAUCAAUACCAAAUAUAAAGGAUCGAUAUUGUAUCGAUACUUGAUAAGUCCUUUGGAAGUUUGAUUGCCAAUUUUGUAUCGAUACUGUAAAAUGUAUCGAUAAAAGUAUACCACUAUCGAUACUUGAAGAAAUUUAUUGGUACCUAGCAAAAUGAAUGAUACCGUAUCAAUACUCGGUAAAUACUUUUGAAAAUAGAAUGUCAUUUUUGUAUUGAUACGGAAAAAUGUAUCGAUAAAAUUUAAAAUUUAUCGAUACUCAAGAAAAUCUAUCGAUACUUGAUAAAAAAUAUCGGUAAUGUUUCAAUACUUUUUGGUCUAGAGUAGUUUUAACAUGUUUGAAAGUUUUUUUUAACAAGUUGACCAUAAAAUAUUUUCUAAGUAUGAGUUCAACUAUUUUUCUUUUUAGAUGUCAUUUGAAAUGAAUUUUUUGCCAAGUUUUAUUUAAAAUGAUUUUUGUUCAAAACAUAAUAUUUGUUAUAUCAAAAUAAUUUCCGAGUAAAGCUUGGUUUAAUAGUUGAUAUUGAUUAUCGAGAUAGUGGAUUGAAUUGGAUAAAAUGGAAAGUAGUAUUAUUUAGUGAAGACAUUAUGUGUAAUAUGAGAAUGGAUUGAAACAUGCUAUAUGAUAAGAGAUAUUUUUGGGUUGAUGAUGAAUUGAAAUGAGAUUAUGAAUUAAAUGUGAAAUUAUAUAUGAAUUGGAUUAAAUUGAAAUGAAAUGAAAUGGAUUGGUGAUUAGUGAUUGGUGAUUGAAUUGUGAUCGAUUACAGGGUAUGAAAUACAAAUGUGACCGAUUACAGAGUAUGAUAUGCAAAUGUGAAUGAUACAGGGUAUGAAUAUGUUAAGAAAUAUGGUUCUUGCCCAUGUGAACUUAGUAAAAUGUUAGGAUACUAUUAGCAUUCCAAUUGGGUCAUAUGUGUGCUUGUAUGAGAUAUGUGAGAUAUGAAGAUUAUGGUAGAUUAUAUUGAGAUCCAACAUCUGUUGCACAUCAUCGAGUAUUGUUUGUCUCUAUGGAGACUUUGGUGUGGUAGAGGGAUGUAAUUGAAAAUGUUUAAACAUUUUAUGCCUACGAGCUUUGCACUUUGGUGCCUUGGUGUAGUGUAGUUUAAGCUCAUACGAGCUAUCUUGAUGUGAAGUAGUUCAUCUGUGUAUCCAGAUUCGUUUUACUAGGGUCCCAUUGGGUGAACAAUUGAAAUAAAAUCGUGAAAUCGAAAAAUGAAAUAAGCCAAAUUUUGGUAAGCUAUUAUAAUGUAUGAUAUGAAUUGAAUUGGUAUGAACUUGUGAUUUGAUAAUAGUAUAUGAAAUAAUUUGUUGAUAUGAAACUAUAUGUGUGCAUAUAUGUAAUUCACGGUAGAGAAAGUGUAACACCCAAUUUUGGCGGGUUUUGAGAUGGCAAGUGAACAAGAGUAAUCUGAGUGGCGGGAUAUUAUUUUCCCAGUUGAUACUUUUGGUAGACAUAUUGGGCACUUAGUUAAUGAUGGAGUAUCAUGAAAGGAUUGUUCUGUGAAUGCGUUAAGUCGCAAAGAAGACGAGAUUCGUAAGAUGGUUUAGGAUUCUUGGGUAAAUUGGGUUAUCACCAAAGGUAUUGUACGUCAGUUUAUUGAGUUACAUUCUAGUCACGUUCUAAUGGUAUAGUUAGGAAGGAUCGAAAGGGUGAACCAAAUAUAUGUAACUAUUGGAUUUCCUUUUUACAACUGUAAACCAUUUGUAUAGGCAGUCUUGAAAGUUUGUGCCAUGUGUCAAAUAUCAUUAUGAGAACAUGGGUUUUAUAUGUUAUUGUGAGUUUAGGAAGAUGGAGUUUUUCUUCCUUUUUUAAUUUCAAAAUGCUAUGAUGGUUUUAUUUGGGAGUUAAGAAAAGAUCUCUCUUUUGUUAAGCUGAAACUAAGGAUCCAAGCUCAUGAAGAAGGUUAUUUUGCAUCUUGGGUAAGUAUUAAGGUAUGAUAUGUUGACUUCUGAAAGAGUAUGUUUGUUUUGUAGGCAUGGACAGUAAAAUGAGGAAGUAAGGUUUUUCCAUGGGGGAUUAUCUUGGUUUUAGAUGAUUGUAAAAAUUGAAUGAAUGAGCUUUAAUGAUGUUCCUGUGUUCUAUAAGCAAUGAUUGUUGUGGGUUUUGGUUAGAUGUUGAAAAUGGAGUUCCAGUUGCUACUUAUGGGUAUCAAGUGAGUCCCUAGAUUGACUCUUAUAUGUGUAGAAACUUCUAUGCUAAGUGCCCAAAGCAUGUGAUCAAAACUAGUAAAGAAUAAUGUGACAAAUCUGAUAAGAAAAGUAAGAUUUAUGAUCCUAGAAGACUAUGUAUGCCUAUGUCUAAAAAUAAGAACGAGUCUGAUAGGAAGUGCAUAUAUGUCUGGUAAGCAUAAGAUUUUUUUCUCAUGAGUGAGUCGAUGCAUGAUGAAUUGUGUCUAUCUCUAGAGUCAUCUAAAGGGGUUCAUCGAGACUAAAAACAUGAAUCUCUUAAAGGACAAGUCCAUGGGCGUGGUGCUAAAGACCAUAUCGUGUAAGACCGUAACUGGUGGGUUAUGGCAUCAUAUGGAAGAAUUUAAAGAAGAUUAUUACCUAAUGUGGUUCUUUAUGUACCCUAGGACGAUGAAGGGCAAACCUCACUAAGUGUGAGUCUAGGUAAAUCCCUAUCACCCAAAUCACCAAGAGACGAAAAACCUUUGUGGCGAACUUGUUAAAGGAAGCCUUUAUGGCUAUCUCAAAAAAAAAAAAGGAAUGCCUUUGUGGCAUAAUCUAAUGAAUGACCCUUGUGACAAAUAUUUGUAGGAAAAGUAUGUACAAAGAACUUUGUAAGAAUGAUAUGUAUGAAGGAAUGGUAAGUAUGGUAAACUCUGAAAGUUUGAUAUAUAAAUAUGGCCAACCUUGGAGGAACAAUAUGGCAGAAUCUGAAGGAAUGGUUUUGUAUAGUAUGACAAGGUGAAUCCUUCAUAUUAUGGGAUAUGAAAAUUAAAGGUAAAACGUGCCAAAUGUGUUUGGCGAAUCAAGAGUGUUCUGUCUGUAUGGUCCUUUGUAAUAGUAAAGGUUAAAGAAUCAUGAAUGGACAAGACAAAAAACAUGAACAAUGUAACAAUGACGUGAAAAGGCAAGUUAUGAUCGUUGUACAAGGUUUGAAAACUAUGGCAUGAUAAAUAGAAUCUUGGAGACGUAUUUGUCAGAGUUAAGCUAUAAAAAUCUAGAACAAGAAGAUAGAUAUUCUCGAAUAAGACUUGGGUAAAUUAGGGCUUACCCAAUGUAACGCCCCAAAUUUAAGUUUUUAAUUUUUGCAAUGUUUUGUCACAAAUUGCUUGUUUGCUUUAAUGGCUAAGUGAUUUGGGUGUGUAUGGGAGUGUUUGAGAAGCCUGGGUUCAAGUCUUGGCUUUUGCAGAAUUUUUAGUUUUGCUCUUAAUUAAAUCUGAACAUUGGUACUUAGGCCUUAUAAAUAUUAGUGUUGGUUUUAUAUAACAAAAAGAGCUUGUGGUCUGGUGGCAAGAUGGCGUGUUGGGUAACUGUGAGGUUUGAGGUUCAAGUCUUGGGUUGCGCAAUGGAAUAUUUAUUUUGUUGCUUGAGCUGGGUGGGUGGUGGAGUUGGACUAGAAUACUAUUGAGUGGAGUUUGAAUUGGUAAUGGAGAGAGUUGAGGAGGAUUUGAUGGAGAAAAUCAAGAAAGGAUAAGGGGAGAGAUUUGAGGAGAAAAUUUAGGAGUGGGUUGAGAGGAGAGUUUUGCCGUUUGGGGAGUUUUCACCUUGGGAAUUUUGGCUAGGGGUAUGGGUGUGCCAAAUUUGGUCUUUGGCAUUUUGGGUAAUCGGUGUCUUGCGUUGUUUUCUCUGCUUGUCUCGGUUUUGGUCAAUUUCGUAUUGCAGCUUUUGAUUUUUGGCAAGUUUCUUCUCGGGUUUGUACACUUUCCUAUUUCGUUUUCUUUUCCCCCUUCUCUCUGCUGGCCAAAUAUCCUUUUCUUCUUCCCUCUCAUUUUUGCUGCCAAAUUCUCCUUUCUUUUCCCCUUUCCAUCUCUCUCUCUUGGCCGAAUCCCUUUCCUCUCCCCUUUUUUUUCUUUGACUGAAUGUUCUCCUCUCUUUUUCUAUUUUGAUUCUUACCUAGUAUUAUUUUAUUUUGCUUUUGAACUGCGGACUAUCUCAUUUCUUUGUGUGGGGUUUAGCCGAUUGUUAUUUCUCUGUUCGAUCACUCCUUGCACUUAUCUUCUUUUCACCGCAGUUGAUGUUCAAGUGAUGCAAGUAUUGCAGAUUAUCGGUAAGUCGCGAUACUCCUCGCUUUUGUUUUAAUUGGUUGCUUUCCAUUCUUUAUCUUUAAGCCGAAUACCCUCUUGGCCACUAUUAUGGCCUAAUUUAGUCUAUGAAGGUCAUUGUGUGGUAUAGAUUAUCGUUGUAGCAUGUGAUUGCUUUUGGGUUAGCGGUUUCGAACAGUAGGGUUGCCCUCAUACAAGAAAGGUAAAGAUGGUGAUUUUUGGGUUGUGUCUUGUAAAAAAAGAGAGGGUGUUUUACCCUAACAGUUAAGGGACUGACGUUGGAUUAUGUUGAGUCUAGGUUGGUGUACGUGGAGGUUGUGCUCUUUUCGUAAUUAGGUGUGUAAUCACACCCUGUCAACUGCAAAUCAGCAAAAGCCGAAAAGCCAAAAAAGAUGGCGUUGAGACCAUAUGAGCGUGUGAACGCUCGUGUGGUAAACUGAACCCAUGAAACAUGGUGUUGGAUUGUAGAGGCUUCCAUGAGCAUUUUCAUGGGCUUAGGCCGAAAUGGGACACAAAUUACCAAAAUACACCUAUAGGGUAAUAUUAUCGAAAUACCCUCGAAGGGUAAAAUUAUUAAAAUACCCCUAUAGGGUAAAAUUACCAAAAUACCCCUGAAGGGUAAAAUGACCAAAAUAUCCCCGAAAGGUAAAAUGACCAAAAUACCCCAUAGGGUAAACUGACUGAUAUACCCCAAGAUUUGGAAAAUGUGUAUGACUAUUUUUGCUCUAUGGUAUAUGUACAUAUUUUUACUGAAUAUGACAUACUACAUACACGUAUGAUUUAUGACAUGACAUUCUGCAUAGGGUUGGGAUUCUGAUAUAGGGGAAGUAUACUAUACUGGUAGCUUUGCCACAAAUACUGUUACUGGCAGCUUUGCUGCAUUAUUGUUAUUGGCAACUUUGCUACGUUACUGUUACUGGCAGCUCUGUUGCACUAUUAUUUCUGGCAACUUUGCUGCGAUAUUGGUGUGUUCGCUGGGUGGGUCGAUUUUAUCCCUACAUGGUGUAUUGGUGGUAUGGAGUGGUGUGUUGGCUAGAUUGGGAUGGGUUGCAUCACUGCAUUGUAUUGUUUACUGUAUUGGGCUAAGGCCCACGCUGUUACUGUAUUAGGCUAAGGCCCACACUAUUACUGUAAUGGGCUAAGGCCCACACUAUACUGAUAUUGUAUAGGGCUUAGGCCCAGAUUGAUUCUGCAUUUUGCAUAGUGAUUGUUUAGAAGGGGAUUACACAUUGAGUUUUGUAAACUCACCCUCUCCUUUAAUUGUGCAGGUAAUCCUCAGCCAUAGGUCAUUCAAAGCUGCGAGGGACUCGAAGAAGGCCACACAAUCAUUGCUUUUCAUAUUUGCAUUUAUUCUGAUUUAAAUAAUAAGUUGGGUUUUGUUUUUGUAAUAAGGCCUUUAAUUUGGUUUUAAAUUUUAAUUGGGUUUUCACUUACUUAUUUUAUACUGCUAGUUAGUUGAAAAUGAAUUUUCAAAAUAAUUACUGUUUUCAAAGACACGGGCUUUAAAUGUUAGAGUUUUCAAAAUGCUUCCGCGUUUUAAAUCAACUUAAUAUAACAAAAAGCAGUUAACAAGGCAAACAUAUGAUUAAGUGUUUCGUUAGAUAUUUAUAAGAGGUUUCCAAAAUUAUGAAACAAGUUUGUCAACAAGCCAAAAUUUUUUAGAAACACUUCAAUGUGACACACCAGAUACGACCAUAACAUUUAGGCCGGAUGUGUGGUGUUACACCCACUAAGUUCUAUUGAACUUACCUCUGUGUCAUUAUGUCACAGGUAGGCAGAUUAGGGGGCAACACGAAGAGGGACGACACCAGGACUACACCAAGGGAGUGGUGAAAACGGGCUAUAUGCAUAUAGAGCAAAGGGAGCGGCGUGUUCAAGUCUGAUAGAAAUGUUAUGAAUAAGUUACGAAAUUUGUUUAGAAGCCUUGUGGUGUGUGUAAAAUGUGUUUGUAUUAUAAACGCUAUAAUGCCCUCAACCCAAAUCAAUUCACCAGAUCCGGAUCUUAAGUGUUACAUUGCUAUAACAAACUUAUACAUACAUAAAACAUGCAAAUUUUCAAAGAAAUACAUCUUAUUAGUAAUACUGCCCAACAAAGUUGCGUUUGGGUGAACAAUGUGUACAAAACUCAGAGUAUAAUUACCAUCACAUUGGUUUAUAUGAUCCCACUUAUUUAACCUCUAAAUAGUACUAUUGACUUAGAUUAUUUGGCCAACACAAUUGAGUGACCCUAAGGCUAAUAAAAAAAUUUUCAAAACUUGUUUGAAAUGUUUCUAUCAAACUCAAACACGCCCGUGCAACCCUCAUUUUCUAUUCUUAUAUGCCGACUUAGCCACUCCUUUGGGGCAGCACUAGCGUUGUCCCUCCUAACAUCUCUUUUACUUGAGAGAUAACACACAUAGGGGUAAUUUUGAUAGAACUUAGUGAGAAAAACCUCUUUUACCUGAGCCCUUAUUCAAGGAUUUCAUCAUUUGUUUCUCGUUCAUGACUUUGACCCUAUCAAUUGUAUAGACUUCGCCAUAACCUUCCAUAUUGGAUUUUCCUUUAAAGCUAAUCCAUAGUUACCAAAUCACGGACUAUUAUGUACGUCAUUCAUUCAGACUCUUCUUGAAGGCAUUCUCUUCAGAUAGUCAUCAUAAGAACCGUUCUAAAGAUUCUGCCACGAAGGCAUUCCCUUCCAGAGAUAGCCACAGAGCCUUUCUUUUCAGAGUCUCGCCAAAAAGGGUGUCCUUCUAAAAGAGAGAGCCAUAGAGACAUUCUUUUUAUCAAAGAUUGCCACAAAGGCUUCCGUUUAACAGAGAUCGCCACAAAAGCUUUGUUAUCAAAACUACCACAAAGACACUUCUUUAACAGAGAUAGCCACAAAAACAUCUUUUUAGAGAUAGCCACAAAGACAUCCUUUUAGAGAUAGCCACAAAGGCUUACUUAUACAGAAGUUGGUGUUUUUAACAAUAGGUGUUUGCUCAAUUGAUUAAACCGAAAUUGCCAAGAGGGGGUGAAUUGGCCUUUAAAAAUUUAGUGGAAGUAAAGAAAGAGUAUGAAACAAUGAACGUAAAGAUUUAGAGUGGUUCGACCCCAAUUACCUACUCCAGUACCUUAACUUUCCACGGCUAAGGAUUUUCCCAAAUUCACUAAUUUGUUCAACCUUUGAGGACAAGGUUUAACCUUAGAACUCUCUUAAGAUCUCUACCCAAAUCUUAAGAGAAAUCCUCUUAAAGAAUUACAAAGAAGAAAACUAAGAAAUCAUCCUCAUAAGAUCAGAAUGUUUGCCAAUAAAGAAAAAAUAAAAACAGGAAUACACUUGAGCUAAGAAUAACAACAAAAGCUCACAAGUGUGUAAAAGAAAAGUAUGAAAGAAUUGAGCACUAAGGUUGAAUUGAUUGAUAUUUAGGCUUGAUUAUCUCUCUUGUAGUUGUAGGACCAUCAGAAGUUGAUAUUUAUACCUUCUAAUACAUUUCCAAUCAUUGUGGUUGUUGGGAGAAUAAAUCAAGUCGUUGGGAUAGAAAUAUCAAACCAUUAAAUUCACCUGUAACAAUAAGUAUCGAUACUAUAAGCAUUUAAUGUCUGAUUCAAUGACCGUUAAAGUUAGUUUCCAAUGAUACCAAACAAUGAUUUAUCAAUAUCUGGUAAAAAGUAUCGAUACAAUUUUAUGGGUAUCAAUACUUUUUGAUGUUUUUCAAUAGAUCAUGAAAAACAGAAUGCAAAAUUAGUAUUGAUAUAAAUUUGGGUAUCGAUAAAAAUCAAUAGGUAUUGAAAUAAUUUUAAAGGUAUCGAUACUAAUAGUUUGUAUUCAAUUUUUUUGUUCAAAACAAAGAACAGAUUUGGUAUUGAUAAAAAUUAAGGUAUCGAUAAAAAUUGUGUAAGUAUCGAUACAUUUUGGAAAACAUUGAUACUUCUUGUUAGGAGUAGUUUUUCAAUUGAUGUGAAAUGGUUUUGAUUAAAUUCAAGAUUUUAAAUUUAUUUUUUAAAAUUGUCAAAAAUAUUGUAAGUGUUUACAGCAUUUUCUAAGAUGUUUGGAAGUUUUGAAAUAUUAUUUAUGCUUUAAGUUCUUUGUUCAAAAUAAAAACAAAUUUAUAUAUUAAAGAUAUGUUUUUUAUAUCAAAAUAAUUUAACAAAUAAAGCUAGUUCAACAAUCUCCCCCUUUUUGAUAUAACAAAAUAUUUUGGUAAAUUUAUUUUUGAAUUUCUUACUCCCCUUUUUAAAGUUCAAUUUGAGUCAAUGACUUGGUUUUUUUGUGAAAUUGUGAAAACAAGGAUUUGACAAUAAAAAAAUAGUCACUUGAUGCUGGCAUUAAAAGAUUAGUCAUAAAAUCAACCAAAUACCAAUAAUUUACCUUUAUCUUAUUUUCUCCCCUUUUUGUUAUAUUAAAAAUUAACAAAUAAAGCUUAAGAGAGACUUCAUUAGUUCAAUAAAAGAGUAAAUAAUUUGAAAAACAAAUAAAUAACAUAGAUGUUUCAAAAACAAGUCUCACAAUUAAGAUACCAAAAUCAACAUUAAGUUCUAACAUAGAAUUAAGAAAAUAUGCAACAAAGAUGAGUGAAAUGCAUGAGAAAAAGAAAUAUAUGCGUCCUAGUCUUCUUGAGGUGGAGAAGGAGAAGAUAAUUGAUACAUUAUAAAUGAAAUAUUUUCCUUCAUCCUAGACAUCCUAGAGUUUAAUCCAAGAACCUUAUCAUUAACAUGCCUAAAGGCAUCAUCUACCUGAGUGCUGAAACCCCUAAACUCCUCACUCAAGGAGGUAAUUGCGCCAAGGGUGGUGAUAAACAUUUCGUCAGAGAGAGGCUGAGCAGAUGCUUGUGCGAAGGAAGAAGCCGGUGGAGGGUCUUGGUCUUUUUCAAGUUAUUCAUUAUGAAAAUCAUAAGGAACAUGGUGAACAUCUUUAACCCAAGUCUUGGCAGUAGGAUACAGUUUAAAACCAUCUCUAGAAAGGGUAAAAAAGCUAAUAGGUUCGUGUUUAACAGCCAAAGGAGAAUCAACAUUAGUGGGGAUGUUAAGACAUUUGAAAAUGUAUGACAAGAAUUUACCAAAGGGCAGAGAGAGUUUACUCUAGAGCUUUUGAACAAUACAUUUGGUAAUGUCAUUGAAUAAAAUUAAAGCCAAAUCUGUACGCCUAUUGCAGUGAAAAGAAUCAAUCCACCAAUAGUCAGUAGAUCAAAGAACAAUAUGUUUUGAAAUAAGAUGUAAUAUCCAUGUAAUUAUAAAAUGAAAAAUGUGAUCAUGGACAUCUAGCUCGGAUGCAAACGAGUGUCGAACGUUCAAGGCUAGAUUAUAAGAGCCUUUCUCAUUUGACUCACCUCGGGGAGGAAGUUUCAAAAAAAUCACUGAAAUUUUCUAAAGUGAGACGAAUAGGAGUAUUCAUAAGAAAAGAAUUUAUAGCAACAACCAUCUCACUGGAUGGAAAAUUGAUUUUGCCUAAAAAAUCGAUAUCAAGGGUGCAAGAAACAUUAACAUUUUGUUUUAGAACAUAGUGACUAAAAUGGUAAGAGUUUGUUUGGGAAGAUUGUUAAACACUUUGUGAGCAAUAAGUUUGAAUAAUUUUUUUAAGAGUUUGUUUAAAACUAGGCAACCACCUACAUGAAAACACAUGUAAUAGCUUGGUUUUAGUUAAAUCGAAACAGUGGUUUUAGAACCCCAAAUCAAAUGAUUUAGUUGGUUCGGAAAAAAAAUGGUUUGUAUAUGAAAUAUGACUAGUAGACAUGAAUUGUGAUAAAUGACUGUGUUAGUCUGUGUUGAGUUAGGUAGUGCCUCGUAGCCCUAAUCCGACAACGGAUACGGGUUGUGGGUGUUACAACACAUUCGAAAUCAACCCAAAAAUAAAAUUUCCAAUCAACAAUUUAAAAGUAAUUCAACAAAUUUCGUAGUAGAAAAAUAAGAGUUUUACCUUGAAAUUGAUUUGAAAAUUUAAAAAGUGAGAGCAAACUUGAAGAAUUCUUGUAGAAUAUGAUAAUGUAGGUGAUUUGAGUCAAGUUUUUAAAGAGAAAAAAGGAAGAAAUAGAAAUUUUUGAAGAGUGGGUUGAAAGGGUUUUGAAAAUUGGAAAAAAAUAUUUAAGGUUUAGUUGAGAAACAAGUUGUAGGUACCUUAAAAGUUCAACGAGUAUCAAUACUCUUAAAAUAAGUAUUGAUAUCUUUCAAAAAGUAUCGAUAAAAUUGUAUCAGUAUCGGUAUCAAAUGCUGAAACUAUUUUCCAAAGUGCAAAAAAUUUUCUUAACAUGAAUUUUAAGUUCUAACUAGUUCUAUACUAACUUAGGAUGACUUGACAACAAUAUCUGAUGAGUUCAUAUGUUUGAAUAUGCCAAACAUGAGUAUGAUGCAUAUGAAACAUAUAGUAUUGUGAGGUAUGCAAAAAUUGAACAAUUUCAUCAAACAAAGUCUAAUUGACCACAUUCAAAUAUAUUCAAAAUUUUUAUGCUAGACAAUAUUGAUCAAACUAGAUUAAUCAUGCAACAAUUAACUCUCCCUACCUAAUUGUAUAUAGAAGUCAUAAAAAUCAUGCAUAGUUACUUUUGCAAUCAAUUUUAAGUCAUAAAACAUUUCAAAGACAACAAAGUACAAAAAAAUCAUUUGAACACAAAAUUAAGGUAAGGUAGCAAUAUCUAGUUCUCUCCUAAGUGUCCAAAAUCUUUCUUUGUCUAAAGGUUUUGUAAAAAUAUCAACUAAUUGAUUUAAGGUGUCAACAUACUCUAGAACAAUCACUCCUUUUUGGACAUGAUCUCUAAUGAAAUAAUGUCUAAUAUCAAUAUGUUUAGUUCUAGAAUAUUGGAUAGGAUUUUUAGUGAGAAAAAUAACACUAGUAUUCUCACACUUGAUAGGAAUGAUAUCUAUAUGAAUUCCAUAGUCCUUAAGUUGUUUUUUAUCCAUAAAACUUUAGCACAAAAGCUACCGGCAGAAAUAUACUCUGCUUCGGUGGUGGACAAUGCAACACUAUUUUGUUUCUUUGAAACCAAUGAUGUGAGCAUGUUGCCUAAGAAUUGAAAAGUACCAGAGGUGCUCUUCUUAUCUAGUUUGCAUUCUCCAAAAUCUGCAUCUGAGAAUGCAAGCAAGUUAAAAGAUGAGUCUCUAGAAUAACAAGGCCUUAAAUUAAGAGUGUCUCUAAGGUAUCUAAAGAUUUUCUUAAGGGCUUGUAAAUGAGAUUCUUUAGGACAUGGUUAAAAUCUAGCAUACAAACAAACACUAAACAUGAUAUUGGGUCUACUUGCGAUAAGAUAUGUUGGAUGGCCGGUACGCCCUGUGACACAACUAAAAAAUUAUUUCGACGACUAUCAACCAAGGAUCCAUGUAUGAGGAAUGAAUCAGGAUGAAACAAUGGUAAAAAAAUAUACCUUUCAAAACUAAAAAAUGGUGAAUAACGUUGUUGAUAGGAUCCCUUUUGGAGAUGUCGAUUCCAAGCCGCAACAAUAACGUCUCGGCCUCUACGUAUCCACCCAGUCAAAUAAUGAAUAGCAAAAUUCUCUUGAACUUUUUAGAGAGAAUUUUCAAGAAGCUAGACUUUUUUCAUUUUUUUUCUUGGCAACCCUAACACACUAAGGGAUUCCUUUCCUUUUAUUUAGUUUGAUAUCAUAUAUCAGGAAAUAAAAAAUGAGAUUAUUCCCUUAUUAUUAAAUAAACAAAUGAAAAGUCAAGAAAAAUAUUAUAUUCUUUCCAAAAGAAUAUAACUUUCCAUGUCCUUUUAUGUUUUGAUUGAAAUUAUUAUAACUGUUUAUAUUAAUAAUUUUGGUAAAAUAUAUAUAAUUAAUAUAUUGCAUUAAUCAAAUGCAUAUAUUAAAUUUAUUUAUGUUCUCUAUUUGUGUACAAUAAGAUUGUACAUAUAAUGUGUUUAGUAUUUAACUAGCAAAUUAAAUUAAUUCAACAAUUAAUUUAAUUCACGUGACAGCUAAAUACAAUACUAGAUGUAUUUGGGUUUUGUUAGCAUCAACUAUAGGGUAUGAUACUGCAUCUAACAGUCCGUUUUCAGUGAAAUCGGAACAAUGGUUUCAGGACCACAAAUCCUAUGUGAAAAUAUUUAUUUUAUUAUUAUUUUAACUUCUACAACAUAUUAGUAUUACCGUAUAAAAAUUUCAUUAAGAAAUUUUACUGUCUGUAUGUUUGUUUUGAUAAAAAGGACUAAAUUGCAUAACGUGCAAAACUAGAGUUCUAUAGCCUAAAGGCAUUAAAUAGCUAUAGAACCUUAAAGUAUGAGUUCUUAUGUGGAAAUUAGACCAUUCAUGUUGAUAGUGGAAUGUGAUGGAUAGGUUUUAAUGAAAUAUUAAAGGUUUUUAAAGGUUAUUUUUGUAAAUGAACAAUUAAGUAAAUUAAAAGUAAAAUGGUAUCAUCUCCUUCAUCCAUUUAACCUAAAAGCACCGAAAUUUCUUUGAUAAAAGGGGGAGGAAUUGGAUAGGGUAAAAUCUUCAUGCAUGGUAGGUUUUCAAGUCCAUUUUAACAAUUUUUAUGUUUUCGGGAUCGUUGUAGCUUAAUCUAGCUAGCCCGGGGACUAAUUUGCAAAAUUUUUAAAUGUUUAGGGUUUUAACAAGAAUUUAUAUAUAUUUUUAUGAUGUUUGAUCGAAGAAAAUGAAUGUUUUUUGUUAGAUACACAACUUUUGUUAAGAGAUUUUUUAUGAAAUUGUUAAUAAGGGAUUAAAUUGAAAAAUAGAAUUUAUACAUGGUGAAAUUGUGAAAUUAAUGAAAUGUAGGUCUUGCUAGGGACCAUAUGAAAUUCGACUAUGGUGGUUUAAGGAUGAAUUGCAUGAAUUUUCAUUUUAUGAACUAGGGACUAAAUUGAAAUGAAAUUAAAAUUAUUGGGGCAAAAAUGUAAUUUUGCUAAAAUCUAAUUAUUAAAUUGAGCUGAAUUUAUUCGUUUAGAUCAAGAAAAAUAUCGUAUGGCUUUAGAUCGGGGCAAAGAUGAAGUUUCGGAAUAAUCGCCUUCGUAUCUUUGUUUAAUCGUCGAUGUAAGUUUGUGUAAUUAUAUUGCAUUUGUAUGUUCUGUGUUAAUAUAUAUAUGUAUCAUGGAUUGUUAUUAUUAAUCUGUUGCAUAUCCAACAAUGUUACAACGACUAUCAAACCCCAUGUGAGCCUUAGGAAUUCGUAGGAUACAAAUGACAUGUCAUUAGUGUUUACAUGAUUCGGGUGCUAGUCUUGAAUGUCCUACCGAUGACUGAGGUCUGACAUGUGCUGCGGAUACUCCACAACUCGUAUGAGUAGGCCCAUUUUCACAGCUAGUGUGAGCAUUCUGAUUCACAGCUCGUGUGAGAAUACAUGUACAGGAAUUGACGGAUUACAGUUAUAUAAGUUAGCACACUAUGUUUGAGCUAUCUCGGGUAUCCAACAGUAUUCUAAAUGGUUCAACGGGCGUGAUUUGUAAGAGAAUGGUAAGAUUUCGGUACGAACUAAUACAUGAACACAUGUGAAUUACAUUGAAUUUGUGAUGCAUGGUAUAAUGAAAUGUUGAGAUGGAUGAUAUAUGCAUAUGAUACAUUAGACAAUUCAUAGAGUUUAGGUAAAUUUUGAAAUUUUCACAACAGACUCUAACUGAUGUUUCCGACACAUCUGCAUCUGUAACUUUUAACUGAGGAAUGCUGCAUUUCACGAAAAGCUUCAAAUAAUAUCAUUUAAAUAUAAUCAGGAAAUUCUGAUCUAGAAGAUAUAUUCCUAUAUCAUGUCUUCUAGAAUAUUAAUCCUUCAUUCUGAUUGUCCGUCUAUUUACCCGUGAACCAGCAAAAUUUAUUCUCGAAUCUAGAGAUGUACUUGAAUAUAUAUAAAACUUAUCUAACUUUUCCAGUGAAUAAUUCGCCCUGACUAAAAUAAUUGAGUCAAACUUAUCAUUCGAAUAAUAACAUUUUAGAAUAAUUCUUUCUUCUUGUUGUCGUGAUAACCCAGACACAAAGUCUAUCAUGAUUCCUUCAGAAUACCAAUUAGAGAUCAUCACCAACUGUAUUACUGAUAUGAAAUAUGAUGUCCAAUUUUUGGCUUGUUGACAUAAUCUAAGAUUACUUGAGUAGUGAGAACUAUCAUGCGAGGUUAAGCUCGAUCUUUCACCAUCUAUAUUUUUGUCGUUAUCCAUUCCCGUCAUGAAAGUUCAACCAUCAAUAAUGCACUCCAAAACAAAAGAGGAAAAUCGGAUGUAGUUCCAAUAACAACUAGUGCAACAACACAACCUCUAAAAACCUGUGAUCUGUAUCACCGUGCUCCCAUGAUCGAACCAGGAAUUAUAAUCAUAAUAGAUGUAAUUACCUCCGGCCAAUGAAUAUCCUUUAAAGAUGAACCAUGUUUGAUAGAUUAAAUAAUAAGAAUGAUAAGAAAACUGAGAUAAUGAAAUCCAAGAUUUGAAGCUCUACUAAAUUUCUGAAAUUACAACCUAUAUUGAAUGAUAAAGAGAUUGAUGAUACCCCAAAGAAAAUCCAGAAGAAGAAUAUCUCUCAUACGCAUUGGAAUCAAUUGUGGCAGAGAUAACAUAAAUUUGUAUAUAUAUAAUUUAGAUUAUCAAUCAGAAGAAAAAAUAAAAUAAAAUCAUAUGAGUCUUAUCAUUGAAUCUUCCACUGAACAUAAUAGAAUAGAAUGCCAAAGAAAAAUAGAGUAAUGUCAAUUAUUAAUCAACUAGACUAAUAAUACCUCUGUCUAACGUUACAGUUAGCUAACAUUCUCAUAUGAUAAGAAUUACAUCUGAAGAUGAACAAUUGCAUAUGCCUCUGAGGAUAAAAGAUCAUAUAGAAUAUCUAGAGGAGAUCAUUGUAAGAUACUCAACUAUAACAGCUGCAUUCAAAUAUAUUUACAGUUCAAACACUAUCUCACAGAUUACUAAAGUCAUUGAUGAUCUCACAUUUUCUCGUUCCACUAAAGAAAUCAAUUCAGAAGAAAUUUUGGUUAACCCUUUCUUUAGAUACCAUACCUGAAUAAGUCAAUUAUUCAUGAAUAAAUUCUUCUUUAACAACAACUUUACAUAUCCCGAAUGAUCUUCAGAGAAAUCUAAUCUCUUCUAUUACUAUCUUUAUUUCCUAACCAAUCCUUGGCUCUUACAACAUUAUUACUAAUUCAAUUGUUGAAUUCUUUAGCUUCUCUUUUAUCGACUUAAUCAACAUAAAUAUUGUAAAUUCCAUUGUAUAAGACUUUGAGGGUGAGGGUGGAGAUCGUAAAACCACUAAAUUUAAUUCUCAUAUAUACACAUCAAAAACAUAUCUUUCUUUAAUGACAUAACAUUAUGAAUCUUUACUUUUACCUUUAUAUGUUUCUACUCCUCAUUAGCAACCUUUUAAUCAGAUACUUGAGUAUUGCUUUCAGCAUUUUCGGAAUUAGCUUAGUUGAAAAACAUCUUUGUCUAAAAAUGAAACAAACCUCAUCAGAGUCAAGAGAUAUCACGCUAUUACAGGUUAUAUAACAACAUGUAUUUCUAGACAUCAUACAUGCUAUGUUCAGUUCGAGAACCGACUAAACUAUAGCUCCGAUACCACUAAGUGUAACACCCCUAAUCUAUACCCGUCGUCAAAAUAGGGUUACAGAGCAUUACCAUAAAAAUGUAACUCAAAUCAUUCAUUUCCAACCAUUUCAUAAAUCAUCACAUAAUCCAUUCAAACUCAUACAUAUCGUCCCUUAUUCGGGCCCUCGAGGCCUUAAAAACACUUUAGAAACGAUUCAGGACUAAAUCAGAAACAUUUAAAACUUUAUGGAAAAAGAUAGAAAAUUUCACACUAUAGGGGUCACAUAGCUAUGUGGCCAGGCCUUGUGACUCACACGGCUGAGACACAAGCCUGUGUCUUAGGCCGUGAAGGCAUUCGAAGAAGGGACACACGGCUAAGUCUCAGCCUAUAUUAGUGCCCGUGUAAUUCACUAACUUAGGUCACACGGACAAGCCACACAAUCAUGUGCCAGGCCAUGUAACACUCGAACUGCAACCUUUAAAACCUACAAGGAACACACAUGCUCGUGUCAUAGGCCGUGUGGACAAGAUAUAGGCCAAAUUCAAACCAUUUCUUUCACCUAAUUCAAGCACACACCUAUAAGCCAUUUGCAUAUAUAAUCAAGCCUUAAAACUUACCUAAAACAUGCAUAAUAAGACCUAAUCGAAUACCAAAUUCCAUUCAACCAAUAUGCCAUAUAGGCACCUCAAAUGCAAGCAUACAAUUUAUCUAAACAUAUACAUGUACUUAACACAUUAAAUUCAUCAACACUCAAUUCAUUUUCCAUUAUAAAACUCAUCAUAAAUUGACCACAUUUAUACCAUUACGAAUAUUUCAUUUCUACCUCAAAGCAUAACUCCACUUAGUCUCAUAUAAACAUAGAAAAUAUGGUCAUACCAAAUAUACCUAGACAUGUACACAUUUAAGCAUACCAUAUUAGAAUCAUGCCAUAUCAAAAUAACCUUACCAUUUGGACAACUUCUCACAUGCAUCAAAGUCAUCUAAAUGACACCAAUCUAGUCAUUACCAAAUGGUUCCAACAACUAAUAUAUAUACAAACCAUAUUUCAAUCAUAUGCACAUCUAUUCAAAACCUUUCCAAAGCAUACUAUAACUUGACCAUAUUGAGGUCAAUUCAUUACCUACUAUUUUGGCCACUCAAACAUGCAUUAACAUAUUUUCAAAAUGAACCACGUUAAUAAGGCAUCAAAAGUACCAAGGUUACAUCAACCAAAAUGAAAUAUACAUGCCAAAUUCAUCAACUAUUAUAAACCACAAGUCCACCUAUACAUGCCAUUAUGACCUUGAUCAAAACAUCAGAAUCUACCAAUUUAAUCUCUAGAUAGUGUGAUAGGGCUCUGACGAGCUUCCAAACCAGUUGAGCUUCCGAUAAUUUGUAAAGUAAGAGAAAUAUAACUACGUAAGCAAUGAAUGCUUUGUAAGCUCGUAGAACAUGAAACAUAACUUAUCACUUCAAUACUAUAAUACAUAGAUUAACACUAAUACUUUAAACUUGGUAUAAACCUAUUGAACACCAUUCAACUCACAUUUGAGUAUAUUAAUCAGCAUCACAUAUCUUUUUCAUAUAUAACAUAUUGGGACUUAUAAGUCAUAAACAUAAUCAUCAACCUUUUUCAUAAGAUCAUGAAUCAUUCUAGUUACUUACUUUCCCUUCCGUUCUGAAUGCUUAGCAUAAGCAUAAACAACACUAUCAUUUUACGAAUUAUUGUAUUUAUCCAUGCUAUAGGUACAUUCUUUCAUAGAAUAAAUAAGCUUCUCACAUAUAAAUACAUCGUUUAUCAUAUCAAACCUUUUAUAGCAUCAUAAUGCAUCCCAAUUAUGAACUUACCAUUUCAUUCCCUUUUCUUACCCAUUUCAUAUACAUAGUACAGGCAUAAGAAUAAACAUCAAUCAUAACCAUAAGUUUAGCACAAGCCUAAGCACAUCAACAACACAUGUUAGUUCAUUGAAACAUAAUUCAUAUGAAUUUAACAUGGAUAACCAUUAUACUUAAGUAUGAUUCAAUUGGAUUUAUCAUCCAUCAUAACAUAACAUGCUUUUCUUGUAUCUCACUAUUUUAUUGUACUUCAUAAAUACGUGUCUUGGUUCAUAUUGAACACAUACCUUUCCUUUCCUUUUUCAUGCCCAUUGAACCGUUUAGAAUAUCAUUGGAUACGCGGGAUAGCUCACACUUAGUGUGCUAACAUAUAACUAUAUCAUUUCAUUUCCUUUACAUCAUUUGUUACACAAGUUUUAAAAUAUGUCUACUCAUACGAGCUACGAAAUAGGCCUGCUCACACGAGCCAUGGGUCGGAAUGUAAGCUACACGAUGCUGCUCACACGAACUGUGGAGUAUUUGCAGCACAUGCUGGACCUUAGCCAUCAGUAGGACAUUCAAGACCAGCACUCGAAAACAUGGAAACCCUAAUGGCAUGUCAUUUGUAUCUUAUGAAUUCCAAAGACUCAAAUGAGGCUUGAUAAUCGUUGUACGUCGUUGGAUUUCCUUCGUUUCAUGACAUGAUAAAUUGCAUAAUAACAUAUAUAUAUUGAAUCAUUUAAAUUAGAAUCAACACAUUAACAAUCAAUUAAAUCAACAUUUAAGUGAUUAUAGUUCAUACAAACUUACCUAGCUAAAAUGCAGAAAUGUCAAAGUAUAGGGGUUUUUUGGUAAAUUUCUAUUCUUCUCGAUUUUCCACCCGAACUUGAUCUAAAUUACUAAUUUCAUUCAAUUUAUUAAUUUAGAUAGUGAAACCACUCCAUUUUAUGCAAUUUACUCAUUUUUACAUUUUUAUAAAAUUGCGUUUAACAUUUUACUUUUAUUCAAUUUAGUCCCUGAGCCUAAAACAUGCAAAUUAACAAUUUUUAAUGAAAACUCAUGCCAACAGAAUAUUCAUGGCAUCCAAUACAGCCCACAUUUGUAAUAAUUUCACAACAAAUCCUUGUAUUUUUAUUAUUCCAAUAAUUUAGUCCCUAAUCGGUAAAUUCAUCAAAUUUACUUAAGAAAGUACUUAUAAAUAAUAAAAAAUACCUUAAAUUCAUCAUUUAAUAUCUAAAAUCGCAUAGAUUCAUCAAUGACAACAUACAUUAUAUUUAACAAUUUCAAAAUCAAAGGUACAAACUAGCUAGACCUAGUUACAACAAUCUUAAAAACAUCAAAAUUAUUAAAAACAUGUAAGAAUUACUUACCAUGGAUGAGGAAAUCACCAUGGCCAAACCUAAAUUCAUUUCCAUAUACAUUCGGUUGUAUUUGGAGAAGAAAACCAAAAAGAUGAUGAUAAUUUAGCAUUUUGUUUCUUUUAAUUAAUUUAAUUAUAAAAUUACCAUUUUGUCCAUUUAAAUAUCAUCCAAAUUUCAUGAUUUUAGUUUCCCAAAACCAUCCACUAAAUCCUUUAAUGGUUUAAUUACCAUUUAAGUCCCUUUUCCUUUAUUCAAUAAGCCAUUUAAUCACUCCAAAAAAUAGUGAUCAAAUUUUACAUCCUUUACAAAUUAGUCCUUUUUAAUUAAUUAACUAUCGAAACAUUAAAAUUUCUUAAUGAAAAUUUACUAAAACAUUAAUAACACUCUAUAAAUAUUUAUAAAAAUAUUUAUAGCUCAGUUUGUAGAAACGAGGGCCCAAUACCUUAUUUUCUAAAACCACUUGAGCUUAGGGUCUUACCACUUGAGCUUAAUAAAUCAUUUAUAUAACAUUAAUUACCAUAUCAAAAACCUUUUUAAAACCAUAUUUGACUCGUAAAUAUUAAAUAAAAAUAUUUACGAACUUACUUGUCUGAUUUGUGGCCCUGAAACCACUAUUUUCGAUACCAAUAAAAAACAAGCUGUUAUAGAUAUCGAUAACUCCUUACAAAAUGACACCUACAGAAUUGAAAGAGCUAAAAGCACAGCUACAAGAGUUGAUAGAUAGGGGUUUUGCUUGGCCCAGUUUCUCUCAUUAGGGUGCUCCAGUGUUAUUUGUUAAGAAAAAGGAUGGGUCCAUGAGAUUAUGUAUUGACUGUCAAUAGCUAAAUAAAGUCACGAUCAAGAAUUAGUAUUCAUUGCCACGUAUUGAUGAUCUGUUUGAUCAGUUGAAAGGUAUGACAGUGUUUUCAAAGAUUGAUCUUCGUUCUGAUUAUUAUUAGUUGCGAGUUAAAGACUCAGAUGUGCCGAAAACCGCGUUCAAGACCAGGUACGGACAUUAUAAAUUUCUUGUGAUGUCAUUUGGUUUAACUAAUGCACCUACAGUAUUUAUUGAUUUAAUGAAUAGAAUUUUUAGAUCGUAUUUAGAAAGAUUCGAUGUAGUAUUCAUUGAAGAUAUGCUGAUUUAUUCAUGGGAUGAGACAGAGCAUGCUGAGCAUUUGAGAAUUGUUUCGCAAACUUUACGCAAAAAGAAAUUAUUCAUUAAGUUUAGCAAAUAUGAAUUUUGGCUUCGGGAAGUCAGAUUUCUGGGACAUGUUGUAUCAGACGAUGGCAUUAGAGUUGAUCCGAGCAAAAUUUCAGCUGUUGUAGAUUUGAAGCCUUCGAAAAAAGUAUCUAAAGUUAAAAUUUUUCUGGGUUUAACCAGAUAUUAUAAAAGAUUCAUUAAGGGAUUCUCGAUGAUUGCUACACCAUUGAUGAGACUAUUGCAAAAAAUGUUAAGUUUUAGUGGUCUGAAAAAUGUCAGCAAAGCUUCAAUUAGUUAAAAGCAUUGUUAACCGAGGCACCAGUGUUAGUUUAGCUAGAGUCGGGUAAAGAAUUUGUGAUUUAUAGUGAUGCAUCAUUAAACGGUUUAGGUUGUGUUUUGAUGCAAUAGGGCAACGUGAUAGCAUAUGCCUCUAGACAGUUGAAACCGUACGAAAAGAAUUAUCCGACGUACGAUUUAGAGCUUGCAGUGAUUAUUUUUGCUUUGAAGAUAUGGCGACACCAUUUGUACAGAGAAAAAUGUCAUAUCUUCACAGAUCAUAAAAGUCUGAAAUACUUGAUGUCAGAAAAAGAUUUAAAUCUGAAACAGUACAGAUGGCUUGAGUUAUUGAAAGAUUAUGACUUGAUCAUUGAUUAUCAUCCAGGAAAGGCUAACAUUGUUGCUGAUGCUUUGAGUAGAAAAUCUCUAUUUGCUUUGUGAGCUUUGAGCAUGCAGUUGAUGUUGAUUGAUUAUGGUUCGAGCAAGCGGUUGACUUUGAGGAGAAAAUCUUUUUUGUUCAUAACCUUAAAAGAGCUAAAAAUUCAUUUUUAAGAGGGGGAAGCUUUCGGCUAUGGAAAAUCCUUCAUGCAAGGUAAAUUUUCAAUCUCGUUUUUAAUGAUUUUUAUGUUUUCGGAGUCGUUAUAGCUUAAUCUAGCUAGCCCAAGGACUAAUUUGCAAAACUGUUAAAGAUGUAGGGUUUCACCAUGAGUGUUCUUGCAUGAUUUAUGAAGUUUAAUAAAAGAUUAUGAGUCAUUUUAGAUAAAUAAAAAAGUUUUGUAAAGUGAUUUUUGGUGAAAAUGUCAUUUUGGGACUUAUUUGUAAAAGUAGUAAAUUAUCAUGGGUAAAUUGUGAAAUGAUGAUUUCUAUGUGUUCUUAAUAAAUACGGCUAGCAUGAGUUAGGGAUGAGAAUGUUUAGAUUUCAAUUUACGAGUUUAACGACUAAACUGUAAAAAGGUUAAAAUGUUAGGGGUAAAAUUGUUAUUAUGUAUAAAAUAUGGAUUAUGGAUUGAAUUGAAUGUUUGAGAUUUAUUGAAACACUUAAUUGAUUAUAAUUAUUUAUUUAGAUUAAGAUAAAUCUCAACCAGAUCUAAACUGAGGAAAGGCGAAAGUCACGGAUUAGCUCGAUCGUACUUUUACGCUCUAAUUGUCAUCUAAGUUCCUAGUAUUUCUAUACGUAAUUGAAUUUCUACUUGUAUGUUUAUAGUAUAGUUAUGUAAUUAAUUUCUUAUACUUAAUUAUUCCCUAAAUUGCACAUACGUGUCCCUGUUACUACUUUGUUACCCCUAAAUUGCAUAUAUGUGCCCUUGUUUACACUCUGGUAACUUCAAAUCUAGUAAAAUAAGAGUUGCAUUCAAUUCUUGUUAAGUUAAAAGAUUUACUAUGUUCUUACUAAGCUUUAUAAGCUUAUACGAUUUUUUGCAUUGUUUUGUAGAUCGUUGUUGCUGAAUUUUAGACGGAUCGAAUCUUCGCCUCACACUAUCCAUCGAUGUUGAUAAUUCUUGUGCUCCUUAGGGUUGUGGCAUGUAUAUGUGGCUAUAUAGGUUGUUAUGGUACAUUUUCAAAAAAUACUAAACUAAGUUAUUAGGAACUUUACUGAGGUUUUAAAUAGAUAUCUUUUUGGUACAAUUAGAAUGGUAUAAAAGUACACACUUGUGGUUUGAUUUGGCUUGGUGGAGAAUUAAGUUGCUAUACUAGAAAUGGUAUUAAUUGUUGUAUGUUUUAAGAUGAUACGGAACUAGAUGUGUAUGUUGGAAGUAAGGUUAGUUAUGCAUAUAUUUUGAUAAGUUUAUUUGAUUGUGAUUGAGGUGCCUUAUAAGGCACAUUGGUUGAAUGGAUUUUGGAUCUUUUGAAUUGGUUAAAUUAAGCAUGUUUUGGUAGGUUUUUGGUGCAUUGAUCAUAUGUGUAUAUGGCUUGUAGGUACUUGUUAGAAUGGGUGAAAGAAAUGGCUUGAUUUUGGCCAACUUCUUGUCCACACGGCCAAAGACACGGGCAUAUGUCUUAGCUGUGUGUGACACACAGCCAUGCCACACGACCGUGUGUCCCCUAUAGGUUUUAGAGGUUGAAAGUUAGGCAAUUACAUUGCCUAGCACACAACCUGGCACGUGGGCGUGUGAGGCCAUUUCAAUAGUUACAUGGCCUGGCACACGGGCGUGUGGCUUGGCCGUGUGACCUAAGUCAGAGAGUUACACGAGUAUAGACACAAGCUGGGACAUGGUCGUGUGUCCCUAUUUCGAUUGUUACAUGGCCUGAGACAUGGGCGUGUGUCUCAGUCGUGUGAGUCAUAGCCUAGUGACCCUUACAAUUUGAAAUUUUCUAACUUUUUCCUCAAUGUUUCAAAUGUUCCUGAUUUAGUCCUGAAUCGUUUCGAAAGUGAUUCUAAGGCCUCGAGGGAUCGAAUAAGGGAUGAUAUGCAUGUAUAUUAUUAGGUUAUGCUAUUUUUAUUGAAAUGUUUAGAAAUGAAUGAUUUUAAGUUACAUUUAUUUGGUAAUGCUCCGUAACAAUAAUCCGACAACGGAUACGAGUUAGUGGUGUUACGCAUAUUAUCGUAAAUAUACUAAAAUAUAAAUAUUUUCUUUCAUGGAUGGUUCGAAAACUGUUCAAAGUUUUCUUUUCAUUUUUCAUUCACACUUAAAGAAAAUCCUAAUCGAUCCUAUGGCCAUAGGACAUAUCUCUACUCGUCGUUUUUAUUCUUCCUACUCCUGAGCUUGAUGAACUUUUAGUAAUGUGCCUGAGCCACCUCUAGAAGUUUCAUUGUAGGUUCAUUCCUAGUCGCAAAAGGGGUAGAUUCUUUUUUGAGUUCUUUAAUCUGUUCACAUAUGUCUUGGCCUUACUGAGCAAAAAUCUGACCGUCCUUGUGCAUUAUUGCAAACACCUCUUGUGGGCUUAAUGCCAUUUGUUCCAUUGCGAUAAAAUGCUCUGCAAGCUCUGUAUAUACUUCCAUGACCUCUUUGUUUUGCUCUUUUUUGUCUUUAAUUCUUUAGUUAGAUGAAAAAUUUCCUCCUUUAACACCUCCACUUUAGUAGUUUUCUCAUUAAACACCCUCCUCUAAGUUCACUCUUGUUCUCGCACUUUUUGGAGUUUAUUAGCCCAUAAACUUAGAUCUGCCUCCAACCUCUGAAUCUAAGUAAACAAGUCAGAUCUUUCUCGCUGACGUCAUUCUAACUAUAUUCUUAGUUCUUUCUCUCUUCCCUUCAUGUUUUACCGGUGCUGUUGUUGUUGCUGUCUCAUGAUUUCUUACUCCUUUCCUUUACAUAUGCCUAAUGCUGCUCUCGUUGCUGUCUGACCUCUUCAUCUCUCCCCCUCAAACGUAUCUCUAAAUCACGUAUCUUUUUUGUUAGCUCAGCUACGUCAUUUGGGACUUUUCUUUUUCCUUUGAGUUGCACUGACAUAGAGAUUUUGCUUCUUUUUAGGUGCCACUGGAUAUUCAUUUUCGAGGGGGAAUAGUUGAAAAAGGUUUCUGAUUGCAAGCUCAAGGUUUGACCCCACUUAAUUCGUAUCUCUUCUAAUUUCUUUCAAAAUCUCGGGUCCUGAAUCGAAGCUUCCACAUUGUUUAAACCAGCUGUAGUAGGUACACAUUGAUCAUACCCAUAUUGGCUCAAAACCAUCAACGAGGAAUAACUGGUGACUCUACAUAUGCCAAUUAAGGGAACCCACCAAUAACCACCACACCCAAUGAGUACCAUGCUCCGAAUCAUCCAUAGAUCCCUCUAUUCUAUUUCUUUGUAUGUUAAUGCACUAAGGUUCUAAACCCACUCUUCGAUUGAUUGAUUUGGAGGCCAUUUACUUUCCAAAAAUUCCUCUAUAGGCCUGGUCGAAGGAAUAAACACCUAACGAAAACGCUUAUAGAGACACCUAAAAUGGCUUUUCAUCCAUACGAACAAAAACUACACGUCUCCUUUCCUUCUGAUGAAAUUGAGUGAAAUGAUGAUUUCAGGUAAGACUACUGGAGCAAGAUUCACCCCUUUUUCAAUCUAAAACAGAAAAUCAGCUAGCUCCACAGUCACAUAUCCUAGAGCUUUUGGGAACUCAAUCAACCCGUAUACGAAAAAUGCGAACAGUGUCAAAUGUCUAUCAUCGCUAGUCUUUCCCGUAGCAUCUCUAAUGUCAGACCAGGAAAUGCAAUGACCAUUUUUAUCUUUUAAUCUUACUUUCACCGUGUCUAUAGUUAAUUCCCUCAGUUUGACUAAGGGUCCCCAAAAAUCGACGUUCUGCUUCAAUAUAUCUUGAGCGAAUCUCUAAAGUCAUAGUGGAGAAGGGUAGAAUAUUCUUUGAUAGUCGAUACCAUAUCCACUUCAUUGAACGUAAAACACCUAUAAGUGGGAUCCCAGAAACGUACCAUGGCCUUCAAUAGGGCAUCAUCCGAUUUAAUGAACAAAAGUUGGACUACAUCGCCAUACUUGUCCUGGAAGUGUGUUUUCUUAGCCUCAUCCCAUGAUUUUCAUAUUCCCUUUAAUUCAUCUUCGCAAUUCCUUCUACAGUCCAUGCGGACUAUCUAAGGCAGGCUCAAGUCAAAACUAGCUAUUUGGUAAUCGCCUUCUCUGCUAUGAGUAUCCUCUGACAUUCUCGCUUUUAUCCCUAUAUUAUCUACCCCAUGCCGAACAACUGAAUCUUCUCGAAGUGUGUUCAUAUCAAAUAUAGAUGCAACACUGUGUCCAAGGUAUUUAAAUGAUGUAUGAAUUAUUCCAUGGAGAGACAAAGGCACAAGAAAAACAAAGUCAGUAAAAAAAACAAUAAAGUCAAAUGAAGCAUAAAAAAUGCGAAAUUAAAUCAUAAAACAUUGUGAAAAAAUUCAAACACAAAACACACGAAUAAAUGCUCAUGAGGUCCUAUAGGGUAUCAUUGCAAGGGAUAAGGUACAACUCUUACAUUUAGGCUUCAUAUUUAAAAUGGUCAUUACAUGCUGGCUUAUGGCUGACCCUAAUGCACGGGGAACCCAAGGCUUAAAUACAACAUCCAUAGGGAUGCGUUCCUCUUUAAAAAAGGUUGGCCCUUUGGGUGGUAAGACCUCUAUAGCGUACAUGAUAGCAUUUGCUACACGAACAUCUAUGUCCAUAUUAACCUUGAAGUAGUCCUUAACCUUAUGCGGUGGCAUAUUGUGACAUGAAAGCUAAAACUACUCAUCCUAAAUGGGAAAGGCCCGGGCAUAGGAUCGAAAGCAAGAUCCAACAUGACAAUUAUAGCCGCCCCACGACGGUAGAGUUGACAUACACAUUAAUCAAUUUCAUCGGUAAAAGAAUAAAAAAACACAUUGGCAUACAUAUCAAAAUAGGAUAAGUAAAUGAAAUGAAAAAUAUAUCAAUAUUUAACACAUAUUCAACAAUUUAAAGCGACAUUAGACAAUUAUAUAAAUUAAUGCACAAAAAAAUAAAUCUAAUAUGCACAAAUACUAAAAAACCUAGCUCUCAAACCUAAGUAAGUCAGCUCACUAGCAAAAAACCUAGCUCUCAAACCUAAGUAAGUCGGCUCACUAGCGUCCCCAGUGGAGUCACCAAGCUGUCAUAAAGUUGCUUACAUAAGAGUACGGGGGCCUAGUAAGCAAAGCUAGACACGAAGGGCCUAAAUUAAUGUAGAGUUGCCACUAACCAAUUAGGGCUAGGUUGGUUAGCCACUUUAUCGUCUAAAAGUCUAGAAUUAAUACUACGAAAUAAUCCUAAAAGUCUAGACUCGAUCUCAUCACCAAAUUUCGGGUUUGAGAGUACGGUUACGUGUGAGGAAGGUUAUAGCACCCCCAUAACCCCUAUCCGGGGAUAUUCCUACUGGGUUUUGGGAGCUAGGUUUUUUUAUUUAAGCAUAUUAAUGUCUUAAUCUAGAAUAAAAUCUUAUGAAAAUCUUAAAUAAAAACUCUAAAGAAAAUGUCUUCAGUUUUCUUGUAACUCGAUUAAAAUGUGUUUACUAAACUUAUAUAAUUCGAAAUUUAAAUUAGAGGUUUUUAAUUUUAACGGGAACCCUACAGGAUGCCUAAAUAAUUUCUAUUUUAGAAUUCUAAAAAAAAACCUAAAAAUUACCAAUGAAUUAAGAGAAAUAUUAAAAUUCAUCUACAACUUAUUCGAUCUUUUAUUAUUAUUAUUUUCUUAAAAUAUUUAAUUAAUAACAUUGAACCUAUCAAGAUCUUACGAAAAUAUCCUAUGCCGAGUUUAUGAUUUAUCUUACUUUAAAAUUCUUGAUCUAAGGUUUAAAUUCCUCAAAAUCCUAAAAUAAUAUAUAUUAAAUAACAUUUAUUAGCUUUCUUAAAGAGUUUCUAAAAUAAAAUACUUAGAAAGACCUACUAAUGAUUUACAAUUCACCUAUAAAAAUUCUUAGUUUUAAUCUUGAACAAAGUCCUUAAGAAUAUUUACAUAUUAAUUUGAGAUUCUAAAGAAGAAUAUUAUACGAUAUUUAAAAUUAGUUUAAAAUCCUAAUAAAAAAAUCCUACAUAUUAUUUAUAAUUUUUCUAGGAUAAAUGGUAGAUAAAAUCUUAAAGACUAACCUGAGUUCAAAUGUAAACAAAAAAAAAUCUUAUGGUUUCUGUAAAAUACAACCCCUACUUAACUAACUUCAUGCCAACAUUUAUAGGAUGGAAAAAUGACCUAAAUUCCCACUUUUACAAUGAAUAGUAAUAAAAUAGGAAAAAUAAUUAAAUUGGCUAAAGUUAAUGAAAAAUUAAAACUCUUUCAAAAAGGACAAUAAUAAAAAGAAAACUUAAAUAAAUGAAAGAAAUAAGACCUUGGCAUGAUGAUGAUAAUAAUAAAAAUAAUACACCUUAUUCAUAAUACAAUAAAAAAAUCAAAGUAACAUAAACAAAUAAUAUUAAAAUGUAUGUAAGAGGAAUGUGUAAAAAUAAAUAAGUAAAAACAUACAUGAAAAUAAAUAAAGAUGAAAUAAGAAUAAAUAAAAAAAUAUACAGGUGUAAAUAAAUAUAAAACAAUUAAAAUAAAGUGCAUAAUUGACAUCAAAUAUAUGAGGUAAAAACGCAAAUGAAGGGGAAUAUAUAAAUUUAAAUAAUUUAUUAAAUAUGAAAACAAAAUGACAUAACUUGAUUUUGGGAAUAAAAGAUAAAAAAAUGUGGAAGACAGAGGACUGAUGUAACAAAUAAUUUACUUUUAAUUUUGAAAUUUUAGAUUAAAUCGAAGGUUUGAAUAAAGAAAAAGGGUUACGGGUGUAAAUAGGUUAGAGAGUGAGGGCGGCGCUACAAAAAAUGAGGUAUUUUUUUAUAAAUUUAAAAAGUAAGGGGGAUGGGGAUAAAUUACCCAUUUUGGCACCUAUAAAUAGGACAAAAACUAUGCAUUCUUUCAUUUUUAACCUCAUUAAAAAAAACUCUACCACCUUCUAUGUUGGCCAUGGCUCCACCACCGGAGAGCCCAACGACUCUUUGGCUUUCGGUGGUGGAGCCACCAUAUACAGUGAUGUAACGCUGGGGUUUCUGCAAGUGUACACGGUCGUUAUCAAGUAAUAAGUAAGUAUCGAGUUAUCGUCUCCACAGGGAUUGUAUUUGUGCUAAGUCACUUAAUUUGUAAAAUUAUAUUAACAAUUUGGUAAAUAAAAACACAAUAUAGUUGAGAAAUGGUGAUUAAAAUAUAUUAAACUAAAUGAAAUGAUCCCUAAUGCAAAUUAUCCUAAGUAUGCAAACUAUAUGAAUGAAAUAGAUUUUAGUAAAAUUAAACACAAUUUGCAACAAUUAUAACAUAAAUAAACUAGGAUAAUUACUUUAAUUAAACUCAAUUUAUUAUCAACAUGCUUAAUAACAUUCGGAAAAACAUUCCAUGGCAACUCGAUCUUUCAUGAGUUUGGAAACCACAUUAGGUCCUUUCGGAAUCCUUUACUUAGUAAAUACGUAUUUUACUGGUCCUUAUUUACUAACGGUUUCUUAGCAUUCGUGUGAGGUAACAUGGACAUGUUAGGUUUGAAACAAUUCAAUCACGUUAGGAUCUAAAUUGAGCAUGCACAGUUCAAUUAUGUGCCCAUUAGCCGUCAUUUGGUUAGGAUCGCUCAGCUAAUUCAGGUGGAUUUCAAUCACGUAUGAACAAAAUACAGACUUGAUUUUAAUUGAAGACAUGAUCGAUUGAGGCACAAACAUUAUAAGCUUGAAUCAAAUAAAUAUUAUUUAAUCAAAAUAAUCAUCCUAUCUUAUAUAAAAUUAAGCUAUCAUUGUUGUAAAUAAGAAAAAAGAACACAUAGCAAACAUCUUUAAAUUAAAUUUAAAGAAAAGAAAUAUUAAACCCAAUUCAGAGUGGCUGUCACCCAAGACUCUGACUGAUGAGGCUCCUUCACUUUUUUGCGUUGCUCCUUUGCUGAUGGCUCUAAAAGGUGGCCAACCAAGGGUUCUUUAAGAGGCUUAAUUGCUAAAAUCCUUAUGCAAGGAUGAUGAAGGGGAAAGAUAGCUAAAAGAGUUGAGAGAAUGAUGAAUGAGUGAGAGAUGAUGGGAUGCGGGGUCAUUGAAAAAGUGAGAAAUGAGCUCUUAUUUAUAGGUGAGGCAAGGGAGUUAGUUUGCUAAAAAUAGGAGUGUCCAUCCUUUGAAACUUCCUCCAAGAGUGGUCGUCCAUGAAUUGAGGAAAUGUGGCUGAUUUUUCCUUGAUUUUUGGUUAAUUUGAGUGCCACAACAACUCAAGACUAAGACUCAGUCAUCAGCAAAUCUUCUGGAAAAUCUCCAAUUUCUUUAAUUAUUCAAGGACUUUGUAUAAUUAAACCAAAAAAUUGUUUGUGACAUCCAUGUGCAGCUGAAAAUUGGGUUGACUUGGUCUCCAAUUUGGACGGUUUUGCAAUUAGAAGAAAACUCUCAGACCUGUCCAAAACUAUUACAUAGUUUAGAGGACCAAAUAAUAUAAUUUAACCACUUUAAUUAAUCAAUUUACUUAAUUAAUUAAAACUAAAUUUAUUAAUGAAUUAUUAAAAAUGAAUUAUUAAAUAUAACUUUAUAUUUUAUUAUUUAAUUUAAUCAUGCAUGACCCACUUUAUAGCUUAAAAUAUAAUAUGCUCAAAUUAAUAUAAAAUAAGCCAUUUUAUGCAUGAAAACUAUAUAAUUAAGUAUAAAAUCAAAUUUUAAUAAUUUCUAUGUCCUAAUUUCAUAUUUUCGCAUGUUUCAUUAAUUUAUUAAAUAGUUACUUGGUUUUAACAACAAAUUUAAGUAAAAAGGUAAUGAAUUAUAUAGGAAAAAGCCUAUAUAUUUUUCAGUUUACACACCCCAAAACUUAAAUCAUUGCUCGUCCUGAGUAAUGUUCAUGCACAGCACAAGGUCUUGUUAAGGAAAAUUUUUCUAAAGAGUGUAAGUAGCAUCAAUAUUUGUCUCAUAAUCAUGCAUCAAUAUAUUCAUGCUCAUAGACCUUCUUUAUUAACAAGUAACUCAAAUACAAAAAUUUUGAAAAUUUUAUUCUAAGUUUCAAGAUAUGCCAACAUGAGUCAUAGUUUGAAUGUAUGUCAUAGCCAUAGAUAAUAUUUUUCAUUCAACACAAUUUCUCAUCAAUUAAGCAAAACAAUCAUAAGGCUUAUUUAUGAUCUUCAUAUGUUGAACUUAAUACUUCCUCUCCUCUAAUGUAGGUUACUUAAUCAUCAAAUCAAUAGGUCUUUUAUAAGGUUGUAAUGGGGCUCGGUUAAAGGUGGGGAUUUUAAGAGAUGGGACAUUUCGGUUUCAAAAUCUUAACCUUUAACUUGUCUUGGAUUUCUCGAAAUUCAACAUUUUUCUUCAAAUGAACUUGUGGAAUUCCCCCAAACUUAUUUUCAACUCAUACUCAUACAUUUUCUUUGUCUUUGUUGUUUUAUUUUUUUUAAGCAUGAGCACAUACAUCUUUAUGAAAAUUUCCUCAAAUGUUGAUUCCUAAGACAACUUGAGUUAAGAUAGGUGCACAAAAUUAGAAUAAUUUUAAAAAGAUGGUACUGGCUUAUAAUGUAGGUUUAUUACAAUGAACAGACCUUUAAGCUCAAAAUUAUAGUUUCAAGGGUCUAAUAUCAUAAGCUGGGCUUGAAAAGGCUCAAACGGUCCAAAGAAAAAUGGUGCCUAUAUCAUUUUAGAUUUUUAUGUCCCUUAGGAUUUCGCCUCAUGAAAGUUACUAAGUCAAUUCUAAAGAUAUAAACCUUCAUGCAUGUCUAAUCUUAAGAGAAACUAAGUUUUCAUUGCAAACAUUAUCUAAGACUAAGAUCAUAAAAACAUUCCAUUUUUCAUGAUAACAUACAAUCACGCAGAUAAAAUCAUCAUUCAUGCUUGCAUACAAGCUAUCUUAUUAAAAAAAAUUUCUCUAAACAUUCAUUUAUUAAGACAUACUUAUGAAAGAAUGAUUUGAAACAUACUUGAAAAUUUUAAAAAUUUGAGCACUUUGCCUUACCUCCAUUUAAAAAGAAGCAAUGUUCUCAUUGAGAGAAUAAAGUAAUGAAUGAAAACUGAACACUAGGUAGGGUUGUAAAGAAAGAGAGGUGAGUCAUUAAGACUUCUUAAAUACCAAGUCUUUCCUAAUAACCCAAUCCUAGACAUGUUCAUUCCAAUUGCCACAUCACUUAAUUUUUUUCUUUCUAAAGAAGUAUUUAUUCAUGCUUGCUAUGUUUUACUUUACAGAAAUUAAAUCCUAAUUACUAAAUAAAUAAAUUCCUAAAGACCUAAAAACAAUUAAAUAAAUAACAAGACAAUAAUCCCCACUUUUAUUUUUCUGACUCAUUCCCUUUGUCAGUUUGCAUCUUCAGUAUCUUCCGUCCAUGUCUCAAAGAUAGCAUCUGGGAACUCAGAAACAAAAGUGUUAGAGAUAUUCUUAAAAUUACUUUGAAUUGAAUCAUCCCUAAUUUUUGCAUAUUUCCAGUAAGUUGUUGUUUGUGCAUGAACUUGCACAUGUCCAUCAUAAUUGACAGCUCCAAUUUCUUUGAAGUACUUGUAGGAGUCGGCAUUGGAGUUGUAAAUUCUGGUUCAACACUUAGCUUGACUGGUUCUUCUUCUAGCUCAACCCUAGGUUCAGGGUUUUCAGCUAGUUGACGACUAUUUGGUUCCUCAUCAGAUUCUUCUUCUUCAGUAUAUGUAACUGAAUCAGCUUCAGUUUUUAGUUUUAUUUUUUGACUCUUCAGUUUCUGGCUCAGUUGGUUCCUCUUGCUCGCCUUGCUUCAGCUCAUGCAUUCUCUCUACUAACCUUUCAAGAUCAUGACUUGUAAUGCACCAUUGGACAUACUGCCUCUUCAAAUUUGCUUGUGUUUUAACACGGACCCUUAAGCAAAGUGAAGUGAUUAAUGAUGGGAAAUAAGCACUUCCUGCCUUCUUUUUAGCACAAUCGUGAAUCUCCUUGCGGAUAAUUUUCCCAACAUUAAUGGAUUUUUCUAUCAAGAUUGCAUAUAACAAGAGCAUCCGUUCCAUCGAGAUGGUGGAACUGUGUGAGAUAGGCAUAAAACUGUAGCAAACAAAAUAUAACCAUACCUUUGCUACUGGUUUCAAGUAUUCUCUUCGACAAGAAUGACUCCCAUACUUUCUUAUAAUCCAUUGGGAUCCUGAAUUUGUCACAACAUCAAGCACUUGUUGAAGAAAAUCCCAAUUGAUAUUGCUCAUCAUAGGGUAGUACUCAUCUUCUUCAACAUCAGGUAAAUUAAACAAAUCAUUGAUGGACUUAGAAGUAAGAGGUACCUUUUUCUUUUGAACAAUAACUUCAGUAGCAUCUUGCGUAGUCAAACUAGCAUAGAAUUCUUGAACUAGUUCAUCAUCAGAAAGUGAACGAGCAUCACAGAAUCAUUCCCAUUUGAGAGCAUUGAUUAUCUUUCUAAUUGGCAUAGGAACAACCAUCACAUCAUUGCUCUUCAGAUUAAAACCUUUUUUCGGCAUCAUAGGUUGAUGCUUGAAAAUUGAAUCAAAUUGCUCUUUCACUUCUUCAUCAACCACAAUCGGGUUUUCAAGAGUAGUCUUUAUAGUUUAAAAAUAUAAUAUGCUUAAAUUAAUAUAAAAUAAGCCAUUUUAUGCAUGAAAACUAUAUAAUAAAGUAUAAAAUCACAUUUUAAUAAUUUCUAUGUCCUCAUUUCAUAUUUUCGCAUAUUUCAUUAAUUUAUUAAACAAGUACUUGGUUUUAACAACAAAUUUAGGUACAAAGGUAAUGAAUUAUAUAGGAAAAAUCCUAUAUAUUUUUUCAGUUUACAGGUGACUAGAAUCCUCUCUCUUUUUUGUACAAAAUCGAAGUUCUUUUAAAAAAUCACAACUUUUCUUAAAGAUCAAAGCUUUUAUUUCGAAAUAGUUAAAAAAUUGACUAAAAAUACAUAUUUUUAUUUUUAAAAAUCUAAACUUUUCCCAAGAUCAAGACCCUUUUUUUUAACAAAAAACUUUUAUUUUAGAAAAGAAAAAAAUGAGAUUUUGGGGCUCCUAAGGGUGGAGCACUGACGUUCCGGUGACGUCCCCUUCAUUGGAGCCCAAACCCGAUCCCUCAAGAUAUGUAUAUGGAAAAAAAAGAAGAAUAAAAAAAGAAAUACCAUGCUUCUUGUUGUUUUUGUUAUUUUUUUACCUUAAAAAAAGACCAGAAUAUGAAAAGCCCCUCCUUUUUUUUUCAUUUCAUUUCAUGUAUAUAUCAGAUCCCAGGCACGUAUUUAUGAAGUACAAUAAAAUAGUGAGAUACAAGAAAAGCAUGUUAUGUUAUGAUGGAUGAUAAAUCCAAUUGAAUCAUACUUAAGUAUAAUGGUUAUCCAUGUUAAAUUCAUAUGAAUUAUGUUUCAAUGAACUAACAUGUGUUGUUGAUGUGCUUAGGCUUGUGCCAAACUUGUGGUUAUGAUUGAUGUUUAUUCUUAUGCCUGUACUAUGUAUAUGAAAUGGGUAAGAAAAGGGAAUGAAAUGGUAAGUUCAUAAUUGGGAUGCAUUAUGAUGCUAUAAAAGGUUUGAUAUGAUAAACGAUGUAUUUAUAUGUGAGAAGCUUAUUUAUUCUAUGAAAGAAUGUACCUAUAGCAUGGAUAAAUACAAUAAUUCGUAAAAUGAUAGUGCUGUUUAUGCUUAUGCUAAGCAUUCAGAAUGGAAGGGAAAGUAAGUAACUAGAAUGAUUCAUGAUCUUAUGAAAAAGGUUGAUGAUUAUGUAUUAUGACUUAUAAAUCCCAAUAUGUUAUAUAUGAAAAUGAUAUGUGACGUUGAUUAAUAUACUCAAAUGUGAGUUGAAUGGUGUUCAAUAGGUUUAUACCAAGUUUAAAGUAUUAGUGUUAAUCUAUGUAUUAUAGUAUUGAAGUGAUAAGUUAUGUUUCAUGUUCUACGAGCUUAAAAAGCAUUCAUUGCUUACGUAGUUAUAUUUCUCUUACUUUACAAAUUAUCGGAAGCUCAACUGGUUUGGAAGCUCGUCAGAGCCCUAUCACACUAUCUAGAGAUUAAAUUGGUAGAUUCUGAUGUUUUGAUCAAGGUCAUAAUGGCAUGUAUAGGUGGACUUGUGGUUUAUAAUAGUUGAUGAAUUUGGCAUGUAUAUUUCAUUUUGGUUGAUGUAACCUUGGUACUUUUGAUGCCUUAUUGACGUGGUUCAUUUUGAAAAUAUGUUAAUGCAUGUUUGAGUGGCCAAAAUAGUAGGUAAUGAAUUGACCUCAAUAUGGUCAAGUUAUAGUAUGCUUUGGAAAGGUUUUGAAUAGAUGUGCAUAUGAUUGAAAUAUGGUUUGUAUAUAUAUUGGUUGUUGGAACCAUUUGGUAAUGACUAGAUUGGUGUCAUUUAGAUGACUUUGAUGCAUGUGAGAAGUUGUCCAAAUGGUAAGGUUAUUUUGAUAUGGCAUGAUUCUAAUAUGGUAUGCUUAAAUGUGUACAUGUCUAGGUAUAUUUGGUAUGACCAUAUUUUCUAUGUUUAUAUGAGACUAAGUGGAGUUAUGCUUUGAGGUAGAAAUGAAAUAUUCGUAAUGGUAUAAAUGUGGUCAAUUUAUGAUGAGUUUUAUAAUGGAAAAUGAAUUGAGUGUUGAUGAAUUUAAUGUGUUAAGUACAUGUAUAUGUUUAGAUAAAUUGUAUGCUUGCAUUUGAGGUGCCUAUAUGGCAUAUUGGUUGAAUGGAAUUUGGUAUUCGAUUAGGUCUUAUUAUGCAUGUUUUAGGUAAGUUUUAAGGCUUGAUUAUAUAUGCAAAUGGCUUAUAGGUGUGUGCUUGAAUUAGGUGAAAGAAAUGGUUUGAAUUUGGCCUAUAUCUUGUCCACACGGCCUAAGACACGAGCAUGUGUGUCCCUUGUAGGUUUUAAAGGUUGCAUUUCGAGUGUUACAUGACCUAGCACAUGAUUGUGUGGCUUGUCCGUGUGACCUAAGUUAGUGAAUUACACGGGCACUAAUAUAGGCUGAGACUUAGCCGUGUGUCCCUUCUUCGAAUGCCUUCACGGCCUAAGACACAGGCUUGUGUCUCACCCGUGUGAGUCACAAGGCCUGGCCACAUAGCUGUGUGACCCCUAUAGUGUGAAAUUUUCUAUCUUUUUCCAUAAAGUUUUAAAUGUUUCUGAUUUAAUCCUGAAUCGUUUCUAAAGUGUUUUUAAGGCCUCGAGGGCCCGAAUAAGGGACGAUAUGUAUGAGUUUGAAUGGAUUAUGUGAUGAUUUAUGAAAUGGUUGGAAAUGAAUGAUUUGAGUUACAUUUUUAUGGUAAUGCUCUGUAACCCUAUUUUGACAACGGGUAUAGGUUAGGGGUGUUACACUUAGUGGUACCGGAGCUAUAGUUUAGUCGGUUCUCGAACUGAACAUAGCAUGUAUGAUGUCUAGAAAUACAUGUUGUUAUAUAACCUGUAAUAGCGUGAUAUCUCUUGACUCUGAUGAGGUUUGUUUCAUUUUUAGACAAAGAUGUUUUUCAACUAAGCUAAUUCCGAAAAUGCUGAAAGCAAUACUCAAGUAUCUGAUUAAAAGGUUGCUAAUGAGGAGUAGAAACAUAUAAAGGUAAAAGUAAAGAUUCAUAAUGUUAUGUUGUUAAAGAAAGAUAUGUUUUUGAUGUGUAUAUAUGAGAAUUAAAUUUAGUGGUUUUACGAUCUCCACCCUUACCCUCAAAGUCUUAUACAAUGGAAUUUACAAUAUUUAUGUUGAUUAAGUCGGUAAAAGAGAAGCUAAAGAAUUCAACAAUUGAAUUAGUAAUAAUGUUGUAAGAGCCAAGGAUUGGUUAGGAAAUAAAGAUAGUUCUAGAAGAGAUUAGAUUUCUCUGAAGAUCAUUCGGGAUAUGUAAAGUUGUUGUUAAAGAAGAAUUUAUUCACGAAUAAUUGACUUAUUCAGGUAUGGUAUCUAAAGAACGGGUUAACCAAAAUUUCUUCUGAAUUGAUUUCUUUAGUGGAACGAGAUAAUGUGAGAUCAUCAAUGACUUUAGUAAUCUGUGAGAUAGUGUUUGAACUGUAAAUAUAUCUGAAUGCAGCUGUUAUAGUUGAGUAUCUUACAAUGAUCUCCUCUAGAUAUUCUAUAUGAUCUUUUAUCCUCAGAGGCAUAUGCAAUUGUUCAUCUUCAGAUGUAAUUCUUAUCAUAUGAGAAUGUUAGCUAACUGUAACGUUAGACAGAGGUAUUAUUAGUCUAGUUGAUUAAUAAUUGACAUUACUCUAUUUUUCUUUGGCAUUCUAUUCUAUUAUGUUCAGUGGAAGAUUCAAUGAUAAGACUCAUAUGAUUUUAUUUUAUUUUUUCUUCUGAUUGAUAAUCUAAAUUAUAUAUAUACAAAUUUAUGUUAUCUCUGUCACAAUUGAUUCCAAUGCGUAUGAGCGAUGUUCUUCUUCUGGAUUUUCUUUAGGGUAUCAUCAAUCUCUUUAUCAUUCAAUAUAGGUUGUAAUUUCAGAAAUUUAGUAGAGCUUCACAUCUUGGAUUUCAAUAUCUCAGUUUUCUUAUCAUUCUUAUUAUUUAAUCUAUCAAACAUGGUUCAUCUUUAAAGGAUAUUCAUUGGCCGGAGGUAAUUACAUCUAUUAUGAUUAUAAUUCCUGGUUCGAUCAUGGGAGCACGGUGAUACAGAUCACAGGUUUUUAGAGGUUGUGUUGUUGCGCUAGUUGUUAUUGGAACUACAUCCGAUUUUCCUCUUUUGUUUCGGAGUGCAUUAUUGAUGGUUGAACUUUCAUGACGGGAAUGGAUAACGACAAAAAUAUAGAUGGUGAAAGAUCGAGCUUAACCUCGCAUGAUAGUUCUCACUACUCAAGUAAUCUUAGAUUAUGUCAACAAGCCAAAAAUUGGACAUCAUAUUUCAUAUCAGUAAUACAGUUGGUGAUGAUCUCUAAUUGGUAUUCUGAAGGAAUCAUGAUAGACUUUGUGUCUGGGUUAUCACGACAACAAGAAGAAAGAAUUAUUCUAAAAUGUUAUUAUUCGAAUGAUAAGUUUGACUCAAUUAUUUUAGUCAGGGCGGAUUAUUCACUGGAAAAGUUAGAUGAGUUUUAUAUAUAUUCGAGUACAUCUCUAGAUUCGAGAAUAAAUUUUGCUGGUUCACGGGUAAAUAGACGGACAAUCAGAAUGAAGGAUUAAUAUUCUAGAAGACAUGAUACAAGAAUAUAUCUUCUAGAUCAGAAUUUCCCGAUUAUAUUUAAAUGAUAUUAUUUGAAGCUUUUCGUGAAAUGGAGCAUUCCUCAGUUAAAAGUUACAGAUGCAGAUGUGUCGGAAACAUCAGUUAGAGUCUGUUGUGAAAAUUUCAAAAUUUACCUAAACUCUAUGAAUUGUUGGUAAUUUCUCGGUAGAUGUGCCACUAAUGAUAAAGUUAUGACAGGAGAACAUCAUAAUUGUUCAGUUAAAUCUAGAUAUGAGUUUUGAUAUGAGUUCUGAAUCGAGAAGACUUAUGAUUGAUUUAUUUAUUCACUACCAUUAAAAAGGUGGAAGAAAGACUCAACUUGAUGGCUAUUAUCAGGUACGAAAUUUCAAGGGCGAAAUUUUUGUAAGGGCAAAGACUUGUAAUAGCUCGUUUUUCAGUGGUGUCAAAAAUAGUGGUUUUGGGGCCACAAAUCUGACGAGUAAGUUCGUAAAUAUUAUUGUUUAAUAUUUACGAAUAAAAUAUGGUUUUAAAAAGGUUUUUGAUCCGGUACUGAAUGUGAUAUAAAUGAUUUAUUAAGCUCAAGUGGUAAGACCCUAAAGUAAAAUGAUUUUAGAAAAUCAGGUAUUGGGACCUCGUUUCUAUGAACUGAGCUGUAAAUAUUUUUAUAAAUAUUUAUGGAGUGCUAUUAAGGUUUUAUUAAAGUUUUGUUAAGAAAUUUUAAUGUUUUGAUAGUUAAUUAAUUAAAAAUGACUAAUUUGUAAAGGAUGUAAAAUUUGAUUACUAUUUGAUUUGAGUGACUAAAUGGCUUAUUGAAUAAAGGAAAAGGGACUUAAAUUGUAAUUAAACCAUUUAAGGAUUUAGUGGAUGGUUUUGGGCAACUAAAAGCAUGAAAUUUGGAUGAUAUUUAAAUGGACAAAAUGGUAAUUUUAGAACUAAAUUAAUUAAAAGAAACAAAAUGUUAAAUUAUCAUCAUCUUUUUGGUGUAUCUUCCAAAUACAACCGAAUGUUCAUGGAAAUGAAGUCAAGUUCGGCCAUGGUGAUUUCCUCAUGUAUGGUCAGUAAUUCUUACUCGUUUUUAAUCAUUUUGAUGAUUUUGAGAUCGUUGCAAGUAGGUCCAACUAACCCGUACCUUCGAUUUUGAAACUGUUAAAGAUAUUGAAUGUUUACAUUGAUGAAUCUAUGUUAUUUUAGAUAUUAAAUGAUGAAUUUGUGGUUUUGGUUAUUAUUUAUAAGUACUUUGUUAAGUAAUUUUGAUGAAUUUACCGAUUAAGGGCUAAAUUGUUGAAAUAGGAAAAAUACAAGGAUUUUUCUAAAACUAUUACAAAUGUGGGCUGUAUUGGAUGCCAUGAAUAUUUUGUUGGCAUGGGUUUUUAUUAAAAAUGGUUAAUUUGCAUGUUUUAGUCUCAGGGCUUAAAUUGAAUAAAUGUAAAAUGUUAGGGGUAAUUUUGUAAAAAAAUAAAAGUGACUAAAUUGCAUAAAAUGGAGUGAUUUCACUAUCUAAAUUAAUAAAUUUAAUGAAAUUAUUAAUUUAGAUCAAGAUUGAGUGGAAAAUUAAGGAGAAUGGAAAUUUAUCAAAAAGCCCAUGUACUUUGACAUUUCUAAACUUUAGACAGGUAAGUUCAUAUGAACUAUAAUCACUUAAAUGUUGAUUUAAUUGAUUGUUAAUGUGUUGAUUCUGAUGUAAAUGAUUCAAUAUAUAUAUGUUAUUAUGCAAUUUAUCAUGUCAUGAAACGAUGGAAAUCUAACGAAGUACGACGACAUGUCAUUAGGGUUUCCAUGUUUUCAGGUGUUGGUCUUGAAUGUCCUACAGAUGGAUGAGGUUUAGCAUGUGUUGCAGAUACUCCACAGCCUGUGUGAGUAGCAUUGUGUAGCUUACAUUUCGACCCACGGCUCGUGUGAGUAGGCUUAUUUCACAGCUCGUGUGAACGGACCUAUUUCAUAACUCGUGUGAGCAAUGAUGUAAAGGAAAGGAAAUGAUACAGUUAUAUGUUAGCACACUUAGUGCGAGCUAUCCUGCACAUCAAAUGCUAUUUUCAAUGGUUCAACGGGCAUGAAAAGGAAAGGAAAGGAAAGGUAUUUGUUCAAUAUAAACCAAGACAUGUAUUUAUGAAGUACAUGAAAAUGGUGAGAUACAUGAAAAGCAUGUUAUGUUUUGAUGGAUGAUAAAUCCAAUUAAAUUAUGUUAAUUGAUGUAUUAUAGUAUUGAAGUGAUAAGUUAUGUUUCAUGUUCUACGAGCUUACUAAGCAUUCAUUGCUUACGUAGUUAUCUUUCUCUUAUUUCACAGAUUAUCGGAAGCUCAACUGGUUUGGAAGCUCGUCAGAGCCCUAUCACACUAUCUAGAGAUUAAAUUGGUAGACUCUAAUGUUUUGAUCAAGGUAAUAAUGGCAUUUAUAGGUGAACUUGUGCUUUAUAAUAGUUGAUGAAUUUAGCAAGUAUAUGUCAUUUUGAGUGAUGUAACCUUGGUACUUUUGAUGCCUUAUUCAUGUGUGUCAUUUUGACAAUGUGUUAAUCCAUGUUUGAGUGGCCAAAAUAGUUGGUAAUGGAUUGACCUAAACAUGGUGAAGUUAUAGUAUGCUUUGGAAAGGUUUUGAGUAGAUGUGCAUGAUUGAAUAUGGUUUGUAUAUAUGUUGGUUGUUGGUGGAACCAUUUGAUAAUGGCUAGAUUGGUGUCAUUUAGAUGAGUUUAAUGCAUGUGAAAAGUGGUCCAAAUGGUAAGUUUAUUUUGAUAUGGCAUGAUUCUAAUAUGGUAUGCUUAAAUGUGUACAUGUCUAGGUAUGUUUGGCAUGACCAUAUUUGGUAUGUUCAUAUGAGACUAAGUGGAGUUAUGCUUUGUGGUAGAUAUAAACUAUUUGUAAUGGUAUAAAUGUGGUCAAUUUAUGAUGAGUUUUGUAAUGGAAAACGAAUUAAGUGUUGAUGAAUGUAAUGUGUUAAGUAAAUGUAUAUGAUUAGAUAAAUUUUAUGUUUGCAUUUGAGGUGCCUAUAUGGCAUAUUGGUUGAAUGGAAUUUGGUAUUCAAUUUGGUCUUCUUAUGCAUGUUUUAGGUAUGUUUUAAGCCUUGAUUAUAUAUACAAAUUGCUUGUAGGUGUGUGUUUGAAUUGGGUGAAAGAAAUGGCUUGAAUUUGACCUAUUUCUUGUCCACACAGACUAUGACCCGGGCGUGUGUCAUGUGACACGAUAGUGUGUCCCCUGUAGGUUUUAAAGGUUGCAUUUUGAGUGUUACACGACCUGGCACACAGGCGUGUGGCUUGGCCAUGUCACCCAAGUCAAUGUGUAACACCCCAAACCCAGCUUAGACGUUAUGGCCGAAUCUUGAGAUAUCACAUUGAUGUGUUUUUCAAAAAUACAGUUUCAUUGAAAACCCGUUUCAUACUAAUUCACGUUUAUUGAAAACUCAAGUUGUCUUUAGCAGUGUGUUAAUCAUAAUAGUUUGUUACUAUAUUUAUCCCGUCUUUUCUACAACUAGCAGUUUAUAUCAAACUAAAUAAAUAAAAAUCCCAAUUUAAAGUUUAUAACUUUAAAGAGGCCAUUUUAUAUAAAAAUACCCAAAUUCAGUUACUUAUAAAUCAAAAGCUAAAAACAAAAGCUGAUGAGGUUGUGUGGCCAUCAUUGAGUCCCUCGCAGCACUGACCCGCCUACAACUGGGGAUUACCCGUACAGUUAAAUAGAGGGGUGAGUUUACGAAAACUUAGUGUGUAAUCCCCUAACAAGCAAAUAGUUAAUUAAGCAGUAGAUAAAUGCAGUUUGGGCCUGAGCCCGUUACAGUAACAGUCCAAAUCAUUGUGGGCCUAAGCCUUUUCCCGUAACAGUAAACAAUCGGGCUUGAGCCCAUCACAAUGCUAGUAAUCAGUAGGGCCUUUGCCCAAUUUUAGUAAUAGUAUCAGUGGGGCCUUGGCCAAUAACAGUAACAGAUAUCAGUCAUGCAGUGAACAGUAUGUAAUAUCAUUAAUCGAUAUAGUAACAGUACAAAAUCAUUAAUCAGUGCAGAUAUGCAAUUAGAAAUCCUACCCAAUCCAACCUCUACACACCACUCCGUCCCGCCAAACACACCAUGUGGGGAUAAAAUCGACCCACCCAACCAAACACACCAAGAUUAGCACCGGUUGUGGCACUAAACAGUAUUGCAGCAAAGCUGCCAGUAAAAUAAAUGGUAUAUAGCCAUCAGUAGGUCCACAGUCGUCUUGGACGACCCGUGCAACCUUACCAGUACGAUACACUUCCUCCAAAUAUAACAACCCAUCCCUAUGCAAUAUAUCGUGACAUAUAUCAUACGUGUAUGCAAAAUGUCAUACUCAAUCAUAGUCAUACAUAUCAUAGAGCAAAUCAGUCAUACAUAACAUAAGGCCAUAACAGUCAUUUAAUCUCCUAGGGGUAUAACAGUCAUUUUACCCUAUAGGAGUAUUUCGAUCAUUUUACCCUAUGGGGGUAUUUUGGUCAUUUUACACUAUGGGGGAAUUUCGGUAAUUUUACCCUAUAGGGGUAUUUUGGUCAUUUUACCCUAUAAAGGUAUUUCGAUCAUUUUACCCUAUGGGGGUAUUUUGGUUAUUUUACCCUAUAGGGGUAUUUCGAUCAUUUUACCCAAUGAGGGUAUUUCGAUCAUUUUACCCUAUGGGGGUAUUUCAGUCAUUUUAUCCUAAGAGGGUAUUUUAGUCAUUUUACCUAUUUUGGGGUCUCAGUGCAGAUAUCGACCUCCUGAAAGGUACGCAAUCGCCUCGAGCUACCCAGGUAACCUAAAUGGUCAUAACAGUGUAAAUGGGCCUAAGGCCCAUAACUCGGCCUAUGUGGGCCCACACGCUUGUGCGGCCCGUUCAGCCUAGAUUUUGCCACGACUAUGAGAUCUACAUAGCCUAGUCCAAUAUUUGCCACAAAUUGUGGAUUUCAUCCGUGUGGGGCUCACGAGCCCAUUGAGCGCACACGACCCAUUUUGGCCCAACCUGGCCCAUUACAGCCUAAGCCCAUGAAAAUGCUUAUGGAGGCCUCUACAGGCUACCGCCCAUGUUUCGCAGGUUGGGCUUACCACACAAGCGAUCACACGUCUGUGUGGUCUUAAACGCCGUAUUUUUGGCUUUUUGGCUUUUGUCGUUCUACGAUUGCAAUGGGGUGUUUAUGCACCUGUUUAUAAGAAGAUGCGCAGACAGUCCUCGAACGCUUCCGAACCUAUGUUCACCCGUAACACUCGAUUAAUCACUUAUCAAUUGAAUUUAGAAUGAACCCUAUUCAAUAGACAUAACUUUUUGAUCGACAACCACUUACCUUGAUUGAACAACCACUUACCGGAAAAACGUUGGUCACUAGAUCUCGGGGUUAUUACCUGUAAUCCAAUCGAAAUCCCUUAACAAAAAUUAUCUACUAGAACAAUUUAAGCCAAAACGAACCCCAACUUACCAAAAGUACAAAACCGUAGAAUAGGAAUGGUAUACAAAAUUACCGGAGAGCAAGGAAGGAGUCGACACAAUGAGGGUAGAAGAAGGAGAGCAGAUCGACAAGAAGGGAGGAGAAAUGGCCUAGGGAACGAAGAGGUUUUGGUAGAGGGAAAAGAAAAAAAAUGAAAAAGGAGAGAAGAUAAAUUUAGCCACUAGUAGGAUUACUUGGGAAAGGAAACAAGAAGAGGCAAUUGAGAGAGGCAAUAUUCGGCCAAAGAGAGGUUGCCAAACACCCAAGAAACGAAAUAGAAGAAUAUGCAAAAACCCCUCACCACAUUCGGCCUUCAAGCAAAAAGAGGGAAAACACCACACAAAACCGAAAUGAAGAGUAUCCCAAAAUGAACAGUAUACCCCUCUGGCCGAAUUUCUUGAGUACCAAAGUCCACUUCCGGCAAACUUCUACCUCUUCCCUCACUUCCUUUGAUUUUCUCCUAGUAUCUCUCCCCUUAUCCAUCCUUAAAUCACUCCACUGAUUUCUCCUCAACUCCCCCAACAACCCCAUUCAAAUUCUACUCAAACUCCCCUUAGCUGUGUUUCAGUCCAACUCCACCACCUACACGAAUUAGGCAGCAAAAUAAAUACUCCUUUUUUGAUGCGCCACCACUCAAACCUUAUACCUCAUGCACACUCCACAUGCCCCUUACCACUAGACCAAACAACUCAUUUGUAUCAUAUUUUAACCACAAUAAUUUAAGAACCUACUAUCUAGAUCCAAGGAUUUUAUUCACUUAAAAAUAAAAAUUUUGCAUAAGCCAAGGCUUGAACCCCUAACUUCUCAGACACUUCCAAACACUCCUAAAUCACUUAACCACUAAAGCAGACAUUCAUUUAUGUCACUUCCUUGCACAACUAAAUAUUUAUGCGCAGUCUCCUAACUGUUCCCUUAUUCAAAAUCUAUUUCUUCUAGGCCCAAAAUUCUGGGUGUUACACAGUGAUUUACACGGGCACAAACAUUGGCUGGGACAUGGCCAUGUGUCCCUACUUCGAAUGCCCACACAGCCUGAGACACAAGCGUGUGUCUCAGCCGUGUGAGUCAAACGGCCUGGCCACACGGUCAUGUGACCCCUCAAUGUGAAAUUUUCUAUCUUUUUCCAUAAAGUUUUAAAUGUUUUUUAUUUAUUCCCGAUUCAUUUCUAAAGUCUUUCUAAGGCCUCGAGGGCUCGAAUAAGGGAUGAUAUGCAUGUGUUUGAAUGGAUUAUGUUAUAAUUUAUGAAAUGUUACCUGCACUAAUUCAAUAGUAAAUUCAACCUCUCGGAUCGAAGGCAACCCUAGUAACUCUUUUAGAAACACAUUUGGGAAUUCACUUACUACCGAAACCGAUUAAAGUCUCAAUUUCGAAACCCUGGAAUGAACAAUGUAAGCAAGAUAUACUUCACAGCCCUUUUUAACAUGUUUCUGUGCCGUCAAAGCUGAGAUUAUAUUAGAUGUACAAUCUAAUCUGUCGAACUCAAUUUGAACUCGUUUACCAUCCUGACGUUUUAGCACAAUAUGUUUUCUUCUACAAUUCACGAUAGCAUCAUGUAGAGUCAACCAAUCCAUACCCAGGAUCACAUCAAACUCAUUAAAGGGUAACAACAUCAAACUAGCGGGGAAUUUAUAACCCUUAAUUUUUAGUGGACAAGAUCAACAUAAUUGAUAAACUAGAACACACUUACCCAGGGGAUUUGUAACUUUAAUAGUAUACUUAGUGAAUUCAACAGGUAUUUUCUUUUUUUCUACUAAUGUGGUGCAUAUAUACGAAUGAAUUGAUCUAGGAAUAAUCAAUGAAUAUACAUUAAUAUCAAAGAGAGAAAAAGUACCCACAAUAACAUCUAGAGGAGUAGCUUCCUCUCGAGCUCAGAUUGCAUAGGCUCUGGCCAGUGUUCUCGCUUGAGACCGUUCGUUUAUCUCAUUGUUCUUUCCUCGAUCAGGAGUAGUAUUUCUAACAUUUUCAAAUCGUCUAUGCCUUUGAAAAGUUGCUUCAGGCUUAUUUGAUUGAUUCCCAAAAUCAUUUUGCUUCUUCGGACAGUUACAAAGAAAGUGGUCAGUAGACCCAAAACAGAAACAAGCUCUCGAUUUUUAUUGACACCAGAAUGAUUUUCCUCACAUUUCUUACACUUCUAACACCCGUUCCUGGAGAGUUGAAUGACUGGAAAUUGCUUUGUCUAGGUUUCUCUCUAUUAACGAACUCUGAAGGUGUAGCUGAUCGACUGGUGUCAUUUUUAAAUUUCUUCAUUGGAGAUGUUUGAGCUGGUUUGAAUUAUCCCCUUUUGUUAUGGUCUCUAAACUUCGAAUCUGAUUAUCGUUUUCUUUUACAAAUCUCUGUAACCUUCUGAGCCCACUCUGAAAUUCUACUAAUUCCAGUAACUUUAAUGCUGCUACAACCAUACGGAUCUCACCAUUCAACCCCUCUUCAAAUCUAAUACACAUUUCUUCCUCAUUUGAUACGAUGUUACGAGCAUACUUGCUUAACUAUACAAACUCACAUUCAUACUCAGCUGCAAUCCGGUUUCCUUGUUUUAACUCAAGAAACUCUUCCUCUUUCCGGUUGAUGAACAACCAACUAACAAACUUUUUCUUGAAUUCAUUCUGGAAGAAGUCCCAAUUAACUCUAUCAUCCGAUAUCAUUGUGCUCAAAGUAUCCCACCAUAGAUAUGCCUCAUCUUUCAAUAAGGAUCCUGUACACCUCAAGCAAUCUUCAGGAAUACACAAUAACUCCAUAAAAACUCUCUUUGUAUUCAAUAGUAAUACUCGGCUUUUGAAGGAUCAUCAUCUACCGUAUCUCUGAACUCUUUUGCUCCACAUUUCUAAAUUUUAUCUAUAGAUACUCAGUUAACCAUCGCAGGUACAAGGUUUGGAACAUUCAAGGAUGCCGAAGGAGGCACAACAGGGGGUGGAGGUGGCAGAGUUGCGAGAUUUGCUUGUUUGAACUCAUUGAACCAUUGGUUCAUCAUUUUAAGAAUUACAUUUUUCAUCUCAUCACCCACAGAUUAUGGAAUAGGCGCACUAUUGCUUGCCUCAGGAUUCGAAGCUUGAACAUUACUUUCAGCUUCAUUAACUAUAGCUCGAUUUGAUUCAGCUGACAUAUUAAAUCUAUAAGAAAAAAAUGUUAGAAUGGAUCAAAAGCAUCACACUAUCAGAGGGUAUAUGUUGCAUGUAUAUACUAAACUUUACUUUGCUACACUAGUCCUAGAAUCGACUAAACCGUAGCUCUAAUACCACAAAUGUAACACCCCUAACCUAUAUUCGUUAUCGAAUUAGGGUUACGGAGCAUUACCGAAUAAACAUAACUUGAAAUCAUUCAUUUCAGAACAUUUCAAUAAACAUAGAAUAACCUAAUAAUAUACAUGCAUAUUGUCCCUUAUUCGAGCCCUCAAGGCCUUAGAAUCACUUUAGAAAUGAUUUGGGACUAAAUCAAAAAUAUUUGAAACACUAAGGAAAAAGUUAGAAAAAUUCAAACUGUAGGGGUCACACAACUGUGUGGCCAGGUCGUGUGGCUCACACAGGUGAAACGCAUGCCUAUGUCUCAGGCUGUGUAAUAAUCGAAAUAGGGACAGAUGACCGUGUCCUAGCCCGAGUUCGUAUGGGUCACAUGGCCAAGCCACACGCCCAUGGGCUAGGCCGUGUAACUUCCUGAUUUGCAACCUCUAAAACCUAUAGAGGACACACGGUCGUGUUGCAUGGCCAUAUGCCACACACAACUGAGACACACACUCGUGUCUUUGGCCAUGUGGACAAGAAAUUGGCCACAAUCAAGCCAUUUCUUUUACCCAUUCCAACAAGUACCUAUAAGCCAUAUACACAUAUGAUCAAUGCACCAAAAACCUACCAAAACAUGAUUAAUUUAACAAAUUCAAAAGAUCCAAAAUCUAUUCAACCAAUGUGCCUUAUAAGGCACCUCAACCACAAUCAAACAAACUUACCAAAACAUUUGCAUAAUUAACCGUACUUCGAACAUACACAUCUAUUUCCAUAUCAUCUUAAAACAUACAACAAUUAAGACCAUUUCUAGCAUAGCAACUUAAUUCUCCAACAAGCCAAAACAAAUCACAACUGUAUACUUUCAUACCAUUCUAAUUGUACUAAAAAGAUACCUAUUUACAACUUCAGUAAAGUGCCAAACAACUUAGUUUAGUAUUUUGUCAAAAUGUACCAUAACAACCUAUAUAGCCACAUAUACAUGCCACAACCCUAAGGAGCACAAGAACUACCAACAUCGGUGGAUAGUGUGAGUCGAAGAUUUGAUCCGUCCAAAAGUCAGCAAUAACUAUCUACAAAACAAUACACAAAAUCAUAUAAGCUUAUAGAGCUGAGUAAGAACAUAGUAAAUCUUUUAACUUAACAAGAAUUGAAUGCAACUCUUAUUUUACUCGAUUUGAAGUUACCGUAGUGUAAAUAGGGGCACGUAUGUGCAAUUCAAGGAAUAAUUAAGUAUAAUUAAUUAAUUAACUAUAUUGUAAACGUACAAGUAGAAAUUCAAUUACAUAUAGAAAUACUAGGAACUUAGAUGAUAACUAGAGCGUAAAAAUACGAUCGAGCUAAUCUGUGACUUUCGCCUUUCCUCGGUUUAGAUCUAGUUGAGAUUUAUCUUGAUCUAAAUAAAUAAUUAUAUUCGAUUAAGUGUUUCAAUAAAUAUCAGACAUUCAAUUCAGUCCAUAAUCCAUAUUUAUACAUAAUUACUAUUUUGCCCCUAAUAUUUUUACCUUUUUACAAUUUAGUCCUUCAACUUGUAAAUUGAAAUCUAAGCAUUCUCAUCCCUAACUCAUGAUAGAGAAAUUUAUUAUGAACCCAUAUCAACUCAUACAAGUCAUCAUUUCUGAAUUUAACCAUAAUAAUUUACUACUUUUACAAAUAUGCCCCUAAAUGACAUUUUCAACAAAAAUCAUUUUACAAAACUUAUUUAUUUAUCUACAAUGACUCAUAAUCUUUCAUUAAACUUCAUAAAUCAUGCAAGAACAUUCAUGGUGAAACGCUACACCUGUAAUAGUUUUGCAAAUUAGUCCCUAGGCUAGCUAGAUUAAACUACAACUACUCAAAAAACAUAAAAAUCCUUAAAAACGGGCUUGAAAACCUACCUUGCAUGAAGGAUUUUCCAUAGAAGAAGGCCCCCUCUUAACAAUGAAUUUUUAGUGCUUUUAGGGUUAUGAACAAAGAACAUGACAUCAUUUUGUUUUAAUUUACUUAACAUUUUAUCUUAAUGGUCCAUUUACCAAAAUAACCUUUAAAGACUAUAAAUUUCAAUAAAACCUUACCAUAUAAUUUCACUAACUAUCCUAUUGGUUUAAUUACCAUCUACAUCCUUUCACUUUAAAAUUCUAUAGCUAAUUGAUAAUUUUAAAUACUAGAACUGUACUUUUACACCUUUUACAAUUUAGUCCUUUUCACUUAAUUAAGCAUGCAAACGUUAAGAUUUCUUAACGAAAUUUUUAUAUGACUCUACUAACUUAUCGUAGACAUUAAAAUAAUAAUAAAAUAAAUAUUUACUCAUUAGAUUUGUGGUCCCAAAACCACUAUUUCAAUUUCACUAAAAACAAGCUGUUACAAUGUGUCCCAAUUUCAAUCAUUCAUUCAUUCAUUCACUCAUUCACUCAUUUGUUUAUUCAGAAACAUUAUUUUAACAAAAAAAGAAAUAAAAGAAGAAUAAUUAUAUGACAAAUCCAAAUAAAUUUCUAACUUUGGAAAUAAAUGCCAUUUCAAAAAGGACCAAGGUUAGCUCACACCCGCUCAAAAGCCAAGAAGAUGACAGAAGAAGAAUUAGCACGCAUGGCCAAAUUGAAGGAGCAGAUGUAAUAGAUGAUGGAAAUGAUGACUAUAAUGAUGAAUGGUAUGGCCAAGGUAAGAGAAUAAAGUGGGACUUUGGGCAAUUUAAUCCCUCUUUACGGUGAUACAGGAGUAUACUACGAAGAUUUACCACUUCAAAUGCCAGGUGUGACUAUUCAAAUCCCAAGAAUAAACGAGUAGUCGAGAGAAGUGGACAAGGGAAAGUUGAUUAUGGAUGAAAAAGCUCAUAGAUUCAGCCUAAUUGAGGAACUUUUGAAAGCCAUCGAUGGAAUAGAAACCUUAAGAUAUGUAGAAGCAGAAGGCCUGUGUCUGGUACUCAAUUUGGUCGUCCCACCAAAAUUCAAAUUUCCUAGCUUUGAGAAAUUCAAAGGUAGCAGUUGCCCUAUUACUCACAUCGCCAUGUACUAUAGGAAAAUGGUCGCUUACUCUAAAGAUGAGAAACCACUAAUGCACAUAUUUCAAGAUAGUCUAACCGGAUCUAUGGCUCGCUGGUAUGUAAAGUUGGAUAGGAGUCGGAUUCGAAAUUAGAGAGAGAUCCCCACGGGCAUUUAUUGCUCAAAACAAACAUAUUGUAGACAUGGCCCUAGGCCACUUGACUCUGCAGAACAUGGAAAAGAAGUCAAAUGAGAGUUUUAAGGAAUACGUACAAUGGUGGAGGGACCUAACAUUACAAGUACAACCUCCACUCAGAGAAUAGGAGACCAUUGUUAUGUUCAUUGGUACACUAAAAGGCAUAUACUACGAUAGGAUGGUAGGAAAUGCCUCUAAGACCUUCACGAAUAUGGUAUUAUCUGGUGAAAUGAUAGAGAAUGCAUUGAAGUCGGGCAAAAUAGAUGACCCAUUGAGCGCAAAAAAGGGUAUCGUUGGGAAAAAAAGGAAGCAAAAAUGUAAACAAUCACACCAAGCGAAUACCCAUACUCUUACUUUCUGUACCCGAACCCAAUACCUACACGCCCCCAAUACCUUAUUGUAAAUGCUACCAAUACUUCACCAUUUAUAUAUUAUCCACCUGUACCCGUUACAAAUCCCUCCAUAUUAACUAUGCUAACCCGGUCCCCAUAAACCCAAGCUCCAGUAAAGACACCAUGGGAGAGGCCUGUGUUUGAUCCAAUUCCUAUCUCCUACGCGGAACGUUUUUCAAUUCUAGUGGAGAAGCACCUCCUUGUACCUAGACACAAGGAACGAAUGCAACCACCAAUAACAAAGUGGUAUGAUGUCAAUGCUUGAUGUGAGUAUCACCCUGGAAAUCCAGGUCAUACCAUCUAGAACUUAUAAGGGCGAGAAAGAUAAAUUUUCAGUGAGAGAAUACACCAGAUGUUAAGACAAAUCCAUUACCAAACCACGAUCAAAUAAUUAAUACUAUAACUGAAUAAAAUAGACUUCAAAAGAGAAAAGUGAAAGAAAUCACAACCCUAGCCGAGCGUAUCUUUGACAUCUUGAGUAAGUGAAAUCUAAUUAACACUGAGCCACCCACGUCCAUAAUGGGAAUUGAUAUGGAUCAAAUCUGCAAAUUCCACCAAUAAGCACUAGGACACUCGAUCCAAGUUUUCCCAACGUUUAGGGAACAUAUACAGUGUCUCUUGGAUUCUUUCCAGCUAGAGAUACAGAAGGAUGUUAAGACAAAUGAGAUAAAAAAAGUAAGAUGUGUAACCUAUCACCAUCAUAUAUGGAAAGAAAAUCCUUAUUGAAAAAGAGUCUACCUCAAAAGCCGUACAAAAUGACGUGUUGGUUAUUAAGGUUCUCGGCCUUUUUAAGUAUGGAGAUGACCAACGAGUUCCUUGGAUAUAUGAUUAUGAGGUGGUUGGAUCUGAUGCCUCCAACAUCUCAGUACUUUGUCGCAUAACUCGAAACGAGCAUUGUUACAAGCCAAACACAGUGGGGAAAAAACCUCGUGGUAAAGAAGUGAUUUCAAAAACUUAACCAAAAAUUGGCAAUAAAGAAGUCGAUAAGGAAACAAGGGAGGACCGAAUGGGAGAAGUCAAGAAAGAUGAAGUUAACAAAUUUUUCCAUCUGAUAAAGCAUAGUGAGUAUAACAUGGUUAAGCACUUAAACAAAACACCAGCAAGAAUUUCUUUGCUGUCACUAUUUUUGAGUUCGGAGCCACACAGUGAGGCUCUUGUACGAGUUCUAAAACAAGCUUACCUCACUCACAACGUGUCAGUAGAUAAUUUUAGUCACUUAGCAGGGAGCAUUUUGGCCCCAAAUUACAUAUCUUUCAAUGAUGAUGAAAAUACGCCUAGAUGGAAAAGGAACUACCAAGGUACUACACAUCUCAGUAAAGUGUAAAGCCUAUUCCGUGGCUACGGUUCUGAUCGAAAAUGGGUCAUCAAUCAACAUCCUCCCUUUGUCAACAUUGUCCAAGCUGCCCAUGGACAGCUCGUACAUGGCAUCGAGCCCUUUAGUGGUACGAGCUUUUGAUGGCAACAAAAGAAGUGUGAUUGGUGAAAUAGAGAUUCCCUUAUUGGUAGGAGCCAUUAAUUUCGUUAUUCACUUUCAGGUGAUAUAAUACAUUCUUAUGGUAUGUUGUUAGGACGUCCCUAGAUUCAUUCGGCUAGGGUGGUACCAUCAUCCUUGCACCAAAGAUUGAAAUUUGUAGUUGAUCAAAAUUUGUGCAUCGUAUGAGACAAAAAGGACCUGUUGGUAGCUUGCUUUCCAAAUUCUCCUUUCAUAGAAGUGGAUGAUGAUGCAAUAGAGAGUUCUUUCCUGAUCUUUGAUGUGGCCACUGCAUCUUACGUGGCAGAGGGAAUGCGAGCCCCUAAGCCUUAUGUGCCACGAACAACAAACAUCUUAUUUGCCCAGACAGUAGGGAAGGGUUGGCAAAUCCACUUAGGUUUGAGAGACGUACAAGGUAUCUCAGAACCCGUUUUAGUUCCCACUCUAAAAGAUACAAGAGGGUUGAGAUAUAAGCCUACGAAAGAGAAUGUCGAGAGGAUGUGUAAAGAGCAGAGGGCAAAGAGGUUGGCCCGCAUAGCCGAAAAGAAGGACCAGGAAAGGACCCCUAUCAAGUUAAUGAUUAGUGGAGACUGGGUUUGCUAUGACCCUUCUGCCUUGGACAACUGACAGCUCAUACCGUUACCUGCUAUCUUUGAGUCCUCCAAGAUGUAUUUAUUUUUAAGAGUUUUUAUUUCCAAAUUUUAAUAUCAUUCAGUUAAUUUAGUUUCUUUCAAAAAUCCAUGUAAACUUUUCUUUUCUCUUUAUUGAAAUCAGAUUUGGAUCAUGUCCCUAUUCACUUUUAUUCAUUUAAUCGUUUUCAUUCAUAUACCAAUAUACAUAAUCAUAAUUAUUUUAGGGGUAUACAUAAUGAAUUGAUAAAUUAUCUAAAUGACAUCUUUGAAUCAAAUUCUCUUAAUUAUGUUCACUAUAACGAUCAUGAGACGGAAGAGGAAGAAGUUGUACUAGAGGAAUUUUUUAGGAUAGUUGAACAAGAAAAGAAGCUUAUAGAACCCCACUUGGAGGGAACAAAUUUAAUCAAUCUGGGUGAUGAUAAGUUAAAAAAGGAUAUUAGGAUUAAAACCACUUUCUUGCUGGAGCAAAGUCAAUUGUUGGAGGAUCUACUCAUUGAGUUCUUAGAUGUGUUUGCAUGGUCAUACCAAGAUAUGCUGGGUUUGGACACUAAUAUCGUGGAACACAGGCUACCUUUGAAAUUAGAUUGCAAACCUGUAUACCAAAAGUUGAGAAUGAUGGAACCUGAGAUGCUGUUGAAGAUUAAAGAAGAGGUCAAGAAAUAAUUCGAUGCGGGAUUUCUAGAAGUAGCUAAAUACCCAGAGUUGGUGGCGAAUAUUGUACAAGUGCCUAAAAAGGAUGGGAAAUUCAGAAUGUGCUUCGAUAAUAAAGAUUUGAAUCAAGCUAGUCCCAAGGACAAUUUUACGUUACCUGAUAUAGACACACUGGUGGAUAACACUACUAAACAUUAUGUUUUCUCUUUCAUGGAUGGAUUCUUGGGGUAUAAUCAAAUCAAAAUGGUUAUGAAGGACAUGGAAAAGACCACAUUCAUCAUGACGUGAGAAACUUUUUGUUACAAGGUCAUGUUGUUUGGUCUGAAAGAUGCUAGGGCCACGUAUUAAUAAGCAAUGGUGACAUUGUUUCAUGACAUGAUACAUAAAGAGAUUGAAGUUUAUAUGGACAAUAUGAUAGCAAAUUUUGCUAGGGAGGAAAGUUAUAGGAAAACCUCUGCAAACUGUUUGAAAGAUUGAGGAAAUAUAAAUUGAGAUUGAAUCCAACAAAAUGUACUUUCAGGGUAAAGUCAGGGAAUCUGUUGGGUUUCGUAGUGAGUGAAUGGGGAAUUGAAAUAUACCCGGACAAGGUCCAAGCAGUUCAAGAUUUUUCACCCCCUAAAAUUUAAAAUGAAGUAAGAGGUUUCUUGGGAUGGUUAAAUUACGUGUCUCGUUUGAUCUUACAGUUGACGGAUAAAUGUGAUCCCAUCUUAAAUCUCUUACGUAAGGAUAAUGAUGGUGAAUAGAUUGAUGAUUGUCAAAAAGCAUUGAAGAAAGUAAAAGAGUAUUUGGCUAAGCCACCAAUUUUGAUUCCCCUGGUGCCAAGAAGACCUUUGAUUUUGUAUUUGGUAGUGCUGGAUAAUUCUAUAGGUUGUGUUCUGGAGCAAUGAGAAGGUUCAAACAAGAAAGAACACACAAUCUAUUAUCUGACCAACAAGUUCACAGAAUAUGAAGCCAAUUAUCCCUAUCUGGAAAAGAUGUGUUGUGCUUUAGCGUGGACUACGCAUCCACUAAGGCAAUACAUGAUAGGAAGAAGCUAUUAUUGUCAAGAAGAGUUGCUCGUUGGCAAGUGGUAUUGUCCAAGUAUGACAGCGUCUACAUAUCCCAAAAGGCUAUAAAAGGAAGCAUAGUCGCAAAAUUUUUGGCGGAUCGCACAAAAGAGGAAUACGAGCCCAUGAGUUUUGAUUUCUCAGAUGAAGAGAUCUUGUUAAUUUUGAAGCGCGGAGAAGAAAUUUGGAAGGCGUAUUUCGAUGGACCAUCCAACAUGAUUGGGCAUGGGAUUGGGGCAUACUAAUCUCCCCAAGUGGCCAAUAUUUUCUCGCUACAGCUAAAUUGAUGUUCCCCUGUACGAACAUUGUAGCUGAAUACGAGGCAUGCAUUUUCACACUUUAGAUCGCCAUUGAGAAAAAGGUUAGGGUUUUAAAAGUUUUUGGUGACUCAGCAUUAGUUUUUACCAAUUAACAGGAGAAUUGGAAAUAAGGGAUUCCAAAUUGAUUCACUAUCAAACGUAUGUGGAUGGACUGAUGAAAGAGUUUGAUGAUGUCCAAUUUUGUCAUUUGGCAAGAGAAGAAAACCAGUUAGAAGAUACAUUAGCUACUAUAGCUACCAUGUUCAUCGUAAGAUCUGAAAUAGAAGUGUAACCUAUACUGCUAAGGGUCAAAGACUCGCUGGCCCACUGGGCGGGAGUAGAAUCAAGAACGGAUAGGAAACCAUUGUAUGUUGACAUUAAGCAGUAUUUGCAAUACCAGCAAUACCCGGAUUACGCUUCAAAAAAUUAUGAACGAAUAAUUAAGAGGCUGGUCAUGGGUUUCUUCUUGGAUGUUUUUUUGUAGAAAAGAUAAUGUGACCAAACCCUGCUAAGAUGUGCCAACACAGAAGAGGCAAAUUAGAUAAUGAAGGAAAUUCAUGAUGGAGUAUGUGGAGCACAUAGUAACAGACAUAUGACGGCAAGGCAAAUCAUGAGUGCUGGAUAUUUCUAGUUGACGUUGGAACCAGAUUGUUUAAAUUAUGCUUGGAAAUGUCAUAAAUGUCAGAAUUAUGUAGACAAUAUUAACGCUCGUCCAACUAAUCUUCAUGUCUUGGCACCCCAUUGGUCAUUCUCAAUGUUAGGCAUGGAUUUCAUUGGCCCUAUCACAUCUAAAACAUCAAACGAGCAUCGCUUCAUCUUUGUAGUGAUUGAUUAUUUCACCAAAUGGGUCGAAGCUGCUUCAUAAGCCAAUGUAACUUGAUUAGUGAGUAGCGAAUUUCUAAAAAAAGGGGUCAUUUGUUUGUACAGUUUACCAAAAAGAAUCAUCUCAAAAAAUUCCAAGAACUUGAACAACGUCGUGAUAGAAGAGGUUUGCGCACAAUUUAAGAUCAAGCAUCACAAAUCUACGCCAUAUCGUCCAAAAAUGAAUGGGGUAUUCGAGGCCACGAAUAAAAAUAUCUAAAAGAUCAUUUCCAAUACAGCAAAAAUGUAUAGGGAUUGGCAUAAGAAACUCCCUUUUACUCUCCACGCAUACUGCACAUCAGUGAGGACUUCGAUUGAAGUAUCUCUAUUUUCAUUAGUGUAUGACAUGGAGGUCGUUUUACCUAUCGAGGUGCAAAUCCUAUCUCUACGAGUGUUAAGGGAGGUGCGACUAGAGGAGACUGAAUGGGUGCAAGAGAGAUAUGAGUAGUUGAAUUUAAUUGAGGAAAAGAGAUUAGCAGCUUUAUGUCAUGGCCAGUUGUAUUAGCAAAUAAUGAUGAAGACCUAUAAUAAGAAGGUGUGACCAAGGCAGUUUAGAGAAGGGGAUGUAGUACUAAAGAAUAUUCUACCAUAUGUUCAUGAUCAUCGGGGAAAAUGGACACAAAAAUGGGAGGGACCGUAUAUGGUGAAAAAAAAUUUCUCUGGUGGAGCAUUGAUUCUCGUUGAAUUGGAUGGAGACAAGAUGUCGAACCCUAUAAAUUCUAAUGCAGUGAAAAAAUACUUUGCUUAAAAACUAAGCUUGAUCGUUCUUAAAGAGUUACCCACAUAAGUAAUAUUGCCUUUUUCUCUUUUGCUUUUCUUCGUGCAUCACAUUUCAGGUUACAUUUUGCUUUGGAAUCUUACAUUCUCCUUAAGUUUAAUUACUUAAUAAGUUGGCCAUGUUCAAAAUGACAAAUGAAAUUUUUGAAAUAUCCUUCAGUUGAAGAAAAUUCCAUCCUCUGUUAACCACUUUGGGCGAUCUUGUUUGUUUAAAAUUAACCCUUACUGAAGGAUCACCUUCCACGUUGGAGGACAAAUUGUGAGGUUUUGGGUAUGGAUCAAUGAUUUUACAACAUUGUGAGGCGAACAUGAGAUUAUGUGCAAUUCAAAUUGAAAAGAUGGGUGCAUUCCUAAGAAUGGCCUUUCUGAUUAGAUUAACCAUAUUUUGAAAUGAUAAAUGACAUCCUUUUGUUCCCCUCGUCACAUGAAGAAAAUUAUCUCCCUUGCUACCCCAUUUUGAUCCAGAUGUAUCUUCUUUCUGAACCCUAAUUAAAGUCAUCCAUCGAACAUCAUGAAUUGACAAGAAAUAUCAUGAAGAAUGAAAGCAAAAUUUUGAAUUCUUGAUCUUAUUCCAAAAAAAAAGAGAAAAAAAUAGGGAAAGUGAAUAAGAAACAAACAAGAAAAGAAAUAGGAAGGAGUACGAACGAAGAAAAGUGAUGGAAAGAGCAAAAAAAAUUCAAAAUAAUUCCUCAUAGAUUUUAUACUCUUUCACAUAAUUUUAGCCUAGAAAACCUUUCUUUGAUUGACUUUUAACCCUUAGGCCACGUUACAACCAUUAAAAGACCAUUUUGGUCGAAUAUGUUUGUUCAAAUCAAGAAGUUAAUCCUUGGGAAAUAGUGACGUUUUCAAAAGUAUAAAAGAAGAAGAUGAACUCUAGGGUGAAAACUCAGAAAUGAGCAAUCUAAAAAAAUUCUAAAAAAAUAAUAGGGUAUAAGAUGCCCUGGAGGAUAAUGAAGUUUUCAGAAGAAAUUGAUCCUUCAGUACGAGCCCUGAAGUAAUCUAUUUUAGGUUAUUUUAUCCCUUUCUUUGGCUCCCAAACUCGAAUGGACACUAUAACCUUGGAACAAGUCCAUCUCUAGUUGCUUAUGGUCGACUUAAAUUAGGGAAUUAAUCUACUUGGAGAAUGUAAGAGUCUAUAUAAAGAAGAUUUUGCUUAAAUAAAAAAACACGAAAAAGAAGAAAAGGGGAAAAAAUAACCAAAAAACAGAAAAAAUAGAGAGAGAGCAAGAGAAAGGAACUAAUUUAAGACACAAUUUUGCAAAAGAGAAUGGUACAAGGUUCAUUGUCGGAACAACCCAAAGUCAAGAAAAGGAAAUUCAGGUUCACGAGAAUUAACGAGUUGACUCUCGAUGCAAGAAAUUUAUGUUUCAAGGGUAAAUUUAUGAAAUUCGUAGUACCAAGUCUAUUAAGUGAAUUAUCAUCUGAGAAUUUAAUUUACAAGUCAUAAAAUCAAUUUGAAAUUUGUUAAGGUGAUAUCCCAUGGAAUUUUAUUUUCAUGAUAUGUUAUGUAUGGAUAGAGAUUUGAUCUUUUUCAACCUAAAAGCAUGAUUAUCAAAAUAAUGACCUUUUAUGAAAAAUUCAAGAAAAGAAUAAAGGGAAGCAUUCAUUGCAUUUAAAGGCCCAGCUGUGGAGGUCCGUUUACCUUUCAUUGCAUUUAGAGGCCCAGGGGUGGUGGUCCAUUUACUUUUCAUUACAUUUAGAGGCCCAGGUGCAGAGGUCCAUUUACUUUUCAUUACAUUUAGAGGCCUAGGUGUAGAGGCCCAUUUACUUUUCAUUGCAUUGUAUAUGAAGGCACGGGCGUGAGGUCUAUCUACGAUUCUUCUCCAUUCUCAUUUCAAAGAUUUGGUUGUAAGAUCUGAAUUUAUCUUUUUUCACUCUUCAUGUUUCGAUCGUUUGGUAUCUACUUUUCCAGUUUUGGAUAACGUAACAUGUUUUGAUCUGUUUCAGUUUUGGUACUUGCAAAAUCUGUUAUUCCUUGUACUAUGAUGUUGAGUAGGACUUGAUAGUGGUUAGGUGUCUACGUCUUUUUUCGUGGUACAUUUUUUGCUACGCAAGCCAUGAACAAAUACGGGCAAUUGUAGACACUCAUUUUUAUUGGAGCCCAAUUAGAGGCUCACAUGUUCCCUUUAAAUAUUUGUUUUUUUCUUGGGCCAUUUGAAACCCACCCAAUUUUGGUCAAAUGAAGGCAUUUGUUUUUCUUACCUUUUUAUUUCCUUUUCAAGCUUGUCAAGGGCCCAGAUUAUUAUUAUCAUUACCACUAAUAAUAUUAUUAAAUAUUAUUAUUAUCUCUUUUUUAGGGCCCAAGGCCAAGCUAUUACAAUGGUCAGCUGGGUUUUCAAAAACCCUAGCCUUCCCUUUGUCACACAUCACAAACAUCCAAAAUAGUACCAGACCAUUAAUCAACAGAUCAAUGGAAACAUAAAAAAAAAUUACAAAUAAAAAAGGUUGCCGUAUUUAUUGAUCACUUGGCGUUGAGGUAUCCUUUCACGAAAAAGGAUGCAAAAUCAAAAAUAAAACACUGGAUCUUACUGUUGCAAGAAUCUGACAUCGAGAUAAAAGACCGCAAGGGUACAGAGAAUCAAGUUGCAGACCAUCUGUCUCGAUUGGAAGUUAGCAGCAAAGAUGGAAACAUACUUCAAAUUGUCGACGCAUUCCCAGAUGAGAAGUUAUUUGUUGUAGAUGCAACCCCUUGGUAUGCGAAUUUGGUUAAUUAUAUUGUGUGUGGAAAACUCCCAUUAGGUGUCAUAAGCCAUAAAAAAGAAAGAUUUCUUCAUGAAAUAGUCAAGUAUCAUUAGAAUAAGACGUAUUUAUUCAAGGUAUGCAAUGACAAUAUUAUUCAACGUUGUGUUCCAGAAAAGGAGAUGCUUUCAAUCCUUAAGCACUAUCAUGAUCCUUUCAAUCUAGAAAAGAAAAUUGCUAGCGGUUGAAACACUAUUUUGGGAAUAUUAAUCAAAAACAGGCAAAGACCAUUAAAUUGGUUAAAAUUUUUUAAUUUUUAUUGAAUUUAUCAUUAUGUGAUUUUAUUUUAUUUUGUUUUUGUUCAAGUUUGUUUUACUUCUUUUUUUUUGAAAAAUAAUUAGGUAACAUUGUCGAAGCACUUUGACUUUAUUGCCAAUGCAGUUCAUACUAUUGUACUGUCACUUAUGACUCAUCAAGAAUGAGGGCAUAUCAAAAAUUUCAAAUCCCACCGAUCAUCUGAAAUUAUAUCAAGGCCAGGAACAACUCUAUUGUAGCCGCAUUAAGUUAGUUAAGCCCGAUCCCACUCCUAAAAUUUCUAGUGUUCCCACUGAUCAUUCGAGAUUAUAUACUCUCAUUCGAGGAUGAUGACUUAGGGGAUCCAGACAAUCAGUGGCAUCCCCACCCAUUGUGCACGUCUCUGUUGAUGAGAAAGAAGAGGAAUUAAAGGGCAUUGAAGAGUGCAUGCAAUGGAUUGAUAGCCUGGUCGAGGGUGAAUUCAUUGCUAGUCAAGAGGAACAUGCUAUUGAGGUGGAAGUUUUUGUUAGAGAGGAGGAAGUCCUUGUUGCAAAUGUGAAUGAGAAGGACAAGAAAGAAUAUGCUAAGAAAGAAUCUGCUCGAAACAUUGUCAUUGCACCCAAGUUUGUGGGUGCAACUACUGAUAAUUUGGAGCGAGAUGGAGCUAGACCAGCAGAAGCUGCAGAGGAAGCAACCAAUGAUGCACAGGCAGAACUAGAACCUAAAGAGCGAUCUAAGGAUCAUGCGAAGCCCAAAGAAUAGAUGAGAAAGCGCCCCAAUGAAAAAAAGUGCAAGAAAGAGGAGAAAAAGAGGAGGAAGAAGAAACAUCGUGCAGCCACAUCUGUGGCUAAGGAAAAGUGAGUUAGUUUUUUUUAGUUUUUUUAGUUGUAGUGUUCAUGCAUUGCGCGUAGCUGUAAUUUUUAUUUUGUUACUGCACAUUUUCAUUACAUUUCUCUGGUAAUUGCAUUUUAAUUUUAGUGCAUUGAGGAUAAUGCAAACUUUAAGUUUAGGGGAAUGCAUAUGGGGUUUGGAAAUACAGUCACAUUUCAAAAAAAAUUAUUAAGUUUAAUGAAGCAGGCAAGGUUUAUUUGUGGUUAAUGCAAAUGUGUUUGAAAAUUUUUGUUACAUUCAAUCUUAAUUCUUGAAUCAUGUGAAUUAUAAAUGAAUGAGUUGGAUAAAUUUGACUGAAUGUUGUAUCUUCAAUUCUUUGAUGAAUGAUAUAGGUUGCUUUAGUAAUGGAUGACUAGCAGCAUUCCUUGAAUCUUGAAUGAAUCUGCCUUUUACAGCUGCUUAUAUAUAUAUAGUUAUGAAUAAGAGACACUCCAAAGUGGAUGUAUUGUGAAAUGUUAAAGAGGGAACACUCCAAUGCAAGCAUUAGAAAAAUGAAUCUGGCCAAAGGCUGUCGCUGCAUGAGUGUGCGUCGGUGCGACUACGUACUCCCUUGAGUUUGUUGCACUCCAUCGCUACUUCUCAGGAACAAUGGUAUAGUAAUGCAACGAUAUCCCUUAUUCACAAAAAAAAGACAUAUAUUGUACAAUAAAUGUUGUAUUGGUAGAUAGAAUUUAGGAUUUAAAGCAUGAUGUUGGUUUUGAUGAAGUUGCAAUCUUAUUCAUUCAUACUUAUGUAUUUUCGAUGCAAUAUUCUAUCAUCUGAAUUUGACUCAUUCAUUGGAAUUUAGGUGAUUCAAGUUACUAAAAUGAUCAUUUGCCUUAGUGAAUUCUUGUGUAGCCUUGCUAGUUUUUAAUUUACUUGAGGACAAGUAAAAACUCAAGUUUGGAGGGUGUGAUAGUACUAGAAAUAACACAUGUUUUCUCCCUACUUAUUGGUUAAUUUGUUCCCAUCUAGUUAUCUUUAGUACAUAUUUUAGCAUUUUCAGUUCAGUAAAUUACAUUUUAUAACUCAAUGGAUCUUAACCUAUUUAUCCUUAAUUUCGUCAUGUUUUGGUACUGAUGUCACUGCACGAGUAUUUCCAGAUUGCACCAAGAAUUGUCGCCGCACCUACCAGCUAUCUAGAUAAGAAUAAAAAGGAGUGAGCUGGCCAGUCUGGUACAACCAACCUGUAUGUAUAGAGGAUCCAUGAUUCUAAUGAAAGGACACAUGUGUUAUUUGGAUAAAUAUUAAUAUUCACAUGAAAAGAAAAGGGGGAGGUUCUUUUCAUUGGGGAGAUUAUCUUCUUCAACCUAUCUUUUGAAGCUUUUCAGCUAUGGCGGCUUAAGCCUCCUACGGGUGAACCAAUGUGAAAGGGAUGCAGAUUAGCUCUUCCCAAGGAGCCCUGAGUGCAACAUAAGAGGGAGUUGAGAGAUCAAGUCGAGAUUUUCUAGGAAUAGUACUCUCCACUUGUUUCUUUUAUAUUUCUUUUCUAAAUGUUGGUGAUUACUUUUUAUUUCAUGUUUGUGUAGAAGUAUACAUGAUUUCUGGGUUAAAUGUUAUUUUAUUCAAUCUUGUUUCUACUGUUUAAUCUUUGGGCUUGAAUGUUUUUAGCAUGGAAGUGUUAUUACGGUCACUGACAAUGGAAAGUGCAGCGAUAGUUCAAGCUAACAAGCAUGACAGCAGAAGUUCCUUUAGGAUUAGAAGAAUUUAAUUCACUUGUUCUUAAUAGUGUUCCAUUGCCAUCAUCAAAUGGUGUGGCUAAUGUGCAUGUUUAAGUCGUAGAUUAAAUAUAAAAUUUAAGGUUGGUAAGAUAUUCAUUGCAAUUUAAUGCAUCAACAAUCAACUAUCCUUUUAUGCCUUGUGAGCACUUAGUAUUUUGUUGAAUAUUCACGUUGAGGAUCCCAGUUUAUCAUUAUCUUAUUUUAUCUUAUUGUUUUCAAGUUAUUGCUUCGACAACUACUCUUGUAACACUCCUUACCGGAGACCAUUGCAAGAUUCGAGCUCGAGGCAUUACUUUACUUGUCUAAAUUCGUAAAUUUUCCCUGAAACUUGACUCAUAUAUAUUUUUACCAUAAAAUUUUUAUAAUUUUUGGUUCAUCCAAUUAGUACAAUUUAUUAGUUAAAGUCUCCCCUAUUUCACCAUUUGACUGUUCUGACCUCUUGUUACUAAAAAUAAAUUUUAUCAUUAUAUGAUUUUAAUAUGGUACUCUCACUUGUUCCAAAAGAAACUAGACUCAAUAAGGAAUCUAUACAUAUAAAUUACAACUCAUAAAUAUUUUUUACAAUUUUUAAUGAUUUUCUAAACUCAAAAUAGGGGACUCCAAAAAUAGUUCUGACCCUAUUUCACUAAAAUUCACAUAUCUUAAAAUAUAAAUUUCUUUUUUUGACACAGUUAUUUUUCUAUGAAAAUAGACUCAACAGUAUUUGAUUCCAUAUAUAAUUCACCCUCUAAUUCAUUUUAUACCAUCCUAGGUGAUUUUUCAAAGUCACGUCACUGUGCUGUCUAAAUUCUAUUUCUUUGCAAAAUUUUACCCUUUCAUGAUUUCCAUGCAUAAUUUAUCACCUAGACUUUUAUAACUUAACCGUUUUAAUAACCGUUCAUCAAAAAAUACUUACACAUCAUUCUUUAGCAAAAUCAUAAUUACAAACAAGCAAAAUAACUAAAUCCCUAUACAUGCCAUGACUCAAACGUGUUUCAUCAUAAAAUACCGAGUAGUUGUUCUUGAUAGUGUAGACGAUCUCCGACUUCUUUAGGAUCCCUGAAGCAGCUUUGCAAUACUAUAAGAGAAAGAAAAAUAAAAGAAGUAAGCAUUAAGCUUAGUAAGUUUACUAGCAAAUAAAUAACAACAUUCAACAUAUAUGAUUAUACUCGAAUGUCAAGGUCUCUAAUUUACUCUUUAAUUAAUCUCAUUCUCAUUCUCUUGCUUGUUUACUUACUUAACUCGUGAUUAUGACUUACUCUUCCCUUGCGUAAACGUUGAGUAUCAAUUGAUAAUAUCAUAAGUUCUUAACUCUUAUAACUUACCUGAGCUUGUCAUUUAUGCUUUUAACUAAAUUUUCAUGAACCUGAUUUGUUUACUAGCCCGUUUAGCUACAUUGGAAUAAUAAGGAUACUCGGGUCUCUUCUGAUAAUAACAUGCCAAAGCCAUGUCCCAGACAUGGUCUUACAUGGGAUGUUCUCAUAUCGGUGCCCAUGCCAUAUCCCAGACAUGGUCUUACGGGGGACCUCUCAUCUCGGUGCCAACGCCAUGUCCCAGACAUGGUCUUACAUGGGACCUCUCAUCUCGGUCCCAAUGCCAUGUCCCAGACAUGGUCUUACAUGGGACCUCUCAUCUCGGUGCUAAUUCCAUGUCCCAGAAAUAGUCUUACAUGGGACCUCUCAUGAUCUCAAGGAUGCCAACGCCAUGUCCCAGACAUGGUCUUACAUGGGAUCUCUUUACCCAAAUGUCAUGACAUUUGUAUCCAAUACAUUCCUCAUGUUUUAACGGGGCCUUUUAACACUAAUUCUCUAUCAUCUCAUACUUGAGUUAACAUUAGAUAUUUUCAUGAAAUAAAUACAUAAUUGCUGAAAAAUAACAGCAUUAAUUAUAAUUAUCAAAAUAUUGCAUUUAUUUACCGUACACUUACCUCGGUACAAAAUAUAGCCCAAUUCACCAACUCAGUCUUGAAUUUUAUUCUUCCCUUUGUCUAACCUCGAGUUUCGUUCUUCUUGAUCUAAAAUAGCAAAUUUAACUCAUUUAAUACUCACAUUUAUCAAAACAGCCCUCGACUCUAACUUUGUCAAAAUAACGAUUUUGCCCCUAAACUUUUACAUAAUUAUGUUUUUUCCCCAAGGCUCGGAAAUUAAACUUCAUCUCUUAUUCUUAUGUUUUAUAACAUGCUGAACAUUUUUCUCUUCUAUGACAACAUCAAAUUCUCACUCUAACAUGUACUUGUGAACAUUAGGUAUUUUACCCAUUAUGGAGUUUUACUCGUUUUCGCUUAAAGUCGAUUAGCAAAAAUUGUUUAACAUAAUUUCUAGCUUCAUAUUUUACCUUAAAACAUCAAAAUAAACACUUUUCACCUAUGGGUAUUUUUCCAAAUAUAAACCCUAGGUUAAAUUAUUGCUAGAAUAAGCUAAAUUAAGCUACCGGGAUCUCAAAAAUGUAAAGAACAUUAAAAACGGGGCUUGGGAUCACUUACUAUGGAGAUUGGAAGCUUGAAAACCCUAACUAUGGCUUCUCCCCUUGCUAAAUUCGGCCUAAUGAAGAAGAUGAUCAAAAAUUUGCUUUUAAUUUUGUUUUUAAUUCAUUUUAAUAACUAAAUGACUAAAAUGCCCUUAAUGAAAAACUUUGGAAACAUGCCUAACCAUGUCCAUUUUUGUCCAGAAACUUAACCAAUGGCCUAAUUACCAUAUAAAGACCUCCAAUUUAAAAUUUCAUAACAAUUGGACACCUCUAACAUAUAGAACUCAACUUUUGCACUUUUUACAAUUUAGUCCGUUUGACUAAAUUAAGUGCCCAAACGUCAAAAUUUUUGAACGAAAUUUUCACGAAAUCUUUUCGUGAAAUUGUAGGCAAUAAAAAUAAAUUUUUCCUCAUCAGAUUUGUGGUCCCGAAACCACUGUUCUGAUAACCUUAAAUUUGGGCCAUUACAACUCUCACAAUUUAUCUUGUUUUUAUUUAUUUAUUACACUGAAAUUGAAAGACAAAAGACAACCAUCCUUGUGGGAUUGAUAUCCGGCUGACUCAUAUCUAUCUACUAUACCUGCAUCGACCGUGUACACUUGCACAUUAUUGCUGUGACGUUAAACAGCCGAUCAGGUGCCAAAAUGGGUAAUUUAUUCCCAUCCCCCUUACUUUUUAAAUUUAUUAAAAAAACACCCCAUUUUUUGUAGUGCCGCCCUCACUCUCUAGCCUAUUUACACUCGUAACCCUUUUUAUUUAUUCAAACCUUUAAUUUAAUCCGAAAUUUCAAAAUUAAAGGCAAAUUAUUUGCUACAUCAAUCCUCUGUCUUCCACAUUUUUUAUCUUUUAGUCCCAAAAUCAAGCUCUAUCAUUUUGUUUCCAUCUUGAAUAAGUUAUUUACAUUUAUAUCUUCCAUUUCAUUUGCAUUUUUACCUUAUUGAUUUGAUGUCAAUUAUGCACUUUAUUUUAAUUUUUUUUAUAUUUAUUAAAACUUGUAUAAUUUUUAUUUAUUCUUAUUUCAUCUUUAAUUGUUUUCAUGUCUAUUUAUAUUUAUGUUUUUUUUUACAAAUUCCUCUUACAUACAUUUUAAUAUGAUUUGUUUAUAUUACUUUGAUUCUUUUAUUAUAUUAAGAAUAAGGUGUAUUAUUGUUAUUAUUAUCAUCAUCAUAUCAAAGUCUUAUUUCUUUCAUUUAUUUAUGUGUUCCUUUUAUUAUUUCUCUUUUUGAAAGCUAAAUACAAUAAUUCAUGUGGUAGCUAAAUACAAUACCAAAUGUAUUUGGAUUUUGUUCGCUCCAACUAUAGGGUGUGACUCUGUAGGCUAUUGAAAUGUUGGUAGUAAUACUAGAACAUUUCUAAAAUUACAAGCAAAGAGUGGCAUCUAGCAAUGCAUCAUUGCUACCCAAGUUACAAGAAGUCGUGAUUCGACAUAACCUUUCUGUGAUAAUCUUUUCAUGUAUUAUAUCCUUUUAUCCUUAAUAUCUAGAUUGAACAAAAGUCAUGGAAUAAUCACACUUGUAUAGUCCGAUCUCAUAUUUCUUGAUUUUCUGAGUAGACUACAAUAAACAAAUAAUUGUGAUAUCUCAUAUCAACUUACUCGAGCAUGGUCAUGCAGUUCUAGUCUCACUCCAUCAAGAGGCCUAAGGUAUUGCUCCCAUUAUGUAGGGGGGAUAAAUCCUAUAUUGAUCAACCAUAUCCCACUACAUGAAUCAUGGUAUAUCCAACAUCAGUCUUUAUAGCAUAACCUGUUAUGGUAUGCGUUUGACUGUAUCAAAAUAUAUGACUCAUGAUGUUGGGACAAUGAUGAUCUCAAGUCUGAGGAUCAUAUACAUAGCUACCACUAUGAAUAAUAUUUGUUACUAUUACGUAAUAAUCCAAGAAACAAACUCAUAGCAGGUUAAUCUAGUAUGUUGUUCUCUAACACAUACUCAUGUAUUAAUUUUGACAUCCCUAUGUCAAUGACAACACUUUGUCACCAAUCAACUAAACAUUAGUCUCAAUGCAUUAUCCUUGUCCAAGCCCACAAUAAUACUUAACUAAGGACCUUUUUAAGAAUAAUCAUAUUCUUCUUAGGACUUAUUAUUAACCAAUUUACUUAUACACACAGAAAAAGAAACUGAAAAAAUAAUGGCAAUGCCUUAUAUUAACAAACAAGGUCAAACGAGUAUGUGAUUACAAUCAUCUCAUGAUUGGUCUUUAUGCAUACACUAACAAGAUAAAGCAAACAGUCAAUCAUAGAUCUAUAUAGCUUUAAAUCAACACAUUUACCUUCCUCAUCUUUGUCAAGCUUUGUAGAAGAGCUAAUUGGAGUAGCUUGUGGUUUGGGAGUGUCCAUCCCAAACCUCUUGAGCAUUUCCUUGGUUUAUUUAGCUUGAUUGAUGAAGAUGUCAUCCUUUAUUUGCUUGAUUUGGAGUCCCAAAAAUAAAUUUAGUUCUCCCUCAUCUCAAAUUCACAUUGCAUUAGCUUAGAGAAUUCUGGACAAAGAAAACCAUUAGUAGAACCAAAAAUGAUAUCAUUAACAUAAAUUUGAACUACUAAUAAAUCUGUAUUUUCUUUUGAUAAAAAGUGUUGUGUUAACCUUCUCUUUACAAAAACUUAUUUCAAUGAGGAAUUUUGAUAAUAUUUCAUACCAAGCUCUAGGAGCUUAUUUUAAACCAUAUAAGGCUUUUGAAAGUUUGAAAAUAUGAUUUGGAAAUUUUGAAUCUUAAAUAUUGGGUAGUUGUUCAACAUACACUUAUUCAUUUAUAAAACCAUUUAUAAAAGCACUUUUAACAUCCAUUUGAUAUAGUUUAAACUCAUUAAAACAUGCAAAAGCUAAAAGCAAUCUAAUGACUUCCAUCCUAGCUACGGGAGCAUAAGUUUCAUAAUAAUCUAUUCAUUCCUCUUGAGUGUAACCUUCAGCACAAGUCUAGCAUUAUUCCUCACUAUGUUACCACUCCCAUCUAGCUUGUUCAUAAACCUCAUUUAAUACCUAUAGUAGAUUUAUCAAAAUUUCUUUCAACUAAGGUCCAAACUUUACUUCUCUCAAAUUGAUUUAACUCUUCUUUAAUAGCCAAUAUCCAAUAUUCAACAUUUAAUGCUUCUUUGAUAUUUUUAGGCUCAAUGUAUGAGAUAAAUGCAAUAUAGUUACAAGUAUUUCUAAAAGAAGACCUAGUAGUUACCCCUCUGGAUAGAUCUUCUAAAAUCUGACAUCAUUCACAUAGUUGAACUUUCUUGGAUGAGUGACUUCCAUUUCCUCUAUUACAAAAUCCUCUAGAGCAUCUUCUAUUUGUUCUUGAAUCUUCUCACUUGUUGAUUGAUCCACUUUAUCAUUAUUAUUAAAAAAAUUAUGCAUUAUCAUCAUCAAUACAAGAAUCCUUUCUAGGAGGAAGGUUAGAGUCGUAAAAAAUAUCAUGUAUAGACUCUUCUACUACUAUAAUUCUUUUGUUAAAUUCCUUCAUCACUUUUUGCAUCAAAAUUACCAAGGUUGUCUUUUCCAUUAUCUACAACGAAAUACUUGCAUCCCAAAAGAUGAAAAUAGCUAAUGUUAGGUUUUUUAUUUUUGAAAAGUUCAUGUGGAGUUUUCUUUAAAAUAGGCCUAAUCAUCACUCUAUUAUUAAUGUAACAAGCAGUGUUUGUGGCUUCCACCCAAAAAUAUUUUGGUAAAUUAUUUUCACAAAGCAUGGUUAUAGCCCUUUAUUCUAAAAUUCUAUUUUUCCUCUCAAAAAAUCCAUUUUGUUGAGGGGUUCUAGGUGUAGAAAUAUUAGGCUAAUUUCAUUUGAGUUGCAAAAAUUUUCAAAACCAAGAUUUUGAAAUUUGGUUCAAUGGUCAUUUCUAACACUAGUGAUAGAGUAACCUUUUUCAUUUUGAUUCAUUUUUGAAAAUGUGAUGAACUUUUCUAAAGGUUCAUCUUUAGUGCUUAAAAAGAGAAUCCAAGUAAGUCUAGAAUUGUCAUCAACAAGUACAAAAGCAUAUUGUUUUUCACCCAAGCUAGUUGUCCUAAUAGGACCAAACAAGUCUAUGUGAAUUAGUUGAAGAACUCUACUAGUUGAUACAUCAUUAAUAGGUUUAAAGGAAAAUCUUUUAUGUUUACCUUUAACACAUGCAUCUCAAACUUUAUCUAAUUCAAAAUCAAUUUUAGACAAUCAUCUUACUAAGUCAUUUUCAGCUAGUUUACGCAAUAUGCUCAUGCUAGUAUGUUCCAAUUUUCUAUGCCACAAUAGAGAAUUAUUUUCAUUUUUAGCAUCAAGGCAUAUGAUUUAAUCAUGCAAAUCAUCUAAAUGCACCAUAUAUGUAGACACUCAUUUUUGUUUGAGCCCAAUUGGAGGCCCAUUUGUUCCCCUUAAAUAUUUGUUCUCUCUUAGGCCCAUUCGAAGCCCACUCGAUUUUGGUCAAACGAAGGCCUCUGUUUUUCUUUUCUUUUUCUUUCCUUUUUGGGCUUGUCAAGGGCCCAAAUUAUUAUUAUCAUUACUACUAUUAUUAUUAUUAAAUAUUAAUAUUAUCUUUUUUUAGGGCCCAAAGCCCAAGCUGUUUCAAUAGUCAACUAGGGUUCCAGCAACCCUAGCCUCUCAUUUGCACCCAUCACAAACAUCAAAAAUAGUUCCAAACCAUUAAUCAACAGAUCAAUAGAAACAUAAAGAAAUUACAGAUAAACAAGAUUGAAAAAUAGUAUAUAUACAUGAAAUGAAAUGAAAGAAAAAAAAAGGAGGCUUUUCAUAUUCUGGUUUUUUUAAGUAAAAAAAAACAACAAUAACAACAGCAAGCAUGAUAUUUCCUUUUUUGUUCUUCUUUUUUUUUUCCAUAUACAUAUCUUAAGGGAUCAGGUUUGGACUCUAUUGAAGGGGACGUCAGCGGAACGUCGGUCCUCCACCUUUAAGAGCCCAAAAUCCUAUUUUUUUCUUGAUCUUGGGAAAGUUUUGGUUUUUGUUUUUUUUUAAAGAGAAAGUUUAGAUUUUUAAAAAUAAAAAUAUUUAUUUUUAGUCAAAUUGCUUUUCAACUAUUUAGAAAUAAAAGCUUUGAUCUUUAAGAAAAGUUGUGAUUUUUUAAAAGAAAACUUUGAUUUUCUAAAAAAAAAGGGAUUCCGGUCACCGUAUGCGCUAGCUCCACCAUCGAAAAACGAAGAGUCGUUAGGCUCUUCGAUGGUGGAGCCAUGGCCGACACAGAAGGAGGAAAAUAAGGAUGAAGAGUUUUUUUUAAUGAGGUUAAAAAUGAAAUAAUGCAGUUUUUUUUCCUAUUUAUAGAUGCCAAAAUGGGUAAUUUAUUGUCAUCCAUCUUACUUUUUAAAUUUAUAAAGAAAACCUCUUUUUUUUGCAAUGCUACCCUCACUCUCUGGCCUAUUUACACUUGUAACCCUUUUUGUUUAUUCAAACCUUCGAUUUAAUUCAAAAUUUCAAAAUUAAAAGCAAAUUAUUCGCUACAUCUGUCUUCUACCUUCCACAUUUUUUAUCUUUUAAUCCCAAAAUCAAGUUAUGUCAUUUUGUUUCCAUCUUUAAUAAGUUAUUUACAUUUAUAUAUUCUCUUUCAUUUGAAUAUUUUCCUUAUAUAUUUGAUGUCAAUUAUGAACUUUAUUUUAAUUUUUUAUAUUUAUUCACACCUAUAUAAUUUUUAUUUAUUCUUAUUUCAUCUUUAUUUAUUUUCAUGUCUAUUUAUAUUUAUGUUUUUUACACAUUCCUCUUACAUACAUUUUAAUAUUAUUUGUUUUUGUUUAUGUUAAUUUAAUUCUUUAAUUGUAUUAUGAAUAAGGUGUAUUAUUUUAUUAUUAUCAUCAUCAUGUGAAGGUCUUAUUUCUUUCAUUUAUUUAAGUUUUCUUUUUGUUGUUGUCCUUUUUGAAAUAGUUUUAACUUUUUCAUUAACUUUAGCGAAUUUAAUAUUUUUUUUCCUAUUUUAUUACUAUUCAUUUUAAAAGAGGGAACUUUAGGUUAUUUUUCCAUCCUAUAAAUGUUAACAUGAAGUUAUUUAAGUAAGGGUUGCAUUUUAAUGAAACCAUAAGAUUCUUUUUUUACAUUUGAAUUCAGGUUAGUCUUUAAGAUUUUAUCAACCAUUUAUCCUAGAAAAGUUAUAAAUAAUAUGUAGGAUAUUUUUUAUUAGGGUUUUAAACUAAUAUUAAAUAUCAUAUAAUAUUCUUCUUUAGAAUCUCGAAUUAAUAUGUAAAUAUUCUUUAGGACUUUAUUCAAGAUUAAAACUAAGGAUUUUUGUAGGUGAAUUGUAAAUCAUAAGUAGGUCUUUCUAAGUAUUUUAUUUUAGAAACUCUUUAAGAAAGCUAAUAAAUGUUAUUUAAUAUAUAUUAUUUUAGGAUUUUGAUGAAUUUAAACCUUAGAUCAAGAAUUUUAAAGUAAGAUAAAUUAUAAACCUGACAUAGGAUACUUUCGUAAGAUCUUGAUAGGUUCAAUGUUAUUAAUUAAAUCUUUUAAGAAAAUAAUAAUAAAAUAUCAAAUAAGUUGUAGAUGGAUUUUAAUAUUUCUCUUAAUUCAUUGGUAAUUUCUAGGUUUUUUUAACAUUCUAAAAUAGAAUUAAUUUUAGGAAUUGAAGGUAUUUUACUAGAAUUAUUUAGGUAUCCUUUAGAGUUUUCGUUAAAAAUAAAAAUCUCUAAUUUAAGUUUCAAAUUAGAUAAGUUUGGUAAACACAUCUUAAUCGAGUUACUAGUAAACUGGAGGCAUUUUAUUUAGAGUUUUUAUUUAAGAUUUCCAUAAGAUUUUAGUCUACAUUAAGACAUUAAUAUGCUUAAAUAAAAAACUUAGCUCCCAAAACCCCGUAGGACUAUCCUCGGAUAAGUGUUGUGGGGGUGCUAUAACCUUCCUCACACGUAGUCGUACUCCUGAACCCAAAAUUUGAUGAUGAGAUCGAGUCUAGACUUUUAGGAUUUUUCUGUAGUAUUAAUUCUAAACUUUUAGACGAUAGGGUGCUACAUCCAUUAGUGAUGACUCUACAUUAAUGUAGGCCCUCCAUGUCUAACUUUGCUUACUAGGCCCCCGUACUCUUAUGUAGGCAACGUUAUGACAAUAUAUAUUUCUUAUCCUAUGUCCUACAUCCGUUAGACUCAAAAAUGACAUUGAGACCACAAUCACACAAUUGGCUAAUACUAAGUAGAUUAUGAUUAACACCAUUGACAUAGACAAUAUUUUCAAUAAGAACUGAAAAGCUUGUACCGAUAGAGUAGAUCCCUUCUACUUGUUCUUUAGAGUUAUCACCAAAUGUGACUACUCUAUUUUUUUUCUUCAAAUUGGUGAAGUGGCUCUGGUCACCGAUCAUGUGCUUUGAGCAUCUACUAUUAAGGUAUCAUGAGUUUUUGAAUUAAUCCUCCACCUUGAAGCAAUGCUCCUCUUCCUACAAAUAUACAAUUAAGCUUUAAUUUUUGGUACCCAAAUUCUUUUCGGUCCAUAAACAUUAGUUCCUAUAAUUUUAGUCCCUUUAGGUAUCCAUUUUGAAAGAAUGUCUUUAUCUUAAGUACUUAUGAGUCUUUUUGGGACCCAUACACUUUUAAUAAGUUUUCCUUUGUAAAAAUUUUGUUUUGAACUUUCUUCUCUUAAAAAUCUAUGGUCAAACUUUGUUAGAGUGAGUUUUUUCACUCUUAAGCAACUCAAGUUUCUUUUGAUAAUCAUCAUGAACUUUAGACAGAAAAUUAUGCAAGUCAAAAUUCUUUUUUCUCAAAAUCAUUUACACUAGCUUACAUAUUAUUUAUUUUACUUUCAAGUUCCUUUUUUGACUAUGGAGAGUAAAUUACUUUCCUCUUUUAGUUUUGAAAUAGUUUCUCCAUGUUUUGAACCAUUAAUUCAAAGUCCAAACCCAACUCAUCAUAGGCAUCUUGUAACUCAUCAAAAGAAUAAGAAGUUGAAUUGGAUGAGUCAAAGUUACCUUAGAGUCGUCGAUGGCCAUAAGGCAAAGAUUGGUUACUUCUUGAUCUUCAUUGUCAGAUGAAUCCCCAUCACUCGAAGUAGCAACAUGAUCCUUAAGCUUUUGUUUGCUUAACCCUCUUUUCUUCCAUUGAGGACAAUCAAAAUUAAGGUGUCCCGGCUUCUUGCGUUCAUAGCAUAUGAUGGAGUCCUUCUCCUUGGAAGAUUCAAUCUUAACUCCUUCCUUCUUUUGGAAUUUUCUUCCUUUAUUGGACCUCAUAAACCUCUUGAAUCUUCUUGCAAACAUGAUCAUCUCUAAAUCCUCAUCUACAUCAUCACUAGCAUUUCCUUCUUCUAUUGUGGACUUGAAGGCAAUACCAACCUUCUUUUUUUCAACUUUUUCUUCUCCUUUAUUCACUCUUUAGAACUUCAUUUCAUGAGUGAGCAAAAAACCAAUCAGCUCGUCUAAUGAAAGAGUCUCCAAAUUUUUAGCUUUCUCUAUAGUUGUAACUUUGGCAUCCCACGACAUUGGCAAGCUUCUAAGCAUUUUCCACACUACUUCUUUAGUGGGAUAGAACUUUGUAAGAACACCGGUUCACCUUAUAGCGCACUGAAAAAACAUUAAAUCCGGCGAUCACAUCCAGGGAUCCAUGUGUGAGGAACAAAUUGGGGUGAGAAGGUUAUGAACAAUUACCUUUAAUCGUCUAGAAAACCAAAGAUAACUAUUGUGAAACUGAUUACGCAAUUGUAUGUCGAUUCCAAGCCGAUAGAAAAAGUUUCGGCCUCUACGUAACCCACCGGUGUGACGACAAACGAUAAGAACUCUCUUAAACUUUUUCAGAAAGAAUUCACUAUAUAACGGUUGCUAGACCUCACUCUUUUCAUUUCAGGUAUAUUAGGUUUUCUUAAAAACCUUAUAUUUCCUAAUUCGGGAAUAGUUGAUAUUUUAAUAUGAAUCAAAAAUUAUUAUAAUAAUUAACCGAAUAUAAUAAUUAUAAUUACCAUAAUUAUAAUAAUGUUUGACCGAAAAAUUACACCUACAAUAAUUAUAAUAAUAUUCUAUCAUAAAUUAUAAUUCCAAUAAUUAUAACAAGGAUUUCGGUAAAUUAUGUUUAGUUAAAUUUUAUAUAAAUCAAAUUCAUAUAUAUUAAUUUAACCAUGUUCUCAUUAUGUGUACAACAUACUUGUACAUAUAAUUCGUUCGAUAUUUAACUUCUCAAUUAAAUUAAUUCUAUAAUCAAUUUAAUUCAUGUGACAACUAAAAAUAGUACCAAAUAUGUUUGGAUUUCGUUCGUUUUAACCAUAGAAUAUGACCUUGUAGGUUCUUGUAAUGUUAGCAGUAAUACUAGAAUGAUUCUAAUAUUACAAACAAUUAGUGGCAUCUAGCAAUGCAUUAUUGUUACUGAAGUUACAAGCCAUGAUUCAACAUAACCUCUCUAUGAUUAACCCAUCAUGUAUUAAAUCCUUUUCUCAUUUAUAUCUAGAAUGGACACAAGUAUGGAAUAGUCACACUUGCAUAGUUCAUCUAAUGUUUCUGGAUAUCCUGAGUAGACUAUGAUAAACAAAUAAGUACGAUAUCUCAUAUCAACUUAUUCGAGCAUGGUCAUGCACUUAUAGUCUAACUCAAUCAAGUGGCCUAAGAUAUUACUUUCAUUAUGUAUGAGGGACAAAUCCUAUAUUGAUUGUGGUAUAUCCAACUUCAGCCUUUAUAGAACAACCAAUUACGGUGGAUGUUUGACUGUAUCAAAGUAUACGACUCACGAUGUUGGGAUAAUGAUGAUCUCAAGUCUGAGGAUCGUAUACAUAGUAAUCACUAUGAGCAAUGUUGUGACUAUUACAUAAUAAUCCAAGAAACAUACUCAUAGCGGGCCAGUCCAAUAUGUUGUUCUCUAACAAACAUACUCAUGUAUUGAUUUUGACAUCCCAUGUUACUGACAACACUUUGUCAUCAAUAAACUACACAUUAGUCUUAAUGCAUUAUUGUUGUCCAAGCCCAUAAUAAUACUCGACUAAAGACAUUUUAAGAAUAAUCAUAUUAUUCUCAAGAUAUUAUUAUAAAAUAGUUUAGAUGUUUGGUAUGUCAGCAAGUUAAAGCUAAACAUUAGUUACCUUCUAGAUUGUUAUAGCCAGUAAUGAUACCGGAGUGGAAAUGGGAUCGAGUUACGAUGGAUUUCGUAUCAGGUUUACCCUUAUCUCCGAGAAAGAAAGAUGUUAUUUGGGUUAUCGUUGAUCGUUUGACAAAGUCAGCACAUUUUAUUUCGGUACGUACAGAUUUCUCCCUUGAGAGAUUAGUUAGAUUGUUAGAUUGUUAGAUUGCACGGGUUGCCAGUUUCUAUUAUUUCGGAUAAAGAUCUGCGGUUUACAUCACAAUUAUGGAAAAUUUUAUAGGAAGCUCUAGGUAUGUGAUUGGAUUUUAGCACUGCAUUUCAUCCUCAGACCGAUGGUCAGUUUGAGCGAGUAAUUCAGAUUCUUGAAGAUAUGCUUCGUUGCUAUGUAUUAGAGUUUGAAGGCAACUGGGAGAAAUAUUUAUCGUUGGUUGAAUUCGUGUAUAAUAAAAAUUUUUAGUCGAGUAUAAAGAUGGCACUGUAUGAAGCAUUGUAUGGUCGUAAAUGUCAAACUCUAUUAUACUGGACUAAGCUCAAUGAUAAAAAGAUACACGGGGUUGAUUUCAUUCGCGAGACUAAAGAAAAAGUGAAAGUGAUCCAAGAUAAUUUCAACGUAGCUUCAGAUUGAUAGAAAUUAUAUGCGGAUCUUAAAUGUAAAGACAUAGAAUUUCAAGUCAGAGAUAGAGUGUUUCUGAAAGUAUCGCCUUGGAAGAAAUUCCUUCGAUUCGGUCGCAAAAGGAAGUUGAGUCUGCGAUUUAUCGAGCCAUAUGAGAUUACUGAAAGAAUCGAACCUAUCGUGUAUUGAUUAGCUUUACCGUUAGAACUAGAAAAGAUUCAUAAUGACUUUCAUGUGUCUAUGUUAUGACAGAAUCGGUCAGACUCUUUACAUGUUAUCUCCCUGAUCGAUGUCGAAAUUCAGUCUGAUAUGUCGUACAUUGAGGAACCGAUCAGAAUUCUAGCAUGAGAGGAAAAACAAUUGAGAAACAAGAAUAUAGCUUUGGUAAAAGUUCUCUGGUAGCAUCACGAAAUAGUCGAAGCCAUCUAGGAACCUAAAGAAGCUAUGAGAAAGCAAUAUCUGAACCUCUUUUCUGGUAAGAUUUUCAGGGAUGAAAAUCCCUUUAGGAGGGGAGAGUUAUAACAACCUAUUUUCAGUGAAAUCGAAACAGUGGUUUUAGGACCACAAAUUUGAAGUUAAAAAUUUUAUUUUAUUUCCUACAGCAUAAUAGUAGUAUCGUAUAAAAAUAACGUUUAAGAAAUAUUACCGUUUACAUGCUCAAUUUGAUAAAAAAGGACUAAAUCGUGUAAAGUGUAAAAGUUGAAUUCUAAUAUCUAAAGGUAAUAAAUAGCUAUAGAACAUUAAAGUGGGAGUACUUAUAUGGUAAUUAGACCAUUUAAGUUGAUAGUGGAUGUACAUGGUUUGGCAUUUGUGUAAUUAAUAAUGAUUUUAAAGGCUAAUUAUGUAAUUUGGUAAAUAAUGACAAAAUAAAUUAAAACAACAAAUAGGUUAUCACCUUUAACCUUUCUUUCAACCGAAUGUAAAGAAAAAAAUAGCCAUUUUUUAAGCUAAGGUUCGACCAACCCUAAUUUGUCAAUAGGUAAGUGAUUUUUGUCCCCUUUUUAUUGAUUUCUCUAUUUUCAGGAUCAUUUUAGCUUAAUCUAACUACCCCGAGGACUAAUCUGUGAAACUGUUAAACUAUUAGGGUUUUUCCAUUGAUGAACAUACAUGAUUUUUGAUGUUGGUGAUAGAAAAUGGAUGAUUUUUGUUAGAUAAACAACUUUUCUUAAGUGAUUUUUGAUGAAAUUAUUAAUUAGGGAUUUAAUUGAAAAAUAGAAAUUUUACAUGGUGAAAUUAUGAAAUAAAUGAAAUAUAGGGCAUGCCAGGGACCUAAUUGAUAUUCAGUUAUAGUGGGUUAUGGUGGAAUUUCAUGAAUUUCCAUUUUUAUGAAACAGGGACAAAAUUACAAUGAAAUUAAAAGUAUAGGGGCAAAAUGAUAAUUUUUCCAAAAUAUUAUUUUAGGUUAAAUUGAAUGAAAUAUAUUUUGAAUUGAGUUAAAUUUAUCAGUAUAGAUCAAGACAGAUCUUGUACGACUUUAGAUCGGGGCGAAGAGAAAAUCUUAGAUUAAUCGUCUCCAUAUCUACGUAUAGUCAUCAAGGUAAGUUUGUGUGAUUAAAUUGUAAUUAUGUGUUUUAUUUUGAAAUAUGCAUGAAUUGUAAAUUUGCUACAUGUAUACACGGUUGCAUAUCCAACAAUGUACGACUACUGAGCUCAGGUCAUGUCUCAGGAUGUGUGGACAUUCGAAGUAGGGACACAUUGCCGUGUCCCAGCCUGUGUCCGUGCCCGUGUAACUCUUUGACUUGGGUCACACGACUAAGCCAUACGCCCAUGUGUCAGGCCAUUUACCUUUCGAAAUGGCCUCACACACCCAUGUGUCAGGCCGUGUGCUAGGCUAUGUAGCUGCCUGACUUGCAACCCUUUGUAAGCUACAGAGGACACACGGUCAUGUCGUUUGGCCGUGUGUCACACACAGCUGAGACACACGCCCGUGUCUCUAGCCAUAUGGACGAAAAAUAGGCUAUUUCCAAGCCAAUUUUCUCACCCAAACAUGCACAAACCUACAACAAAUUUUCCACAUAUAAUCAAGCAUCCCAAAAUGUUCCAAAUCAUGCAACAUCAAGCUAUCCAAAUAAGAUACAUAUGCAUACAACCAAUAUGCCCAAAAAGGCUCCUCAAUCACAACAAUUAAACUUGUAUAAUCAUAUGCAUAGUUUAGCUAAAAGUUCAACCAACUUAUAACUAAGUUUAUGGCAUAACUUACCACUUUGUUUACCUAUCAAAUUCACACCAAAAGUACUAAAAUUUACCAUUUAACAUUUAGCAUCAUAAGUCAUAUAUGCCAACUGCAUUUUUCAUACCAAAAAGACCAUGUUUAACUUCCAUCAUCUAAGCAUCAUAAAGACUAUAAAAUCAACCAUCAUAAGGUCAUCUAAAUGACACAAAUCUAAUCAUAUCUAAAUGGUUCCAACAAUCAAAAUGUAUACAAACCAUGUUUCAAUCAUGCACAUCUAUUCAAAACCUUUCCAAAGUAUACCAUAUCUUGACCAUGUUGAGGUCAAUUCAUCAUAUAUCACUUUGGCCAUUCAAACAUGCUUUAACAUAUUAUCAAAUUAACACAUAUCAGAAAGGUACCAAAUAUACCAAAGCUGCAUCACUCAAAAUGACAUAUACAUGCCAAACUCAUCAACUAACAUUCAACUAAUCAUCAACCAUAAGUCCACCUAUACAUGUCAUUAUAACCUUAACCAAGACAUAAAAAUCUACCGAUAUAAUCACUAGAUAGUGUGAUAGAUCUCCGACGAUCUUCCAACCCAAUUAAGCUUUGAAUAAUCUAAAAAGUAAUCGAAAAAAACAACUACGUAAGCAAUGAAUGUUGAGUAAGCUUGUAUAAACCAUAAGCAUAACAUUACAUUUCAAUAAUAAAAUUUAUAGGUUAAAUACAAGCCUAUACCAAUGCCUCAAGAUUUAUCCAACCAUAAUUAUUAACUCACAAAUGAAUAAGUUCAUUUAUGUCGCAUAAUUAUUAACCAUACAUAACAUGAUAGGAUUUCAUGAAACACAAUAUAUAAUCAUCAGCCUUUCUAUAAGAUUAUAUAUCUUUCCAUUUACUUUCUUUUCAUUCCGUUCCCAAUGCUUAUCAUAAGCCUAAACAAUAUUAUCAAUUCCCGACUUAGUGUAUUCAUUCAUAGCAUAAGUAAUUUGCUCACAUAUAAUACAUCAUUUAUCACAUUAAACCUUUUAUAACAUCAUAAUACAUCCCAACAUCAUAAUACAUCCCAAUUACAUACUUACCGUUUCUUUUUUCUUUUUCUUACCCGUUUUGUAUGCAUAGUAUAAGCAUAAUCAAUAAACAUCAAUCAUAUCCACAAGCUUGCAUAAGCCUUAGCACAUCAACAGCACAUGUUAGUUCAUUUAAACAUGAUUCAUAUUAAUUUGACAUAGAUAACCAUUAUACUUGACUAUGAUUCAAUUGGACUUAUCAUCCAUCAUAACAUAUCAUGUCUUUCCAUGUAUCACCAUCCCACUGAGUUUUAUAUAAACAUGUCUUAGUUCUUAUUGAACACUUUUGCAUACACAUAUGACAUAAAUAAUACAUUAACCAUAGCCACAAGCUAGUGACUAAACACAUAACUUAACAAUAUCAUCACAUGUUAAGAUAUGGAACGUAACAUAGUAUCAAUUAUACCAUACCUUUCAUAAACAUGAAUGUUCAUACUUUGAUCAUUGCUACAUCAUACCUUCCCAUAUUAAGUCAAUCAAAACCCUUACCAGAGCUCAUACAAAAUGGGUUAAAUUAUGGUCGUAACCGUCCCUUUUCAUAUUCGAUGGUCGUCACUAUCCCUUUUCAUAAUAAAUAGCCGAAGCUAUCCCUUUUCAUAUUCGAUAGCCAAAGCUAUUCCUUUUCAUAUUCGAUGGUUGUCACCAUCCCUUUUCAUAGUUGAUGGUCGUCACCAUCCCUUUUCAUAAUUGAUAGCCAAAGCUAUCCCAUUUCAUAUUCGAUAAUCGAAGCUACCCCUUUUCAUUAGUCGAUGAUUGUCGAUACACCGUUGGAUUUACGUCGUUUCAUAACACGAUAAAUUGUAUAAUAACUUAUAUUUAUUAAUUCAUUCUCAAUAAGAAUCAUAUAAUAACAUUCAAUUUAACCAAAAUUAUACAUAAUACAGUUCAUACGAACUAACCUGGCUAAUUUGUAGAAAUGACAAAGUACAAGGGCAUUUUGGUAAUUUUCCAUUCUCCUCAAUUUUCCACCCUAUCUUGAUCUAAAUUAAUAAUUUCAUUCAAUCAAUUAAGUUAGACUGACACUUUGUAAAUAUUUAUAAAAAUAUUUAUGGCUCGAUUUAUAGAAAUGAGGUCCUGAUGCCUCGUUUUCUAAAACCACUUAACCUGAGGGUCUUACUAUUUGAACUUAAUAAAUCGCUUAUAUAACAAAAAUCACUAUAUCAAAAACCUAUUUUAAAACCAUGUUUGAAUCAUAAUUAUUAAAUAAUAAUAUUCAUAAACUUACUUGUUGGAUUUGGUGGCCGCGAAACUACUAUUUUUGACACCACUAAAAAACGGGUUGUUACAUUAAAAGUUUAAGAAGCACUUAUAAUUGGACCCAAUAGAAGAGAGGACCAAAAACCCAAAAACCCUAGUAUGUUUAACUAGGGUUGCUGCCCCUCUCUGUCCUAGUUAAACUAGGAAGUUGUUUUUCUAUUAAUUAUAUUUUUACUAAUUGAACAAGGGUUUCACUUUCUCCAGAGGAAUUAUUCUCUCUGCAUUCUACCUUCUUUUCUUGUGCUUCUAUAGUUUUUAAAAGAAAAAAUAUAACAUUAGCAAAUCAAGCACCAAAAUGACAAACCAAAAGCAUAGAUCAAGUUUUUCGCAAAGGUAAUCUUGAAAGUUGGUCUUGCAUGUUGAAUUUCAUAUUUUAGAAAUAAAAGAAAAAAAAAAGCCAUGUUUGGUUCAAUGUAAUGGCUAUGCCAUUACAAUUCUAUUCAGUGGGCCUACUACAAAUAGUUGUUUGGUUUAGUGGAAUACCCUAUUACAGGUGUAUUCCAUUACAGGCUUCUGUAGGGAAUAGGGAACACUUCUAUUCCCUCACCUCGCCACCGAAUGGCUCAUUCGUUGUUUAAGAAAUCAAUUCUACCCUCCCCAAUUUCUCACCUAAAAAAUGCUCACUCAGCCUGAUAGACAGCCACUUCCUUACUUCCUUCAACUCCGGCUAGUAGCACUCAUCUCAAUCAUCUCCUUUAGGUAAACAUUUUUCGAACAUCCUUUGUUCCUUUUGUUUUCCACUCUACAAAUUUUUCUUACCCUAAAAUUUUAUUGAUUCUAUCACUUUUCUUCAAGCAUUUUACUUGUCUACUACCCAACACUGAUGGGUUUUAUGUCUCUAACUUCUUGAACAAAAUGGGAUCAAACUCUUCUUUGUCUUAAAACUUCCCUGGUUUUGUUUGUUCAUGGGUGGGGGUGAUGCGUGAUAAUACCAAGGAGAAUUUUAUUGCAUUGAAGGCUUCAGGUUUAGGCCUUUCUAGUUUGAUUCUUGAUACCACCAUUGGAACGUUAGCUCAACUUUAUUCAUUAGAUCUUAGCAAUAACAAAAUCAUUGCUUUGCCCUUAGAUUUUUUUAGUUUAGUCUCACUUAAGAGUCUUAAAGAGACAUGAUCGAUGAUAAUACAAAUAAUUAGAGAGAAAAAAUAAAGAAAAAUCAAAGACAUCAAAAGAGUAAAUGGAGAGCUCUAGGCAGAAUAUUAAAAGAAAAAAAAGAAAGAAGAAAAUAGUAUGAUGGUGGGUAGAAGUAUUAAUGACUAGUGAUAAUGGAAUGGUGGAUAUAUGAUGGUGGGUAGAAGUAUUGAUGACUAGUGAUAAUGGAAUGGUUGGCUAAGAGGCCUGAGAGAGAGAGAUGGAACUUUCUUGAGAUUGAAUUCUAGCUGUUUUAGAAGUAAAAAAAUGGGGUUUCAGUUUCAAUUUAUUCUCCUAUUGGUGACCAUAUGUAUAACUUUGAGUGCUAUGUUAAUUGAUGGAUCAUCAGGUACUGAUGAUGUCUAUAUCUGUUUUCUUCUAAGUUGAUCUUAUCUUUUUAUAGCGGCAGAUUUUUAUCCAUGCUUUUGUUUUCCUUUUUUGAUUGAGAUUUUUCAUGAAAUUUGUACUCAAAAUCCAUUUUAAAGAUCUGGGUUGUUUAAGCUAGUUUCAAUGAUCAAGAACUAGGAUAAUGAAUGAUGAUGUACUUUAAGCUUGUUGUAAAAUUGACACAGUUGAAGUAUUUGAUGGAAUCUGCAUUUCAUGACCACUGAGAAAAGCCAUAUGAUAUUUACAAUUUUCCAUCUAAUUUCAUAUUGUUCUCAGCACUUUCAGACUUGGCUCGCUCAACUUCUAGAUGCUUCAUCAACUCGACUAUCUUUUUUCUCAUAUAUUUGAAUGGUAUCGGCUACUACUUUUUGGUAUGUAUGUAUUUUCUAGCUGAUUUUGCUACUAACAAUCAAAAGAACAACAUAAAUACUCUUGUUUUCUGGAUGAUAAAGAACACCAUGAAUAUAUUUUUUGAUAUGUCUCAAGCAAUACAUUUUUUGCCUUUUGAAGGAAACUGGAUUAAGUUUUAGGGAGUACUACAACAUGUAUAAGUUUACUGACAUUUACAUGUGGUCCAGUAUGCUGUCCCCGAAUUUUUUUUUUUAAACCAUAUUUUUCACUCUCCCCAAAUUUUAUUGCUUAUCAAUUUACAUAUGAAUCUCAUAAGAAUAUUAGAAGAUAAAUUGAGCAAACAUAUUAUGAUAAAAAUAAUAAUAAUGCAUGCAAAAUAAACUUUACUUAAUCUAAUUAUAAGCAUCAUUUGAAAGAUAUUCAUUAAAGUACAAUUUAGAAUAAUUUAUCAAGUCAUAGACCUAUUAAUUAAGAACACCAACUAACAUAUACUCAUUCGAAGAUAUCUAACACUUUAACAUCUUACAAUAAUGGUUCGUUUGCCUUUAAUAGUACAAAAUUAGAGGCGAAAAAGAAUUGGUCUUAAAUUGACAGUAUGGUUGUAAAUGUGUACAAUUGUAAGCUUAUUCCUGGUUACGUUUGGUGUCGUCUCUAGCAACAUACUUAUAGACCAAGGAUUAGAUCAUAUAUUUUAAAUUUUUAUGCACAACUAGAUUAUGUGAAAAGACUUGUACAUGCUAGUGACGAUACCUAUAUUGAACAAGUUAGGCUGAAUAGAGUUAUUUUUUUAAAAUUAUCUAAGAUGUUACAAACUAUAGGAGGAUUGAAUUCAUUAAAAAACAUGCUUGUUGAUGAACAAGUGUCAAUGUUCUUACAUAUCAUUUCUCAUCAUCUUAAAAACUGAGUUGUCAAGCAUCACUUUAAUAGGUCCGGGGAAGCCGUUAGCAUAUCAUUUCACAAUGUUUUAAAUGUUUUCAUAUGCUUACAAGAUGUGUUAUUUAAAUAGGUAGAUCCAAUUACAGCUAAUUCUACAAAGUCAAUGUGGAAAUGGUUUAAGGUAUUGGAGUGAGUUCCAUUUAUAGCUUGUAUAUAAUUCACUUGACUUAGAUUUAAAUAUAGUAUCCUAACUCGAAGUUUUAAACUAUUUCUGUAGAAUUCAUUAGGUGCUUUAUAUGGAACCCACAUCAAUAUUAGGAUUCCAAAAGUUGAUAAACCUAAAUAUCGAACUCGAAAAGGUGACAUAGAAACAAAUAUGUAGGUGUUUGUACACCUAAUAUGCAUUUUUUUAUGUUAUGUUGAUUUCCUCAUGCUAUGUUGAAGGCUAAACUUAAUUUUAAAUUGAGGAUUAGGAGAUUGAAAAGGGAUUGGGAAAUCAUUUAUGACAUACUUAGUGGAAAAGACAAUAGCAGCUUUAGUUGGGACGAGUAUAGACAGCUUGUUGUUGCUAAAGAUGUUGUGUGGAAAUCGUAUAUAAGUGUAAGAAUUAUUUCAUGUCUUUAUUAUCUUGUUUUGAUCAAACUUAAUCUAAUGUGAAUUCUUCCCUUUUUAUAGUCAUAAAGAAGCUGGUCAAUUCAGACAUCGCAGUUUCCCUUAUUAUGACCAACUUACUACCAUCUAUGCAAAAGAUCGAGCCAUUGGGAAAAAUGCUCACACAACCGCUGAUAUUGUUGAAGAAAUAUAUGCUAAGGAUGUAGCUACAGCAAAUAUUCCUAAAGAAAAAAAAAACUACCAUGGAUGUGAAGCUGAUGUUUCUUUGGAUGAGAUGGAUGUCUCAACUACACAAUCACAACCGUUGAGGCCAAACCAACAUGAUUCCAUAUUUUUUGUAACAACUUAUUUUUUAGUGGUGUCAAAAAUAGUGGUUUCGAAACCAUAAUCUCGACGUGUGCGUCCAUAAGUAUUAUUUAUUUAAUAUUUACGAGUUCAUUAGUGUUAUAUUAAAUUUUGGUCUAGUAAUUUUAAUGUUUGGUUAGUUAAUUAAAGAAAAAUGAUUAACUCGUAAAUUUGGUAAAAGUUAAUUAGUAUUGAUUAUUAUUAGCUAAAAUAUUUAAAUAGUUAAAGUGAGAGGAUCUUUAUGGUAAUUAGAUCAUAAUUGGUGAUUGUGCAUGGCAUUAGGUGAAUGUUAUAAUGAAAUUUCAAUUAAAAUAAAGUUAAAAUAAAAGAAAUAAAACUUAAAACAUAAAAAGAAAAAAAAACAUCCACUUCUUUUAUCUCUUGUGACCGAAACCAAGGAAAUGAAAGCUUGAAGCAUUUGGUUUGUUUGGCCAUUGCAUGUAAGUGCUAUUUUUGUCGAUUUCUCAUAAAUUUUAUGUUUUUGAAAUCAUUGUUGCUUAAACUAUCUAGCCUAGGGGCUAAUUUGUGAAGUUGUCAAAGUUUGGAAAAUUUUCCAUUGUUGUUAUUGAAGCUUUUAAAAUGUUAAUGUUUUGAUUGAAAGCUUGAUAGUGAAUUUGAGCUAGUUUGUAAAGUAAUUUGUAUAGAUUUUAAGUUAAAUUAUUUAAAUAAAAGCAUGUGAAAUUUGGAAGGGUUUUAUUGAAAAAUUUCAAAAAUUAAGGACUAUUUUUAGAUGGUUAAAGGUUUGACUAAUUCGGGUAUUUGAGAUAAUUGUGAAAAUAGGCUUGUUUUAAUAUUAGGGAUUAAAUUGAAUAAAGUGUAAAGGUUUGGGGUAAUUGUGAAAAAAUUGUAAAUAGGAAGGAAUAUGUACUAAAUUGAUUAUUAUAUGAAAUUGUAGCUAAUAAAUGAAAUAAAUUAUUUUAUAGAUCAAGAACAAGUAGAUAACUAAGGAAAAGAUAAAGUUGAUGAAUAAUCUCUGAACUUUAUUGUCUUUGCAGUUUAGCCCUAGUAAGUUUGUACGAUUUAGUUUAAAUUAAUUUGAAAUUUUAUAUUAAUGGUGUGUUGUGGUUGUUGAAUAUUUUAGAUAUAAUUGAAAUGUUAUAAUUUGUUGUGAGUCGAGAAAGUAAAUUAUUUAAAUAUUAUUAUUACGAAGGCUUGCCACCUGGUGCCCAAGUUUGUUCUGGAGGGAUGUUAGCCUAUAGGCUAGGCACUUGGUGAUUUAAAUGUAGCAUAAUUGUAUUACGUGAUAUGGGAAUGUUUGAUUGAAUGGUAAAAAUUAUUGGAAAUAUUAAGUUUAUGUGUGAUUUAAAUGCAUGAAGAAUUUUCUAUGAUGUAUAUUGAAAAGGUUGCUAUUUAUGCACAAUGAAAUUCGUAAAGUAUGUGAAGUUAAACGAUAUUGAUAGAUACAAUCAUAAUGGUAAUUUGAAAGUUUGAACUCUAUUUCCAUUUACUAAAAGUAUGUGAUUAUUAAGGGCAUCUUGAACAUGUCAAAUUAAAUUUGAAAAAUAUUGACAUAUUAUUAUGAUCUGUAUGACAUAUUGCAUGUGCAUUGGAAUGGGAUUUUGUAGUUGACAGAGGAGUUCCGUGGAGUACCGACGGCAUAUUAAGUCCGCAUAUAUUUGUAGUCAGUGCACUGCAUUGGGAGUACCAAGGGGAUUGGCGAUUAUAUCGCAUUAUUUUUUAUUUGGCAAUUUCACUACAUUAUUGAUUAUUGGUGGUUUUACCACAUCGAGCUCUACUCAUAUACAUUGGAGUUUGGCAAAUGAAUUUUGGGGAACUCGUGGUGUGUAGCAGAUAGUAUGGGUAGGAUCUCACAUGUGCAUUUGUCAUGAUCUUGUGCAUUUGAAAUUACUAUUGAUAAUGUUUGAUUGUGCUAUUGGUAUCUCUAUGAAAUUGUUUGUAUGAAUGCUUAAUACUUGCUUCUUUAGUCUCAUACUAAGCUUGUUAAACUCACCCCAUUACCUCAACUUCUCAGGAAAUGAUCGAACUUAGGAUUGGAAUUGGCAUGCGGACGUACGGCGGACUUUGAACUUCACUUCGUCAUAUUAUUUUAAUUUAAUUAUAUUUUUAGGUUAUUUUACCUUUAUUAUUCAGUUUUGGAUUGUAAAGUUUCUUUAAACUAUGGUGUGGGACUAUUAUAGACUUUUGGGAUUUUUCAUGCAUGCAUGACACUCAUAUUUGGUAUAGAUGCACGGUUUCUAUAUAUAUAUAGAAAUGGACUAUGCAUGAUAUAUGGCUAAGUUAAUAAUUUGACUAGUAAUGGUACGUUUCCGUUGCUAAGAAGAUAACGAACUGAUUUUUCUAAAGCAAUGUCGACAAUUAGGUUUUAUACAAAUUCACCUUAUUCGCUAAUUUGACUAAAGUAUAGUUAGACUAAGGUGUACGAUGUGGCCUUCACGAUUCCGUCAUAAUGUCUAGGCCUAGUUUGGGAGGUUACAUUUAGUGGUGUUAGAGCCUUAGUUCAAAACCUCGAACUCAAUUUUUAAAUCUUUUUAAGUAAGUUUACAUGCAUGCAUGCAUGCAUACAUGAAAAGGAAAAAUUUUGGGGAAAAACAAACCACAGUGAAUCUGAAAAAUGCUUUAUACAGGAAAAUAUGAAGUCCAAAGAUCCGAUGCCAAGUCCAUAGAAAUAGUAUUGAAACUUUAGGUAGAUUAGAAAGACUAUUGCGUAAAAAUUUAAGGAAAAAAUUAUAAAUUGUGAGUGCGUAAAAGACUAAACAAAGUACUAAAAGCUCUUACUUGUAAAUUGUAUAUUCAUAAAUCCCAUAAAUGAACACACUUGGAAUGUUGACUCGUGGUAGGAGGGGCCGAAGGGACCAACCUCUGAGGACUCCGAUUGAGUCAGUUGCAUCAUUAGGGCCAAAACAAGAUAAUGAACAAAAUAAGGUUAACAAUAAACCCAUUAGUGAGGGUGGGAAUAUGGAAAAUGGGAAUAAUAGUGAUGACUAUGUUGAGAAUGAUCCAAUAACUCAAGCUUUAUUGAGGGACUUGAAUAAGCUUGUUGGGGCUCCAAUAUGAGGUGUUAGUCAUAGGAUAAUUUCUAACAACCCAAUUUUAGUGAAAUCAGAACAGUGGUUUUGGGACCACAAAUUCAAAGAGUAAAAAUUUAUUUUAUUAUUAUUUUAAUAUCUACAGUAUGCUAGUAGAUUCGUAUAAAAAUUUCGUUAAGAAAUUUUGACGUUUGCAUGUUUAAUUAAGUGAAAAGGACUAAAUCGUAAAAAGUGCAAAAGUAGGUUUAUAUUAGUUAAAGGUAUCAAAUGGCUAUAGAAUUUUAAAUUUAUAGGACUUAAAUGGUAAUUAGACCAUUAAUGAGGUUAGUGGAUAUAUGUGGCUUGGUAUUAAGGAAAUUUUGGUGUUAAGUAAAGGUUAAAUUUGUAAAUUAAUAAAAUAAGUUAAAGUAAAAAUAAAACAAACAAAAUGUUAUCUUCCUAAAUUAGUUUAUUCCACCAAAAAUACAUGAAGGAAAAAGUCAUGGAUAGGGUUUGAAGCUUCGGUUACUUCACUAGCUUGCUGGUAUGUGUUUUGAUCCCGUUUUUAAUGAUUUUUAUGUUUUCGGGAUUGUUGUAGCUUAAUCUAACCAGCCCAUCAACUAAUUUGCAAAACUAUUAAAGGUUUAGGGUUUUUCCAUGAAUUUUCUUGCAUGAUUUAUGAAGUUUGAUGAAAGAUUGUGAGUCCUUGUUGCUAAAUAAACAACUUUUGUAAAGUGAUUUUUGAUGAAAUUAUCAUUUAGGGACUUAUUCGCAAAAGUAGUAAAAUAUCAUGAUAAAAUUAUGAAUAGAUGAUUUGUGUCGGUUGAUAUGAGUCCCUAGGUAAAUCGGCAAGCAUGAUAUGUGGGUGAAAUUGCAUAAAUUGUCAUUUACUAGCUUAAGGACUAAAUUGUAAAUAAGUUAAAAUAAUAUGGGAAUGUGUAAUUUUGUAAAAGUAUGGAUUUUGGACUAAAUUGAAUAGAAUAAAUAUUAAAUGGAUUGAAUUUGCUUAUUUAGAUCAAGUUAAGCCUCAUACGGAUCUAGAUCGAGAGAAAGAUAAAGUCUCAGAUUAGUUGAUUCUAUUUUGACAUCCUUAAAAUAGAGUUAAGUUCGUAUGUUUAAAUAAUGUUUUAAUGUUAUUUGAUUUAUAUGCUAUUAUGCUAUUUAUCAUGUCAUGUUAUGAUGGAAAUCUAACGACGUUUCGAUGACUAUCCCGUUUGAACCUAAACAAAUGACAUGUCAUUAAGGUUACCAUGUUUCAGGUGCUGGUCCUGAAUGUCCUACCGAUGGCUGAGUUCUGACAUUUCUUGCGAAUACUCGUCAGCUUGUGUGAACGGUAUCAUGUAGCUACAUUUCGACCGUUGGCUUGUGUGAGCAGACCCAUUUAUGGCUCGAGUUAGCAUUGAUGUAAAAGAAAAGGAAUGGUUUCGACCAUAUAUUAGCACACUUUGUGUGAGCUUCUCGCAUAUCCGAUAUUAUUCUAAGUGGUUCAACGUGCAUGUAAAGGGAAGGAACAGUAAGUCUUCCAAUCAACUCUAUUAUGAACUUAUGGAAAGGUAAGAAUUGAUGUUGAUCAAAGUAUGUAUAACCAUGUUUAUAGAAAAUAUGAAUUCCAAUGUGCUAUACUCAUGAAAUCUAUUUUACCAUGUGAUGAUUUUGGUUAAGUUAUGUGUUUAAGCACUAACUUGUGUUGUUGUUGAUGCAUAGGCUUGUGUCAAGCUACGUUGGAUUGAUUCAUGUCUAUUUUAUAAGAUUUUGCAUUGAAAUGGUAAGCUAUGUUCAUGAUUUACGAACUUACUAAACACUAUAUGCUUACAUUGUUUUCUUUCUUAUGUUUUAUAGAUUAUCGAAAGCUCGAUCGGUUUGGAAGCUCGUCGUAGAUCUAUCACACUAUCUAGAGAUAAUAUCGAUAGUUUUUUUUUUAUGUUUUAGUCAUGGUUAUAAUGGUAUGUAUAAGUGGACUUUUGUUUAAUGAUCUAGUUGUAUGUUUGGAAUGUAUAUAUGGUAUUAUGGUUGGUGUGCUUUUGGCACUUUGAUGCCUUGAUGGUUGGUGUUGAUAUGGCUCAGUGGAUGUAUGUUUUGAAUGACCAAUUUGGUAUGUUAGGAUGUGACUUGGUAUAUGGUCAAUUAUGUUAUGUUUUGGUAGGGAAAUAAGUAGUUGUGUAUGGAUGAUUUAUGGACAAAUAUGCAUAUGCUUAGAUAUUUUUUAUGGUUGUGUUUGAUGUGCCUAUGUGGCAUAUUGGUUGGAUGAAUAAAUAGCCUUUUGAAUUGGUCUUAUUAUGCAUGUUUUGGGAAUGAUUUAAGAUCUUGUUUAUAUGUGCAAAUGACUUGUAGGUACAUGCUUGAAUUGGGUGAAAAAAAUGGCUUGAUUUUUGCUUAUUUCUUGUCUACAUGGCCACAGACACGAGUGUGUCUCUCAGUCGUGUGUGACACACGGCCAUGCGACACGGUCGUGUGUCCCUUAUACGUUUUAAAAGUUGCAAGUCAGGCAAUUACAUGGCCUAGCACAAGGCCUAGCAUACGGGCGUGUGGCUUGGCUGUGUAACCCAAGUCAGAGAGUUACAUUGGCACAGACAUGCGUUGGGACACGACCGUGUGUCCCUAUUUCGAAUGUUACACGGCCUGAGGCAGGGGCGUAUGUCUCAGCCGUGUGGGUCACACGGCCAUGAGACCCUUACUGCUUGAAUUUUUUCUAACUUUUUCCUUAAUGUUUCAUAUGUUCCCGAUUUAGUCCCAAACUAUUUUUAAAGUGUUUCUAAUGCCUUGAUGGCUUGACUAAAGGACAAUGUGCAUGUGUAUGAAUGGAUUAUACUAUGGUUAUUAUAAUUUUUGGAAUUGACUGUUUUUAAGUUACGUUUAUACGGUAAUACUUCGUAACCCAAUUCCAUCGACAGAUACGGGUUAGGGUGUUACACAAUUGCUGAGAGGCUCUGCUCUAGUGGGGCAGAAUUGUUUAAGAGUAUUGCUGGAGCUACUCCUAUAGUGGUUGAGUACUAGAUGGAGGCAACUGAACAGAUUUUGGAGUAUUUGGAUUGCACUCCUAAGUAGAAACUUAAGGGUGUCUUGUCUCUUUUAAGGGAUAACUCAUAUCAGUGGUGGCAAUUAGUGGUUAGGGGUACGCUGUCAUAGCGUAUUAUUGUCCUUAUUUUCAGGAUAUCUUUUAGGGUAAGUAUUUGAGCCCUCACUAUGUGGAGGCCCGAUGAUUGGAUUUUAUUAAACUUAAAUAGAGAGACAAGAUAGUUUCUAAGUAUGAGGCAAAAUUUCUAAGGUUGAUCCGCUAUGCACCUAAUAUGGUGGAGUCUGAGCAGGAAAAGACUUUCUGUUUUCAAGAGGGUCUAAGGUAUGACCUCAAGGUUCAGGUGGCUCCAUAGUAAGAGCAUGUGUUUGAGGCUUUGGUCAAGAAAACCAAGAUUACUAAAGAGAUUAAGCACGUGAAGCACGAGGAGAAUAGGAAACAAGGAGAUCAGCCCAAAAAAGAAACGAGUCUGUAACCCCCCCCCAAAAUUUCUAAUUUCAUUUUUGUGAAAAUAUGACACAAAUAUCUAUCAAAAUUAGUGGUUAUGUGUUCUGGGAGUGUUUGGGAGGUCUCAAGUUCAAGCCUUCGCUUGAGAAAAUUUUGGUAUUUUGCAUGAAUUAAGUCUUACUCUUAUUUAAUAGGCUUUUAUUGGAUUGUUGGGUAAAUUACAUUAGAAUGAGCCUGCUAGUCUGGUGGUUCAAUAGUGUGUUAUUAUGGUGAAGGUCUUGUGUUCGAAUCCCUCUGCAGGCAAGGGUAUUAUUUUUUGCUCAGAUUUUGGGAUUGCGUUGUGUAAUAGAGGGAUUCUGUGUAGUGGAUGUGUAGUGGGAAUUGGGAGAGAAGAUUAAGGAAUUUUGGGGGUUAUCGGGAUUUCAUUAUAUUUUUUUCCCAUAACCAAAUUUUGACUCGCUUUACCAAAAAAACUUUUGUUGGCUAUUCUUCUCCCUCUUCUCUGGCUGAAAUUCUCUGAGUUUUUCAAUCUUUCUCUUCUUUUUCUUCUUCUUGAUUUUUCCCUAAUCCAUUUAUUUUCCUUUGUUUUCCCACGCGAUUAGUGCUCGCUUAGUUUCGAUAAGUGUUUUCUUCAUUUCUAUCAUGAAUCUCUUAACGAAAGAAGUGAUAAUGUUUUUUCUCUACGAUUUGGGCAUAAGGGGAGGCUCGGACUGGUGAAUUCAGUGUUCUCGUCUUAACAAUAGUUAAAUGCAAAGUUAUCAUUAGUGGUAAGUUGGGUUUCUCUUCGUUCUUGGUUUUCAAUUCACUUGUAAAUCCAUUAAAUUGAUGUUGAGUGUCUUAAUUAUAGGCUUUGGAGUGCUCGGGGACUGUUUUAGCAUCAAACAAAAUCAAGUGUGUAGCCGAAACGCAAAAAAAAGGGAUUCAGCGAAAAACUGAAAUUGUUUGUUGUUUGGACAGCAGCAGUGAGCUAAUUUUGAAAAAUCGCCAUAAAUUAUGGAAAUCGAAUUAGAGGAUGAAAAAAAUAUGAAAUUAAAGCUUAUUAAGUUAUUUUCUCAUAGAAGAAACAGUGUAAGUAAAGGAAUUGUAAAUCGUGAGGUAUAAUAAAAUUUGUGAGAAAAGGUCAGAUUGAAUUCGGGUUCCCCUAUUCUGACUUUGGAAAAUCAUCAAAAAUUGUAGAAAAAUAAUUAGGGGUUAAAAUUUACAUGUUUAAAUUAAUAAUGAGUCUAUUCUCAAUAGAAAUAAAUGGAAACAUCAUGCAAAUUUUGCACUAAGAGAUAAUUAAUUUUUAGCAAAGAAGGGACAAAGUUGUUAGACAGUAGAAUAGGGGUAAAUUUGAAGAUUUUGUUGUACUUAUUGGCUGAACCAAAAAUUCUAAAAAGUUUUUGAUAGGAAGGUAUUUGAGUCUAGUUUCAAAAACAUCAAGCGGAUCUUACUUCGAAAUUCUGUAGCUCAAGAUAUAAAUAAUUUAGUAACAGUGACUCAAGUAGAUAGCUUUGAAGAAACAUAUAAGUAAAUAGUGAAAACAUAUAUGAAUAAUUAGCUAGCACGGGUUACAUUAAAAAUGGAUCACAUGGCCAAGGUCAAUUUGGGCCGAGUGGGCCACAUGGGCGUGUGAGCCCAUUUUUCUGAAAAGUUCUGUAAGGUUGCACGGGUCGCCCAAGUCGACUGUGGACCUACUGUAGGGUCGGUAAGCUUUACUUAUACCCCUAUAUGUGUGAUCUAUCUGUCUGAUUUCUAUACCGAGCAUGACUUAUGAUAUCUAAAUGUACGUACUAUUAAUUGCAUAAUGGCAUGACAUAUUUUGUAUGUUGCAUUGCAUUGAGGUGGGUUGAUGAUAUUUGGAGAAAGUGUCUGAAAGUCUAUUAAGUUUGUUAUCUGGAAACUCAGUUGCAACCUUCUGAUUGUGUGUCGCAUUUUGGUACAACAUGGUGUGUAGGGAUGGGUGGGUUGAUUUAAUCCCCACAUGGUGUGUAGGGUUGGACAGAGAUGGUGUGUAGAGAUUGGUGGGUAGGAUUCUAAUUUACUCUAUCUGUAUUCUUUAUCUGAUAUGGGUCAAGGCCCUAAUGUAUUUCUGAGACUGUAUCUGAAUGGGCUAAGCCCAAACUGAUUCCGUGAUGGGCACGGGCCCCAGACUAUAUCUAACUGGAUUCUGUUAAUUAUCUGUAUGCAUGUUUUCUAUGGGGAUUACACACUGAGUUUACAAAAACUUACCCUUUCUCUGUUUAAUCUGUACAGGUAAUCCCCAAACUUGACGGGUCAGUGCAGCAGAGGACUCGACGAUGGCCACACGUAAAUUUUAAACUAUUUUUCGUUAAUGCCUAGAAUUUAUUACUUAUUUGGGAUUUUUGAUGUAUCUUCUGGACUAUGGACUGGUUGGCUUUAAAUUUUGGACUUUAUAUUAUUUUUUAUGGAUUUUUUUUUAAAACUGCAAUUCCAAAAAACACGAUUUUUUUUCUACAAACUAAAGUUUUUCGUUAAUAGAAACGAUUUUCCCUAAAUUAAUUGGUUACAAAAGCUUUUUCUAAGAGACAAGUUUUAAAGCAAAUCAACUAGUUUUUUUUUCAAAUUUGAUAAAAGCUAACUUACUGUAACGGUUUUUAAACUCGACAAUCUUGUCUUCAAAUCCCUUUCCAUGUGACAUCGCUAGAUUCAGCCAUAACAUCGAGGCUGAAUUUUAGGUGUUACAUUUAGUGGUAUCAGAGCCAAGUUGCAAAACUCGGCUGUGGAUUUGGGUUUUAAAACUUGGUUUUAAAAAGAUGAUUUUUAAAUGGUUUAAAAUAUUUUUGACUGUGUAUGUGGUACACCGAUUCUCCGGCGCCGAUUUUGUAAGUGUUCUAAAAACUCUGCUAAGUUUUUGAAAAUAUGAGUAUCAUAUUCUGAAACUAUUAUAGGUAGUACACUGUACUGAGAACACUCUAAAUAGUGUAUACUAAAAACAGUAGCGAAACUAAAAAUUGUAGUAAGACUACGAUUCGUGAUAACAAACUCUAAACUUAUAAUACUAUUUUGCAUAAAAUAUCUACUAAUAGAUAUCAAAACUGUAACCAAUUCAUAAAACUAUUAACACAGGUAAGCUACGAAUUCUACGAUGAGUGCACGAGGUAUCCGGAUAGGGUACUAAAGGCCACAGUAGAGGCCGUAAAGGGGCUCGAGCUGAGUCCUUGUCAUUAGGCAGCAUGCCAAAUCUGGAUAUAGCGAGACACCGGCUUCACCUGCUACAGAGACUAGAUCUCAUGAUCACAUGGCCGGGGACGACACCUUGUCUUAGGCUAUAUUGAUGAUAUUAGAAAGGGUCGCUAGGCCCAACACUAGAUCUGGGGCCAAGGGUCGGUUACGGAACGACUCCGGUCCAAUGGGGCUUAACUAUUCAGGGGUAUCAAUAGAGUCGCCAUGAAAAGAAUCAUGGACAAUCUGGAAUUUACCCCUGAACAGAAAUUAAAAAGGGUUGUUUCCUUGUUUCGCGAUGAAGCAUAUCAAUAGUGGCUGACCGUUAAGGAGGGCACUCAGCCCGAACAGCUGACUUGGGAUUUCUAUAAGUCUACUUUUCAAGGUAAAUAUGUGGGGGAAAGCUGCAUUGACGCUAGAAGACGUGAGUUUCUGAAUCUAACGUAAGGGAAUCGUUUAGUGGCCGAGUAUGAGGCCGAGUUUCUAAGAUUGAGCCGCUAUGCACGAGGCAUAGUGGCGACUGAAUAUGAGAAUUGUGUUCGCUUCGAGGAUGGACUCAGGUAUUGUUUGAGUGUUUUGAUAGCUCCGCAAAGGGAGCGUGACUUUUCAGCACUGGUAGAGAAGGUGAAGAUCGCCGAGGAGGUGAAGCGCGCUAAGUGCCAAAACCAAGAUAAAGAGAGAGGUAAGAAUAAGAGGGAUUCAGAGCCCUUAGGUUCUACGAUGAGGCCUAAGAAAAAGGUCAGAUCUGAUGGGCCAGUUAGAGUUGGGGCCCCUAUUGUACCUACUAGGAUUACGCAUUGUGGGCAUUGUGGAAGACGCCAUCUGAACGAAUGUUGGAGGACGACUAGGGUUUGUUUAAGAUGUGGAUCUACUGAGCACUGUGUUUGAGAGUGUCAGCUAAGGUCCAAUCAAGUGCAAGCUGUGGGUUUUGGUACUGCACAGCCACCAGGGGUAGUUCACCAGCUGCCUAGGGGCUGUGGUCAGGCUAGGAGUGGUAAUGGUAUAGGUAGGGGUAGAGAGCACCGGGUAGAGGUGCUGGACAGGUUGAGGUGAGACAGCCAACCCUAGAUUAUGCUGCUCAUCUCCGAGAGGGUAGAGAUGCUCUGGACGUCAUCACGGGUACGUUUCUUAUUUUUGAUGUUCCUUACACUGCGUUGGUAGAUAUAGGAUCUACGCAUUCCUAUGUUGCCUGCUCUGUUUCCAAAAACCUAGGGAUUCUAGUUGAAAGUACUUCUAGUGAGGUGACUGUGCUGAGCCCGCUGGGGCAAUCUGUUAGAGUUAGCAAACUGUACUAGGAUAUUCCUUUAGAGGUUCAAGGGAUGGUAUUUCUAGCUGAUUUGAUGGUGCUUCCGUUUAGGGAGUUCGAUAUGAUAUUGGGGAUUGACUAGUUGGUCAAGCAUCAUGUCAGUUUGGACUGUGCGACUAAGAGGGUUGUAUUGAGAAAUGAAGGGGGUAAUGAAGUAGUUGUGAUUGGGGAACGUUAGAAUUACUUGGCUAACGUGAUAUCUGCACUGGUAGCUGAGAAACUGGUUUGUAAGGGAUGUGAGGCGUAUUUGGCCUACGUAAGUGUUUUCGCUUCUGGGGACUCUACUGUUAAGGACAUCAGAACUAUGAGGAAUUUUCUAGACGUCUUUCCUGAGAAGCUAUCGGGUUUACCUCUGAAUCGGGAAUGGAUUUUGGGAUUGAGCUUCUCCCUGGUCCAGCUCUAGUGUCUAUCGCUCCCUAUCGAAUGGCACCGAAGGAGCUUACAGAGCUCAAGGCUCAAAUUCAAGAGUUAUUGGAUCGUGGGUUCAUCUGUCCUAGUGUGUCCCCGUGGGGAGCACCGAUACUAUUUGUUAAGAAAAAGGAUGGAUCCAUGAGGAUAUGUAUCGGCUACCGACAACUAAAUAAGUUGACUAUUAAAAACAGGUAUCCACUUCUAUGGAUUGAUGAUUUGUUUGACUAGUUCCGAGGGGCGUCUAUGUUCUCCCAAAUUGACUUACGUUCUGGGUAUCAUCAGUUAAGGGUUAAGGAGGCUGAUGUGCAUAAGACGACAUUUAAGAGUUGUUAUGGUCACUACGAGUUCCUAGUGAUGCUAUUUGGACUGACUAAUGCACCGGCAGCUUUCAUGGAUCUGAUGAACUGAGUGUUUCAACCCUACCUGGAUCAGUUUGCAGUGGUGUUCAUCGAUGACAUAUUGCUUUAUUCGAGGACUGAGGAUGAGCAUGACUAGCACCUUACGAUUUUUCUUCAGAUUUUGAGGGAAAAGUAGCUCUAUGCAAAGUUCAGCAAGUUCGAGUUCUAGUUACAUGAAGUAACAUUCCUGGAACAUGUGCUGUCUGCUGAGGGGAUUAAAGUCGAUCCUCGAAAAAUUGAGGUUGUAUUGGGCUGGAAACAGCCCAAGAAUGUGUCUGAAAUCCAUAACUUUUUGGGGCUGGCAGGUUAUUACUGACGGUUUGUGAAAAGAUUUUCACUGAUCGUAGCACCCUUGACUAAGCUGUUACGUAAAGGUGUACCAUUUGACUGGACUAAUGCACAGCAAGAGAGCUUUAAGAAGCUUAAGACUGUACUGACUAAGGCUCCUGUUUUGGUACAGCCUAAACUUGGAAAGGUGUUCACGAUUUAUAGUGAUGCAUCACAUGUCGGUUUGGGAUGUGUGUUAAUGCAGGAUGGUAAGGUGGUUUCAUAUGUGUCUCGUUAACUUAAGACACACGAGGCGAACUACCUGACACACGAUUUGGAGUUGGUCGUCGUAGUCUUUGCAUUAAAAAUCUAGAGGCAUUAUUUGUACAGUGAGAAGUGUAUUAUCUACACUGAUCAUAAGAGCCUCAAGUAUAUCCUCACUCAGAAGGAGUUAAAUCUUAGGCAGCGUAGAUGGGUUGAGCUACUUAAGGAUUAUGAUUGUACAAUUGAGUACCAUCCCGACAAGGCCAAUGUGGUGGCUGAUGUAUUGAGCUGUAAGGCUAUGACCGAUCUGAGAGGGAUGUUCGCUCAACUUAGCCUAUUCGAUGAUGGAAGUCUAUUGGCAGAACUUUAGGUCAAACCGACAUGGAUUGAACAGAUUUGAGGUAAACAGUUAGGGGAUAAGUCUCUCAGGUUGCAUUUUCGCCAAGUUGAGGAUGGUGGCACUACUGUUUUGCGAUAAACAAUAAUGGGGUACUUUAUUUCCCCGGUCAGAUUUGUGUACCGAAUGAUGAGGACUUAAAGCAGUCGAUUCUGAGAGAGACGCAUGGUAGUCCCUAUACUAUGCAUCCUGGCGGGAACAAGAUGUACCGAGGUCUUCAGGAAUUAUACUGGUGGCCAGGGCUGAAGCGUGAGGUUACCGACUUCAUUGCUUGUUGUUUGACUUGUCAGCAGGUUAAGGCUGAGCAUCAGUUACCUUCGGGUUUGCUGCAGCCAGUUAAGAUACCAUUAUCGAAAUGGGAGCAAGUAUCGAUGGACUUCGUUAGUGGGUUGCCUUUAACACCCACUAAGAAGGAUUAUGUCUGGGUUAUCAUGGAUCGAUUGACCAAGUCUGCUCACUUCAUCUCAGUAAGGACAGACUUUUCUCUUCAAAAAUUAGCUAAGCUCUACAUAUCAAAAAUAAUGAGACUGCUUGGGGUGUACCUAUCUCAAUCAUUUCCAAUCGGGAUCCUCAUUUCACGUCUCAAUUCUGGAAAAAACUUCAUAAGGCUCUAGGUUCAAGAUUAGACUUCAUUACUGCUUUCCUUCCUCAGACAAAUGGUUAGCCGGAGAGGGUGAUUCAGAUAUUGAAGAACAUGUUGAGAAGCUAUGUUAUUGAUUUUUGAGGCAGUUGGGAGGAGAACUUGUCGUUACCAGAGUUUGCCUACAAUAAUAGCUUCCAGCCUAGCAUCCAGAUGGCACCUUACGAGGCAUUGUACGGUCGUAAGUGUCGCACUCCUUUAUGUUGGAUUGAGUUGGACGAGCGACGUGUUCUGGGUCCUGAGUUGGUCUCUGAGACAGAGGAUAAUGUUAGAUUGAUUCGGGAUCGUUUGAAAGCAGCUUCUGAUAGGCAGAAAACGUAUGCAAAUUUAAAGAGGCAUGAGAUCGAGUAUUCUGUGGGGGACUUACUUUUUCUCAAGGUCUCGCCAUGGAAAAAGGUUCUGAGGUUAAGUCACAAGGGCAAGUUGAGCCCUCGGUUUAUUAGACCUUACCGCAUUUUGAAAUGUGUGGGACCUGUCACUUAUCAGUUGGAGCUACCUCCAAAUUUGGACUGCAUUAUAGAUAUUUUUCACGUCUCGAUGUUAAGGCUCUACCGUUCUAAUCCCACGCAUGUUGUUUUUGUUGAGGAGAUUCAGGUUAUGCCAAACAUGACCUUCGAGGUGGAACCGGUUCAGAUUCUGGAGCAUGAUAUAAAGGUCCUUCGAAAAAAGUAUAUUCCCUUAUUGAAGGUUCUGUGGCUUAAUAAUAGCACUGAGGAGGCCACGUAGGAGCCUGAGGAUGUGAUGCGUCAGCAAUAUCCUUAUCUGUUCUGAUAAGGUGAAAUUUCGAUGACGAAAUUUUCUUUAAGGGGGUAAAGUUGUAACGCCCCAAAAUUUCUAAUUUCGUUUUUGUGAAAAUAUGACACAAAUAUCUGUCAGCUUUAGAGGUUAUAUGUUCUUGGAGUGUUUGGGAGGUCCCAAGUUCAAGCAUUCGCUUGGGCAAAUUUUGGCAUUUUGAAUAAAUUAGGCCUUACUCUUAUUUAGUGGGCUUAGAAUGGGUGCUUGUCUGGUGGUUAAAUGGUGUGUUAUUACGGUGAAGGUUUUGUGUUCAAAUCCCUAUGCAGGCAAGGGUAUUAUUUUUUGCUCAGAUUUCGAGAUCGAGUUCUGUAAUAGGGGAAUUCUGAGUAGUGGAUGUGUAGUGAGAAUUAGGGGAGAAGAUUAAGGGAUUUUAGGGGUUAUCGGGAUUUUAUUUUAUUUUUUUCCCAUAGCUGAAUUUUGACUCUCUUUUUUAAAAAAAAUUCUACCGUUUAUUCUUCUCCCUUUCCUCUUGCCAAAAUUCUCUAAGUUUUUCUAUCUUUCUCUUCUAUUUCUUCUUCUUCAUUUUCCCUAAUCCAUUUAUUUUCCUUUGUUUUCGCACACGAUUAGUGCUCGCUUAGUUUCGGUAAUUGUUUCUUUUCAUUUAUAUCAUGAAUAUCAUAACGAAAGAAGUGAUAAUAUUUUUUCUCUGCGAUUUGAGCAUAGGGGGAGGCUCGAACUGUGAAUUUAGUGUUCUCGUCUUAACAAUAGUUAAAUGCAAAGUUAUCCUUGGUGGUAAGUUGGGUUUCUCUUCGUUCUUGGUUGUCAAUUCACUUUUAAAUCCAUUAAAUUGAUGUUGAGUGUCUUGAUUAUAGGCUUUGGAGUGCUCGGGGACUAUUUUAGCAUCAAACAAAAUCAUGUGUGUACCCGAAACGCAAAAAAAAUAGGAUUCAGCGAAAAACCGAAAUUACUUGCUGUUUGGACAGCAGCAGUAGGCUAACUUUGAAAAAUCGCCAUAAAUUGUGGAAAUCAAAUUAGAGAUGAAAAAAAUAUAGAAUUAAAUCUUAUUGAGUUUAGUUUCUCAUAGAAGAAACGGUGUAAGUAAUGGAAUUGUAAAUCGUGAGGUAUAAUAAACUUUGUGAGACAAGGUCAGAUUGAAUUUGGGUUCCCCUAUUUUGACUUUGGAAAAUCAUAAAAAAAUUAGAGAAAAAUAAUUAGGGGUUAAAAUUUACAUGUUUAAAUUAUUAAUGAGUCUAUUUUCAGCAGAAACAAAUGGAAACAUCAUCCAAAUUUUUUUAUUGAGAGAUGAUUAAUUUUUAGCAAAGAAGGAACGAAGCUGUUAGAUAGCAGAACAGGGGUAAAUUUGAGGAUUUUACUGUACUUAUUGGCUAAACCAGAAAUUCUAAAAAUUUUAUGGCAAAAAAUUAUUUGAGUCUAGUUUCAAAGACAUCAAGCGAAUCUUAAUUCAGAAUUCUGUUGCUCAAGAUAUAAAUAAUUUAGUAACAGUGACUCAAGUAGACAGUUUUGAAGGAACAUAUAAGUAAAUAGUGAAAACAUAUAUGAAUAAUUAACUAGCAUGGGUUACAUUAGGAAUGGAUCACGUGGCAAAGGUCAAUUUAGGCCGAGUAGGCCACAUGGGCGUGUGAGCCCAUUUUUCUGAAAAGUUCUGUAAGGUUGUACUGGUUGCCCAAGUCGACUGUGGACCUACUGUUGGGUCGGUAAGCUUUACUUAAACCCUUAUAUAUGUGAUCCGUCUGUCUGAUUUCUAUACCGAGCAUGACUUAUGAUAUCUGAAUGUACGUACUAUUAAUUGCAUAAUGGCAUGACAUAUUUUGUAUGUUGCAGUGCAUCGUGGUGGGUUGAUUAUAUUUGGAGGAACUGUUUGAAAGGCUAGUAAGCCUGUUAUCUGGCAGCUCAGCUGCAACCUUCUAAUAAUGUGCCGCAUUCCGGUACAACAUGGUGUGCAGAGAUGGGUGGGUUAAUUUAAUCCCCACAUGGUGUGUAGGGUUGGACGGAUAUGGUGUGUACAGGCUGGUGGGUAGGAUUCUGAUUUAUUGUAUAUGCAUUCUGUAUUUGAUAUGGGUCAAGGCCCUAAUGUAUUUUUGAGACUUUCUCUAAAUGGGUUAAGGCCCAAACUGAUUUUUUGAUGGGCACGGGCCCCAGACUGUAUCUAACUGAAUUUUGUUGAUUAUCUGUAUGCUUGUUUUCUAUGGGGAUUACACACUGAGUUUGUAAAAACUUACCCUUUCUCUGUUUAAUUUGUAUAGGUAAUCCCUAGACUUGACGGUUCGGUGCAGCGGAGGACUCGACGGUGGCCACACGUAAAUUUUAGACUAUUUUUGUUAAUUCCCAGAAUUUAUUUCUUAUUUGGGGUUUUUGGUGUAUCUUUUGGGCUAUGGACUGGUUCUUUUUAAAUUUGAGACUUUAUAUUGUUUUUUAUGGAUUUUUUUUAAAACUACAACUCUACAAAAUAGGAUUUUUUUCUAAAAACUAAGGUUUUUCGUAAAUAGAAACGAUUUUCCCUAAAUUAAUUGGUUACAAAAGCUUCCGCUAAGAGACAAGUUUUAAAGCAAAUCAACUAGUUUUUUUUUUCGAAUUAGAUAAAAGCUAACUUAUUGUAACGAUUUUUAAACUCGACAAUCUUGUCUUCAAAUCCCUUUCCAUGUGAUAUCGCCAUAUUCAGCCAUAACGUCGAGGCCAGGUUUGGGGUGUUACAGAGCUCUAUUGUCCCAAACCUGCGACCUAUUAAGUAGGCUAGAAAGGCUAGACCACCGCAGUAUAAGGAAGUAGUAGACCCUAAAAAAAGGUAAAUUCAAGUUUGCCAGUAUUUUCAGAGGCGUCAUCCUGGCGAGUGUUGGAUGAGGAUGGGUGCUUGUUUGGUACGUGGUUCGAUAAAGCAUAAGGUUAGGGAUUGUCCUCGUCAUCAAGAUCAGGCGUAAGCUCCUGCUCAGAUUCAAUGCCCAGUUGGGGGUCAAAAUCAGAGAGGUAAUCAAGGUGGUUAGAGGGGUCGUAAUCAGGAUUGAAAUGGGAAUGGUAAUCGGGGUCAUAGAGCACCAUCUCAAGGUGCGAAUUGAGUUGAGGCAAGACAACCUACUUUCUUUUAUGUAGCUAAGCGCCGAUAAGAUAGAGGUACCACUGAUGUCAUAGCAGGUACCUUCAAUAUUUACUCCAUACCUUAUUUUGCUUUGAUUGAUAUAGGAUCUACCCAUUUGUAUAUUGCUUGUAAUGUGGAUGUAAAAUUGGGAAUUGGGAUAAAAGAAACUGAAACCACUGUAAUUAUAUUUAGUCCCUUAGGAUCCUCCAAACUUAUGAAUAGAAUUUAUAAAAGAUGCCCUUUAGAGGUUUAAGGAGAGGUGUUUCUUGCCGAUUUGAUGGAACUUCCUUUUAAUGAAUUUGAUUUAAUUCUGGGAAUGGACUAGUUGGUUGAGCAUCAAGUUCGAUUAGAUUGUGCAUUGAAGAGGGUGACUUUGGCAGUUGAGUUUGGGAAAGAAGUUAUUAUGGUGGGGGGACAUCGAAAUUAUUUAUCAAGUGUGAUCUCUACUUUAGUAGCAGAAAAGAUGGUGCGAAAAGGGUGCGAAGCAUUUUUGACUUAUGUCUGAGAUCCAAGCGUCACUGAUCCUUUAGUUGGAAGUCUUCGUACAGUGAGGGAAUUUCCCAAUGUAUUUCCCGAGGAACUGUCAAGGCUACCUUCAGAAAGGGAAGUGGAAUUUGAAAUUGAGUUGUUGCCAGGAACAACAUUGGUGUCCAUCGCUCCCUAUUGCAUGGCACUAGAAAAGCUUAAGGAGUUGAAGAUGCAGCUGCAAAAACUGUUGGAUAGGGGUUUUAUUAGACCCAGUGUUUCACCAUGGGGCGCACCGAUUUUAUUUGUAAAAGAGAAAGAUAAAAUGUUACGAUUGUGCAUUGAUUACCGGCAAUUGAAUAAAUUAACUAUCAAGAAUAAGUACCCUUUCCCAAGGAUUGAUGAACUAUUCGAUUAGUUCAGAGGUACAACUGUCUUUUCCAAAAUUGACCUAAGAUCUAGGUAUUACCAACUCAAAGUGAAAGAAUCUGAUAUCCCAAAGCCGCUUUUAGGACUCGUUAUAGACAUUACGAGUUCCUUUUCAUGCCUUUUGAGUUUACUAAUGUACUAGUGGCUUUCAUAGACCAUAUGAAUCGUGUUUUUCAGUCUUUCCUUGAUUAGUUCGUCAUGGUACAUCAUUGUGUACUCUAAGACAGAGGCCGAGCAUGAUGAGCAUUUGAGAGUGGUUUUAUAGAUACUUUAUGAAAAGAAACUUUUUGCUAAACUUAGAAAGUGUAAAUUUUGGUUAAAGGAAGUGGUGUUUUUGGGUCACGUGGUAUUGGUUGAGGGUAUUCACGUCGAUCCCAAAAAGGUUAAAGCUAUCCUAUAUUAAAGGCAAUCGAAGAAUAAUUUGGAAAUUCAGAGUUUUCUGGGUCUUGCUGGGUAUUAUCGAAGGUUUGUUGAGGGUUUUUCCUUUAUAGUAGCCCCAUUGACUAAGUUGUUGAGGAAGAAUGCUCCUUUUAAGUAGGGAGACAAAUAGCAGGCCAGUUUUGAAAAGUUGAAAUCAGUGUUAACAGAAGCUCCUGUUUUAAUUCAACCAGAAUCUGGUAAGAAAUAUGUUCUAUAUAGCAAUGCUUCGCAUGUUGGACUUGGUUGCAUCUUGAUGCAUGAUGGUAAAGUGGUAGGCUAUGCUUCGAGGCAACUUGGGCCACAUGAAGGUAAUUACCCCACUCAUGAUUUGGAGUUGGUUGCUGCUGUGUUCGCUCUCAAAAUUUGGAGACGUUACUUGUAUAAUGAGAUGUGUAUUAUUUACACCGAUCACAAGAGUCUCAAAUAUCUCCUCACCUAGAAGGAAAUUAAUUUGAGGCAACAGAGAUGGAUUGAGUUGUUAAAAAACUAUGACUAUACAAUCGAGUAUCAUCCUGGGAAGGCCAAUGUUGUGGUUGAUGCCUUAAGCAGAAAGGCAAUGUCUGACUUGAGGACCAUGUUUGCUCGCUUGAGUCUCUUUGAUGAUGGUGGUAUUUUGGAAGAAUUACAAGUAAAGGUUGCUUGGGUUUAGGAAAUUAAGGAUGAGCAUAGUUUGGAUGGAACUCUAACACCUCGACUUAAACAGGUUGAGGAUGGAUCGACCGAGGACUUUGGUAUUAACUCUGAUGGAAUCUUGUGCAAUAGAGGGAGGUAUUGUGUGCCUAAUGAUUAGAAUUUGAGACAAUCUAUACUUCAGGAAGCACAUAGCAGCCCUUAUGCUAUGCAUCUUGGAAGUACUAAGAUGUAUCGAGAUUUGAGGGAAGUGUAUUGGUGGCUAGGUCUUAAACGUGAACUGACCAAAUUCGUAUCUAAAUAUUUUACUUGCCAACAAGUUAAAGCUAAGCAUCAGUAUCCAUCAAUGUUUCUCUAACUGAUUCGAAUACCACAGUGGAAGUGGGAAAGAGUGACAAUAGAUUUUGUUAGUGGGUUGCCCUUGACACCUACCAAGAAGGAUUCGAUUUGGGUUGUGAUGGAUAGGUUGACUAAGUCCUCUCAUUUUAUUCCUGUUUGCAUUGAUUAUUCUUUCCAAAAUUUAGCUAAGCUUUAUGUUUCCAAGAUAGUGAGAUUGCAUGGUGUGCUAGUGUCGAUUGAUUAUUUCAAAUUGGGAUCCUAGAUUCACAUCUCGAUUUUGGAAAAAAUUACACGAGGUUUUGGGUACUCGGUUGGAUUUCAAUACGGCUUUUCAUCCACAAUUUGAUAGUCAAUCGAAAAGGGUCAUUCAGAUAUUGGAGGAUAUGUUGAGGAGUUGUGAAAUAGACUUCCAAGGUAAUUGGGAAGAACAUUUACCUAUUGCUGAGUUCGCCUAUAAUAACAAUUAUCAGUCAAGUCUCCAAAUGGCACCUUACAAAGUUCUUUUUGGUUUUAAGUGUCGUUUGCCUUUAUGUUGGACUAAAGUGGGUGAUAGAAAUUUGAUUGGCCUAGAAUUGGUCAUUGAAGUCGAAGUUAAGAUUCGGGUAAUUGAAGAAAGACUGAAGGUAGCUUCGGAUAAACAAAAUUCGUAUGCCGAUUUGAAGUGCAAGGACAUUGAGUUCAAUGUGGGAGAUUUGGUUUUUCUUAAAGUCUCGCCAUAGAAGAAAAUCCUAAGGUUUGGUCGAAAGGGUAAGUUGAGCCCUAGGUUUAUUGGUCCUUAUCGAGUGCUUAAGAGGGUGGGUUUGGUGGCUUACAAACUCGAAUUACCUCUUAAUUUAGAUUGGAUUCACGAUGUAUUUCACGUUUCAAUGUUGAGACGGUAUCAAUCUAAUCCCUCGCAUAUUGUUCCACUUGAGGAGAUUAAGGUUAGACUGGAUUUUUCAUUUGAGGAGGAACCAAUUUGAAUAUUAGAGCGUGAGAUCAAAGUGUUAAGACGAAAACAAAUGUCACUAGUUAAGGUACUGUGGAGAAAUCAUGGCAUUGAAGAGGCUACGUGGGAGCCGGAGGACUCAAUUCGGCUUCAAUACCCUCAUCUUUUCAAACCAGGUAAUUUCGAGGACAAAAUUUCUUUAAUGGGGGUAGAGCUAUAACAUCUCAAAAUUUAACUCAAUAAAAAUGUAGAAAAAUAUCAAAAAUAGGAAAUUGACCCAAUGGUUAAUCAUUAAAUGUGAAAUCUUGAAAGUUAGUUAAAGGUCACAAGUUUAAGUCCUAUCUUUUAUAAAAUAAAUAUUUUUUUGCAAAAAUUCCCUCAUUUUUAAUGUAUUGCCGCCCAAGCCUAGUAAACCUAGGUAUAAAUACAAUUUUUACUCAAAAUAAUCAGUCUCUAACUCUCUUUUCUUCUACCUUAGUCGUCCCUAACCUCCUCUCCCUCCCUUGAUCUUUAUUUUUUUUCUUUUCUCCUUCUCCCACCAUUGUUGCCAUCGCACCUAUCACCACCAUUCACCUUUGAUUUUUCUUUCUAUUGUCUUCACGAUUGAGAAUUAUCUCCAUCCUUAUCUUGCUACCAUUUUUCUUCAAUUAGAACAGCCCAAAUUUGAAAUCUUAAUUCUCCAAGAUCAACUCCAACCUUGCCAAGAAAGUGACAUUGUCGCCCGUCUCCAUUAGCUUGUGUAAGAUCUCUAUUUCUUUUAAUAUCUUUGGUAAUCUUGCAAUUAAAAAUCUAAAUUUUUAUAUAUGGAAUUUGGGGAAUUUUAAAUUUUUUUAAAGUUAUUUUUCCAGCUUUUAAUUAGAUCUCAAAUCGUUUUAAAAUUCAACCCCAAUUCUAACCACCAUGGGUGGUGGUGCGUGCGCCUAGGUAUGGGAAAAGGGGGUUGUUUUAUUUCUUGAAUUUUUCCCAUUAAAUUUAGCCUUAAUUUGAGUUCUUGAACCCUCCUAAUCAGAUAUUAAACCCAUGUCAAUUAGGGAAAAAUGUUCUUGGUCGAUUGGACAUUCAAAACUUACAAAUUGGGAAGCAUAAGUACAAUUAAACGUAAACUAGUUUAUUGUUUCGGCAUUUUUGUUGGGUAAAGGUUAUGGAUUGAUUAGAUGAAGGAAUUUAAUCAUUAUUAGCUACUAAUUUUUCGGUAUAUUAUUGAAUUAGGUGUUGACCUAAACAUCCCAAAUCAACCGUAAAGCCGAAGAACAAUCGUACGUACAGUUCGCAUCGAUACAGUGUAAGAAAUCUAACUAGUUUGAAUUCAUAAAAUAAUUAUAAAUUCGACGAUUGGUUUGAACCCAUAAGUGGGUAAUUUGGGGCUGGUUAAAAGGUAAAAAAUAUUUAAUUUAUACUGAAUUUUGGUUUAGGAUCAUACAAAGGUUUAUUAAGGAAAAUUAGAAGUUUCACUAGUGUGCUGCAAGAAAGUGAAAAAUAAAGUGUGGGUCCUAAACUCGUAAAUUUUUUUGAUAUUGAUAAUUUUCAUAUUAUAUUUGAUAAAUUAGGUUGUUGAUUGGAUUGGCUUAAUAGCAAAAAUAUUAGUUUUGUGAGUGGCCAAACCAAGUACAUUUCGAGCCCUAAAAGAUUAAUGUAUUGGUAACAUUUCUAGUUUGACGGUAUGAAUGUGUGAUUGAGAUUGCCAUGCAUAAUUGUAUUAUGUGAUAUGAGAAUAUUUGAUUGAAUGGUAUGAAUAAUUGGAAAUAUUAAGUUUAUGCGUGAUUUAAAUGCAUGAGGAAUGUGCUAUUAUGUAUAUUGGAAAGGUUGCUAUUUAUGCACAAUAAAAUUCGUGAAGUAUGUGAAGUUAAACGAUAUUGAUAGAUACCAUCAUAAUGGAAAUUUGAAAGUUGGAACUCUGUUUCUAUUUACUAAAAGUAUGUGAUUAUUGAGGGCAUGUUGAACAUGUCAAAUUAAAUUUGAGAAGUAUUGAAAUAUGAUUAUGUGUGAAUUUGUAUGACAUGGUGCAUAUGCAUUAGGAUGGGAUUUUGUGGUUGACGAAGAAGUCCCGUGGAGUACCGGUGGCAUAUGAAGUCUGCAUAUAUUUGUAGUCAGUGCACUGCAUUUGGAGUAUUGAGGGGAUUUUUUAUUAUAUUACAUUAUUUUUUAUUUGGCAGUUUCACUGCAUUAUUGAUUAUUGGUGGUUUUAUCACAUCGAGCUCUACUCAUAUACGUUGGAGUUUGGCAAACGGGUUCUGAGGAACUCGUGAUGUGUAGUAGAUGGCAUGGGAAAGAUCUCACAUGUUCAUUUGUCACGAUCAUAUGCAUUUGAAAUUAUUAUUGAUAAUGUUUGAUUGUGCUAUUGGUAUCUCUAUGAAAUUACUUGUAUGAAUGUUUAAUACUUGCUUGUUUAGCCUCACACUGAGCUUGUUAAGCUCACCCUAUUACCUAAACUUCUCAGGUAAUGAUCGAACUUAGGAUAGGAAUUGGCAUGCAGACGUACGGCGAACUCCGGACUUCACUUCGUCAUAUUAUUUUAAUUUAAUUAUAUUUUAGGUUAUUUUACCAUUAUUAUUUGAUUUUGGAUUGUAAAGUUUCUUUAAAUUGUGGUGAGACUGUUUGGGACUUUUGAGGUUUUUCAUGCAUGCAUGACACUCAUAUUUGGUAUAGAUACACGGUUUAUAUAUAUAUAAAUAGACUAUGCAUGAUAUAUGGCUACGUUAAUAAUUUGACUAGUAAUGGUAUAUUUCAGUUGCUAAAAAAGAUAACAAACUAAUUUUUCUAAAACAAUGCCGACAAUUGAGUUUUAUAAAAGUUCACCUUAUUUGCUAAUUUGGCUAAAGCAUAGUUGGACUAAGUAAAGGGACGUUUUCCAAAGUUAACAAUAGAAACCAUGAUUUUAUAAAAGAGAGUACUUGAAGGUUUUAAACUAUCGUUAAAGUAGGUUCGACACUAAAGUGCCUAAUGUGGCCUUUACGAUUCGGUUGUAAUGUCUAGGCCGGGUUUGAGAGGUUACAUGUUGGGUAGCCAUACCGCCAUGUUUGAGGCCACACAGGUUGGUCUUUUUCACACUACCUGGCCACACAACCGUGUGACCCCUAUUUUUAAAAUUUUCAAAAUUUUUCAUGUUUUUCUGUUUUGAUUCAAAUUAGUCCCUGAUUAUUCUCAAACUAUUUAUAGGGCCCCACAAGCUCGUUUUAGGCUCGUAAAUGUUAUUUUGCUAUGAAUGAAAUGCAUAUUUGAAUGUUUUUAUUUAAAUUAAUAAAUGAAUAGUUUAAUGAUGUAAUUUUUUUAUAUGUGUCGUAAUACUCUAUAACCCUAAUCUGGUGACGGUGAUGGUUAGGGGUGUUACAUUUUCAAAGAAGAAAAAAAAUAUUUCUAAUGUAAGUGAUCAAAUCUCUUAUACUUCAUUAAUUGAAGCUACCACGUUAUUGGGGAAAAACAUACGUAUUGUUGGUCUUGAAAUAAGUAAGCAUUGCCUCCGAAGUGCUAAUUCAAAAAAAGUCAGAAAUGGUCAUUCAAGAAAGUGCCCAAAAAUUAUAUCAGACCUUAUCUGAAGUAGAAGGAUUACUCAGGAUAAGCACUUUCAUAUGUUGAGCAAAAUUCCAAAGUAUCCAAUGCACAUGCUCGUUUUCUUCAAUCUAUCCUCUUCUGUGCGAUUGGAAUGGGUGAGAAGAUUUAUUUCUACCCAUUAAAAAUCAUGGUUGUGUUGAUGGUGUUGAUGAUGUUUUGAUAAUUUUUUGUAUAUGUAAAUAUUUGGAUGGUAUGAUGACAUGAGCUGGAAUGGGUGAGAAUGUCACGAAUUGUUGUAACUUUUUUAUGCUAUAGAAUUUAACAUAUAGAUUACGGCAUAUAAGCUAAUGACAUUAUCCAACUUUUUUAUGCUAUAAAAUUUAACAUAUAGAUUAUAGCAUAUAAGCUAACAACAUCAUGUAACUUUUUGUUAAUGUAUGAACAUUAUGUUUGGAUGUAAAAUACAAUUCUCAAGCUAUUAAUUACUUCUAAUCUUUUGCUUUUUAGUUUAGAGGAUAAUUAAUUAUUUUUUUUUUGCUAAUGAUAUUCUAUUACAUUAAAUAUGCAUUGAAGUUUAAAAAUAAUAAAGUAGGUUAUAUUUGUUUUUCUAAUAUUAUAUAUUAUUUUUAUUAAUUCAUAUUUUAAUAAUAAUCAUAUUAAGAAUGUUAUUAAAUUAUAUAUUAUUUUUUAAAAAUUAUAUUUAAUAAUAAUUGUAUUAAAUAUAUGAUUAAAUUAUUUAUUUUUAUUAAAUUAUAUUUAAUUAUAAUCCUAUUAAAAUUUAAUAACAAUAACAAUAAGUAUCUAUCUAAACAAAAUUGUACUAAGGGUACUUGGUCAUUUCAUUUUCUUUCUUAUGCUAUUAGAGCUCUAUUCCAUUCAACCGAACACAAGAAAACUAUUACAGUUCUAUUCCAUCCCAUUCAACCAAACAAUUUAAUUAUUAAUUGUUGUUCUAUUCCAUUACAGUUCUAUUCCAUUACAGUGAACCAAACAUGGUGAAAUAGUUUUGAUUUUAUGACGUGACUUAAUAUAAUUAGUUGCAACUAUAGCUUAUGUGGUAGGAAAGGCUUAUAUAAUAAUUUUUUUUUCUAUUAGUUAUAGGUACCACAUUGACAAAUAGUGUUAAAGUAUAUGUACUAAAAUAGACUUUUCAAAGAAAAGAUAUCACAUUGGAAGAUUUGAUAAGGUCUGAGAGUCAAAUAUGAAAUUAUCCCCUUUUUUCCCUGUUCUUAUAAUUAGUUGCAUUUAUCAGUUCUUAUAAGACGAGUUUCCUUCAAGAGUUUUCAGGUAGUAAUAGGUUAAGCUUUUAUGGCUAUUGAUGAUGCCAUAACAGCAGUGAGUGAGAACCCAUAAGAUCGGGUUUAUGAAAUAAAGUGCUUGAACUGUAAGUAGAUGAGAGUCCCUUAGAACACCUAUUUGCAGUCUAGUUGUUGCAAGGCACAUGAACUUGUAAAAAAAUAUAUUUCUAUUUGUUUUCAAUUAAGAUAAUGAUUAAAAAAAAAAGGGUAGAGAAGUUGUAGUGAAUCAUGCACAAUCGCUUGUGCUUGUUGACGAACCCCUGUAGGUAGGUAGGUAGGUAGGUAGGUAGGUAGGUAGGUAGGUGUAAUCCGGAUAUGGACAUGGGCAAAACCAAAGGGAAUAUGCUCUUAUAUGUGCCAUCUAACUUUGCUAGUACCAUUGUUAAUGUACCCUGAGCCCUUGGUAAGCCAACAAAUAAAGUUCAGGAGACUUGAGUCUUCAAAAUCGUUCUCAACUUUAGUGGGCCUCUCUCUUUGGGCUUCCAUGGUGUAACCCCUCCUUAUCAACAAAAGAGGUUAGUUGAGGAGAAAAAAAAUGAUAAAGAAACAUCCAAAACAUCAUCGAAAGUUACACUUGGGAUGAAGCAAAUGAAAAUGAUAGUUUAUCAUCAGAGGAAGCUAAGGGAUCAAAUAUUACAGGCAAUUGGGAUACUGAACUGAAAAGCAAAACGAGUGAGAAAAGGAGUUUACCAAGAAUCAAAGGGGUGGCUUGCAUCAAAGCUCGGAAGGAACAUAAGUAUCUAGAGCCGCUCAAAGCCUGCGCCUACCUCACACUAGAAUUGGAGCAGCUCUUGCGGGGAGCAAUCAAAAGGAUACUGCGAGAGCCACUCAAGCAUCCAUAUAUUAAGACACUUUGGACUGGGAGGCGCAGUCAGCAUGGGUAACUCUAUUGUUGUUAGAGGUAUGUAGAAAUCGAUCCGAAUAAAUUAAAAAAAUAAAUUGUGUUAAUCAAAUCGAGUUAUUGAAGUUAUUCAAUUUUUUCGAGUCAAUUCUAAAAAAUAAUUAAAAUUUUGAAUUCGAGUCAAGUGAAAUUUUACAAUUCAAAUAACUCGAAUAAUUUAAAUAACAUAGGUGAAAAUGUCUCUUUUGUCACUAUCAAUCUUAAAAUGAGUAAAUUGACCUCUCAACAAAAAUUUGAAAAUCAAAAUAAUUUUUCGAAGUUCAAAAUUUUAAAAAAAAUUCAAAUUUUAUUUUUUAAAAAAUAUAAAAUUGUAAAAAAUAAAAUAUAUAAACUUAAAAUUUUUUUAAAAAUUAAAAUAAUAAUUUUAAAAACUUAAAUAAGUUCAUAAUUUAAAUUUAUCAUACCAAAGUAUUUGUUUCUUAUUUUGCUUUGAUAAGAAAAUACUUAAAUUUUUUCACUCAAUCCAAAUACUCACCCUAUCGAAUACUCACCCUUAAUUGCUGCUGUGGACUCAUUUGUGUCUGGUUUGCAGGUUUUUUUUUUUUUGGUUUGACUGUAGGUAGCACUGUUCUCUUCUAUAACAAAUACUGAUGCAAACCCUGAUGGAGCAGGAGCCUUACACUGCAACCAGAUUGUAACAAGUUGACUCCCCAAUCUAUGCUGAAAUCCUUAGCCAGCUGACUCCUAUCUCUUGAUUGUUCACUGGUAUCAUUUUUUCACUAAAAAUGCUUGGACUUAUAUUUUUCAGGUCCUGUUUUUAUCCAAGGGGCUUUAGCAAUUCCCGCAGCACUAACGGCAGUGAAGUUACUUGGCUGGCUAUAAAUUGGAGCUCCUCAAAUAGUAGGAUUACGAUUAAUGAAUCAAGAAACGCAAAACAAUUAAAAAGUGCAAAGCACACUCAGUUGUAUAUGCAGAAAAUAUUGUUUUAAACUGAAGCAAACAAAAAACCAUGAACACUCAGCGAGAACUAAGGCCCCCCAAGCUUAUUUGAGUCUGAUUUCACAACCUAAAUUCCAUGAGAAGAAACGGUCUGAUUUCACAACCUAAAUUCCAUGAGAAGAAACGGAAAACCCCAAAAUCAUCAAUACAGAAAAUUUCUCUGAUACACAGACCACAAGACAAUUCUUAGUAUUUGUAGUCCUUAACAUGAAGGCUCUCUGCAGCACCCUCACUAAUCUUUGCGUCACCCUUGUAUGUACCCAAGGUGGCCUCCGAGUUAGCCUUGCACCUAACAAGGAAAGCAUCUUGUGCUUUCUUCACGUUUUCCUCCUUUCCAGCCCAGGCCUUGAGAGUGCUCUGCUGAAGGGCACGUCCAAAUGAGAAUGAGAGUGACCAUGGUUUCUUGGUCUGGAGCUUGUUCAUGGCAUUAAGGUUAAGGGUAGCCUCCUCCUCACUUUGCCCACCAGACAAGAACACAAUAGCAGGGACUGCAGCAGGGACGGUACGCUGCAAGGCACGGACAGUGUACUCAGCAAUAACCUCUGGGGCAACCUUCGGGGAGUCGGAACCAGGGGUCACCAUGUUAGGCUUCAAAAGAGUACCUUCUAGCAUGACAUGGUGAUCAUUCAAAGCCUUGUAGCAAGCAGCAAGAACACGCUCUGUCACCGCAGCACACUUUUUAAUGUCAUGUGAUCCGUCAACAAGAAUUUCAGGCUCAACAAUGGGGACAAGGCCACAUUGCUGGCAGAUGGCAGCAUACAUAGCUAGCCCGUUGGCAUUUUCUUGGAUUGCAAGCUCGGUUGGCUCAUUAGCACUAAUCUUAAGGACAGCACGCCAUUUAGCAAAGCGGGCACCAGCUUCAUAGUACUUCUGGCAUCGCUGUGCAAGGCCAUCUAGA